UGGAAAUGAAAAAGUUAGGAGAGAACAUGGUUAAAGAUUGUGCAGGGCUUCCAUUAGCCAUUGUUGUAUUGGGAGGAAUUUUGGCUACAAAGAAUAAUUCAUUAAACGAAUGGCAAAAGAUAUCUGACAAUUUAAAAUCAUACUUGAAGAGAGGCAAAAAUCAAGGACCAGAGGAUGUGUUAGCAUUAAGUUAUGAUGAUUUGCCUCCCUAUCUAAGACCAUGUUUCCUCUAUCUAAGCCUUUUUCCGGAGGAUUAUAUGAUAGAUGUGGAUAGAUUGAUUCAAUUAUGGGUUGCUGAAGGUAUUGUGUCAUCAAAGCAAGAAGAAAGAGACGGUGGGGAAAUUGCGGAAGAUGUGGCGGAAUCUUAUUUAAUGGAGCUUGUGGAAAGGUGCAUGAUUCAAGUACGAGAAAGAGAUGUGGCAACCUUAAAGGUCAAAACAAUUCAGAUGCAUGAUCUGAUGAGAGAUCUUUGCUUAUCAAAGGCAAAACAAGAAAAUUUUGUCUUCAUUGUCGAUCAAUCAAAUGCAUCUUCAUUAUCUAUGAUUCGGAAGGUCCGUAGGGUUUCUGUGCAUGAGUUUUUUUUUCAUACAAUGCAUUAAAAGUCCAAAUAUUCGGUCACUUUUGUUCUUCAAUGAGUUCUUUCCGGAGGAGGAAUUAGACAAAUCUUUUCCCUUGGAAGUGUUGAAUUCACUGUAUUUGAUUCUUAUGAUUUCGCGAGCUGGUAUGGGACUCCUUAAAAUUCGGGGAAUUUAGAGAUACAUGUUCAACAACUUCCAAUUGCUAAGAGCCCUAAACUAUGAGAGAACAACAGGUGAUCGUUUUGCAGGGUUUAAGUUACCUAGUGAUAUAGGUAAUCUCAUCCAUUUAAGAUUCUUGAGUCUAAAGGAUCUUGAGUUCUUAUGGCCAAAGUUGCCAUCAUCUCUAGGAAACUUAAGGUGCUUGCAAACCUUGGAUUUAAGAGUUGAUCGUGACAAAAUUCAUGUACCUAAUGUGAUAUGGAGGAUGGAGCAACUAAGACAUUUAUAUCUCCCUUCGAGAUGUGAAAGCAGUACUAAGUUGAAGUUGGGUACUUUGAGAAAACUCCUAACACUUGUGAACUUCAACACCAAGAAUUGUUAUCUGAAGGAUCUUAUCAACAUGACAAAUCUUAGAGAGUUGGGGAUAAAUUUGCCCUUCAAUAUUGAAAAUUUCAAUGAGGAGUUGGGCGAGAAUCCACCCAUAAUCGGAAGUAAAUAUCUUCAUUCCUUGUCUAUUAUUACCUCUGGGUACGAAUCAAUAGAUCCAAGACAUUUGGCCCAUCUCCUUUCAAAUUGUACAAGUAUUUGCAAGUUGAGUAUAGCAGCAGAGAUAAGUAAGUUACCAGAGUAUCACUACUUCUCUUCACAUCUCACUUACNNNNNNNNNNNNNNNNNNNNNNNNNNNNNNNNNNNNNNNNNNNNNNNNNNNNNNNNNNNNNNNNNNNNNNNNNNNNNNNNNNNNNNNNNNNNNNNNNNNNNNNNNNNNNNNNNNNNNNNNNNNNNNNNNNNNNNNNNNNNNNNNNNNNNNNNNNNNNNNNNNNNNNNNNNNNNNNNNNNNNNNNNNNNNNNNNNNNNNNNNNNNCUCUUCAGCGAUUGGAUAUCAGGCAUUGCCCAAGCUUGAAGAUGCUUCCAGAGGGAUUGAGCUCCAUUACAACCCUCAAAGAACUGAAGAUUGAAUCAAUGCCAAAGGCAUUCAAAGAAAGAUUGGAGAAAGGAGGAGAAGAUUUCUACAAAGUCGAACAUGUUCCUUCUAUCAUAUUCCAAAACAUCUGGUAGAUUGACUGAUAAUUGAGAGGUAAUUUCAUAACCUCUAGUUUAGGAAAUGAUUCCUACUUUCUUUGCUUCUUAUAUAUCUUUCGUUUUUGACAUUGUCUCACAUUCUCACUCCAUUUGUCAACACACCAAUGAAUAAUUACAUUUAUUAAAAGUUAAAGGAAGUCGGACAUUGAUCUUUUUAGUUUUGCUUUUCAGGUAAAGACGCCAUUUUUUCACCAGCUACUGCUAUUCACGGGAUCAAAUCUAGAUUUAAAACUCCUAUUAUAAGUGGCGUGUGAAAGUGUGUUAUAUUGUGAGAUUUGGAAUUAUCUUCUCGCUUGUUGACAUCAGACUGGUUGAAUGUUUGUUAUUUUCUUCAAAUUACAAUAAAAAGGUUGCAAGAUAAGGUACGGGAAGAAAGGGAGGUGUCUGGAUUAGCAAGGUACCAAACCCACAUAGCUUUGGUUUACGAUCACCAUUCCUAUCUUUAUUUGUUAGCUUUGCUUUCUCUUUUUAUUUUUUUCUUUUUUUAUCUGUACUUAAUGUAAUAUUAGAAGAGAAGGCAGGACCAUGCUUUUCUAGUUCCAUUGUAAAAUUCAUCACUUCGUUGUCAAUGUUCAUUUCUACUCUUCAGUUUUACUUAAAUAUAAUUGUUUGAUAUAUAUAUAUAUUUAUAUAUAUAUAUAUAUUUGAAUAUGGAUACACGAUAAGAGAAUAUAAUAUUUUUAAUAUUUUCUGUCAUCCUUAACUCAAUAAUCUUUGUUAAGAUAUUAUACCAGGUUCAAUGGUUGCACUUCAUCCCACACUUUCAAAGCAAAAAAUAGGAAAAAUUAAAUAUUACCAACUAAUAACACUUCCAAAUUACAUUGUCUUACAAAAAAAAAAAAGAUACAAUUUGAAUUUUUUUAUCAACAUUUGAUGGUUUAGCAAGCUAUGCUUUAUAAAAGGCAAAGGAAUCUAAGGGAAAAAAAGAUUCCAAUUCAAGAUUUUGUAUCCCCAUGCUUUGCUUCUUAUAUCUACCAACAAUAUCUUGAUGAUAAUAAACUAAAAAAAAAAAAAAAUUCAAGGGAAUCAAAGAUUUCAAAUCCAACUUAAUCGAUUGAAAAUUUCACAUCCACUUAAUUAUUUCAAAUGAUAUUUAUUCAAUAAGUUUAAAUCAAAAACCACAAGAAUCCCCAUUUAUCUUUUAUUCAAAAUGUAAAUCGGAUUCAAUGAAAAUAUUGAACAUAUAAUGUGUGCACAUGGAAAUGUCCAAAUCUUUAAAUAUAGGGUCGACAUGGGAGAAAUCUCCUAAAGAUUUAUAAAAUUCAAUAUGAUCCUAUUAUUUUCGUUAUAAAACUCAAUAUCUUAUUCGGAUUAGGAUACGAGCGAAUAACAGAUAACUAUUUGUAGUUCAAGGUGUGAUAAAAUCUCAGUAGCUAAGAUAUGAAUGUUGCAAAAUACCAUACAAAAUCACAGCCACAUUUGUUAGUAUGACUAUUUUGGGUAAUCAAAGGAAAAAAAUGUUAGCUGUUGAGCAAACAAGGUGAACAGAUUAGAUAUUCCAAUUACGUUCAAGCACUUGACAAAUCCUUUCUGCAAUGGCUUCAGCACGCAUCCUAGGACCUUCAUCAGCUGCAAAAACCGACCAUUUCUAACAACUAAGCUAACAUCACACAUGAUAAUAUAUGUAUAUAACUUAUAUAGAAGAUGAUUAUGUGGAUUAAAAGCUAUGCUAGUUUGACUCAAUACAUGACCAUGGGACAUGCUCGAUUCAUCAAUAACGAUAUGAAAAUACUUGGAAGAAAAAUUAAAUACAUCAAUAUCUAACAUUUACAUCUGAGUUCGAGUAAAGAAAACAUGUCAUUCAAUCUAAACAUGCAAAAUAUCCAAAACUCUUGAUGAGUGUUAGAUAAAAAUAUGUAGAAUGUACCCAAAAUACCCAUCUCGAACUCAGUAGAGAAAUAUCUAGCACUCAAAAGACACUACCUUCAACCAAGAACAAGCAAGUUUCUUCAAAGGCUUGAUAUACUUUCUUCACAGCCAUAUAUAUGUUCAUAUACCCAUAUUAAGGAUGAUUGUUUUGGCAAAGAGGAUGAAAAGAUAGAAAGAAAACCUUUAAUCCAAUGACAAUAUUUGAUUAUAACAACAUGACACAUAUAAUUGUGAUUAAAAUUGCGGUCACAAAUACGUUUGCAAUCACAUCAUGUUAAUGAAUACUAUUGCAAUCAAUUGCAAUAAAUAUCCACAACAACACGAGCCACAAUCCUAAAACAACAAAGAUAAUACAUUACAGCUGUUAAGGAAUUUUCAAUAACGUAUAUACCUGCAAGAUUUUCAGUGAUGACACAAUAAAAUUCACCACCAGACAACUUCCCAAUCUAAUGAAAUUUUCAAACAUAUCAUGUCAUAAGUUUCAAGAUCAACUGAAACAUGCGGAUACCAAGUAUGAUAAGAAAUUAAAUUAAGGAUUUUCUACUGCAAACCUACCACGAAAACAUAAUUUUUAUUAGGAUCAAAGGCAUAGCCCAUCAUGGCAGCAUUAUUGAGUCCAUUUUCAGAGGAAAAUCCUGAAACAUGUUACAGGCAAAUAUUAAGAAAAACAACGCACAAGCAUAAGUAUAAAAAACCUAGCAUGUAAGAAAUCAAUACUUGAAAGGACUAAAAUCACUGCUAACCUAAGACAUUGAAUCUAGCACCACUAGGAAACAUCCGAAAUGAUACUUGUCUUUCAAUGUUGAGAUACAUAGGUCCAAGUCUGCCAUGUUGCGCCAAACGGGAAUUCAUCAACCUCUUGAGAACCUAAAGGAUGAAAAGUUCCAGUCCAAGUUAUAUAUAUACAGACACACACACAGAUAGACAUGAAGAAAGUGGGUUAAUGGUGUAUUAUUUAAGUAAAGAAAAAGUUGAAAUCUUGAACCUCUAAAUAUUGGGUAACAGCGAGUGUUAAAAGUGCAUAAAGUUCUGCUAUUAUCUACAAGAAACAAUGGAGGAAUCACAUACAUUGUUUAUAUUCACUUUUGUUGCUACACAAGCAAGCUGAGUCCAUAAACAAAGGCAUAUCUUUUUCUCCGUUUUUAAAUGGUUUUCUUGUUUUUCGGCUGCUUUUUAUAUUAAGAGACAGAGAUUGUGAGACCUCGUCAUUCUCAAGGAGAAAGUGGUCAAGCAUGAAGAUGAUGGGAAGACCACGAGUCGAUGGUGGUCGAUCCAUGAGUUGAUUAUGAAUAGUUUCAUGUUAUUAAAUAAAAAUGUUAGCUAAAGUUAGUCGAACGCUGUGUUUUAGGGCCGAGGGUUUAAUGAAACUAUAAGUUUUGAUGUUGAAUAAAAAUGGUGCGUAUUGACUGUUUGUUACAGCUGCUCGAGGAACAGCCCUAUAACAGACUUUGUAGCUGCCAAUUCUCAGCCAUAAUAGAAACUGGCAUGGGAAAUGAGCAGAUAUGCCAUUUUGUGAAGGAAAUCAAUUCUUUCUUCUUCCUCGAUUCUCUUUCUCUUCUCUCUUUUUCUUUCUUCCUCUAUUCUGUUGAAAUUAUGCAUCACUUCACCAGCAUUCAUCAUUGUGGACGUAUCUGAUCUUCAGUCUCUGGUUUACUGCCCAUGUAAAGUUAUGGAAAGGAAUGCAAAUUUAAAAGGUUUUCUUGCUAUAGUCUAUGCAAUUUCAUGUGUGGGUGAAAGGAGAUGAAGAUUAAUAGAGUAAUAUUGAUAUACCAACAAUUCAUUAAUUGAAGUACUAUCAAUAUUAUCAACAAGUAACAGAAUUAAGUGAGUACACUAAUAUAGUCUAGAAAAACAAUUUAAUUAAUAAUACCAUAGGGAUGGCAACGGGGUUAAGUUGCUAUUGCUAUUCAUAUCCCUGCCGCUAGCUUUUGACGACUUCACCAAGUAAACUGCAAUCACAAUUGUUGUUCUUAUUACCUGCAAAAACACAGCCAACAAUCUGAAUCCAUAUCCCCAUUUUAGGAACAAAUGCAUGGUGUACCAUUUGUUUCGAAGCCAAAUCAAUUUUCUUAUUUUUUCUUGAAGUAAAACCUUAUCUGACACUUAUAUUCAACACAUAUUCAUGUAUUGGUAUGAAGAUAUGACACUCUUAUCCUAUACUCGUAUCCGUGCUCAGGUAACAUAAGCUGAACCCGCAAGAUAACUGAUUUAACAUCGCAUUGCUGCUAGCUAUUGAUGAUUCCACCAAGUAAACUGCAAUCACAAGUGUUGUUCUUAUUCCUUGCAAAAACACAGUCAACAAUCUGAAUCCACAUUCCCAUUUUCGGAACAAAACCAUGGCGUACCAUUUGUUUCAAAGCCCAAUCAACUUCCUUUACCAUCUUCCCCUUACAAAAACCAUGAAUCAACUUCUUGUAUGAAUCAAAACUAGGAUUAACCCUCUCGAAAACCAUUCUCCCUAUAAUCUCCUUUGCUUCCAUAAACCUCGCAGCAUCAAGCAAACCGUACAACACCUCUUGAUAAGACCCUGCAUUGGGAUAACACCCUUUCUUUUUCAUAAUUUCCAACAGCUUCACACCUUCAUCAGUCCUACCUUGUUUCCUAAGACCUGAGAUCAAGAUAUUAAAGCUAACAGCAUCAGCAUCGAUUCCUUCCGUUUCCAUCCUCCCCAUCAACUCAAAAGCUUCAUCAACCUUCCCCUUAUCGCACAACCCGUGCAUUAAAGUAGAAUAAGUUCUAACAUUAGGCUUACACCUUUGUUUAGGAAAUUCAUCGAGCAGUUGGAAUGCAAACUCUAAUUUCCCAUUUUCACACAACCCUUUAAUGAGAAUAUUCAGAGUACAAGCUUCGAUUUCAACACCCAAAUUGGGAGCUUUCCCAUAAACCUCGUGAACAACAUCAAAUAGUUUGUUCGAUACGAGUAAGCUCAAUACGAUAUUGAAGGUUUUAACACUAGGCCAAGUCCCAUAUUCUGGCAUGCUAAAAAGGAUCUCGAUUGCCCUUUUGAUUCGACCUCCGACAUGCCCAUACUUUUUAAUCACAUGCUGGAAGAAUUCAUCGGAUAAACGACAGGCUUUUUCACGUUUGAGCUUUUCCAUUAUAUUUUCAAUGGAAUCAAAAUCCUGGGCAUAUGCGAGCUUGUUGAUGAGCAAAGUGAAGAGAGGUUCAGUUGGUUUAUAAUCCUUGCGAGCUGAGUAUUGGGCUAGGACUGAAAUGAGAGAGUUUGGAUCUUUAAGAUUGUCAAAGAUUUUGAGGAUUUCGGUCGGGGAGAGCCAGUCUUUGUGGGUUAGUUUGAAAAGGGGAGGGGAAGUGGUGUGGGUUGGUUGAUGGUAGCUGGAAAGUGAGGAGAAAAACGAAAGGGAUUUAAGAGAUGAGAUUUUAGUGGUCAUUGGAUGUUGAAAAAGUGAGGGAAAAUUUUGGGGGUAAGAGCUUUUGACAGAAGAAAGAAGGGAACGUGAAAUCAUGCGUUUGGCCAUUGGAGAAUGUAGAAACUGGAGAGCUAAAAGCUUUGUGCUAUUCGCACUAUAAACAUAUAUAGGGUAAGGGACAGGCUUAAUACUUGUUUUGUCCCCUGUAAUAUAGUAAAAAAUCUCAUUUUGACCCUUUUCCUUUACUUUGUCUGUUUACUUUCAUUUCGUCCAUUGCCUGCUUACUUUCAUUUCGUCCAUCAUGUUAGUCUAUUGAUCAUUUCCGUAAAUCCCAUGUGUUAGGGUUCCUAUAUUAUAGUAUUCAUCCAUAUACUUUAACCCUCCACGUAGUCGCAAUCAAUUGGCUUAAAUGAUCGAGGAUCACUAUAGUAUAAGGACCAAACGUAAACAUGCACUAAUUUUUUUAUACAGAAAUGGUCAAAGGAUUAAAGUGAUAGAUGAAAUGAAAGUAAAGGGCGCAAAGUGAUUGGAAAAGUAGUAAAAUGUUGGAAAAUAUUAAGAGAUUGUAUGAUGCAAAACUUAAAUAAUUUAUCUACUGAAAUUUUGAGGUGUAUUAUUUCGAAGUAAUGAAUCAUUGUUAUUUACAACUAUAUAUUAUAUCUCUUUGAAAUGUACAAAUANNNNNNNNNNNNNNNNNNNNNNNNNNNNNNNNNNNNNNNNNNNNNNNNNNNNNNNNNNNNNNNNNNNNNNNNNNNNNNNNNNNNNNNNNNNNNNNNNNNNCUUCUUCUUCCCUUCAAGAAUUGGUUGGAUUUGGAGGUGCCUAUUGAAAGCCUGGUUGAAAAGGAAUCGAGUUUGGAAUGCCGAAAUGAUCGGAAGCCAUGCCAAUAUAGCAAUUGGAGAGAAAAGGAUCGAUCCCAUUCCGUAAUCAUAUGCCUUAGCUAGUACCUCAGUGAACUGCCAGAGUCCGGUGUUCUCAGUAAUUGGCCUCACAGCUUGAGCAACCUGAAGGGAACUAAAAUGUCAGAGGGAAUAAGGCAAAAGAUGCAAACUCUAGACAAAUACUAUAUGCUGGUCCUCUAAAUAUAUGAACAAAUUUAGAAAAGAACUUGGGUAUGCCCGUAUUUGAUACUUAUUCUUGAAUUCGAGUAACAUAGUCAACUAGACAUACCAAAAUCAGACCCCAUCCAGUCGGCAGAAAUGCAAGACAGCAGACAAGUAAAUCCUUGGACGACAGUUCACAGAUGACUGAGAGAGUGAUAACAAUGGCGAAAACACUUAGGAAGAGGAAUGCUUUAAAGAACCUAAACAUCAGAUGGUAACGAGCACUGAAGAGUUGCCUUCCAACGUUCACUGCCUGUAUGUCAUGUAGAGAUCAAGUUAUCCGUGCAGAAAAUUCAAGGCUACUUCGGAAUUUUCAAAAUAGAACUCAAUAUACUUGAGUAUUAUGAUACUUGAAUGAAUUUUACCUUGACCGUCAGGAAAACUGCAAGAAUCACAACCCAGGAAAGCAUAUAAACAAGGAAAUUUUUGCUCUGUUGGGAGAUGUCAAGAUGAUACACCAAGCCAUACUGAUACAAGAAAAACCGAAUCGAAAGAAGAAUUUCGAACAAUCUAGCACCAUAUCCUGAACGACGAAGGUGAGCUUGUUCAUCAUUCCACCAAGAUUGCCAACUCUUGUUUUGCUGAAUCCCAAUACCACCUUUCUCCUUGAUCCACUUAUUCCAGCCUUUCCAAUCAUCUACAAUCUUGUCCCAAUCGAACCCGGAAGGAUUAAACAAAAAUGGUGCAAAUAACCAAGUCAUGGUCAUGAACCAAACAGAGUACGUGAUUAAUACAUAUGCCAUGCUACUCUGGUAGGACCUCCGGAACAAAUCGUAAACCACUAACAGGAGCAACAGUUCAAAUCCUUUAACAAAGUGGCUUCGUGAAUACAAUCUGUAGUUCUCAGUAAAGCUGGCAUGAAACACCACAACCUUACGUCCGGUAGGUAUAUACUUAGCUCCGCCAUACAUAAUUGUCCGACCAAAAUGAUGGGUUUUUGUCCCAAGGGAAAAAGUGAAGAAAACAGCAGCAAACUGCAGUUGCAUAAGAACAAAAUCUUUAAGGGCCGUAAGAAAUCCCUUCUCAAGUCCGAUCUCCAUUACCAUCGGUAAGCCAGUUAAAAGACCAAGCUGAAUAAACGAUUGAGAAGCAAGAGCAGUUUCCAAUGAUUCAGUGUUUUUCAUUCUAGCCUCAAUGAGGAGUGCCUUUUCUAGUCCACUAAGAACAAGGUAUAGUUGUCCGUAGAGGAACACAUAAAUUCCGAGUACAGAAAUCUGGUUUUUUACAGAUCAUAAGACGGGAAAGGCAAAAAUCAGAAAAGCAUCAUACAGAGAUAAAUAGGAAUCGGAUCAGGUAACCUUGUUUAGUGUGAGAGAAUUACCAGGCUGCUGAAGUAAAAUCCAAUGGUUGUGAAAUAGCAAGAUAGCAUCCUAAAANNNNNNNNNNNNNNNNNNNNNNNNNNNNNNNNNNNNNNNNNNNNNNNNNNNNNNNNNNNNNNNNNNNNNNNNNNNNNNNNNNNNNNNNNNNNNNNNNNNNNNNNNNNNNNNNNNNNNNNNNNNNNNNNNNNNNNNNNNNNNNNNNNNNNNNNNNNNNNNNNNNNNNNNNNNNNNNNNNNNNNNNNNNNNNNNNNNNNNNNNNNNNNNNNNNNNNNNNNNNNNNNNNNNNNNNNNNNNNNNNNNNNNNNNNNNNNNNNNNNNNNNNNNNNNNNNNNNNNNNNNNNNNNNNNNNNNNNNNNNNNNNNNNNNNNNNNNNNNNNNNNNNNNNNNNNNNNNNNNNNNNNNNNNNNNNNNNNNNNNNNNNNNNNNNNNNNNNNNNNNNNNNNNNNNNNNNNNNNNNNNNNNNNNNNNNNNNNNNNNNNNNNNNNNNNNNNNNNNNNNNNNNNNNNNNNNNNNNNNNNNNNNNNNNNNNNNNNNNNNNNNNNNNNNNNNNNNNNNNNNNNNNNNNNNNNNNNNNNNNNNNNNNNNNNNNNNNNNNNNNNNNNNNNNNNNNNNNNNNNNNNNNNNNNNNNNNNNNNNNNNNNNNNNNNNNNNNNNNNNNNNNNNNNNNNNNNNNNNNNNNNNNNNNNNNNNNNNNNNNNNNNNNNNNNNNNNNNNNNNNNAAGGUCCUUACCAAACUUAAGGGCUGAAAGCAGCAAACGUUAUCUUGAAGGGGAAGGGAGGUUCUUAUUAAAGCAGUAGCAUGCGCUUCAAUGUAUACGAUAUCUUUUCGAAUUUCCUAAAAACUUAUGCGUGGAAAUGAAUUCAGCUUUGCAUCAGGAUCCUGAUCCAGAAUAUUGUGCAGCUUCUGGACGAAGGGUCAACUAUGAUAAAAACAAGUAGGACUAACUAGCCCAAAGAGCAUCAGGAUCCUGGACUAACUGUCAAGAUUGUUUUGCAAGUAGAGGAAGUCCUCCAAGCUUUUCAAUGGAUACGUCUCUCAUUUUCCUUCUGCUGAAUUCAUUUCCACGCAUAAGUUUUUAGGAAAUUCGAAAAGAUAUCGUAUACAUUGAAGCGCAUGCUACUGCUUUAAUAAGAACCUCCAUUCCCCUUCAAGAUAACGUUUGCUGCUUUCAGCCCUUAAGUUUGGUAAGGACCUUUAUAUAUAUAUAUAUAUGGUUAAAGUAAGGACCUUAUCUUUGAUAUGCCUCAAAGUUAAUGUUUUCGAAAGCCCCCACAAAGAAGGGACACCCAAGUAGGCGUCCGAAUUAUUUGCCACCUCUAAGGUAGUCUCUUCUUGAAUCAACCUUUCGUUGUCCCUUUGGGAGUAUUCACACUAAAAACGUUGCUUGAUUUAUCAUAGUUGACCCUUCGUCCAGAAGCUGCACAAUAUUCUUGAAUCAAGUUAAUCAUUCUCCUACAAUUUAAUGAACUAGCUUCCAAAAAGAAUAGAAAUCGUUCGUGAAUAACAAAUGUGACACUACUGGAUAAUGACUACNNNNNNNNNNNNNNNNNNNNNNNNNNNNNNNNNNNNNNNNNNNNNNNNNNNNNNNNNNNNNNNNNNNNNNNNNNNNNNNNNNNNNNNNNNNNNNNNNNNNAACUCCUUUCAAUAUAUUCACCAUGAUCUUCGAUAUGAUUUAAUACUUAAAAUUAUAAGGAAUAAUUGACCUAAUUAAAUUAUGUCAUUAAUUCAAGACAUUUAGUUUUCAGAAGUAAAAUUAUCUCAAUCUCGUUCGAAAAUUUCCCUUCCCUAAAAAAAAAACUCUUAAUAGCUUCCAAAACAUCCUUUUUAAUAAUUUCCCAAUAAUUAUGAUAGAAAAUCCCGUUAAAAUCAUCCACGAAAAAAGAGAUUAAUUUAAUUGUUUUGUAUGCUUAACUUGUACAAUAUAAGUAAAAUAUUAUAAUUUUAUCUCCAAAUUCUCUCAACACAUCUUUCUGACCCUUGUUUAUAAUCUCAUUUGUAUCUAGCAGGAUAUCCAAUUUAAAAUUAAAUAAUUUUUUUUAUAAUUCUUUAAAUAUUAAAAAUAUUUUCCUCUAUUAUUAUUUUUUGUUGUUGGAGUAUUAAAUAUUAGCCUUAAAACCAUAAGGCAUGAACUAUUCCAAACAACCCUUAAAAAGAUAUGUAAAUUUUGUUUUUGAAUAUCAUUUUUACUUUUUUAGGUUUCAAAUUGGAUAGUGAAUUAUAUAUUUAUUUAUUCGAAACUCCUCUUAAAUUAAUAAGAGUGAAGUUUCUUAUUUAGUAUUGAUUGUUCCAUAAAAUAUUCAAAGUUUUCAAAGUUUUCAAAUAGAUUUAUUUUUUUAAGUGUAGUUAAUAACCUCAAUAAAAAUUAAACUUUAUAAGUGAUGAAUUUAUAUUAAAAAUUGUUUGAUAAAUUCAUAAAAUAUAAGUUUGGGUUCAUCUACUUUUACAUUUCUUUUACCUAUUUAAAUUAUUUCUUAAUUUUUCUUAUUUUUUAAAAAAUUAUUCUUAAUUUUUUAUACAGGAAAAAUAAUCGACGAGGAAAUGAAAAAGUUAGGAGAGAACAUGGUUCAACAUUGUGCAGGGCUUCCAUUAGCCAUUGUUGUAUUGGGAGGAAUUUUAGCUACAAAGAAUAAUUCAUUAAACGAAUGGCGAAAGAUAUCUGACAAUGUAAAAUCCUACUUGAAGAAGGGCAAAAAUCAAAGACUAGAGGAUGUGUUAGCAUUAAGUUAUGAUGAUUUGCCUCCCUAUCUAAGACCAUGUUUCCUCUAUCUAAGCCAUUUUCCGGAGGAUUAUAUGAUAGAUGUGGAUAGAUUGAUUCAAUUAUGGGUUGCUGAAGGUAUUGUGUCAUCAAAGCAAGAAGAAAGAGAUGGUGGGGAAAUUGUGGAAGAUGUGGCGGAAUCUUAUUUAAUGGAGCUUGUGGAAAGGUGCAUGAUUCAAGUACGAGAAAGAGAUGUGGCAACCUUAAAGGUCAAAACAAUUCAGAUGCAUGAUCUGAUGAGAGAUCUUUGCUUAUCAAAAGCAAAACAAGAAAAUCUUGUCUUCAUUGUUGAUCGACCGAAUGCAUCUUCGUUAUCUAUGAUUCGGAAGGUUCAUAGGGUUUCUGUGCAUGAGUUUUUUUUCAUACAAUGCAUUAAAAGUCCAAAUAUUUAGUCACUUUUGUUCUUCAAUGAGUUCUUUCCGAAGGAGGCAAUUGAAAAAUCUUUGCCCUUGAAAGUGUUGAAUUACGUUGAAGAACAUGAAGAUGAUGAUUGUAAUCCACUAUUUUGGAUUCUUAUAACUUUGGCACGUUCUACAGGACGUCAUAAAAUUCACGAAAUUUGUAGAUACAUGUUCAACAACUUCAAAUUGCUAAGAGUCCUAAACUAUGAGAUAAGAACAAGAAGAACACGUGAUCUUUUUGGAGGGUGGAAGUUACCCAGUGAUAUAGGUAAUCUCGUCCAUUUAAGAUUCUUGAGUCUAAGGAAUUUUGAGUUCCAACGGUCAAAGUUGCCAUCAUCUCUAGGCAACUUAAGGUGCUUGCAAACCUUGGAUUUAAGAGUUGAUGACAGAAUUCAUGUACCUAAUGUGAAAUGGAGGAUGGAGCAACUAAGACAUUUAUAUCUCCCUUUGAGAUGUAAAAGCAGAACUAAGUUGAAGUUGGGUACUUUGACAAAACUCCUAACACUUGUGAACUUCAAGACCAAGAAUUGUUAUCUGAAGGAUCUUAUCAACAUGACAAAUCUUAGAGAGUUGGGGAUAAAUUUGCCCUUCAAUAUUGAAAAUUUCAAUGAGAAGGAGUUGGGCGAGAAUCCACCCAUAAUCGGAAGUAAAUAUCUUCAUUCCUUGUCUAUUACCUAUGAAGAAGGACUGAAAAUAUUUACUUUAUUUUCUAUUGAUGUCAUUAUGAAAUCCUGGUCAAAAAUAGAUCCAAGACAUUUGGCCCACCUCCUUUCAAAUUGUACUAGUAUUUGCAAGUUGAGUAUAACAAGAGUGAUAAGUGAGUUACCAGAGUAUCACUACUUCUCUUCCCAUCUCGCUUACAUACGGUUGAUAUGUUGUAAGUUUGAGGAAGAUCCAAUGCCAACACUAGAGAAGCUGCCUAACUUAAGGAUUCUUGAACUCAAAUAUACUUCAGAAGGAAAGGAAAUGUUUUGCUCUGCUCAGGGUUUUCCUAAACUUGAGUCUCUAAUCCUUGCGGAGCUCUACAAAUUGGAGGAGUGGAAGGUGGAUGAAGGAGCCAUGCCUUCUCUUCAGCGAUUGGAGAUUGAGGAAUGUGGAAACUUGAAGAUGCUUCCAGAGGGAUUGAGGUUCAUUACAACCCUCAAAGAACUGAAGCUUGAAUUAAUGCCAAAGGCAUUCAAAGAUAGAUUAGAGGAAGGAGGAGAAGAUUUCUGCAAAGUCAAACAUGUUCCUUCUGUCAUAUUCCAAAAAUGUGGCUAAUAGAUUGAAUGAUAAUUGAGAGGUAAUUUCAUAACCUCUGGUUUAGGAAAUGAUUCCUACUUUCUUUGCUUCUUAUAUAUCUUUUGUUUUUGACAAUGUCUCACAUUCUCACUCACUUUGUCAACACACCAAUGAAUAAUUACAUUUAUUGAAAGUCAAAGGAAGUGAGACAUUGAUAUUUUUAGUUUUUCUUUUCAGGUAAAGACGCCAUUUUUUCACCUGCUACUGCUAUUCACGGGAUCAAAUCUAGAUUUAAAACUCCUAUUAUAAGUGGCAUGUGAAAGUGUGUUAUAUGGUGAGAUUUGGAAUUAUGUUCUCUCUUGUAUAUAUCUGUGGUUGUUGACUGUUUGUUGUUUUCUUCAAAUUACAAUAAAACGGUUGCAAGAUAUGGUAUUGGAAGAAUGGGAGGUGUCUGGAUUAGCAAGGUACCAAACUCCUCCUCCAUUUCAAUUUCCUUCAAUCUAAUUUAAUUACACGUUCAUUUUUGUCUUUUAAAACAUAAAAUUGCAGAUAAGGAGACGUCACUGACCUUUGUUCCCACAUAGCUUUGGUUUGCGCCUUUGCGGUGACCAUUCCUAUAUUUAUUUGUUAGCUUUGCUUUCUCUGCUUGAGUCUUUCUCUUUUUUCUUUUUUCUUUUUUUUAUAUGCACUUAAUGUAAUAUUAGAAGCCAAGGCAGGACCAUGCUUUUCUAUUGUAAAAUUCAUCACUUUGUUGUCUAUGUUCAUUUCUACUUUUCAUUUGAUAUAUAUUUGAAUAUGGAGAAUAUAAUCUUUUUAAUAUAUACAUAUUUUAGAAAAAAAAUGAAUAUAUGUAUGUUUGACAUAUUUCCCGUUUCAACAUAUUUCCUUAUUUUAUGCAAGUCAAUUGGCAUUUAACCAAAUAAAUUUAAUUGCUUCAGUUUGAGUUAAAAUUAAAAUUUCAAAAUUAAAAAAAAAAUACAAAAAAUAAAGUUGACAAAUUCAAAAAUAUACAUAUUAAAAUUGAUCAAAUUAAAAGUGCACUGGCUAACCUUAAUUUUUUUGUUAAUCUUUCUUUUCGAUUAAUUAAAUGUCCAUGACGUAUAUUAUAUAUCUUAAUAUAUAAAUAUUUUUAAAAAAAUUAAAUAUAUGUAGGUUGGACACAUAUUCAAGUUUGAUAUUCGUCUUAAAUUCGUGCAAUACGGUUAAAUAUUGGUGAAUUAGUAGUUGAUGAAGUAUUAUAUACAUUCUUGGAAUAUUGCUCUAUUCAACGAAUUUAUUUCAGCUCCAUAUGCUUAAAACGCCUCCCAUUUCUAACAUAUUUCCUCAUUUUGGGUAACUCGAUUGGUAUACAAUGUAGUCUUUUUCAUUGUUUAGUAUCCUAAUCCUUAACUCAAUAAUCUUUGUUACAAUAGGGUUUAAUGAUUGCAAUUCAUCUCGAUGCUUCCGAAGCAAAAAAAAAAAAAAUCAAAUUUUACCGGUUAAUUACAUGUCAACACAUAUAAUCCACGAUAUGUUUAUCUGAAAGAUUAAAUAAGAUUAACUAAAUCACAAAGAAAAUAAACGAGUAAACAUAAUCUAGAAAUUCCAAAUUACAUUAUCUAACAAAAAUUCAAUAAGAAAUAAAUGGUUGCAUUUCAUUCUUUAGGGAUUUGCUCUUAUAUCUUCCAACAAUAGCUUGAUGAUAAUAAGCUGAAAAAGAAAAGGAGUCCAAGGGAAUUGAAGAUUCUUAAUUCAGCUAGCUUAAUUGAUUGAAUACUUCAAAUACACUUAAUUAAUACCAAUUAUAUUUAUCAAUAAAUCUAAAAUUUGAAUCCCUCAUUUGCAACCUAUUUUGUAAAAACUGCCAAAUGAAAUCAAAUUAUCUUGUUUCAAUUCUCUUCAAAUUUUAGUUUACAACUUCUAUUUUUGGGUUUCCAUUUGUUUCUACUUUUAAAGCAAACAUUGAUUCAAGAAAUAUUUAUUUCAUUUGGCUUAUUUUCUUUUCUAUUUUUAUGCUAUUCAGAUUCGAUGAAAUAUUGAACAUAAUAUGUGUGCAAGUUAGAUGUCCGAGUCUUGAAAUGUAAGAUCGAAACGGGAGAAAUAUCCUAAAACCCGAUGCUUAAAGAUUUAUAAAAUUUAGUAUAAUCAUGUUGUUUUCAUUAUUAUAAAACUCAAUGUUAAAAUGUCUAUGAUUUGAAUUAUGAUACAAGAGAAAAAUAGCUAACUAUUUUAAGUUCAAGGUGUGAGAAAACCUCAAUAUCUAAGAUAUGAAUGUUGUAAAGUACCACUCAAUCACAGCCACAUUUGUUAGUAUGACUACUUUGGAUGAAAAGUUCUAUUCCAAGUUAUAUAUACACACAGAAAUACACAUGAAGUGGAUUAAUGGUGUAUUAUUAAGUAAAGGAAAACGGUUCUAACUAAAAGAAAGAGUUGAAAUCUUGAACCUCCAAAUAUUGGGUAACCGCUGGUGUUAAAAAGUGCAUAAAGGUCCGCGCUUAUCUACAAGAAAUAAUGGAGGAAUCGCAUACGCUGUUUAUAUUCAUUUUUUUUGCUCCACAAGCAAUCCGAAACCAUAAACAAAGGAGUACUUUUUUGCCUUUUUUAAAUGGUUUUCUUGUUUCUUUUCCGCUUUUCAAAUUCUUCAUUCAAUUCAAGUUCAAGAAACCAUACUAAAUAUAUAUAUAUGUUUAUAUUCGCUUUUCUUGCUACACAAGCAAGCCAAAACCAUAAACAAAGGCAUGCAUUUUAUUUCCUUUUUUAAUGGUUUUCUUGAUUCUUUGUUGUUUUUAAAAUUCUUCAUUCAAUUCAAGUUCAAGAAACCAUACUAAAAUAUAUAUUUAUAUUCGCUUUUUUUGCUACACAAGCAAGCUGAAACCAUAAACAAAGGCAUACAUUUUUUCCUUUUUUAAAUGCAUUUUUUUUUUUGUUUCUUUGUUGUUUUUUAGAUUCUUCAUUCAAUUCAAGUUCAAGAAAUCAUACUAAUUAUAUAUGUUUAUAUUCACUUUUCUUGCUACAUAAGCAAGCCGAAACUAUAAACAAAGGCAUACCUUUUUUUCCCCUUUUUAUCUUGCUGCUUUUUAGAUUUUUCAUUCAAUUCAAGUUUAAGAAAUCAUACUAUAUAUAUACCAUACUAUAUAUAUAUAUAUGUUUAUAUUCACUUUUCUUGCUACACAAGUCAACUGAAACCAUAAACAAAGGCAUAACUUUUUCGCUUUUUUUAAAAUGAUUUUUUUUCUUUGCUACUUUUUUAAAUUUUUAUUCAAUUUAAGUUUAAAAAACCCUACUAAAUAUAUAUAUAUAUAUAUAUAUAUUAAGAGAGAGACAUCAUCAUCCUCAAGGAGUAAGUGGUUAAGCAUGAACUUGAUGGGAAGGCCACAAGUCGGUGGUGGUCAAAUCAUGAGUUGAUUAUGAUUAGUUUCAUGUUAUGGAAAAAAGAUGCUAGUUAAAAUUAGUUACUUGACCGUUGCAUUUUGAGGUUGAGAGUUUAAUGAAACGAUACGCUUUGAUGUUUAAUGAAAACGGUGCGUAUUGAAAGUUUGAUACAACUAAUCGAAUAACAAGCCUGUAACAACUUUGUAACUACCAAUUCCUCGCUUUAAAAAAAUAUUCCAAAUAUGUUUUCUCACCUUAUCAUUUUUGUUAUUUUUCAAGCCCCCUUACCAUUUUAUAUUUUUAAUGGGUAUAUUAUAAAAAUAGUCACCUAGGUAUUGCUUUCAUUCUAUUUUAUUCACUAAGUUAUUAAUUUUUUCGAUUUAAUUACUAAAUUUUUUUAAAUUAAAUAUUUUGAUCACUCUCCCAUUAGUUAUCAUUAGAUAAGUGAUAGGAAGUUAAUGUGGGCUUUUUUUAUUAGUCUAAUAACAAAUUUAGUCAUCUAAUGUUUACACAUUCUAUUAAAUUGAUUUUAAAUAUAAAAUGUUCAAUAGCUUUAAACCUAAAUGUUUACCAAAUCUAUUGUUAUAGUUCAAAUCCUAAAAAUUUCAAUAAAUUUAAUCCUCAAAAUUUGUAAAUUUAAUUUUAAUUCUAACUCAUGGAUGAAUUAAGCAAAUUAAAUCAAAUCAAAUCAAUCGAACAAAGAAUUUAAUUAAAAAGAAAUUCUUCACAUGCAUCAAGGAGGGACUUCCUCUGGUGGUAUCAAGGGGAUUGAUAGAAACAGCUCAGGCUCGAACAAGAACUUCACUGGGCUUAAGAUCAGGAACAGACACAUCGGAUCAAAGCUGCAACACCUCAGGUCCACCGAACCGAGGCAGCAACACCGCCCUGCAACUGUUGGCAUAGCACCGAAUUGAACCCACUUUCAAUGAUAUGAUAACUCCAUAAAGGGUUUGGGUUUUAAGCUUUGAAAGUUCCCCUUUUUCUUCUCAAAUUUUCUGAACUUCAGCUCCUUCCUUUUGUUAAAUGAAGGAAAAGCAAAGGAGAGACACCGAAGUGUUUUAAUCCACAUAGAAAAUAGUGAUUAUGUGACUUGUGAGUGUUGGCCUGGGGUCUUGGAAGAAGAAGAUGAAUAUUGCAUAAUCGAUUUUUAAUUGCUUACUACAUUCAUAAUUAAAUAAAUAAAAAUUUCUAACCUUAUCAAUUAAAUCAAGUUAGAAUGUUCAACUUGAUUUUUGUUUGUUAUAAGGAUCAUAUAUUAUAAAACUUAAUUUUAUUUUAAUAAUUAUAUAAUAUUAUUUUUAAUUAUAUCAUCUGAUACCAUCUUGAGGGCUAAAUUUAGAAUUAAAAUUAAAUUGACAAAUUUUAGAAAUUUUGAGCUUAAAUUUAUUUUUAUUUUUAGGAAUUUGAAAUAAAAUGAGAAAUUUUGUAAAUAUUGAGGAUUAAAUUUGUUGGAAAUUUUAUAUUUAGAAUCAAAUGGUAGAAUGUCUAAACAUUAGGGGGCUAAAUUUAUUAUUAGACCAAUAAAAACAAGUUCAUAUCAAUUUCCCGUCACUCAUCUAAUUGCAACUAAUGAGGAAGUGAUGAAAAUAUUUAACUUCUAAAAAUUUAAUGACUAAAUAAAAAAAUUAACAUUUAAGUGAUCAAAAUAGAAUGAAAUCAAUAAUUUGAUGAGCAUUUUUGUACUGUACCCUAUCUUAAUCCAUCUCACAACCAAAUUUCUCCGUCUUUGCCUAAGUUCUGUGUCUUUGUCAAAUUUUAAUAGAAUUAACAUUUUUAUUUAAAAAAUAUCUUUAAUCGUUUAAUAUAUUUUUAAUAAGUAAAUGUUAAUUCCGUUAAGGGUCAGUUUGUUUACACGUAAAAAGUUAAAAAUAAAAAUAUUGAGUUCUAUAAUAUGAGUCUAUUGAACCGAUUCAAUCAUAAAUUUUAUUAUUAUUGGUUUAUAUAAUGGUUUGAUUUUGAAAAUAUUUGGUUUAACAUUUAGUCAUCCCUUUGAUCAAUUUUAAAUUUUAGAAAUAAUUUUGUUUUUUGUUUACAUUUAAAUGUACAGUUUCUAAUGCAUAUGUGUUACAUUUGAUUUCAAGCCAUUAAUCCUUAAUUACUUUUUAAAAUAAUAGUUUCUUUUAGUUUUUAAAUAAUGUAUAAAUUUAUAAUUAUAUAAGAAAGUAAACUAUAAUAUUAAAUUUUUAAAAAUUAAGUAAAACAACAUGCAAUAAUUUUCAUAAUAAUUAAUGAUAAAUAAGAAAAAUAUUCACAAUUAUAAAACAAACCGUUUAAGAGUAUAUAAACUACUUAUACAAAAUUCUUUUAAAUCAAAGAUGAAAUUAUAUAUAUAUAAAUAACAAAUGAAAUUAUAUAUACAAAUUUAUAAGUGAAAAAUAUACAUAAUUAUAUUCAUAAAAAGUACAUAUGACAAUAUACAAACAAGGCUAUAAAGUAAUUCAUAGGAACAUGGCUUUCUUGUUAGUAUUCUCAUUCUUUUUUUAACAUACCUUUCUUGCUUGUGUUCUCAUUCUAUUAUGAAUAUACCUUUCUUGUUCGUAUUCUCGUUCUAUUGAUGAUUAAUGUUGCUUUAUAAUUGUUUAUAAAUUUAAUAGAACUAUAUAUUACUACUAAAAGUAUAAAAGGGCAAUGAUUUGCAAUUGUUUUUAUAAUUAAGUACUGGUUCUUGCAAUUGUUUUCCCAGCAAGAUUGCGGCACUCACAUCUUGAAAUCCAAAUUCAAGAUUUUAAAGAAUUUUCUGAGCUCGAUAGCUAUUAUGGCUUGGUCUGCUGUGACAUCUGCAGUGACAACAAUUGGCAACCUGCUAACUCAGGAAGCCAUAUACCUAUGGGGCGUGGAGGAGCAAGUUGAUCGUCUGCAAACAGAGCUCAAAUGGAUGCAAAGCUCCUUAAUGGUGGCAGAGACAAAACAAUCAACGGAUGAGAGGAUUCGUCUUUGGGUUGCUGAAAUCAGAGAGCUUGCUUAUGAUGCUGAGGAUAUUGUUGAGGAAUUUGCUCUCAAGAUUGGAUCCAAAAACAAAGGUGGCCUUCCGAGUUGUAUUAAAAGAUCAGCCUGCUGUUUGAAAGAGGGAUGGGUGCUCCAUGAAACCAGGUCAAAGAUCGAGAAAAUCAUAGAAAGAGUCAGCGACUUGGUCCGACGACUACAGGCCUACGGCGUAAAGGAAUUAAAUCCCAGAGGAGAAGGAUCAAGUUUUUCAACUGAAAUACGAGAAUCAAGGCGGCCUUAUCCACAUAUUAUGGAUGAUAAUAUUGUUGGACUAGUUGAUGAUACCAAGGGAUUGGUCGAAGUUCUUACGAAGGAAAGUGGAUGCAAGGUUGUUACAAUAUGGGGCAUGGGUGGUCUGGGAAAGACCACUCUCGCCAAGAAAAUAUAUCACCAUGGUGAGGUUAUUGAUUAUUUCGAUCACUUGGCUUUUGUAUAUGUUUCUCAACCAUGCCGGAAAAGAAAUGUUUGGGAAGACAUUUUAUCUGGUUUCAAAACUUUAGAUAAAGAGGACAGGAAGAUAACAGAUGCAGAAUUAGCAGGGAAGUUGAGUAAAACUUUGAAGGAUAAAAAGUGUCUGGUGAUACUUGAUGAUGUUUGGACCAGUGAAGCUUGGGAUAGUCUAAAACCUGCCUUUCCAGUUGAUAGCAAAAGCAAGAUAUUGCUCACCUCUAGAAACAGGGGGAUAGUUUCAUAUGCUGACAUAAAAGGUAAAAUUUUCUUAAUUAGGUAAAAUUGAAUACUCUUAUUCCUUUGAUGGAAAAUAACCAUGUAUAUUAUUUCAGAGUUGAAGUGCCUAAACGAUGAAGAAAGUUGGGAAUUGUUUCAAAAGAUUGUAUUUCCUCAAACAGGUAAAUAUACAUAUAGCAAAAUUCUUGUUAUACGCUAAAUUUAUUUUUCAUUUUUAAUUUUUUUGACAAUAAUUAAAUUUAAAAAUAUAUAAAAUCUAUUUUAUUUAAAAAUUUCAAAACCUUAAUAUGAAAUAAAUAAAAGAAAUCAAGGCUUUGUAGUUUAUCAGCUAAUGGUACACGCAAGUAAAUAUAAUUAAUAGGUAAAUUCAUUAUCUUUUAUAUUAUAUAUUUUUAAUAACUUUGCUAUUAGUUACCGAGAAUAAAUUAUAUUAGGAUCAUCUUAAAAAAAUAUAAAUUUUAGGCACCAAUAAAAUAAUGUUACAUCGUUAAAUUUUUAAGAUAACAAAGAAUUAUUAUACACUCAUUUAUAUUUAAUAUUUUCUCCAACUUAAUUUAACUUUAAUUAAAUUAUUUAAAAUAAUUAAUUUUUUAAAUUAUAGACAAACAUCUUUUCUUCUUUUACAAAAUUUAAUCAUUUUUUUAUAAGUUAAUAUUUUUUUUAUUUUUGUGCAACCAUUUUUUAAAAAAAUAGUAAUUUUUGUGCAAUAUUUUUCAUGUCAUUGACACAUAAUUUUGAUAAUUAUUUUAUCCUGAACCCAAAACCCCGAACCUUGAACUCGAACCCUAAACCCUGAACCUAAACCUUGAGCCCUGAAUCUCAUAAUUUAAGGUUUGGAUUCGAGAUUUAAAGCUCAGAAUUCGAAGUUCAAGUUUAAAGUUUAAGGGUUCAGGUGGGUUACGAGUUUAGGAUUCAUGGUUCAAGGGUUUGGGGUUGCAAGUUUGGAGUUUUAUGUUUUGGAUCUAGGUUUAGAAUUAUAGAUUUAGGGUUCAGGUAAAAAAUUUACCAAAAUUAUGUGUCAAUGACAUGGAAAAAAUUGUUGAAAUGUUAUUAAAUAAUUGGAAAGGGACCAUGAAUAAUGUGGUCAGAAGAGUCCAUAAAAUAAUUUCUCUAUGGAUGAGUGUAUAAUAAUUUAUGUCUUUAAAAUUUGAUGAUGUGACAAAAAAAAUUUAAUUUUUAGGAUCUUCCUAAUGUAAGUUAUUACCUUAUCUUAAUUAUUGGACUAUAUGCUUGUUUAGUUUCUUAAGCACUUUCAUGGUAUUCUUUUAUACGUUUAUCCUGGAUCCUUGCAUCAGAAAGAUUGAGGUGCAGGUAAACCAUUCUUAUCAAGAGUAAAGCCUAAGAAAGAUGUAGUUGAUUCGAACAACUAGCACAUCUCUUUAUGACCCUAUUUAGCAAACCAAUCCACUAACCUAUUGGCUUCUCGUCUGAUAACAUUGACUUUCAAAGAAGAAAGUUGCAUGACCAGCAUAUCAAAAACCUAAAGGACUAGCCUUAAUCUCCAUCUUCGAUCUUGACUUUUCUUCUUAAUGUUAGAAGCAAUAGUCUGGGAGUUAGUCUUGAUUGUCACAUUGGUCCAUUUGUUCUUCAUAGUUAAUUCAAUCCAUCCAACCAUAGCUUUAGCCUCGACAACCUUACAUGAAUCCACUUAAUCCUUUUACCAAUCCCAUCCAGAAUCUUCCCACUUAAAUUUCUGCCUAUUUCUCUAAUACCGGCACAAGCUAUUAAGGUGUCAAAUGCCCCAUCACAAUUAACUUUAACCCAACCUUCUGGUGAUUUCUCCCAAAUAUCAGCACAAGUAUUUGACUUCCUAGUUCGAUCAGAGUUAUUGUUUGAACAGAGGAUCCAUUGAGCAGAUAAGAAUUCAUUCAUGGAGCAAUUAAUCCUUCGAAUAAUUCUCUCCAAACCAAGUUUCACACCUCCGAUUGUAACCUCACACCUAGCUUUCCAGAUGUGGUAACAAGUGAAAACAAUUCUAACUUGAAAAUCCUCCCUCAUACAAGGCAUUUGUAACAACUUAGAGAACCAUCUGUCAAAUGAUUGAGUUUGAUCAUUUAGCCCUUAAAGACCAAAACAAGCAUCAUACUAUAUUCCCCUAACCCUAUUACAACUAAGAAUAAUAUGUUCAAAGUCUCAUCUUCAAUACCACAUAAACAACAAAUUGUGUUCGAAAAACAUUUUCUUUUCCUCGGAUUAAAACGAGAUGGAAUAGCAUUAUGACACAAUUUCCAUAAGAAAAUUUUAAUUUUUUUCAGUACCUGUAAGCUCCAAAUAGCUUUCUGAGUGCUCCUAUCAAUUAAGUGAGAGCUGGAAGAUUGUAAAGAAGACUCAUUUCCAUAGUGCUUUCUCAUCUCCUUAUACCCUGACUUCAUCAAAUAUUGACCAACAGCUGUAAACGGCCACACCAAUUUAUCUUGUUCAUCUGUUUCAUGAACGGGAACUGUUGGAAAUUGCCAAUCAUUCUGCUGUUACAUUUUUUGGUUGAAGUGCAUGCAGAAAAAAAAUGUUAGAAAUUUGCCAACCAUGCUGCUGUUACAUUUUUUGGUUGAAGUGCAUGCAGCUUGAUGACAUGUUGCAUGCACUUCAACCAAAAAAAUGUAACAGCAACAUGGUUGGCCAAUUUCCAACACUCCUCCUUGGACUCUAUGCUGCAAAUACCAGUCAUUCAUUAAGUUUUUGAACUUGGCAGUCCUUAGAUGCUUUGUUUCAAGCUAACUCUUCUCAAGCAAUUCAUUUUCAACAUUGGCUUCAUUCUCAACCAAAUCUGACUUACACACUUGACUAUACCACUCUUUUGUGCCAAAGAUUUGUCCAUCAAAUGGAGUAUUCUCCUCUUUCACAGCCUUGGUUGACAACUUGCCUUUAAACUCAUCUUUUCUUUCUUGCCUUGUCCCUUUACUCAUUACAAUCCUGUUUCUUCUUGCACAAACAGUUCAUGAGUAUAGUUUGCUUGCCUUCAGUCUGCCAUUUUGGCUUGCACCUACUCGAGCUUGCAUUUAAACUGUUUGCCACUUUGGCUUGCAAUUCGAUAAGCUCACACUUUGACAAGCUCACACUUUGCUUACUGUCUUCAACAGGCUCGCAACUUUACAACUCGCAUUGAGCUUCCACAUGUUGCUGAGCUCACACCCAAAGUUAAUGAUUUCGAAAGCCCCCACAAAGAAGGGACACCCAAGUAGACGUCCGCAUUAUUUACCACCUCUAUGUUAGUCUCUUCUUGAAUCAACCUUUCGUUGUCCCUUCGGGAGUAUUCACACUAAAAACGUUGCUUGAUUUAUCAUAAUUGACCCUUCGUCUAGAAGUUGCACAAUAUUCUUGAAUCAAGUUAAUCAUUCUCCUACAAUUUAACGAACUCACUUCCAAAAAGAAUAGAAAUCGUUCGUGAAUAACAAAUGUGACACUACUGGAUAAUAACUACUAAGGCUAAUCCAAGAAAUAAAACUAGACUCGACUCUAUUAAUAAUCACCACCCCUAGAACUCCUUUCAAUAUAUUCACCAUGAUCUUCGAUAUGAUUUAAUACUUAAAAUUACACAGACUAAUUGACCUAAAUUAUGUCAUUAAUUCAAAACAUUUAGUUUUCAGAAUUAAAAUUAUCUCAAUCUCAUUUGAAAAUUUCCCUUCCCUAAAAAAAAAAACUCUUAAUAGCUUCCAAAACAUCCUUUUUAAUAAUUUCCCAAUAAUUAUGAUAAAAAUUCUGCUAAAAUAUUCGCAAAAAAAAGAUAUUAAUUUAAUUGUUUUGUAUGCUUAACUUGUACAAUAUAAGUAAAAUCUUAUAAUUUUAUCUCCAAAUUCUCUUAACACAUCUUUCUGACCCUUAUUUAUAAUCUCAUUUGUAUCUAAGAGGAUAUUCAAUUUAAAAUUAAAUAAUCUUUCUUAUAUAAUUCUUUAAACAUUAAAAGUAUUUUCCUCUAUUUUUUUUUUUUUGGUUGGAGUAUUAAAUAUUAGCCUUAAAACCAUAAGGCAUGAACUAUUCCAAACAACCCUUAAAAAGAUAUGUAAAUUUUGUUUUUGAAUAUAUCAUUCUUACUUUUUUAGAUUUCAAAUUGGAUAGUGAAUUAUAUAUUUAUUUAUUUGAAACUCCUCUUAAAUUAAUGAGAGUGAAGUUUCUUAUUUAGAAUUGAUUGUUCUAUAAAGUAUUCAAAUUUUUCAAAUAGAUUUAUUUUUUCAAGUGUAGUUAAUAACCGCAAUAAAAACUAAAUUUUAUAAGUGAUGAAUUUAUAUUAAAAAUUGUUUGAUAAAUUCAUAAAAUAUAAGUUUGGAUUCAUCUACUUUUACAUUUUUUUUACCUAUUUAAAUUAGUUCUUAAUUUUCCUUAUUUUUAAAAAAUUUAUUCUUAAUUUUUUAUACAGAAAAUAUAAUCGACGUGGAAAUGAAAAAGUUAGGAGAGAAUAUGGUUAAACAUUGUGCAGGGCUUCCAUUAGCCAUUGUUGUAUUGGGAGGAAUUUUGGCUACAAAGAAUAAUUCAUUAAAUGAAUGGCGAAAGAUAUCUGACAAUAUAAAAUCAUACUUGAAGAAAGGCAAAAAUCAAAGACCAGAGGAUGUGUUAACAUUAAGUUAUGAUGAUUUGCCUCCCUAUCUAAGACCAUGUUUCCUCUAUCUAAGCCAUUUUCCGGAGGAUUAUAUGAUAGAUGUGGAUAGAUUGAUUCGAUUAUGGGUUGCUGAAGGUAUUGUGUCAUCAAAGCAAGAAGAAAGAGAUGAUGGGGAAAUUGCGGAAGAUGUGGCGGAAUCUUAUUUAAUGGAGCUUGUGGAAAGGUGCAUGAUUCAAGUACGAGAAAGAGAUGUGGCAACCUUAAAGGUCAAAACAAUUCAGAUGCAUGAUCUGAUGAGAGAUCUUUGCUUAUCAAAGGCAAAACAAGAAAAUUUUGUCUUCAUUGUUGAUCAAUCAAAUGCAUCUUCAUUAUCUAUGAUUCGGAACGUUCGAAGGGUUUCUGUGCAUGAGUUUUUUUCAUACAAUGCAUUAAAAGUCCAAAUAUUCGGUCACUUUUGUUCUUCAAUGAGUUUUUUCCGGAGGAGGCAUUAGAAAAAUCUUUGCCCUUGGAAGUGUUGAAUUACGUUGAAGAACAUGAAGAUGAAGUUUGUAAUCCACUUGUUUGGAUUCUUAUGAUUUCGCGAACUGGUACGAGCUUUCUUAAAGCUCGGGGAAUUUGGAGAUACAUGUUCAACAACUUCAAAUUGCUAAGAGCCCUAAACUAUGAGAGAACAACAUGUGAUCGUUUUGUAGGGUUUAAGUUACCCAGUGAUAUAGGUAAUCUCAUCCAUUUAAGAUUCUUGAGUCUAAAGGAUCUUGAGUUCACAUGGCCAAAGUUGCCAUCAUCUCUAGGCAACUUAAGGUGCUUGCAAACCUUGGAUUUAAGAGUUGAUAGUUACAAAAUUCAUGUACCUAAUGUGAUAUGGAGGAUGGAGCAACUAAGACAUUUAUAUCUCCCUUGGAGAUGUAAAAGCAGAACUAAGUUGAAGUUGGGUACUUUGAGAAAACUCCUAACACUUGUGAACUUCAACACCAAGAAUUGUUAUCUGAAGGAUCUUAUCAACAUGACAAAUCUUAGAGAGUUGGGGAUAAAUUUACCCUUCAAUUUUGAAAAUUUCAAUGAGAAGGAGUUGGGCGAGAAUCCAUUCAUAAUCGGAAGCAAAUAUCUUCAUUCCUUGUCUAUUAUUACCCGUAGGCUAAAGAUAUCAAUAGAUCCAAGACAUUUGGCCCACCUCCUUUCAACUUGUACAAGUAUUUGCAAGUUGAGUAUAGCAGCAGAGAUAAGUAAGUUACCAGAGUAUCACUACUUCUCUUCACAUCUCACUUACAUACGGUUGAGAUGGUGCAAGUUUGAGGAAGAUCCAAUGCCAACACUAGAGAAGCUGCCUAACUUAAGGAUUCUUGAAUUCGAAUGUUCUUUGAAAGGAAAGUAAAUGUUUUGCUCUGCUCAGGGUUUUCCUAAACUUGAGUCUCUAAUCCUUGCGGAGGUCGACAAUUUGGAGGAAUGGGAGGUGGAUGACGGAGCCAUGCCUUCUCUUCAGCGAUUGGAUAUCAGGCAUUGCCCAAGCUUGAAGAUGCUUCCAGAGGGAUUGAGCUCCAUUACAACCCUCAAAGAACUGAAGAUUGAAUCAAUGCCAAAGGCAUUCAAAGAAAGAUUGGAGAAAGGAGGAGAAGAUUUCUACAUAGUCAAAGAUGUUCCUUCUAUCAUACUCCAAUACUGUGGCUAAUAAAUUGAAUGAUAAUUGAGAGGUAAUUUCAUAACCUCUAGUUUAGGAAAUGAUUCCUACUUUCUUUGCUUCUUAUAUAUCUUCCGUUUUUGACAAUGUCUCACAUUCUCACUCAAUUUGUCAACACACCAAUGAAUAAUUACAUUUAUUAAAAGUCAAAGGAAGUCAUCUUUUUAGUUUUGCUUUUCAGGUAAAGACGCCAUUUUUUCACCUACUACUAUAAUGGCGUGUGAAAGUGUGUUAUAUGGUGAGAUUUGGAAUUAUCUUCUCUCUUGUAUAUAUUGUUGGAACAUUUUCAAAUAUUUAUAGUAUCCCAAUAACUAUAAAUGAAUGGGUGUAAUUAAUCAAAAGAUAAAUCUUUUGGUCAUUGGUCAAAAGUUAUAUCAUUUGAUUUUUUAAAAAAGAAUUAUAAUUAUUCAAAAAAUAUUAUUUGAAUAGUUACAAAAUUAAAGGAAUAAUUAUUAUUAUUUAUUUAUUCAUAAAGACACCUAUUGAAAGAUGUCUCUAUGAAGAGACAUGAAAAUUCCUAUAAAUAGGAAUGGGAUUUCAUUUGGAAAUCAUAUCAACAAAUUCUAAUAUUAUUUCUUCUCUUCCUUCAUUUUCUAAUAUUAUUAGAUUAUUCUAUAAAGUAUUCCUGCAGAAAUUCUUUGUAGAAAUUGAGUUUUUGUUACACAUUACUCAGUGCAUAGUGGACUAUUCUCGUCAGUGCAAAACACAAAUAGUCAUUGGCUUCAUUGUAUCCUCGAGGUUAAUUUGCUUGGAACUCAUUUGCACACUGAAGAUAAGUGGGGGCGAAUAUAACCUUAAUGAUAGUGGCUUGAUACACGCCUUGGAGCCUUGUCCUAUUUCUUCUUUUUCUUUUCGAGUUCCGAUCGUGUGUUCGAGAUUUUCCUUACCGGAGUUUUGUAAUAACAUAUAUCUAUGGUUGUUGACUGUUUGUUGUUUUCUUCAAAGUACAAUAAAACGGUUGCAAGAUAAGGUAUUGGAAGAAUGGGAGGUGUCUGGAUUAGCAAGGUACCAAAUAAGGAGACGUCAUAAAACAUAACAUUGCAGAUAAGGAGACAUCACUGACCUUUGUUCCCACAUAGCUUUGGUUUGCGGUGACCAUUCCUAUAUUUAUUUGUUAGCUUUGCUUUCUCUUUCUUUUUUUUCCCUUAAGUCUGCUUGAGUCUUUUUCUUUUUUUAUAUGUACUUAAUGUAAUAGUAGAAGCCAAGGCAGGACCAUGCUUUUCUAUUGUAAAAUUCAUCACUUCGUUAUUUUAUAUUUGUAUGUUGACACAUUUCCCGUUUCAACAUAUUUCCUUAUUUUAUGCAAGUCGAUUGGUAUUCAUCAUAAAAAUUACGAUAUCAUAUCAAGUUUAAUGGUUACACUUCCAAAACAAAAAAUAGGAAAAAUUAAAUCUUACCAACUAAUAACACUUUCAAAUUACACUGUCUUACAAAAAAAAAAAAAAAAAAGAAGAAGAUACAAUUUGAAUUUUUUUAUCAAAUGGUUUAGCAAGCUAUGCUUUAUAAAAGAGGCAAAGGAAUCCAAGGGAAUCAAAGAUUCCAAAAUCGAUAUUUAGAUUCAAGAUUUUGUAUCCCCAUGCUUUGCUUCUUAUAUCUACCAACAAUAUCUUGAUGAUAACAAACUAAAAAAAACUAUUCAAGGGAAUCGAAGAUUUCAAAUCCAACAUAAUUGAUUGAAAAUUUCACAUCCACUUAAUUAAUUCAAAUGAUAUUUAGUCAAUAAGUUUAAAUUAAAAACUGCAAGAAUCUUCAUUUAUCUUUUAUUCGAAAUGUAAUUCGGAUUCAAUGAAAAUAUUGAACAUAUAAUGUGUGCACAUGGAAAUGUCCAAAUCUUUAAAUAUAGGGUCGACAUGGGAGAAAUCUCCUCAGACAUUGAAUUUAUUGAGUGCAUUUUCAGAGGAAAAUCCUGAAACAUGUUACAGGCAAAUAUUAAGAAAAACAAUGCACAAGCAUAAGUACAAAAACAUAGCAUGCAAGAAAUCAAUACUUGAAAGGAUUAAAAUCACUGCUAACCUAAGACAUUGAAUCUAGCACCACUAGGAAACAUCCGAAAUGAUACUUGUCUUUCAAUGUUGAGAUACAUACGUCCAAGUCUGCCAUGUUGCGCCAAACUGGAAUUCAUCAACCUNNNNNNNNNNNNNNNNNNNNNNNNNNNNNNNNNNNNNNNNNNNNNNNNNNNNNNNNNNNNNNNNNNNNNNNNNNNNNNNNNNNNNNNNNNNNNNNNNNNNUUAUAUAUAUAUAUAUAUAUAUAUAUACAGACACACACACAGAUAGACAUGAAGAAAGUGGGUUAAUGGUGUAUUAUUUAAGUAAAGAAAAAGUUGAAAUCUUAAACCUCUAAAUAUUGGGUAACAGCUAGUGUUAAAAGUGCAUAAAGUUCUUCUAUUAUCUACAAGAAACAAUGGAGGAAUCACAUACAUUGUUUAUAUUCACUUUUCUUGCUACACAAGCAAGCUGAGUCCAUAAACAAAGGCAUACCUUUUCUCCGUUUUUAAAUGGUUUUCUUGUUUCUUGGCUGCUUUUUAUAUUAAGAAGAGAGAUUGUGAGACCUCGUCAUCCUCAAGGAGUAAGUGGUCCAGCAUGAAGAUGAUGGGAAGACCAUGAGUCGAUGGUGGUCAAUCCAUGAGUUGAUUAUGAGUAGUUUCAUGUUAUGAAAUAAAAAUGUUAGCUAAAGUUAGUUGAACGCUGUGUUUUAGGGUUGAGGGUUUAAUGAAACUAUCAGUUUUGAUGUUGAAUGAAAAUGGUGCGUAUUGACGGUUUGUUACAACUGCUCGAGGAACAGCCCUAUAACAGACUUUGUAACUGCCAAUUCUCAGCCAUAAUAGAAACUGGCAUGGGAAAUGGGCAGAUAUGCCAUUUUGUGAAGGAAAUCAAUUCUUUCUUCUUCCUUGAUUCUCUUUCUCUUCUCUCUUUUUCUUUCUUCCUCUAUUCUGUUGAAAUUAUGCAUCACUUCACCAGUAUUCAUCAUUGUGGACGUAUCUGAUCUUCAGUCUCUGGUUUACUGCCCAUGUAAAGUUAUGGAAAGAAAUGCAAAUUUAAAAGGAUUUCUUGCUAUAGUCUAUGCAAUUUCAUGUGUGCGUGAAAGGAGAUGAAGAUUAAUAGAGUAAUACUGAUAUACCAACAAUUCAUUAAUUGAAGUACUAUCAAUAUUAUCAACAAGUAACAGGAUUAAGUGAGUAUACUAAUAUAGUCUAGAAAAGCAAUUUAAUUAAUAAUACCAUAGGGAUGGCAAGAGGGUGAAGUUGCUAUUGCUAUUUAUAUCUCAGCUGCUAGCUUUUGACGACUUCACCAAGUAAACUGCAAUCACAAGUGUUGUUCUUAUUACCUGCAAAAACAGAGCCAACAAUCUGAAUCCAUAUCCCCAUUUUAGGAACAANNNNNNNNNNNNNNNNNNNNNNNNNNNNNNNNNNNNNNNNNNNNNNNNNNNNNNNNNNNNNNNNNNNNNNNNNNNNNNNNNNNNNNNNNNNNNNNNNNNNCCGUAUCUGACACUUAUAUUCAACACAUAUUCAUGUAUUGGUAUGAAGAUAUGAUAUUCUUAUCCUAUACUCAUAUCCGUGCUCAGGUAACAUAAACUGAACCCGCAAGAUAACUGAUUUAACAUUGCAUUGCUGCUAGCUAUUGAUGAUUUCACCAAGUAAACUGCAAUCACAAGUGUUGUUCUUAUUCCUUGAAAAAACACAGUCAACAAUCUGAAUCCACAUUCCCAUUUUCGGAACAAAACCAUGGCGUACCAUUUGUUUCAAAGCCCAAUCAACUUCCUUUACCAUCUUCCCCUUAUAAAAACCAUGAAUCAACUUCUUGUAUGAAUCAAAACUAGGAUUAACCCUCUCGAAAACCAUUCUCCCCAUAAUCUCCUUUGCUUCCAUAAACCUCGCAGCAUCAAGCAAACCAUACAACACCUCUUGAUAAGACCCUGCAUUGGGAUAACACCCUUUCUUUUUCAUAAUUUCCAACAGCUUCACACCUUCAUCAAUCCUACCUUGUUUCCUAAGACCUGAAAUCAAGAUAUUAAAGCUAACAGCAUCAGCAUCGAUUCCUUCCGUUUCCAUCCUCCCCAUCAACUCAAAAGCUUCAUCAACCUUCCCCUUAUCGCACAACCCGUGCAUUAAAGUAGAAUAAGUUCUAACAUUAGGCUUACACCUUUGUUUAGGAAAUUCAUCGAGCAGUUGGAAUGCAAACUCUAAUUUCCCAUUUUCACACAACCCUUUAAUGAGAAUAUUCAGAGUACAAGCUUCGAUUUCAACACCCAAAUUGGGAGGUAAACCUCGUGAACAACAUCAAAUAGUUUGUUCGAUACGAGUAAGCUCAAUACGAUAUUGAAGGUUUUAACACUAGGCCAAGUCCCAUAUUCUGGCAUACUAAAAAGGAUCUCGAUUGCCCUUUUGAUUCGANNNNNNNNNNNNNNNNNNNNNNNNNNNNNNNNNNNNNNNNNNNNNNNNNNNNNNNNNNNNNNNNNNNNNNNNNNNNNNNNNNNNNNNNNNNNNNNNNNNNNNNNNNNNNNNNNNNNNNNNNNNNNNNNNNNNNNNNNNNNNNNNNNNNNNNNNNNNNNNNNNNNNNNNNNNNNNNNNNNNNNNNNNNNNNNNNNNNNNNNNNNNNNNNNNNNNNNNNNNNNNNNNNNNNNNNNNNNNNNNNNNNNNNNNNNNNNNNNCAGCCAGUCUUUGUGGGUUAGUUUGAAAAGGGCAGGGGAAGUGGAGUGGGUUGGUUGAUGGUAGCUGGAAAAUGAGGAGAAAAACGAAAGGGGUUUAAGAGAUGAGAUUUUAGUGGCGAUUGGAUGGUGAAAAAGUGAGGGAAAAUUUUGGGGGUAAGAGCUUUUGACAGAAGAAAGAAGGGAACGUGAAAUCAUGCGUUUGGCCAUUGGAGAAUGUAGAAACUGGAGAGCUAAAAGCUUUGUGCUAUUCGCACUAUAAACAUAUAUAGGGUAAGGGACAGGCUUAAUACUUGUUUUGUCCCCUGUAAUAUAGUAAAAAAUCUCAUUUUGACCCUUUUCCUUUACUUUGUCUGUUUACUUUCAUUUCGUCCAUCAUGUUAGUCUAUUGAUCAUUUCCGUAAAUCCCAUGUGUUAGGGUUCCUAUAUUAUAGUAUUCAUCCAUAUACUUUAACCCUCCACGUAGUCGCAAUCAAUUGGCUUAAAUGAUCACACACGAGGAUCACUAUAGUAUAAGGACCAAAGUGAGAAUUUUAUUAUUAAUUAAGUGACAAAUACGUAAACAUGCACUAAUUUUUUUAUACAGAAAUGGUCAAAGAAUUAAAGUGAUAGAUGAAAUGAAAGUAAAGGGCGCAAAGUGAUUGGAAAAUUAGUAAAAGGUUGGAAAAUAUGAAGAGAUUGUAUGAUGCAAAACUUAAAUAAUUUAUCUACUGCAAUUUUGAGGUGUAUUAAUUUGAAGUAAUGAAUCAUUGUUAUUUACAACUAUAUAUUAUAUCUCUUUGAAAUGUACAAAUAAAUUAAUGGGCAGAAUGUUUAUGAAUGUCAAAACUUUAUUUUUGCUUCUUCUUCCCUUCAAGAAUUGGUUGGAUUUGGAGAUGCCAAUUGAAAGCCUGGUUCAAAAGGAAUCGAGUUUGGAAUGCCGAAAUGAUCGGAAGCCAUGCCAAUAUAGCAAUUGGAGAGAAAAGGAUCGAUCCCAUUCCGUAAUCAUAUGCCUUAGCUAGUACCUCAGUGAACUGCCAGAGUCCGGUGUUCUCAAUAAUUGGCCUCACAGCUUGAGCAACCUGAAGGGAACUAAAAUGUCAGAGGGAAUAAGGCAAAAGAUGUAAACUCUAGACAAAAACUAUAUGCCGAUCCUCUAAAUAUAUGAACAAAUUUAAAAAAAAAAAUUGGCCAUGCCCGUAUUUGAUACUUAUUGUUGAAUUCGAGUAACAUAGUCAACUAGACAUACCAAAAUCAGACCCCAUCCAGUCAGCAGAAAUGCAAGACAGCAGACAAGUAAAUCCUUGAACGACAGUUCACAGAUGACUGAGAGACUAAUAACAAUGGCCAAAAUCCUUUACAAUUGUUUGAUUCCUCAGUCAUAUUGCCUUGGAAUCUUCGGAAGUCAAGACAAGUCUAGCUCAUCAGCUUUGCCAUUCAUCUUGAAACUCCAAGCCAAUAUGUCGUGCGUGAACCCAGGCUAUAUAAACAAUGCAAAUAAAAUAUAUGAAAUCACGGUGUACUGUAAGUAUAGAGAUUAAAUUGUAAUAUAGUUUUAGAUUUAUAAUGAAAUACAAAAAUAUUUCAAAAAUCGUACUCAAAGAAAGUAUGAACUAAAAUUGAAUUAAACAUUAACAAAGAAUAUGCAAAACUAAGUCUAAAUAGCUACUUCCUUAAUUAUGAUAGUAUGAUUAAACAUAAAUUGAAAGUAUAAAACUGGUAGACAAAUCAAUGAGAAAUGACAAACAAUAGUUCAUUAAUAUCCAUGAUUGUAAUUAAUCUAGACUUAUUCUACCAAAUAAUCAAUUUAGUCCUCUUAUCUUUCGAGCUGAUGGAUCUAAAUGGGACAACUGAAUCAGUUCUAGAUAAAAUCUCCUUUCAAUCUCAUCUACUUAAAUUUUCAUCUAGAGUCAUCAAUUUGAUCCAAUUAAUCAACUCAAAGCCUAGAAUUAAAUUAACUAUUCUCACUUCAAUUAACCAACUUUCUCAAAAAUUUAGUUAAGACCCAUUCUAAUGAUACUAGACCCACUUAAUUCGUAAACCAUGAAUAAAGUUAAUGAUACGAAAGAAUAGAGUUGAGAGAUGCGCAAUAAUCCAAAAAUUUCUGAUUGUGGAUAUCUUCUUUGAGUAGCAACUGAAAUUCUCAUAACGAAAGCGUGAAAUGAAAAAAUAAAUAUAUUUUUAUUAAAAUGAGUAUGAAGCGAGUGAAAUGAAAAAGAAAGGAAAACGGAUAAGGCUCCGAUUAAAGUUACUUUAAACAAGUAAAUAUAUUUUAUUCAAAUUUAUAGUUUAUUAUAUUUAUCUGUAAUCCUCACUUUAAAAAAGCAUUCCAAAUAUGCUUCCUCACUAGAGGUAAUAAUGGGUUGGACGGCCCGGCCUGACGGCCCACCCGAAAUAUGGGAGGAUUUGGGUAAAAAUAUAAGCCCGAAAUAUGGGUUUGGGUAAAAAAUGAGACCCGUUUAGAAAACGGGCUGGGCCUUAGGCAAAAAGUUUUUGGCCUGGGCCGAGCCUGGACAAAAUUUUAGUCCCAUAUUUUGGGCCGGGGUAGGCCCAGGGAUAGGACGUAGGCUGAAAAUUUUUUUUGGGCCUUGCCCGAACCCAGCCCGGCUCGGCCCAUGAUCACCUCUGUUCCUCACCUUAUCAUUUUUGCUUUUUUUCAAGUGCCAUUAUAAUUUUUGUUAAUCUUUCUUUUCCCUUAAUUAAAGCUUGAUGACUUAUAUUAUAUAUAUCCAUUUUAAAGAAAAUGUCACUAAAUUAUUGCUUUCGUUCUGUUUUGGUUAUUAAAUUAUUAAUUUUUUCGAUUUCGUUACUAAAUUUUUCGAAAUUAAUUAUUUUGAUCACUUUCUCGUUAAUUGUCAUUAGAUAAGUGAGGAAAAGCUAACACAAGUUUAUUUUAUUGUUCAAAGUAAUCCCUAUAUAUUAAAUAAAAAUUCAAUUUAAUUAUUGAAUUAAACUAAAAAUUCAAAUAAACUCAUAAUAUUACAACUUUUUUAUUAUAUAUAAUAUUUCCAAAUAAUAAAUUUAAAUUUAUUAUGAUUAUCAAACUUUUGUUUCAAUAUACCUACUAUAGUAUAUUUUCACUUUUUAAAUUGAUUAUAAUUAUUUUUUAAAUGUUAAUUUAAUAAUACGAUAAAAAAAUAAAUGAUAUUUUUAUCGAUUUAAUUUUUUUAAACUUAUGCUUUUAUAGAUAUUAUAGAUGGAUUAUAGAUUAUAGGAAUAGGGUCUAAUGGCUAAAAAGAAAAAUUAUGUACCGGCUAUGUGAAGGCAUUAUACAAUGGAUCAUCAAAGUAGAAAGAUUAGUAUUAGAUAAAGUGAAAGUGAGUGUCCUCCACUCAUUUUACUUUUAAAAAAAAAAAUUUAAACAAAAAAGACUUUACUUUUGUUCUACGAACCUUUCUGUUUGUAGGAUUUCUGCACUCACAUCUUGAAAUCCAAAUUCAAGAUUUUAAAGAAAUUUCUGAGCUUACUCACUAUUAUGGCUUGGUCUGCUGUGACAUCUGCAGUGACAACAAUUGGCAACCUACUAACUCAGGAAGCCAUAUACCUAUGGGGUGUGGAGGAGCAAGUUAUGGAUGCAAAGCUCCUUAAUGGAGGCAGAGACAAAACAAUCAAAGGAUGAGAGGAUUCGUCUGUGGCUUGCUGAAAUCAGAGAGCUUGCUUAUGAUGCUGAGGAUAUUGUUGAGGAAUUUGCUCUCAAGAUUGGAUCCAAAAACAAAGGUGGCCUUCCGAGUUGUAUUAAAAGAUCAGCCUGCUGUUUGAAAGAGGGAUGGGUGCUCCAUGAAACCAGGUCAAAGAUCGAGAAAAUCAUAGAAAGAAUCAACGACUUGGUCCGGCGACUACAGGCCUACGGAGUAAAGGAAUUAAAGGACAGAGGAGAAGAAUCAAGUUUUUCAACUGAAAGACGAGAAUCAAGGCGGCCUUAUCCACAUAUUAUGGAUGAUAAUAUUGUUGGACUAGUUGAUGAUACCGAGGGAUNNNNNNNNNNNNNNNNNNNNNNNNNNNNNNNNNNNNNNNNNNNNNNNNNNNNNNNNNNNNNNNNNNNNNNNNNNNNNNNNNNNNNNNNNNNNNNNNNNNNNNNNNNNNNNNNNNNNNNNNNNNNNNNNNNNNNNNNNNNNNNNNNNNNNNNNNNNNNNNNNNNNNNNNNNNNNNNNNNNNNNNNNNNNNNNNNNNNNNNNNNNNNNNNNNNNNNNNNNNNNNNNNNNNNNNNNNNNNNNNNNNNNNNNNNNNNNNNNNNNNNNNNNNNNNNNNNNNNNNNNNNNNUUGAUGAUGUUUGGACCAGUGAAGCUUGGGAUAGUCUAAAACCUGCCUUUCCAGUUGCAACGGGCCGUGAUAGCAAUAGCAAGAUAUUGCUCACCUCUAGAAACAAGGGGAUAGUUUCAGAUGCUGAGAUAAGAGGUAAAAUUUUCUUAAUUAGGUAAAAUUGAAUACUCUUAUUCCUUUGAUGGAAAAUAACCAUGUAUAUUAUUUCAGAGUUGAAGUGCCUAAACGAUGAAGAAAGUUGGGAAUUGUUUCAAAAGAUUGUAUUUCCUCAAACAGGUAAAUAUACGUAUAGCAAAAUUCUUGUUAUAUGCUAAAUUUAUUUUUCAUUUAAAAUUUUUUUUUGGUGAAAGUAAGGACCUUAUCUUUGAUAUGCCUCAAAGUUAAUGUUUUCGAAAGCCCCCACAAAGAAGGGACACCCAAGUAGGCGUCCGAAUUAUUUGCCACCUCUAAGUUAGUCUCUUCUUGAAUCAACCUUUCGUUGUCCCUUUGGGAGUAUUCACACUAAAAACGUUGCUUGAUUUAUCAUAGUUGACCCUUCGUCCAGAAGCUGCACAAUAUUCUUGAAUCAAGUUAAUCAUUCUCCUACAAUUUAACGAACUAGCUUCCAAAAAGAAUAGAAAUCGUUCGUGAAUAACAAAUGUGACACUACUGGAUAAUGACUACUAAGGCUAAUCCCAGAAAUAAAACUAGACUCGACUCUAAUAAUAAUCACUACCCCUAGAACUCCUUUCAAUAUAUUCACCAUGAUCUUCGAUAUGAUUUAAUACUUAAAAUUACAAGGACUAAUUGACCUAAAUUAUGUCAUUAAUUCAAGACAUUUAGUUUUCAGAAUUAAAAUUAUUUCAAUCUCGUUCAAAAAUUUCCCUUCCCUUAAUAGCUUCCAAAACAUCCUUUUUAAUAAUUUCCCAAUAAUUAUUAUAGAAAAUCCCGUUAAAAUCAUUUGCAAAAAAAGAGAUUAAUUUAAUUGUUUUGUAUGCUUAACUUGUACAAUAUAAGUAAAAUCUUAUAAUUUUAUCUCCAAAUUCUCUCAACACAAUUUUCUGACCCUUAUUUAUAAUCUCAUUUGCAUCACACAGGAUAUCCAAUUUAAAAUUAAAUAAUUUUUUUUAUAUAAUUCUUUAAAUAUUAAAAGUAUUUUCCUCUAUUAUUUUUUUUUGUUGGAGUAUUAAAUAUUAGCCUUGAAACCAUAAGGCAGGAACUAUUCCAAACAACCCUUAAAAAGAUAUGUAAAUUUUGUUUUUGAAUAUCAUUUUUACUUUUUUAGAUUUCAAAUUGGAUAAUGAACUAUAUAUUUAUUCAUUCGAAACUCCUCUUAAAUUAGUGAGAGUGAAGUUUCUUAUUUAGUAUUGAUUGUUCCAUAAAAUUUUCAAAGUUUUCAAAGUUUUCAAAUAGAUUUAUUUUUUCAAGUGUAGUUAAUAACCGCAAUAAAAAUUAAACUUUAUAAGUGAUAAAUUUAUAUUAAAAAUUGUUUGAUAUAUUCAUAAAAUAUAAGUUUGAGUUCAUCUACUUUUACAUUUCUUUUACCUAUUUAAAUUAUUUCUUAAUUUUCCUUAUUUUUUAAAAAUUUAUUCUUAAUUUUUUAUAUAGGAAAUAUAAUCGACGUGGAAAUGAAAAAGUUAGGAGAGAACAUGGUUAAACAUUGUGCAGGGCUUCCAUUAGCCAUUGUUGUGUUGGGAGGAAUUUUGGCUACAAAGAAUAAUUCAUUAAACGAAUGGCAAAAGAUAUCUGACAAUGUAAAAUCAUACUUGAAGAGAGGCAAAAAUCAAGGACCAAAGGAUGUGUUAGCAUUAAGUUAUGAUGAUUUGCCUCCUUAUCUAAGACCAUGUUUCCUCUAUCUAAGCCAUUUUCCGGAGGAUUAUAUGAUAGAUAUGGAUAGAUUGAUUCAAUUAUGGGUUGCUGAAGGUAUUGUGUCAUCAAAGCAAGAAGAAAGAGACGGUGGGGAAAUUGCGGAAGAUGUGGCGGAAUCUUAUUUAAUGGAGCUUGUGGAAAGGUGCAUGAUUCAAGUACGAGAAAGAGAUGUGGCAACCUUAAAGGUCAAAACAAUUCAGAUGCAUGAUCUGAUGAGAGAUCUUUGCUUAUCAAAGGCAAAACAAGAAAAUUUUGUCUUCAUUGUCGAUCAAUCAAAUGCAUCUUCAUUAUCUAUGAUUCGGAAGGUUCGUAGGGUUUCUGUGCAUGAGUUUUUUUUCAUACAAUGCAUUAAAAGUCCAAAUAUUCGGUCAGUUUUGUUCUUCGAUGAGUUCUUUCCGGAGGAGGCAUUAGAAAAAUCUUUGCCCUUGGAAGUGUUGAAUUACGUUGAAGAACAUGUAGAUGAAGUUCGUAAUCCACUUGUUUGGAUUCUUAUGAUUUCGCUAGGUUGUACGAGACUUCUUAAAGCUCGGGGAAUUUGGAGAUACAUGUUCAACAACUUCAAAUUGCUAAGAGCCCUAAACUAUGAGAGAACAGGAGGUUAUCCUUUUGUAGGGUUUAAGUUACCCAGAGAUAUAGGAAAUCUCGUCCAUUUAAGAUUCUUGAGUCUAAAGGAUCAUGAGUUCUUAUGGCCAAAGUUGCCAUCAUCUCUACGCAACUUAAGGUGCUUGCAAACCUUGGAUUUAAGAGUUGGUUGUGGCAUAAUUCAUUUACCUAAUGUGAUAUGGAGGAUGGAGCAACUAAGACAUUUAUAUCUCCCUUUAAGAUGUAAAAGCAGUACUAAGUUGAAGUUGGGUACUUUGAGAAAACUCCUAACACUUGUGAACUCAACACCAAGAAUUGUUAUCUGAAGGAACUUAUGAACAUGACAAAUCUUAGAGAGUUGGAAAUAAAUUCGCCCUUCAAUAUUGAAAAUUUCAAUGAGACGGAGUUGGGCGAGAAUCCACCCAUAAUCGGAAGUAAAUGUCUUCAUUCCUUGUCUAUUAUUACCUCUGGGGACGAAUCAAUAGAUCCAAAACAUUUGGCCCAUCUCCUUUCAAAUUGUACAAGUAUUUGCAAGUUGAGUAUAGAAACAAGGAUAAGCGAGUUACCAGAGUAUCACUACUUCUCUUCACAUCUCGCUUAUAUAGGGUUGAGAUGGUGCAAGCUUGAGAAAGAUCCAAUGCCAACACUAGAGAAGCUGCCUAACUUAAGGAUUCUUGAACUCGAAAGUUAUUUCGAAGGAAAGGAAAUGUUUUGCUCUGCUCAUGGUUUUCCUAAACUUGAGUCUCUAAUCCUUACUGAGGUCAACAAUUUGGAGGAGUGGAAGGUGGAUGAAGGAGCCAUGCCUUCUCUUCAGCGAUUGGAGAUCAAGGGUUGCCUAGGAUUGAAGAUGCUUCCAGAGGGAUUGAGGUUCAUUACAACCCUCAAAGAACUGAAGAUUGAAUCAAUGCCAAAGGCAUUCAAAGAUAGAUUGGAGGAGGAAGGAGGAGAAGAUUUCUACAAAGUCAAACUUGUUUCUUCUAUCAUAUUCCAAAACUGUGGCUAAUAGAUUGAAGGAUAAUUGAGGGGUAAUUUCAUAACCUCUAGAUUAGGAAAUGAUUCCUACUUUCUUUGCUUCUUAUAUAUCUUCCAUUUUUGACAAUGUCUCACCUUCUCACUCCAUUUGUCUACACACGAAUGAAUAAUUAGAUUUAUUAAAAGUUAAAGGAAGUCGGACAUUGAUAUUUUUAGUUUUGCUUUUCAGGUAAAGAAGCCAUUUUUUCACCUGCUACUGCUAUUUACGGGAUCAAGUCUAGAUUUAAAACUCCUAUUAUAAGUUGCGUGUGAAAGUGUGUUAUAUGGUGAGGUUUGGAAUUAUCUUCUCUGUUGCAUAUAUCUAUGGUUGUUGACAUCAGACUGGUUGACUGUUUGUUGUUUUCUUCAAAUUACAAUAAAACGGUUGCAAGAUAAGGUAUGGGAAGAAUGGGAGGUGUCUGGAUUAGCAAGGUACCAAACCCCUCCUCCAUUUUAAUUUCCUUCAAUCUAAUUUAAUUACACAUUCAUUUUUGUCUUUUCAAACAUAAAAUUGCAGAUAAGGAGACGUCACUGACCUUUGCUCCGACAUAGCUUUGGUUUGCGUUGACCGUUCCUAUAUUUAUUUGUUAGCUUUGCUUUCUCUUUCUAUUUUUUCCCUACUUAAGUCUGCUUGAGUCUCCCUUUUUUUAUAUGUACUUUACCUAAUAUUAGAAGCCAAGGCAGGACCGUGCUUUUCUAUUGUAAAAUUCAUCACUUCGUUUGUCAAUGUUCAUUUCUACUCUUCAGUUUACUUAAAUAUAAUUGUUUGAUAUAUAUUUGAAUAUGAAGAAUAUAAUCUUUUUAAGAUAUACAUAUUUUAGAAAAAAUUGAAUAUAUGUAUGUCGGACACAUUUCCCGUUUCAACAUAUUUCCUUAUUUUAUGCAAGUCGAUUGGUAUUCAACAUACUCUUUUCCGUCAUCCUUAACUCAAUAAUCUUUGUUACGAUAUCAUAUCAGGUUUAAUAGUGGCAGUUCAUCCCCACACUUCCAAAGCCAAAAAUAGGAAAAAAAUUAAAUGUUACCAACUAAUAACACUUUCAAAUUACAUUGUCUUACAAAAAAAAAAAGAUACAAUUUGAAUUUUAGCAAGCUAUGCUUUAUAAAAGGCAAAGGAAUCUAAGGGAAUCUUUCAUUCAAGAUUUUGUAUCCUCAUGCCUUGCUUCUUAUAUCUACCAACAAUAUCUUUGUGAUAAUAAACUAAAAAAAAAACUGCAAAUCCAACUUAAUCGAUUGGAAAUUUCACAUCCACUUAAUUAUUUCAAAUGAUAUUUAUUCAAUAAGUUUAAAUUAAAAACUGUAAGAAUUUUCAUUUAUCUUUUAUUCAAAAUGUAAAUCGGAUUCAAUGAAAAUAUUGAACAUAUAAUGUGUGCACAUGGAAAUGUCCAAAUCGUUAAAUAUAGGGUCGACAUGAGAGAAAUCUCCUAAUGCCCAACGUUAAAUAUUUAUAAAAUUCAAUAUGAUCCUAUUAUUUUCGUUAUAAAACUCAAUAUCUUAUUCGGAUUAGGAUACAAGCGAAUAACAGAUAACUAUUUGUCGUUCAAGGUAUGAUAAAAUCUCAGUAGCUAAGAUAUGAAUGUUGCAAAAUACCAUACAAAAUCACAGCCACAUUUGUUAGUAUGGCUAUUUUGGGUAAUCAAAGGAAAAAAAUGUUAGCUGUUGAGCAAACAAGGUGAACAGAUUAGAUAUUCCAAUUACGUUCAAGCACUUGACAAAUCCUUUCUGCAAUGGCUUCAGCACGCAUCCUAGGACCUUCAUCAUCUGCAAAAAUCGACCAUUUCUAACAACUAAGCUAACAUCACACAUGAUAAUAUAUGUAUAUAACAUAUAUAGAUGAUGAUUAUGUGGAUUAAAAGCUAUGUUAGUUUGACUCAAUACAUGACCAUGGGACAUGCACGAUUCUUCAAUAACGANNNNNNNNNNNNNNNNNNNNNNNNNNNNNNNNNNNNNNNNNNNNNNNNNNNNNNNNNNNNNNNNNNNNNNNNNNNNNNNNNNNNNNNNNNNNNNNNNNNNUUAAAUACAUCAAUAUCUAACAUUUACAUCUGAGUUCGAGUAAAGUAAAACAUGUCAUUCUACCUAAACAUGCAAAAUAUCCAAGACUCUUGACGAAUGUUAGAUACAAAUAUGUAGAAUGUACCCAAAAUACCCAUCUCGAACUCAGUAGAGAAAUAUCUAGCACUCAAAAGGCACUAGCUUCAACCAAGAACAAGGAAGUUUCUUCAAAGGCUUGAUAUACUUUCUUCACGGCCAUAUAUAUGUGUGCAUAUACCCAUAUUAAGGACGAUUGUUUUGGCAAAGAGGAUGAGAAGAUAGAAAGAAAACCUUUAAUCCAAUGACAAUAUUUGAUUAUAACAACAUGACACAUAUAAUUGUGAUUAAAAUUGUGGUCACAAACAUGUUUGCAAUCACAUCAUGUUAACGAAUACUAUCGCAAUCAAUUGCAAUAAAUAUCCACAACAAGAAGAGCGAAAAUCCUAAAAACAACAAAGAUAAUACAUUACAGCUGUUAAAGAAUUUUCAAUAACAUAUAUACCUGCAAGAUUUUCAGUGAUGACACAACAAAGUUCACCACCAGACAACUUCCCGAUCUAAUGAAAUUUUCAAACAUAUCAUAAGUUUCAAGAUCAACUGAAACAUGCGAAUACUGUUGGUGUUAAGAGGUAACAGCAAGCUGAUUUGAGCUUGCUUAUACAGCAAGGCUCGAGGCUUGCAGAAGAAACAAUUGAAGAAAGAAACAGAAAAUGAAGCUUGCGAAUGGAAAACAGAAAAGAAAGAAAAAGUUUGAAUGAAAACAAGCUAAAAUUUUCAUUAAUUGUCAAAGAGGCAUAAUGCCAUUAUAUAUAUGAGUUAACAAUCACAAAAUAAACAAGUUACUACCUAAACUUAGACCUAACACCAUUAAUUUACAUUGAACUUGUUAAAUUUGCUUGAGUACAUAAACAAGUCACCUAAACUUGUCAUUCAGCACCUAAUUACAUCAAAAUGCAGCUACCAACUAAGUUUUAUUCAAACUAGAAUACAAAACAUUCAUUAAAGAAACUAAAUGAAACAAAAUAACUUCAGUUUGCUGCUUGAAGCACGUUCUCUGCAUGGCCACCUUGGCUGCUGCAUGGGGGCUGACUUCAACACUCUUCCUCAGCUUCUAUGCUGCAGACUCCUAGUUGCUUUCUUAGGCUUAGAAAUCUCGUUGUACCAAGAGACUUUGUAAAGAUAUCAGCAAUUUGAUUUUCAGAGCUGCAAUAAAUCAGCUCGAUCUCUCGAGCUUGUUCCAGUUCUCUUAUCACAUGCAACUUUAUGUUGAAGUGUUUUGUUCUGCCAUGAAAGACUGGAUUUUUGGCAAUUACAAUAGCUGACUUGUUGUCACAAUAAAUCUUGGUUGCUUCAUUAAAUUCAAAUCAGUGAGGAUUUUUCUUAGCCACAUAGCUUGAUUAACAACAUUAGCAGCUACUACAUACUCUGCUUCUGCUGUUGAUUGAGCCACCAUUGUUUGUUUUCUUGAACUCCAACAAAUCAUAGUUGAGCCAAGUGUAAAAGCAUAACUAGAAGUGCUCUUCAUAUCAUCUUUUGAACCAGCCCAAUCGCUGUCAGUGUAGUCAAUCAAUUUCAACUCUUCAGCCUUUUUAAAAUGUAUUCCAUGGUUCAAGGUACCUUUGAUGUACCUUAGCACCCUUUUUCCUGCUUUGUAAUGCUGCUGAUUACAACAAUGCAUGAAUAUUGACAGCAUGCUUACUGCAAAUAGAAUAUCAGGUCUCGUUGCUGUCAAAUAUAACAAGCAGCCAACAAGGCUUCUAUAAUCUGUUCCACUGAUAGGUUCAUGAUCUUCUUGACUCGAUAGUUUCAUGCCAACAACCAUAGGUGUGCUGGUUGGCUUGUAGUUCUCCAUUGAAAAUUUGGCUAGAACUUUCAAAGCAAAUGAUUUCUGUCCCAAGAAGAUUCCUUCAUCUGCUUGAUUAACUUCCAUUUCUAGGAAGUAAGUCAUCAAUCCCAGGUCUGACAUUUCAAACAUCUCCUUCAUUUUUGUUUUAAAAUCAGCCAACCUGAGUUUGUCUCCUCCAGUCACUAAAAGAUCAUCAACAAAAAGUGACACAAUGAGCUGUGUUUCAGCUCGAUUCUUUUUAACAUAGAGAGUUGGCUCACUGGCACUUCUUUCAAAUCCCAAACUGACCAGGUAUGAGUCAAUUCAAGCAUACCAGGCUCUAGGAGCCUGUUUCAGGCCAUACAGGGCUUUUCUUAGCCUAUACACCAAAUGUUCUUUACCAGGCAUUGUAAAUCCUGGAGGUUGCUCGAUGUACAUCUCCUCUUCCAACAAUCCAUUGAGAAAUGUAGACUUUACAUCCAUUUGGUGAAUUGUCCACUGAUUCUGAGCAGCUAGAGCAACCAGUAAUUUGAUUGUAUUGAGUCUGGCUAUUGGAGCAAAUGUUUCCAUGUAGUCCAGACCAUAUCUUUGACUGAAGCCCUUCAUAACUAGUCUAGCUUUCAACUUAUUUAAGCUUCCAUUUGCAUUGUGCUUUACUCGAUAGACCUAUUUUACACCAAUGAUCUUUCUGUUAGCAGGUUUCUCAACCAACUCCCAUGUUUGGUUCUUCUCGAUCAUGUUGAUUUCAUCAACUAUAGUGUGCUUCCAGCCUUCAUCUGCCUCAGCCUCUUCAAAACAGGUAGGUUCUGCUAUAGCAACCUGUGCCCUCUCAUAAAUCUCAUCUAGGGACCUUGUUCCUCUCACAGGUACAUCAUCAAUGUCUAUUUCAGGACUAAGCUGCUCGAAUUUAGCUUGAUUAGGCACCAGGUCUUCUGUAAGAGCUUCUAGCUCAUUCUUUUCCCAAUUCCAGCAAGCCUUUUCAUCAAAGAUGACAUCUCUGCUUACCUGGAUUUUGCUUGUGAGGGGAUCUAGGAUCCUGUAGCCCUUCUUAGUUGAGCUAUAGCCCACUAGGAUACUUGGUUGAGCCCUUUUUGCAAGCUUGUCCCUUUUUACUGCUGGUAUUUGUGCAUAGCACAGGCAACCAAACACCUUCAGAUGUGCCAAGGAAGGCUUGAAUCCAAACCAAGCCUCGAAAAGUGUCUUGGAAGCAAGAGCUUUGGUAGGAAGCCUAUUCUGGAGGUAGACAGCAGUGUUUACUGCCUCAGCCCACAUGCUCUUGGGCAGUUUCUUCUCAAACAGGAGGCAUCUGGCCAUAUCCAUCAGGCUUCUGUUCUUCCUUUCAGAUACCAUAUUCUGCUGAGGUGUGUACACAUUUGUUAGCUAGUGUUUGAUCCCAGCAUCACUACAAAUGGCUUGAAACUGAGCUGAAGUGUACUCAGUGCCAUUGUCUGACCUUAUCGAUUUUAGCUUGCAGCUUGUUUCUGUCUCAACAGUAAUUUUAAACUUUACAAACACUUGAGCUACCUCAGACUUGUGUUUCAAGAAGAAAAUCCAGCAAAACCUUGUAAAAUCAUCAAUGAAGAGGAUGAAAUACCUGUUUUUGCUAAGUGAUUCAGUCCUCAUCGGGCCACAUACAUCAGAGUGCACCAGCUGUAAUCUUUCAGUGGCUCUCCAUGCUGAAUUUGUAAGAAAUGGCAAUCUUGCCUGUUUUCCUAUCUGGCAAACUUCACACACAUCAUUAUGCUCCACUGAGUUGGUGAAGUUCUCAGCUAGACCCUCUUUGGCUAUUUGAGCUAUUGAUUUGAAAUUGGCAUGUCCAAGCCUUUGAUGCCAGAGCUUGGAAUUAUCAACAGAGGCUGUGUAUGCUGACUUUGAGUAAUUUGGCCAAUGAACCUCAAAGCAUUUGUCAGUCAUUGUGACUGUCAUAAGGCUUGAUCCACUUGGAUCAGCAAUGUGGCACUGUUUGUCCUUGAACACAACUGAAUAGCCUUUCUCGAGCAAUUGAGCUAUGUUGAGAAGGUUUCUGUCAAUCUCAGGCACCAACAGGACAUUUGAGAUGAUUUUGUUGCUUGUAGGAGUGCAUAACAUCACCUCUCCUCUUCCUUCAACCUUUAUAAACUGACCAUUUCCAACCUUGACCUUGGUUUUGCAACUUCUGUCCAAGGUUUUGAACAAGGAGGCAUCUGGUGACAUGUGGUUGGUGCAGCCACUAUCCAACAACCAGCCUUUAGAGCAUUUCUUCUCAGCAGCUAAGCAAGACACAGCAAAUACCUGCUCUUUUUGGUCACUACUGUCUUCAACCACUCGAGCUUUUUGCUUUUGACUGUUGAAAUUGGUUCUGCCUUGGUUUGGUUUUGUUUUUACACACCUUUUCGACAUGGCCCUUCUUUUUGCAGUGUUGGCAUACUACAUCUGGUCUAAACCAGCAUCUGUCUUCUGGAUGUCCUGGUCUCUUGCAAUAUCUGUAAGGCUGGUCACUGCUCCUUGCAGCAUCAGGCUUAGGCCUAUUUUUCCAGGGCCUUUUACCUCUAUGAGCAUUGAUGCUCGAGGCUUCUCUGGCCUUGGCUUGAAAUGCACCUUCCUGGUGAUCUUCAGCUCUGCUAGCUCUUCUUUGUUCCUGAGCAUAGAAAGUGUUAAUCAGCUCAGUCAAAGAGAUGCUAGCAAGGUCUCUUGAGUCCUCUAAGGAGGAUAUCUUUGCCUCAUGUCUCUCAGGCAAAGUGGAGAGGACUUUCUUCACGAUUCUUGCCUUAUCAAAGUGCUCACCUAGGAGCCUUAUGCUGUUAACCACUGCCAUGAUUCUAUCUACAUACUGCUUCAUUGUUUCUUCUUCCCUCAUCUUCAGAUUCUCAAAGUCUCUCCUCAAAUUCAACAGUUGUUGUUGCCUUGUCCUUUCUAUGCCUUGAAACUCCUCCUAAAGCUUAUUCCAGGCCUGUUUUGGAGUCUCAUAGGCCAUAAUUCUGGUGAAUAUGACAUCUGACACACAAUUCUGGAUGUAGGACAUAGCUUUGUGCCUUUUGGUCCUCUCAUCAGCGUGUUGUCUGAUCUGAGCUACUGUGAGAUUGGCCCUCAGUGGUGCUGGCUCAACAUCUGUGUUAACAACUUCCCACAGAUCAAAGGCCUGCAAGUAAGUUUUCAUCUUAACCAGCCAUACGUGGAAGCCUUCUCCAUUGAAGACUGGUGGGGCUGCUGGUGAAAAUCCUGAAGAAGCCAUCCUGGUUUUUUGGUUUGAUAUAUCAGGUCCACUAAGACAAGGGCUCUAGAUACCAAUUCUUGGUGUUAAGAGGUAACAACAAGCUUGUAAUGCCCAAUUUUAGCCCGAGCCCAAAACCAAAACAUACAGUCCAUUACAAAUAAAAUUAAUUACAGGCCCAAAAUACCCAACAGGCCCUAAUUAAGAAACCCUAGCCCAAAAACAUAAUUUUUUUUCAGUACCAAACCCUAGCCCCCCUAAGCAUGCGCCGCAUCCCCUUGUCGGCCACUCCCUCGCGCCGCCCCCACCAGUCCCGUCGCCAGGCCGCUCGUGCCGCCCAAGGUGCCCCUCUGUCACACUCCUUUUGACCGAAAUAGCCACCUCCAGACAGAAAAGCAAAAAGAAGAACAAUUAAAAUGAUAGCAAGGGUAGAAGAACAGUGAUAGCAGUUAAUCUUGGCUAUAAGAGCCACGGAAAUAUCAAUGUAAAGGGAGGACAGAUUUUUAGAGUUUGAAAAAAGGGUUCCGAAAAUUUAAAAACAGAAGAAAAUAAAAAAAUAGAUCUAUUCGAAAAGCAAUUUGCAGUUUCUAUUUUGUUCUCUUUUCUUUUGUUUUGAUACAAAAAACAACUUCAAGAACUCAAAAAAGAAAAAAACAGAUCUAAAAUUUAACAUUCCAAGGUGAUUUUAUUUUCGUUUAUAUUUCUUUUCCUUUUGUAUUUAUUUAUUUUUUUCUUUUUCAAAAGAACAGUUUAUAUUUGUGCAAAAAUCAUACAUAGAAAAAUAUAUAAAAAAAUUACCUUUUAAAUUUUUCAGGCCACCGUGCACGGUGGCCGGCGCGGCGGUGGAGCGGCGGCGCUGUUCACCGGAUUCUGGGCAGUGCCCAGAAUGGGGGAGAGGAAUUGAGAGCAUUUUCAGAAAUUUUUUGGAGAAAAGAAGGGAAGAAUGAAAAUUAAAAAUAAAAACCAACUUAAAUAGGCCUCCAAAACGACGUCGUUUUGGGCAGGCCUCUCAGGCACCAAAACGGCGUCGUUUUGGCUUUGACCCGAUUCGCCCGACCCGCUCCAGGCUAGGAUCCGCGUGUUUUUAGCGGAAGGGCUAAUUGCACUUUCAGCCCUUCCGCUUUAAAAUAAUUUUACAAUCAAGGCCCCUUUUGUUUUUUUAAAUUCGCACAGUAGUUUAUUAUUUUUACAAUUUGGUCCUAUGAUGCUGUGCGUUUUGGGAAAGAGGGAAAAAUUGCUCUCUUGAUCCCUUCUUGUUGUUUGCGCGUUCAGCUUUGUCCUUCCUCUUUUAUUUAUUUAUAGAUUUGGCCCCAAAUUUUGUUUUAAUAUCUAAUUUAGCCCUUCUUUGUUAUUUUGUUUGUUUUAUUAUUAAAUUAAUAAAUGAUAUGUUAUUAUUAUUGUUAUUUAUUAUUAGUUUUUAUUUUAUAUUUAUUUAUUUAUUCAUCAUCAUUAUAUAAAUUAGUUUUGCAUUACCUUUUAUAUAUUAUAUUAUAUUAUAUAUAUUAUAUAUAUUUUUUAGUUUUUUUAGUUUUUAUAUAUAUAUAUUUUUAUCUUACUGUAUCUUUAUUAUUUAUCAUUUACUUCAAGCUUUUCUAUGUUUUCUAAAUUAUUAUUAUUAUUAUUAUUAUUAUUAUUAUUAUUAUUAUUAUUAUUAUUAUUAUUAUGUUUAUACUCUUUUAAUUUUAAAUUCUUGUUAUAUAUUUACAUAUACAAACGCAUACUUUUUAUAAUAUAUAUGUACAUAUUUUAUUUUAUUUUAUUUUAUUUUGUGUGUAAAUAUAUACAUUUUCCCGAUGCAUAUACACAUACAUUUUAAAGUUAUUAUAAAUAUAUUUUAUAUUUCAUUUUUCAUACUUACACAUACCUAUAUCUAUUUCUACGUAUUUUAUUACACAUAGAUAUACGUAUACAUAUUUUUAAAUAUUUUUUAUAUUUUCAUAAUUCUAAAAUAUAUAUAUACAUGUAUUUAUAUAUUUUUAUUUCUUUUAUGGUUUCGUUAUUUCGCGCUGUGUUUAUUUUAUUUUAUUUAUUCAUGCCCACUUUCAUUCGAAUAGUGUAUUUGCUUAUUCUUUUGCAUGUUUAAUUCGUUUUUUAUUUAUUUAUCUUUUAUUUGUUGUUACUUGUAUUAUUCAUACUUACAUUAUCGAAUUUAUUAUUGUUUUGUUAUGAGCAUUAACAUCAUGUUUUAUUUCUACUAUUACACGUUAAAUUAUUUUUCAUUCAAUGUAUAAAUUAUGAUUUUUGAAUAAACAAAAUUUCGUGUUUAGAUUUGAGAAAGUCGUACCCUAACUUACUAGGUUUUGAUUUUCACAAUGAAUAUAAAUACGUGGAUCUUUUCAAACUCAAAUUUUCAACGAUCUCGGGAUUUAUAAAAGAUCGUAUCCUAACUUACUGGGUAUGAUCCCUUUUUUAAACCCGAGAUAAUUGAAUAGCUUUUAAAUAAUUUCUUCGGCAUUUAUUCUUGAAUCGGGAAUUUAAAGACAUUGUGUCCUAACUUACGGGAUAUAAUUCUUUUUCUUGAUUAUCGUGAAAAUGCCCUUCUCUCGAAAACUUUUAGCAUUUUAAUAAAAGAUCGUAUUUUUAAAUUUCUUCAAAGUUCUCAAUUUUCGACAUUAAGACAUUAAGUAAUCAACUAGGUACCAAUUUUGGGCGUUACGAGGGUGCUAAUCCUUCCUCGUACGUAACCGACUCCCGAACCCGUUUUCUAAAUUUCGUGGACCAAAAUCGUUGUUUUAAUAAAAUUAAACUGUUUAUUAAAAACAACCAGUUUUCGAGGCGAUCCAAUCACACCUCGUUAAAAAAUGAUUGGUGGCGACUCCCACAUUCGAUUUCAUUUUUUUAAAAACCCAAGUCGAAUCCGUUUUCACCCAAAAAAUGGUGUCAACAAAGCUGAUUUGAGCUUGCUUAUAUAGCAAGGCUCGAGGCUUGCAGAAGAAACAAUUGAAGAAAGAAACAGAAAAUGAAGCUUGCGAAUGGAAAACAGAAAAGAGAGAAAAAGUUUGAAUGAAAACAAGCUAAAAUUUUCAUUAAUUGUCAAAGAGGCAUAAUGCCAUUACAUAUAUGAGUUAACAAUCACAAAAUAAAUAAGUUACUACCUAAACUUAUACCUAACACCACUAAUUUACAUUGAAACUUGUUAAAUUUGCUUGAUUACAUAAACAAGUCACCUAAACUUGUCAUUCAGCACUUAAUUACAUCAAAAUGCAGCUACCAACUAAGUUUGAUUCAAACUAGAAUACAAAACAUUCAUUAAAGAAACUAAAUGAAACAAAAUAACUUCAGUUUGCUACUUGAAGCAUGUUCUCUGCAUGGCCACCUUGGCUGCUGCAUGAGGGCUGACUUCAACAGAUACCAAUUAUGAUAAGAAAUUAAAUUAAGGAUUUUCUACUGCAAGCCUACCACGAAAACAUAAUUUUUAUUAGGAUCAAAGGCGUAGCCCAUCAUGGCAGCAUUAUUGAGUCCAUUUUCAGAGGAAAAUCCUGAAACAUGUUACAGGCAAAUAUUAAGAAAAACAAUGCACAAGCAUAAGUACAAAAACAUAGCAUGCAAGAAAUCAAUACUUGAAAGGAUUAAAAUCACUGCUAACCUAAGACAUUGAAUCUAGCACCACUAGGAAACAUCCAAAAUGAUCCUUGUCUUUCAAUAUUGAGAUACAUACGUCCAAGUCUGCCAUGUUGCGCCAAACGGGAAUUCAUCAACCUCUUGAGAGCCUAAAGGAUGAAAAGUUCAAGUCCGAGUUAUAUAUAUACAGACACACACACAGAUAGACAUGAAGAAAGUGGGUUAAUGGUGUAUUAUUUAAGAAAAGAAAAAGUUGAAAUCUUGAACCUCUAAAUAUUGGGUAACAGCUAGUGUUAAAAGUGCAUAAAGUUCUGCUAUUAUCUACAAGAAACAAUGGAGGAAUCACAUACAUUGUUUAUAUUCACUUUUCUUGCUACACAAGCAAGCUGAGUCCAUAAACAAAGGCAUACCUUUUUCUCCGUUUUUAAAUGGUUUUCCUGUUUUUGGCUGCUUUUUAUAUUAAGAGAAAGAGAGUGUGUGAGACCUCGUCAUCCUCAAGGAGUAAGUGGUCAAGCACGAAGAUGAUGGGAAGACCACGAGUCUAUGGUGGUCGAUCCAUGAGUUGAUUAUGAGUAGCUUCAUGUUAUGAAGUAAAAAUGUUAGCUAAGUUAGUUGAGUGCUGUGUUUUAGGGCUGAGGGCUUAAUGAAACUAUAAGUUUUGAUGUUGAAUGAAAACGGUGUGUAUUGACGGUUUGUUACAACUGCUCGAGGAACAGCCCUAUAACAGACUUUGUAACUGCCAAUUCGCAGCCAUAAUAGAAACCGGCAUGGGAAAUGAGCAGAUAUGCAAUUUUGUGAAGGAAAUCAAUUCUUUCUUCUUCCUCGAUUCUCCUUCUCUUCUCUUUUUCUUUCUUCCUCUAUUCUGUUGAAAUUAUGCAUCACUUCACCAGCAUUCAUCAUUGUGGACGUAUCUGAUCUUCAGUCUCUGGUUUACUGCCCAUGUAAAGUUAUGGAAAGGAAUGCAAAUUUAAAAGGAUUUCUUGCUAUAGUCUAUGCAAUUUCAUGUGUGCGUGAAAGGAGAUGAAGAUUAAUAGAGUAAUACUGAUAUACCAACAAUUCAUUAAUUGAAGUACUAUCAAUAUUAUCAACAAGUAACAGAAUUAAGUGAGUAUACUAAUAUAGUCUAGAAUUAAGUGAGUAUACUAAUAUAGUCUAGAUUUAUAAUGAAAUACAAAAAUAUUUCAAAAAUUGUACUCAAAGAAAGUNNNNNNNNNNNNNNNNNNNNNNNNNNNNNNNNNNNNNNNNNNNNNNNNNNNNNNNNNNNNNNNNNNNNNNNNNNNNNNNNNNNNNNNNNNNNNNNNNNNNNNNNNNNNNNNNNNNNNNNNNNNNNNNNNNNNNNNNNNNNNNNNNNNUUUAAUAUCCAUGAUUGUAAUUAAUCUAGACUUAUUCUACCAAUUAAUCAAUUUAGUCCACUUAUCUUUCGACCUGGUGGAUCUAAAUGGGACAAUUGAAUUAGUUCUGGAUAAAAUCUCCUUUCAAUCUCAUCUACCUAAAUUUCCAUCUAGAGUCAUCAAUUUGAUCCAUUUAAUCAAUUCAAAACCUUAAAUUAAAUUAACUAUUCCCACAUCAAUUAAGCAACUUUCUUAAAAAUUUAGUUAAGACCCAUUCUAAUGAUAUCAGACCCACUUAAUCCGUAAACCAUCAAUAAAGUUAAUGAUAAGAACGAAUAGAGUUGAGGGAUGCUCAAUAAUUUGUGGAGAUCCUCAUAAUGAAAGCGUGAAAUAAAAAAUAAAUAUAUUUUUAUUAAAAUGAGUCAGAAGCGAGUGAAAUGAAAAAGAAAGGAAAACGGAUAAGGCUCCGAUUAAAGUUAUUUAAACAAGUAAAUAUAUUUUUAUCCAAAUUUAUAAUUUAUUAUAUUUAUCUGUAAUUCUCACUUUAAAAAAGCAUUCCAAAUAUGCUUCCUCACCUUAUCAUUUUUGCUUUUUUUCAAGCGCCCUUAUAAUUUUUGUUAAUCUUUCUUUUCCCUUAAUUAAAGCUUGAUGACUUAUAUUAUAUAUAUCCGUUUUAAAGAAAAUGUCACUGAACUAUUGCUUUCGUUUUGUUUUGGUUAUUAGAUUAUUAAUUUUUUUGAUUUAGUUACUAAAUUUUUCGAAAUCAAUUAUUUUGAUCACUUUCCCAUUAAUUGUCAUUAGAUAAGUGAGGAAAAUUACUUUCUCAUUAAUUGUCAUUAGAUAAGUGAGGAAAAGCUAACACAGAUUUGUUUUAUUGUUCAAAUUAAUCCUUAUAUAUUAAAUAAAAAUUCAAUUUAAUCCUUGAAUUAAACUAAAAAUUCAAAUAAACUCAGAAUACCACAACUUUUUAUUAUAUAUAUUUCUUUUUCCAAAUAAUAAAUUUAAAUUUAUUAUGAUUAUCACAACUUUUAUUUCAAUGUAACUACUAUCAUAUAUUUUCACUUUUUAAAUUGAUUAUAAAUAUUAUUUAAAUAUUAAUUUAAUAAUAUGAUAAAAAAAUAAAGGAUAUUUUUAUCUGUUCAAUUUUUUUUAAACUUAUGCUUUUAUAGAUAUUAUAGAUUAUAGGAAUAGGGUCUAAUGGCCAAAAAGAAAAAUUAUGUACCGUCUAUGUGAAGGCAUUAUAAAAGGGAUCAUCAGAGUAUAAUGAUUAGUAUUAGGUAAAGUGAAAGUGAAUUGAUUAAGUCCUCCAAUCAUUUUACUUUUAAAUAAAAAAAAAUUAAACAAAAAAACUCUACUUUUGUUCUACCUACCUUUCUGUUUGUGUUCUCAUUCUAUUAAUUAAGUACUGCUUCUUGCAAUUGUUUUCCCAGCAAGAUUGCGGCACACACAUCUUGAAAUCCAAAUUCAAGAUUUUAAAGAAUUUUCUUAGCUCGAUCACUUUUAUGGCUUUUUCUGCUGUUGCAUCUGCAGUGCAACAAUUGGCAACCUGCUAACUGAGGAAGCCAUAUACCGAUGGGGCGUGGAGGAGCAAGUUGAUCGUCUGCAAACAGAGCUCAAUUGGAUGCAAAGAUACUUAAUGGACGCAGAGACAAAACAAUCAAAGGAUGAAAGGAUUCGUCUUUGGGUUGCUGAAAUCAAGGAUUAGGAAGGUACGAAACACCUCCACUUUAAUUUCCUUCUGCUUAAAUUAGAUGUUUUAAGUUAAUUUUUAGUUUUGAACAUGUUAAAUUGCAGGAUAAUGAGACGCCACUGACCUUUAUUCGGAUGUAGCAUUGCAUUUACAUGUUUGGUUUGCAGUGACCAUUCAUAAAUUUUGCUGUGACUACCCUGUUGCUAGUUCUUUUUUCCUACUUCGAUCUGCUCAAGUCUUUUAUGAUAUAAUUAAAUGUAAAAAUAUGUAAUAGUAGAAGCCAAGACAGGAUAUUGUAAAAUUGAUCAUUUUGUUUUUAAUGACCAUUUGUUCUCAUCUUUUUUCAUUUUUCAUAAAUGUGUCCAAUAUAUAUUUAUUGAAUAUAUUUAUGCUGGACACAUAUCCUAAUGUGGUACACUAAAUCUGAGUCAUAUUGUGCAAUAUUGGUGAAUUACUAGUUGGUGCAGAAUCAUAUACAUCGAUGUUCUGUCAUUUGUUGAAGAUAAAAGAUCCAAAGCCUCCAUUAUUAAAAUGAAAAAAAGAAAGAAAAUUGGAUAUUCGUUUCUUUCUAGAUUUAGAAUAUAGAUAUUUGUAAUAUUGAGAUGAUAAACGAUUAAUAAAUGGAUUAAAUAGGAUCUAAUGUCUAAUUACAAUCCAAGAGGAACAGGCUCCUGCCGCCAUAAAAAAUUCCAUAAUUACUUAUUUUAUUGUAUUUUUUGAUAACACAUUGAUUAUUGCAUGGAACAUUGGUUAAGAACAAAAUAGGAACCAAGAACAAACAAUGUCUUCAAACAUAUUAAAAUGACAGCUCCAAAUCCUUACUUCAAUUAUUGUUGUGUUGGGUUUAUUUUGGAUUAGCUAAUGGAAAUAAUUGAAGCUCAGCAUGACAGCAAAUCAGGUUCUUUUUCUUCUUCCUCUGUCCUUUCUCUCUAUUUAGAUACAUGUUCAUUUCGUGUUUAUUGCAGAUGUUGUCUGAAUGAUUUCUAUGAAUAUUAAUGGCAGCAAAGCUGAAACCGUAAAAUAAUGAUCCAGUAAAGUUGGUGUUUCAGUUUCUAUUUAAAUCGCAAACAACUUCCCUAUUAAUCAAACAAAUGCUCUAAACUUGAAUGUCAUGAACAUGUCAAAAAUCAUACCUUGUAGUCAUGUAUGAAUGUGAGGAAAAGUGAAGAACAGAGAACCACAGGCCACACCUGUCAUCAAUGUGUUAUAACAACAUCCUUAACAUCAUAAGCAAGCUCUUUAAUAACAAUGAAAAUUAACCAUAAAACAAAAUUGAAGGGAACUUUAAAAUAUUUUUUAAUAAUAACUUGGGAAGUACUUUAAAUGUGAAAAUUGGGUGUUUACCCAAAUGAUGAAUGGAUGUCUCCUAGGUAAAACUCCCACAAUCUAAUGGUUACAAAUUAUAUAAGUGUACAAUCGGAUUGUGGUUUCUAGAAUGUUUUAUAAACUAAUAAAUUAAAAAUUAUUUGGUGAAUUAAUAAAAUAUAAGUGUUCAAUAUAAUUGUAUAAUUAAUAUUUUUGGGUUCAUCUAUUUUUACUAUGUGCUUUUUUAAAAAAAAAAAAUUUUGGUUUAACUAUUUUUACAUUUCUUUUAUUUACUGAAAUUCAUUUUUAAUUUUCACUAUUCUUUUAAAUUUAUUUUUAAUUUUUUAUACAAAUAAUAGAAUCGAUAUGAAAAUGAAAGAGUUAAGGAAAAACAUAGUUAAACAUUGUGCAAGGCUUCCAUUAGCCAUUAUUGUAUUGGGAGGAAUUUUAAUGUGUUAACUUUAAGUUUCGAUAAUUUAUCUCUCUAUCUAAGACCAUGUUUCCUCUAUUUAAGUAUACAUAUUUUUUUAAAAUAUAUUUUCAAUUUUUUGGAAAAUAUAUAUUUUUAAUAUUUUUAGUAUUUUUGAUGUAUUUUUUUAAAAUUUAUAUGAACCGGACCGCGUUUUAACAUUUUUAUCCGGACCGAACUUAGAAAAAAUUUUAGAUCCAUUUUUUAUGCCAAACCCAAGUCUAACAAAUGGACCUAAAAUUUUAAUUAGGCACGGCUAUGAACACCUCUAAUUAUUUGUAGCUAAAAUUCCCUGUAAGUUCAAUACAAUUUACUAAAAAUUUCAGUUGAUUUACUUGUUAUAUUCAUCACCUAAAUAAAUCAACAAAUAAAUGACGAAUUAUCCCUCUAAGCUGCAAUAUGAACCUUCCAUCAAUUGUCUCUAGGUUCAGUCAUUUUAUUACAUAAGUAUUCUUAAUUAAAAAAAUAAGGAAAAAAUGUAAUUUAUUCUAAUUAAUUAUUGAGCAAAAAUAAAUAAAAGAAAUUGUUAGAGCCUCAGUUUGUUCUUCAAUUAAAAUAAAAUAAAAUAAAUAAGGAUAAUAAUUUUUAAAAAUAAAUAAAAAUUAAAACAUGAGAAAAUCAAUAUACAUUUUUUAUACUCACUAGUUUUGUUGUCAAGAACUGAAAAGCACUUCAAUUCCUUGUAUCCGAAUACAUAUCCUUUUAAAAUUUAUCGAAAAAUAUUUAUUUUAAUGUAACUUAAAAGAUAACAGCCUGGAUUUGAUUAUCAAAUUAAAAAUUCAAAUAAGUUUACAAUAUUAUCAAUUUUUUUUAAUUUAUAUAUAUAUUUCCAAAUAAUAAAUUUAAAUUUAUUAUGAUAAUUACACCUUUUAUUUUAGUAUAACUAUCAUGAUAUAUUUUUUUCCAAUUUUUUUAAAAAUUUAUUAUAAUUAUUUGUAAAUAUUAAUUUAAUAAUACCAAGAAAAAUAAAAGAUAUUUUUGUAAAUAUAUAUUUUUUUAAAUUGGUACUUUUAUAUAUAUAAUAUGGAUAGAUUAUAAAUAUACAUUGUACAUGGUGGCAAAAAAAAAUGUUUAUAGGGUAUAUGUAAAGGCCAUAUACUAUGGAUCAUCAAAGUAUAAAGAUUAGUAUUAGAUAAAGUGGAAGUGAGUUGAUUAAGUCCUCCACUCAUUUACCUACGUACUCUUCCUUUUUUCUAAUUAAAUAAGACUGAUUAGAUACUUUUAAAUAAAAUACUUUCCUAGUCUUCCUUUUUUUUUUCCCACUUUUAUUUAGUGUUAGAUAAAGUGGAAGUGAGUUGAUUAAGUCCUCCACUCAUUUUCCUACUCUUCCUUUUUUCUAAUUAAAUAAGACUGACUCUAUACUUUUAAAUAAAAUACUUUCCUAGUCUUCCUUUUUUUUUUCCCCACUUUUAUUUAGUGUUAGAUAAAGUGGAACUGAGUUGAUUAAGUCCUCCACUCAUUUUCCUACUCUUCCUUUUUUUUCUAAUUAAGUAAGACUGACUAUAUACUUUUAAAUAAAAUACUUUCCUAGCCUUCCUUUUUUCCAAUUUUAUAAUCAGCAGAUCAAGAAAGAAGUAUUGAUUUUGGGAAAUUUGUUAGUUUAGUGUUCCUUUUCACUAUUUUUAAAAAGUAUUGUAAAAAUGGUAAUUUUGAGGAGUACUUUUAGAAAGUUUAGUUUAAGAUUUAAGUAUUUAGUAUUACUGUAAAAAAAUACUUUUGAUAAAUAAAAUAUCUAUUUUAGAUAUUAUGUUAUAAAGUAAAAAAUAUGUAUUUAAAUAAUGUUUAAAUUAGUUAAUAUUAUGAUAUCUUAGUAAGAAUAUAAAAAUAAUUUAUUAUAAUUUGUUGUUAAUAUUUUAAUAUAUGAAAUAUAAAUUUUAAUUUUUUUAAGUAACUAAUAUUAAUUAUUCAUAAAAUCUAAUUCGAAUAUAUAAACAAUAUUUUAAAUAAUAAAAUAUGAUCAAUAAAAAUUUAAAUAUAUAUCACAACUUUUUUAUUUUAUAUAUAUUUCUUUUUUCAAAUAAUAAAUUUAAAUUUAUUAUGAUUAUCACAACUUUUGUGUCAAUAUAACUACAAUCAUAUAUUUUCACUUUUUAAAUUGAUUAUAAUUGUUUUUUAAAUGUUAAUUUAGUAAUAUGGUAAAAAAUAAAUGAUAUUUUUAUCAGUUUAAAUUUUUUUUAAAAAUUAUGUACUGUCUAUGUGAAGGCAUUGUACAAGGGAUCAUCAAAGUAUAAAGAUUUGUAUUAGGUAAAGUGAAAGUGAGUUGAUCAAGUCCUCCACUCAUUUUACUUUUAAAUUAAAAAAAUUUUAAACAAAUAAACUCUACUUUUGUUCUACCUACCUUUCUGUUUGUAUUCUCAUUCCAUUAAAUAAGAACUGCUUCCUUCAAUUGUUUUCCCAGCAAGAUUUCUGCACUCGCAUCUUGAAAUCCAAAUUCAAGAUUUUAAAGAAAUUUCUGAGCUCACUCACUAUUAUGGCUUGGUCUGCUGUGACAUCUGCAGUGAUAAAUAUUGGCAAGCUGCUAACUGAGGAAGCCAUAUACCUAUGGGGUGUGGAGGAGGAAGUUGAUCGUCUGCAAACAGAGCUCAAAUGGAUGCAAAGAUACUUAACGGACGCAGAGACAAAACAAUCAAAGGAAGAGAUGAUUCGUCUUUGGGUUGCUGAAAUCAGAGAGCUUGCUUAUGAUGCUGAGGAUGUUGUCGAGGAAUUUGCUCUCAAGAUUGGAUCCGAAAACAAAGGAUGUCUUCCGAGUUGUAUUAAAACAUCAGCCUGCUGUUUGAAAGAGGGAUGGGCACUCCACAAAACCAGGUCAAAAAUCGAGAAAAUCAUAGAAAGAAUCAACGACUUGGUCCGACGACUACAGGCCUACGGAGUAAAGGAAUUAAAGGACAGAGAAGAAGAAUCAAGUUCUUCAACUGAAAGACGAGAAUCAAGGCGGCCUUAUCCACAUAUUAUGGAUGAUAAUAUUGUUGGACUAGUUGAUGAUACCGAGGGAUUGGUCAAAGUUCUUACGAACGAAAGUCGAUGCCAGGUUGUUACAAUAUGGGGCAUGGGUGGUCUGGGAAAGACCACUCUCGCCAAGAAAAUAUAUCACGAUCCUCAGGUUAGAAAUUAUUUCGAGCACUUCGCUUUUGUAUACGUUUCUCAACCAUGCCAGAAAAGAAAAGUUUGGGAAGACAUUCUAUCUGGUUUCAAAACUUUAAAGGACGAGGAUAGGAAGAAAAGAGAUGAAGACUUAGCAGAGAAGUUGUGUAACAUUUUGGAGGUUAAAGAGUGUCUGGUGAUACUUGAUGAUGUUUGGACCAGAGAAGCUUGGGAUAGUCUAAAACCUGCCUUUCCAGUUGCAACGGGCCGUCAUCGCAAAAGCAAGAUAUUGCUCACCUCUAGAAACAGGGGGAUAGUUUCGGAUGCUGAGAUAAGAGGUAAAAUUUUCUUAAUUAGGUAAAAUUGAAUACUCUUAUUCCUUUUAUGGAAAAUAACUAUGUAUAUUAUUUCAGAGUUGAAGUGCCUAAACGAUCAACAAAGUUGGGAAUUGCUUCAAAAGAUUGUAUCUCCUAAAACAGGUAAAUAUACGUAUAGCAAAAUUCUUGUUAUAUGCUAAAUUUAUUUUUCAUUUUUAAAUUUUUUUGACAGUAAUUGAAAUUAAAAAUAUAUAAAAUCUAUUUUAUUUCAAAAUUUCAAAACCUUAAUAUCAAAUAAAUAAAAGAAAUCAAGCCUUUGUAGUUUAUCAAUUAAUGGUACACGCACCUAAAUAUAAUUAAUAGGUAAAUUCAUUAUCUUUAUUAUUAUAAUUUUUUAAUAACUUUGCUAUUAUUUACGGGGAAUAAAUUACAUUAGGAUUAUCUUAAAAGAUAUAGUUUUUAGGCACCAAUAAAAUAGUGUCACAUCGUUAAAUUUUUAAGAUAACAAAGAAUUAUUAUACACUCAUUUAUAUUUAAUAUUUUCUCCAAUUUAAUUUAACUUUAAUAAAAUUAUUUAAAAUAAUUAAUUUUUUAAAUUAUAAACAAACAUCUUUUCUUCUUUUACAAAUUUUAAUCAUUUUGUUUUUUCAUAAGUUAAUGUUUUUUAUUUUUGUGCAACCAAUUUUUUUUUAAAAAAACAGUAAUUUUUGUGCAAUGUUUUUCAUAUCAUUAACACAUAAUUUUGAUAAUUAUUUUAUCCUGAAGCCAAAACUCCGAACCUUGAACUCGAACCCUGAACCUAAAUCUUGAACCCUGAAUCUUGCAGUUAAAGGUUUGGUUUCUAGAUUUAAAGUUCAAAAUUCGAGGUUCAAGUUUAAAGUUUAAGGGUUCAGGGUUAUGGGUUACGAAUUUAGGAUUCAUGGUUUAAGGGUUUGGGGUAGCGAGUUUGGGGUUUUAUAUGUUUGUUUAGUUUCUUAAGCACUUUCAUGCUAUUCUUUUAUAUGUUUUUUUUUCUUAAGAAAUACAAAUUGAUUUUAUAAUUUAAAUUCAGGACUCAAACAUCACUUAAUUAAAAUAAUAAUUAAUCAAUUCUCGUUUUUUUUUUUGCCACAAAAACAUUCAUUCCAGAAAGAAUAACCAGACAUAGGAAGUCUAAAACACUAAACCAGAUAAACUAACAUGAAAAAAGCACAGUAUUCACUAAGCUUAUCCUGGAUCCUUGCAUCAGAAAGAUGGAGGCGCAGGUAAACCAUUCUUAUUAAGAGUAAAGCCAAGAAAGAUGGUAGUUGAUUCGAACAACCAACACAUCUCUUUACGACCCUAUUUAGCAAACCAAUCCGCUAACUUAUUGGCUUCUCGUCUAAUAACAUUGACUUUCAAAGAAGAAAGUUGCAUGACCAGCUUAUCAAAAACCUGAAGGACUAGCCUUAAUCUCCAUCUUCGAUCUUGACUCUUCUCAAUAUUCGAAAAAAUAGUCUGGGAGUCAGUCUUGAUUGUCACAUUGCUCCACUUGUUCUUCAUAGCUAAUUCAAUCCAUCCAACCAUAGCUUUAGCCUCGACAACCUGACAUGAAUCCACUUAAUCCUUUUACCAAUCCCAUCCAGCAUCUUCCCACUUAAAUUUCUGCCUAUUACUCUAAUACCAGCACAAGCUAUCAAGGUGUCAAAUGCCCCAUCACAAUUUAACUUUAACCCAACCUUCUGGUGGUUUCUCCCAAAUAUCAGCACAAGUUUUUGACUUCCUAGUUCGAUCAGAGUUAUUGUUUGAACAGAGGAUCCAUUGAGCAGAUAAGAAUUCAUUCAUGGAGCAAUUAAUCCUUCGAAUAAUUCUCUCCAAACCAAGUUUCACACCUCCAAUUGUAACCUCACACCUAGCUUUGCAGAUGUGCUAGCAAGUGAAAACAAUUCUAACUUUGAAAUCCUCCCUCAUACAAGGCAUUUGUAACAACUUUGAGAACCAUCUGUCAAAUGAUUGAGUUUGAUCAUUUAUCCCUUGAAGACCAAAACAAGCCUCAUACUAUAUUCCCCUAAGAAUAAUAUGUUCAAAGUCUCAUCUUUUCCACGGAUUAAAAUGAGAUGGAAUAGCAUUAUGACACAAUUUCCAUAAGAAAAUUUUAACUUUGUUCGGUACCUGUAAGCUCCAAAUAGCUUUCCAAGUGCUCCUAUCAAUUAAGUGAGAGCUGGAAGGUUGUAAAGAAGACUCAUUUCCAUAGUGCUUUCUCAACUCCUUGUACCCUGACUUCAUCGGAUAUUGACCAACAGCUGUAAACGGCCAUACCAAUUUAUCUUGUUCAUUUGUUUCGUGAAGGGGAACUUUUAAUUUCGCAAUUUCAAUAUCUUCUAACCACAUUGAGAUACUGGGUAAGUCCCAAUUUAGUUGUUCUAAACAAAUGAUCUCAGCAACUCGUGUUGGUGAGGAUCUGUCAAUAUUUCCAGGAUGCUUUAAUUCCCUAUCUUUAACUCCCAGCAAUCAUCUAUCUUCCCAAAUGCAGAUGCUUUCGCCAUUUUGCACUUGCCAAAUCAAAGUCUUCUUUUAAAAACUCUUUCCCUUCAAGAAUGCUACUCCACACCCAUGAUGACCUAGCUCCUUUUUUAGCUUCAAGGAAAUUAGAAUUCGGGAAAUAAAGUCCUUUUAAAAUCCUACCCCAAAGAGCAUCAGGAUCCUGGACUAACUGUCAAGAUUGUUUUGCAAGUAGAGCAAGGCCUCCAAGCUUUUCAAUGAAUACGUCUCUCAUUUUCCUUCUGCUGAAUUCAUUUCCACGCAUAAGUUUUUAGGAAGUUCGAAAAGAUAUCGUAUACAUUGAAGCGCAUGCUACUGCUUUAAUAAGAACCUCCCUUCCCCUUCAAGAUAACGUUUGCUGCUUCCAGCCCUAAAGUUUGGUAAGGACCUUUUUUUUUUUUGGUGAAAGUGAGGACCUUAUCUUUGAUAUGCCUCAAAGUUAAUGUUUUCGAAAGCUCCCACAAAGAAGGGACACCCAAGUAUCAACCUUUCGUUGACCCUUCGGGAGUAUUCACAGUAAAAACAUUGCUUGAUUUAUCGUACUUGACCCUUCGUCCAGAAGCUGCACAAUAUUCUUGAAAGUUCAUCAUUCUACUACAAUUUAACGAAUUAGCUUCCAAAAAGAAUAGAGAUCGUUCGCGAAUAAAAAAUGUGACACUAUUCGAUAAUGACUACCAAGGCUAAUCCCAGAAAUAAAACUAGACUCGACUCUAAGGAUAAGUUUGGAUUGGCAAUUGGGUGCGAUGCGGUGCGUUUAGCCUACUUUUUGUCUCAAGCUACAGUGUUGCUACAGUAUUUAAUCUCACCGCCACCUCUGUUUUUACACUAACCUCAGGUAAACGCACCGCCCAUCCUAACUCACCUUAAGGCUAAUUAUAUGAGAGAGGAUGUUCACAACAAAAAGGAAGAGGUAAGGUGAUAGAGGGUCACCUUCUAGAUGGAUAGAUUUUUCUAUUAGAUUUACCAUUAAUAAGCAAAGUGUAAGAAACAUUCCUCACACACUCCAUUAUCCAAUCAAUCCAUGUUAAAGCAAAUCUCAUUUUUCUUAAAAUAGUUUUCAGAAGUCCCCACUCUACUCUUUCAUGUCGAGCUUCCAAGCAACCUCAUAUUUCUUACCCCUCUUCUUCAAUUUCAAAUGAUGAAAACCUCUUGAGCAAUUAAGAUGUUAUCAUGUAUUUGUCUACCUACCACAAAAGCACUUUGAUUAUUCAUAAUCACUACCCUAGAACUCCUUUCAAUAUCUUCACCAUGAUCUUCGAUAUGAUUUUAUAGGCAAAAUUAUAAAAAUUAAUUAGUCUAAAUUAUGUAAUUAAUUGAAAACAUUUAGUCUUCAGAAUUAAAAUUAUCUUAAUCUCAUUUAAACCCAUCGAAAAUUUCCCUUCCCUAAAAAAAAAACUCUUAAUAGCUUCCAAAACAUCCUUUUUAAUAAUUUCUCAAUAAUUAUGAUAGAAAAUUCCGCUAAAAUCAUUCGCAAAAUAAGAGAUUAAUUUAAUUGUGUUGUAUGCUUAACUUGUACGAUAUAAGUAAAAUCUUAUAAUUUUAUCUCCAAAUUCUCUCAACACAAUUUUCUGACCCUUAUUUAUAAUCUCAUUUGUAUCUAACAGGAUCCAAUUUAAAGUUAAAUAGUCUUUUUUAUAUAAUGAAUUAUAUUUUUAUUCGAAUCUCCUCUUAAAUUAAUUAGAGUCUUACUUAGUAUUGACUGUUCCGUAAAGUAUUCAAAGUUUUCAAAUAGAUUCCUAUUUUUACAGUUCUUUCACGUACUUAAAUUAAUUCCUAAUUUUCCUUACUUUUUUAAAAAUAUUUAUUCCUAAUCUUUUAUACAGGAAAUAUAAUCGAUGUGAAAAUGAUAGAGUUGGGAAAGAACAUGGUUAAACAUUGUGCAGGGUUGCCAUUAGCCAUUGUUGUAUUGGGAGGAAUUUUGGCUACAAAGAAAAAUUCGUUAAUCGAAUGGCAAAAGAUAUCUGACAAUGUAAAAUCAUACUUGAAGAGAGGCAAAAAUCAAGGACCAGAGGAUGUGUUAGCAUUAAGUUAUGAUGAUUUGCCUCCCUAUCUAAGACCAUGUUUCCUCUAUCUAAGCCAUUUUCCGGAGGAUUAUAUGAUAGAUGUGGAUAGAUUGAUUCAAUUAUGGGUUGCUGAAGGUAUUGUGUCAUCAAAGGAAGAAGAAAGAGACGGCGGGGAAAUUGCGGAAGAUGUGGCGGAAUCUUAUUUAAUGGAGCUUGUGGAAAGGUGCAUGAUUCAAGUACGAGAAAGAAAUGUGGCAGCCUCAGAGAUCAGAGCGACCUUAAAGGUCAAAACGAUUCAGAUGCAUGAUCUGAUAAGAGAUCUUUGCUUAUCAAAGGCAAAACAAGAGAAAUUUGUCUUCAUUGUUGAUGGAUCGAAUGCAUCUUCAUUAUCUAUGAUUCGGAAGGUUCGUAGGGUUUCUGUGCAUGAGUCUUUUUUCAUACAAUGCAUUAAAAGUCCAAAUAUUCGGUCACUUUUGUUCUUCAAUCAGUUCUUUCCGGAGGAGGCAUUAGAAAAAUCUUUUCCCUUGGAAGUGUUGAACUACGUUAAAAAACAUUGUGACGAUUGUUGUAAUCCACUAUUUUGGAUUCUUCUGAUUUCGGUAGGUUCUACAAGACGUCUUAAAAUUCGGGAAUUUUGGAGAUACAUGUUCAACAACUUCAAAUUGCUGAGAGUCCUAAACUAUGACAAAGGAAGAACGUCAUAUGGUUUUUGGACCGGGUGGGAUUUACCCAGUGAUAUAGGGAAUCUCAUCCAUUUAAGAUUCUUGAGUCUAAAGGAUCUUGUGUUCUUAUGGCCAAAGUUGCAAUCAUCUCUAGGCAACUUAAGGUGCUUGCAAACCUUGGAUUUAAGAGUUAAUUUUCCCGAAAUUCAUGUACCUAAUGUGAUAUGGAGGAUGGAGCAACUAAGACAUUUAUAUCUCCCUUUCGACUGUGAAAGCAGUACUAAGUUGAACUUGGGUACUUUGAGAAAACUCCUAACACUUGUGAACUUCAACACCAAGAAUUGUUAUCUGAAGGAUCUUAUCAACAUGACAAAUCUUAGAGAGUUGGAGAUAAAUUUGCCCUUCAAUAUUGAAAAUUUCAAUGAGUCAGGCGAGAAUCCACCCAUAAUCGGUGGUAAAUAUCUUCAUUCCCUGUUUAUUAUUGCCAUUGGGGAAUCCGGCUCAGAAAUAGAUCCAAGACAUUUGGCCCACCUCCUUUCAAAUUGUACAAGUAUUUGCCAGUUGAGUAUAGCAGCAGAGAUAAGUAAGUUACCAGAGUAUCAAUACUUCUCUUCACAUCUCGCUUACAUACGGUUGAGUUGGUGCAAGUUUGAGGAAGAUCCAAUGCCAACACUAGAGAAGCUGCCUAACUUAAGGAUUCUUGAAUUCAAAUAUACUUUAGAAGGAAAGGAAAUGUUUUGCUCUGCUCAGGGUUUUCCUAAACUUGAGUCUCUAAUCCUUGAACAGCUCGGCAAAUUGGAGGAGUGGAAGGUGGAUGAAGGAGCCAUGCCUUCUCUUCAGCGAUUGGAGAUUAGGGAAUGCGGAAACUUGAAGAUGCUUCCAGAGGGAUUGAGGUUUAUUACAACCCUCAAAGAACUGAAGAUUGAAUCAAUGCCAAAGGCAUUCAAAGAUAGAUUGGAGGAAGGAGGAGAAGAUUUCUACGAAGUCAAACAUGUUCCUUCUAUCAUAUUCCAAAACAUCUUGCGCUAAGAAAUUGAAUGAUAAUUGAGAGGUAAUUUCAUAACCUCUAGUUUAGGAAAUGAUUCCUACUUUCUUUGCUGCUUAUAUAUCUUUCGUUUUUGACAAUGUCUCACCUUCUCACUCCAUUUGUCAUCACACCAAUGAAUAAUUACAUUUAUUAAAAGUCAAAGGAAGUCAGACAUUGAUCUUUUUAGUUUUGCUUUUCAGGUAAAGACGCCAUUUUUUCACCUGCACUGCUAUUCACGGGAUCAAAUCUAGAUUUAAAACUCCUAUUAUAAGUGGCGUGUGAAAGUGUGUUAUAUGGUGAGAUUUGGAAUUAUCUUCUCUCUUGUAUAUAUCUAUGGUUGAUGACAUCAGACUGGUUGACUGUUUGUUGUUUUCUUCAAAUUACAAUAAAACGGUUGCAAGAUAAGGUAUGGGAAGAAUGGGAGGUGUCUGGUUUAGCAAGGUACCAAACCCCUCCGCCAUUUCAAUUUCCUUCAAUCUAAGUUAAUUACACAUUCAUUUUUGUCUUUUAAAACGUAAAAUUGCAGAUAAGGAGACGUCAUUGACCUUUGUUCCGACAUAGCUUUGGUUUGCGGUGACUGUUCCUAUAUUUAUUUGUUGGCUUUGCUUUCUCUUUCCUUUUUCUUUUCCCUACUUAAGGCUGCUUUAGUCUUUCUCUUUUAUUUUUUUAUAUGUACUUAAUGUAAUAUUAGAAGCCAAGGCAGGACCAUGCUUUUCUAUUGUAAAAUUCUUCACUUCGUUGUCUAUGUUCAUUUCUACUCUUCAGUUUACUUUAUAUAAUUGUUUGAUAUAUAUUUGAAUAUGGAGAAUAUAAUCUUUUUAAUAUAUACAUAUUUUAGAAAAAAUUGAAUAUAAGUAUGUUGGACACAUUUCCUAUUUCAACAUAUUUCCUUAUUUUAUGCAAGUCGAUUGGUAUUCAACAUAAUCUUUUCUGUCAUCCUUAACUCAAUAAUCUUUGUUACGAUAUCAUAUCAAGUUUAAUGGUUGCACUUCAUCCCCACACUUCCAAAGCAAAAAGUAGGAAAAAUUAAAUCUUACCAAGUAAUAACACUUCCCAAAUACAUUGUCUUACAAAAAAAAAAAAAAAAGAAAGAAGAUACAAUUUGAAAAUUUUUUUUAAUCAACAUUUGAUGGUUUAGCAAGCUAUGCUUUAUAAUAGGCAAAGGAUUCCAAGAGAAUCAAAGAUUCCAAAAUCGAUAUUUGGAUUCAAGAUUUUGUAUCCCCUUUCUUUGCUUCUUAUAUCUACCAACAAUAUCUUGAUGAUAAUAAACUUAAAAAAAAUAUUCAAGGGAAUUGAAGAUCCUAAAUCUAACUUAAACGGUUGAAAAUUUCACAUCCACUUAAUUAAUUCAAAUGAUAUUUAUUCAAUAAGCUUAAAGUAAAAACUGCAAGAAUCUUCAUUUGUCUUUUAUUCGAAAUGUAAUUGGGAUUCAAUGAAAAUAUUGAACAUAUAAUGUGUGCACAUGGAAAUGUCCAAAUCUUUAAAUAUAGGGUCCACAUGCGAGAAAUCUCUUAACACCCAACGUUAAAGAUUUAUAAAAUUCAAUAUGAGCCUAUUAUUUUCGUUAUAAAACUCAAUAUCUUAUUUGGAUUAGGAUACGAGCGAAUAACAGCUAACUAUUUGUAGUUCAAGGUGUGAUAAAAUCUCAGUAGCUAAGAUAUGAAUGUUGCAAAAUACCAUACAAAAUCACAGCCACAUUUGUUAGUAUGACUAUUUUGGGUAAUCAAAGGAAAAAAAUGUUAGCUGUUGAGCAAACAAGGUGAACAAAUUAGAUAUUCCAAUUACGUUCAAGCACUUGACAAAUCCUUUCUGCAAUGGCUUCAGCACGCAUCCUUAAUUUAAUUUCUUAUCAUACGUUUUUGCAUGUAUCAUAAGAAAUUAAAUUAAGGAUUUUCUACUGCAAACCUACCAUGAAAACAUAAUUUUUAUUAGGAUCAAAGGCAUAGCCCAUCAUGGCAGCAUUAUUGAGUCCAUUUUCAGAGGAAAAUCCUGAAACAUGUUACAGGCAAAUAUUAAGAAAAACAACGCACAAGCAUAAGUAUAAAAAACCUAGCAUGUAAGAAAUCAAUACUUGAAAGGAUUAAAAUCACUGCUAACCUAAGACAUUGAAUCUAGCACCACUAGGAAACAUCCGAAAUGAUACUUGUCUUUCAAUGUUGAGAUACAUAGGUCCAAGUCUGCCAUGUUGCGCCAAACGGGAAUUCAUCAACCUCUUGAGAACCUAAAGGAUGAAAAGUUCCAGUCCAAGUUAUAUAUAUACAGACACACACACAGAUAGACAUGAAGAAAGUGGGUUACUGGUGUAUUAUUUAAGUAAAGAAAAAGUUGAAAUCUUGAACCUCUAAAUAUUGGGUAACAGCUAGUGUUAAAAGUGCAUAAAGUUCUGCUAUUAUCUACAAGAAACAAAGGAGGAAUCACAUACAUUGUUUAUAUUCACUUUUCUUGCUACACAAGCAAGCUGACUCCAUAUACAAAAGCAUAUCUUUUUCUCCGUUUUUAAAUGGUUUUUUUGUUUUUCGGCUGCUUUUUAUAUUAAGAGACAGAGAUUGUGAGACCUCGUCAUCCUCAAGGAGUAAAUGGUCAAGCAUGGAGAUGAUGGGAAGACCAUGAGUCGAUGGUGGUCGAUCCAUGAGUUGAUUAUGAAUAGUUUCAUGUUAUGAAAUAAAAAUGUUAGCUAAAGUUAGUUGAACGCUGUGUUUUAGGGCCGAGGGUUUAAUGAAACUAUAAGUUUUGAUGUUGAAUGAAAACGGUGCGUAUUGAUGGUUUGCUACAACUGCUCGAGGAACAGCCCUAUAACAGACUUUGUAACUGCCAANNNNNNNNNNNNNNNNNNNNNNNNNNNNNNNNNNNNNNNNNNNNNNNNNNNNNNNNNNNNNNNNNNNNNNNNNNNNNNNNNNNNNNNNNNNNNNNNNNNNNNNNNNNNNNNNNNNNNNNNNNNNNNNNNNNNNNNNNNNNNNNNNNNNNNNNNNNNNNNNNNNNNNNNNNNNNNNNNNNNNNNNNNNNNNNNNNNNNNNNNNNNNNNNNNNNNNNNNNNNNNNNNNNNNNNNNNNNNNNNNNNNNNNNNNNNNNNNNNNNNNNNNNNNNNNNNNNNNNNNNNNNNNNNNNNNNNNNNNNNNNNNNNNNNNNNNNNNNNNNNNNNNNNNNNNNNNNNNNNNNNNNNNNNNNNNNNNNNNNNNNNNNNNNNNNNNNNNNNNNNNNNNNNNNNNNNNNNNNNNNNNNNNNNNNNNNNNNNNNNNNNNNNNNNNNNNNNNNNNNNNNNNNNNNNNNNNNNNNNNNNNNNNNNNNNNNNNNNNNNNNNNNNNNNNNNNNNNNNNNNNNNNNNNNNNNNNNNNNNNNNNNNNNNNNNNNNNNNNNNNNNNNNNNNNNNNNNNNNNNNNNNNNNNNNNNNNNNNNNNNNNNNNNNNNNNNNNNNNNNNNNNNNNNNNNNNNNNNNNNNNNNNNNNNNNNNNNNNNNNNNNNNNNNNNNNNNNNNNNNNNNNNNNNNNNNNNNNNNNNNNNNNNNNNNNNNNNNNNNNNNNNNNNNNNNNNNNNNNNNNNNNNNNNNNNNNNNNNNNNNNNNNNNNNNNNNNNNNNNNNNNNNNNNNNNNNNNNNNNNNNNNNNNNNNNNNNNNNNNNNNNNNNNNNNNNNNNNNNNNNNNNNNNNNNNNNNNNNNNNNNNNNNNNNNNNNNNNNNNNUUUCGGAACAAAACCAUGCCGUACCAUUUGUUUCAAAGCCCAAUCAACUUCCUUUACCAUCUUCCCCUUACAAAAACCAUGAAUCAACUUCUUGUAUGAAUCAAAACUAGGAUUAACCCUCUCGAAAGCCACAUUUGUUAGUAUGACUAUUUUGGGUAACCAAAGGAAAAAAAAAUGUUAGCUGUUGAGCAAACAAGGUGAACAAAUUAGAUAUUCCAAUUACGUUCAAGCACUUGACAAAUCCUUUCUGCAAUGGCUUCAGCACACAUCCUAGGACCUUCAUCAUCUGCAAAAACCGACCAUUUCUAACAACUAAGCUAACAUCACACAUGAUAAUAUAUGUAUAUAACAUAUAUAGAAGAUGAGUAUGUGGAUUAAAAGCUAUGUUAGUUUGACUCAAUACAUGACCAUGGGACAUGCACGAUUCUUCAAUAAUGAUACGAAAAUAAUUGGAAGAAAAAUUAAAUACAUCAAUAUCUAACAUUUACAUCUGAGUAUGUUUAAUGGUACUCUUUCUUUAGCCAAAUUUUGGCUUCUUUUAGUAGCUAUUCUGACCCAUUUUUCUUUGACCAAAAUGCCCUUGAACAUGUCUUUUUAUUGGGGUUUUAGUUGGACAAGGACUACCCCUGAUGUCAUUUUUGGUCCCCUCACGACAAUAUUGCAAUAACCAACACAGGGUAUCGUGAUAUCGUGGACUGUCUCAAAUGAGGGUCUUCUUUGGUAGCUGGGUAUCACAAUACCUAAGGGGGAUAUCAUGAUACCACUAUAGGUGGUCUUCAUUUCAAGCUUGUGGGAGGUAUCGCUAUGUCCAUGUUGUGAUGUCGUGAUACCCCUUUCCUUAUGUUUUUGCACAAUUUCGGGUCACCGUCAAGUUCCUACAACACUUAAUUGAUCGUUAGGGUCCAAAUGGCACAUUUAUCAAUUUGAGUCUCAAAAUGAGCACAAAACACAUUAAACAUUUAUUAAAUCAAAAAUAAAAAUCUACGCUAAACUACGGAAAAACACUAAUUUGCUUGAAAACAAGCUCUUUAAGUAUAAUGAGGAACCCUAAAUUGACAUAUCAAAUUAUUGUAACUUAGUUGUCUUUUUGAUUCGAACCCACAACCUGAGUUGUUGAGUUGAUCACCCAAUGUCACUAGGCGAAGAGUUUGGGUUCUAUGUACUAACUUGAAGUUGAGGCAUAUUAUAAAGAAGAUUUCAAUUUGACAUGUUUAAUUUUUUUAAUUUAACUCGAAUAAAUUUAUUUAACUCGACUUAAAUUUUAUUUUACUCAACUUGAUUAAAAAAAUUUCAAAUCAAGUUAAGAUGAUAAAAUAGGAUUCAUGAACUUGAUGUAGUCGAAAUUUUUUUUACUAGAUUCGAUCAAACGCUCAACCUGUUAGGUGAGAUGAUGUUUAGGGAUUUGAUUUGUAAAAUCAUUUUUUUCUCAAUCAUUCCUCAUAAUAUAGAAAAUAAUAAGUUAAGUUAUGCCAUUAGUCCUUGUACUUUACAAAAAGUUGUGGAUAUAAUCUAUAUACUUUAGUUUGGUCAUUUUUAAUAAAUGUACUUUUCAAAUUUGAAAAUUUCAAUCCUCACCAAACGAUAACUGUUAAAUUCAUUAAGUUAAGCUUUGUUAUUUUCAAAAUAUUACAUGACAAACAAAUUAUUAUAUGUGUAAUGCCAUGUCAACUUGUUAUUUUGACAUAUUACUCACCAAAAUUUCACUUAAUGGAUUAACGACUUUCAUUCAUGUGGAGACUAAAAUUUCAAAAUUCAAAAGUAGAGGGACUUAAAAUGAUCUAAUUGGAGAAAAUAGACUAAAUCUAUAACUAUACUCAUAGUAUAAGACUAGUAAUUGAAUUUAUCCAAAUAAAUUUAAUUGCUACAGUUUGGGUUAAAACUAAAAUUUCAAAAUUAAAAAAAAAUACAGAAAUUGAAGUUGACAAAUUCAAAAAAAUAUACAUAUUAAAAUUGAUCAAAUUAAAAGUAAACUGACUAACCUUAAUUUUUCUGAUAAUCUUUCUUUUCCCUUAAUUAAAUGACCAUGAUGUAUACUAUAUAUCUUAGUAUAUAAAUAUUUUAAAAAUAAAUAAAUAUAUGUAUGUUGGACACAUAUUCAAGUUUGAUAUUCGUCUUAAAUAUAUGUAUGUUGGACACGUAAUCUUUUUCAUUGUUUAAUAUCCUAAUCCUUAAUUAAUUUAAUAAUAUUUGUUACGAUAGGGUCUAAUGGCUGCAAUUUAUCUUGACACUUUCGAAGCAAAAAAUAAAAAAUAAAAAAAUCAAAUUUCACCGAUUAAUUACAUGCCAACACAUAUAACCCACGAUAUGUUUAUCUCAAAGAUUUAAAUAAGAUAAACUAAAUCACAAAGAAAACAAACGAGUAAACAUAAUCUAGAAAUUCCAAAUUUACAUUAUCUAACAGAAAUUCAAUAAGAAAUAAAAGGUUGCAUUUCAUUCUUUAGGGAUUUGCUCUUAUAUCUUCCAACAAUAGCUUGAUGAUAAUAAGCUGAAAAAGAAAAGGAGUCCAAGGGAAUUGAAGAUUCUUAAUUCAGCUAGCUUAAUUGAUUGAAUACUUCAAAUACACUUAAUUAAUACCAAUGAUAUUUAUCAAUAAAUCUAAAAUUUGCAUCCUACUUUGUAAAAACUGCCAGAAUGAAAUCAAAUUAUCUGAUUUCAAUUCUCUUCAAAUUUUAGUUUACAACUUCUAUUUUUGGGUUUCCAUUUGUUUCAACUUUUAAAGCAAGCAUUGAUUCAAGAAAUAUUUAUUUCAUUUGACUUAUUUGCUUUUCUAAUUUUAUGUUAUUCAGAUUCGAUGAAAAUAUUGAACAUAAUAUGUGUGCAAGUCAAGAUGUCCGAGUCUUACAAUGUAAGGUUGAAACGGGAGAAAUAUCCUAAAAGCUGAUGCUAAAAGAUUUAUAAAAUUCAGUAUAAUCAUUUUGUUUUCAUUAUAAAACUCAAUGUUAAAAUGUCUAUGAUUCGAGAUUAUGAUACAAGAGAAAAAUAGCUAACUAUUUUAAGUUCAAGGUGUGAGAAAAUCUCAAUAGCUAAGAUAUGAAUGUUGUAAAAUACCACUCAAUCACACAGAAAUAUAUACACACAGAAAUACCACUCAAUCACAGCCACAUUUGUUAGUAUGACUACUUUGGAUGAAAAGUUCUAUUCCAAGUUAUAUAUACACACAGAAAUACACAUGAAGUGGAUUAAUGGUGUAUUAUUUAAGUAAAGAAAAAGGGUUCUAACUAGAAGAAAGAGUUGAAAUCUUGAACCUCUAACUAUUGGGUAACCGCUGGUGUUAAAAAGUACAUAAAGGUCCGCGCUUAUCUACAAAAAAACAAUGGAGGAAUCACGUUCAUUGUUUAUAUUCAUUUUUUUUGCUCCACAAGCAAUCCAAAACCAUAAACAAAGGAAUACUUUUUUUCGCCUUUUUAAAUGGUUUUCUUGUUUCUUUUUCGCUUUUUAAAUUCUUCAUUCAAUUCAAGUUCAAGAAACCAUACUAAAUAUAUAUAUUUAUAUUUAUAUUCACUUUUCUUGCUACACAAGCAAGCCAAAAUCAUAAACAAAGGCACGCUUUUUUUUUCCCUUUUUUUAAUGAUUUUCUUGAUUCUUUGUUGUUUUUAAAAUUCUUCAUUCAAUUCAAGUUCAAUAAACCAUAUUAAAUAUAUAUAUUUAUAUUCACUUUUUUUUGCUACACAAGCAAGCUGAAACCAUAAACAAAGGCAUACAUUUUUCUCCUUUUUUAAAUGGCUUUCUUGUUUCUUUGUUGUUGUUUUUAAUUCUUUGCUCAAUUCAAGUUCAAGAAUCCAUACUAAAUAUAUGUGUUUAUAUUCACUUUUCUUGCUACAUAAGUAAGCUGAAACCAUAAACAAAGGCAUACUUGUUUUCCUUUCUUACCGUUGCUACCUUUUAGAUUCUUUAUUCAAUUCAAGUUCAAGAAAUCAUACUAUAUAUAUAUAUUCACUUUUCUUGCUACACAAGUCAACCGAAACCAUAAACAAAGGCAUAACUUUUUCGCUUUUUUUUAAAAUGAAUUUUUCUUUGCUGCUUUUUAAAAUUUUUAUUCAAUUUAAAUUCAAAAAACCCUACUAAAUAUAUAUAUAUAUAUAUAUAUAUAUAUAUAUAUUAAGAGAGAGACCUCAUCAUCCUCAAGCUUGAUGGGAAGGCCACAAGUCGGUGGUCGUCAAAUCAUGAGUUGAUUAUGAGUAGUUUCAUGUUAUGGAAAAAAGAUGUUAGUUAAAAUUAGUUAGUUGAGAGUUUAAUGAAACGAUACGUUUUGAUGUUUAAUGAAAACGGUGCGUAUUGAAAGUUUGAUACAACUAGUCGAGUAACAAGCCUUUAACAAACUUUGUAACUACCAAUUCUGAAGCCUUACAGGAACUGCCAACUUUUGAUUUUGUUUGUAAUCCUCGCUUUAAAAAAAUAUUCCAAAUAUGCUUCCUCACCUUAUCAUUUUUGUUAUUUUUCAAGUGCCCUUACCAUUCUAUAUUUUCAAUGGUUAAAUUGUAAAAAUGGUUACCUAAUUAUUGCUUUCGUUCUAUUUUAAUCACUAAAUCGAUUUAGUUAUUAAAAUUUUCGAAAUUAAAUAUUUUAAUCACUCUCAGUUAUCUUUAGAUGAGUGAUAGGAAGUUAAUGUGAGCUGUUUUUAUUGGUCUAAUAACAAAUUUAAUCAUCUAAUGUUUACACAUUCUAUUAAUUUAAUUUUAAAUAUAAAAUGUUCAACAGAUUUAACCCUAAAUAUUUACAAAAUCUAUUGUUAUAGUUCGAAUCCUAAAAAUUUCAAUAAGUUUAGUCCUCAAAAUUUGUAAAUUUAAUUUUAAUUCCAAAAAUUUUAGAAAAAGGAAAGAUGUAUUUUAUGUUAUAUAAAAGAAAAUCUAGCUCCAUCCAACAUUUUAAAUUCUUUUCUUUUUUCUUCACAUUUUCAUGGCAACGAAAAAACCAACUCAUGGAUGAAUUAAGCAAAUUAAUUAAAAUCAAAUAAAUCGAACAAGGAUUUUAAUUAAAAAGAAAUUCUUCACAUGCAUCAAGGAGGGACUUCCUCUGGUGGUAUCAAGGGGAUUGAUAGAAACAGCUCAGGCUCGAACAAGAACUUCAUUGGGCUUAAGAUCAGGAACAGACACAUCGGACCAAAGCUGCAACACCUCAGGUCCUCCGAACCGAGGCAGCAAUACCGCACUGUAACUGUUGACAUAGCACCGAAUUGAACCCACUUUCAACGAUAACUCCAUAAAGGGUUUAGGUUUUAAGCUUUGAAGUUCCCUUUUUUCUACUCAAAUUUACUGAAUUUCAGCUCCUUCCUUUUGUUAAAUGAAGGAAAAGCAGAGGAGAGACACGGAAGUGUUUUAAUCCACAUAGAAAAAAGUGAUUGUGUGACUUGUGAGUGGGGGCCUAUGGGGCGUGGAAGAAGAAGAUGAACAUUGCAUAAUCAAUUUUUAAUUGCUUAUUACAUUCAUAAUUUAAUAAAUAAAAAUUUCUAACCUUAUCUAUUAAAUCAAGUUAGAAUGUUCAACUUAAUUUUUGUUUGUUAUAAGUAUCACAUAUUAUAAAAAUUAAUUAUAUUUUAAUAAUUAUAUAAUAUUGAUUGAGUUAUUAUUUUUAAUUAUAUCAUCUGAUACCAUCUUGAGGACUAAAUUUAGAAUUAGAACUAAAUUGACAAAUUUCUGAAAUUUUGAGAUUAAAUUUAUUUUUAUUUUUAAGAAUUUGAACUAAAAUGAGAAAUUUUGUAAAUAUUGAGGAUUAAAUUUGUUGGAAAUUUUAUAUUUAGAAUCAAAUGGAUAGAAUGUCUAAACAUUAGGGGCCUAAAUUUGUUAUUAGACCAAUAAAAACAAGUUUAUACCAAUUUCCUGUAGCUCAUUAAUUGCAACUAACGAGGAAAUGAUUAAAAUAUUUAAUUUCUAAAAAUUUAAUGACUAAAUAAAAAAAUUAAUAUUUAAGUGAUCAAAAUAGAAUGAAAUCAAUAAUUUGAUGACCAUUUUUGUACUGUACCCUAUCUUAAUCCAUCUCACAACCAAAUUUCUCCGUCUUUGCCUAAUUUCUCGUCAUUGUCAAAUUUUAAUAGAAUUAACAUUUUUAUUUAAAAAAUAUCUUUAAUCAUUUAAUAUAUUUUUAAUAACUAAAUGUUAAUUCCAUUAAGAGUCAGUUUAUUUACAUGUAAAAAGUUAUAUAAUAUGAGUCUAUUGAACCGAUUCAAUCAUAAAUUUUAUUAUUAUUGGUUUAUAUAAUGGUUUGAUUUUGAAAAUAUUUGGUUUAACAUUUAGUCAUCCCUUUGAUCAAUUUUAAAUUUUAGAAAUAAUUUUGUUUUUUGUUUACAUUUAAAUGUACAGUUUCUAAUGCAUAUGUGUUACAUUUGAUUUCAAGCCAUUAAUCCUUAAUUACUUUUUAAAAUAAUAGUUCUCUUAGUUUUUAAAUAAUGUAUAAAUUUAUAAUUAUAUAAGAAAGUAAACUAUAAUAUUAAUUUUUAAAAAAUUAAGUAAAACAGAAGGCAAUAAUUUUUAUAAUAAUUAAUGAUAAAUAUGAAAAAUAUUCACAAUUAUAAAACAAACCGUUUAAGAGUAUAUAAACUACUUAUACAAAAUUUUUUUAAAUUAAAGAUGAAAAUAUAUAUAUAUAUAAAUAUACAUAAUUUAUAAGUGAAAAAUAUACAUAAUUUUAUUCAUAAAAAAUACAUAUGAUAAUAUACAGACAAGGUUAUAAAGUAAUUCAUAGGAAUAUAGCUUUCUUGUUUGUAUUCUCAUUCGGUUAUGAAUAUAGCUUUCUUGUUAGUAUUCUCAUUCUAUUUUGAACAUACCUUUCUUGCUUGUUUUCUCAUUCUAUUAUGAAUAUACCUUUCUUGUUCGUAUUCUCGUUCUAUUGAUGAUUAAUGUUGCUUUAUAAUUGUUUAUAAAUUUAAUAGAACUAUAUAUUACUACUAAAAGUAUAAAAGGGCAAUGAUUUGCAAUUGCUUUUAUAAUUAAGUACUGCUUCUUGCAAUUGUUUUCCCAGCAAGAUUGAAAUCCAAAUUCAAGAUUUUAAAGAAUUUUCUGAGCUCGAUCACUAUUAUGGCUUUGUCUGCUGUGACAUCUGCAGUGACAACAAUCGGCAACCUGCUAACUGAGGAAGCCAUAUUCCUAUGGGGCGUCGAGGAGCAAGUUGAUCGUCUGCAAACAGAGCUCAAAUGGAUGCAAAGAUACUUAAUGGACGCAGAGACAAAACAAUCAAAGGAUGAGAUGAUUCGUCUUUGGGUUGCUGACAUCAGAGAGCUUGCUUAUGAUGCCGAGGAUGUUGUCGAGGAAUUUGCUCUCAAGAUUGGACCCAAAAACAAAGGAGGUCUUGCGAGUUGUAUUAAAAGAUCAGCCUGCUGUUUGAAAGAGGGAUGGGUGCUCCAUGAAACCAGGUCAAAGAUUGAGAAAAUCAUAGAAAGAAUCAACGACUUGGUCCGACGACUACAGGCCUACGGCGUAAAGGAAUUAAAGGACAGAGGAGAAGAAUCAAGUUCUUCAACUGAAAGACGAGAAUCAAGGCGGCCUUAUCCACAUAUUAUGGAUGAUAAUAUUGUAGGACUAGUUGAUGAUACCGAGGGAUUGGUCAAAGUUCUGACGAACGAAAGUGGAUGCAAGGUUGUUACAAUAUGGGGCAUGGGUGGUCUGGGAAAGACCACACUCGCCAAGAAAAUAUAUCACCAUCCUCAGGUUAGAGAUUAUUUCGAAAACUUCGCUUUUGUAUAUGUUUCUCAACCAUGCCAGAAAAUAAAUGUUUGGGAAGACAUUCUAUCUGGUUUCAAAACUUCAAAUGUCAAGGAUAGGAAGAAAAGAGAUGAAGAAUUAGCAGAGGAUAGGAAGAAAAGAGAUCAAGAAUUAGCAGAGAAGUUGUGUAAAACUUUGGAGGAUAAAAAGUGUCUGGUGAUACUUGAUGAUGUUUGGACCAGUGAAGCUUGGGAUAGUCUAAAACCUGCCUUUCCAGUUGCAACGGGCCGUGAUAGCAAUAGCAAGAUAUUGCUCACCUCUAGAAACAAGGGGAUAGUUUCAGACGCUGAGAUAAGAGGUAAAAUUUUCUUAAUUAGGUAAAAUUGAAUACACUUAUUCCUUUUAUGGAAAAUAACUAUGUAUCUUAUUUCAGAGUUGAAGUGCCUAAACGAUGAAGAAAGUUGGGAAUUGUUUCAAAAGAUUGUAUUUCCUCAAACAGGUAAAUAUACGUAUAGCAAAAUUCUUGUUAUAUGCUAAAUUAUUAAAAAUAUAUAAAAUCUAUUUUAUUUCAAAAUUUCAAAACCUUAAUAUGAAAUAAAUAAAAGAAAUCAAGGCUUUGUAGUUUAUCAAUUAAUGGUACACGCACGUAAAUAUAAUUAAUAGGUAAAUUCAUUAUCUUUUAUAUUAUAAUUUUUUAAUAACUUCACUAUUGCUUACCGGGAAUAAAUUAUAUUAGAAUCAUCUUAAAAAAUAUAGUUUUUAGGCACUAAUAAAAUAGUGUUACAUUAUUAAAUUUUUAAGAUAAUUAAGAAUUAUUAUACACUCAUUUAUAUUUAAUAUUUUCUCUAACUUAAUUUAACUUUAAUUAAAUUAUUUAAAAUAAUAAAUUUUUAAAUUAUAAACAAUCAUCUUUUCUUCUUUUACAAAUUUUAAUCAUUUUAUUUUUUUCAUAAGUUAAUAUUUUUUUAUUUUUGAGCAACCAAUUUUUUUUUAAAUAAUUUUUGUGCAAUAUUUUUCAUGUCAUUGACACAUAAUUUUGAUAAUUAUUUUAUCUUGAACUCAAAACGCCAAACAUUGAACUCGAACCCUGAACCUAAACCUUGAACCCCGAAUCUCACAGUUCAAGGUUUGGAUUCGAGAUUUAAAGUUUAGAACUUGAGGUUCAAGUUUGAAGUUCAAGGGUUUAGGGUUAUGGGUUACAAGUUUAGAAUUCAUGGUUCAAGAGUUUGGGGUUAUGAGUUUGGGGAUUUAUGUUUUGGAUUUAGGAUUUAGGAUUCUAGAUUCAGGGUAAAAAAAUUACCAAAAUUAUGUGUCAAUGACAUGGAAAAAAUUGUUGAAAUGAAAAAAUUGUUGAAAUGUUAUUACAUAAUUGGAAAGGGACUAUGAAUAAUGUGGUCAGAAGGAUCCAUAAAAUAAUUUCUCCAUGAAUGAGUGUAUAAUAAUAAUUCAUUUCUUUAAAAUUUGAUGAUGUGACAAAAAAACUUUAAUUUUUAGGAUCAUCCUAAUGUUACCUUAAUUAUUGGAUUAUAUGCUUGUUUAGUUUCUUAAGCACUUUCAUGUUAUUCUUUUAUAUGUUUAUCCUGGACCCUUGCAUCAGAAAGAUGGAGGCGCAGGUGAACCAUUCUUAUCAAGAGUAAAGCCCAAGAAAGAUGGUAGUUGAUUCGAACAACCAGCACAUCUCUUUACGACCUAUUUAGCAAACCAAUCCGCUAACCUAUUGGCUUCUCGUCUAAUAACAUUGACUUUCAAAGAAGAAAGUUGCAUGACCAGCUUAUCAAAAACCUGAAGGACUAGCCUUAAUCUCCAUCUUCGAUCUUGACUCUUCUUUUUAAUAUUCGAAGCAAUAGUCUGGGAGUCAGUCUUGAUUGUUACAUUGGUCCAUUUGUUCUUCAUAGCUAAUUCAAUCCAUCCAACCAUAGCUUUAGCCUCGACAACCUCACAUGAAUCCACUUAAUCCUUUUACCAAUCCCAUCCAGCAUCUUCCCACUUAAAUUUUUGCCUAUUACUCUAAUACCAGCACAAGCUAUUCAGGUGUCAAAUGCCCGAUCACAAUUUAACUUUAACCCAACCUUCUGGUGGUUUCUCCCAAAUAUCAGCACAAGUUUUUGACUUCCUAGUUCGAUCAGAGUUAUUGUUUGAACAGAGGAUCCAUUGAGUAGAUAAGAAUUCAUUCAUGGAGCAAUUAAUCCUUCGAAUAAUUCUCUCCAAACCAAGUUUCACACCUCCAAUUGUAACCUCACAGCUAGCUUUCCAGAUGUGCUAGCAAGUGAAAACAAUUCUAACUUUGAAAUCCUCCCUCAUACAAGGCAUUUGUAACAACUUUGAGAACCAUCUGUCCAAUGAUUGAGAAUCAUUUUGCCCUUGAAGACCAAAACAAGCCUCAUACUAUAUUUCCCUAACCCAAUUACAACUAAGAAUAAUAUGUUCAAAGUCUCAUCUUCAAUACCACAUAAACAACAAAUUGGGUUCGAAACACACUUUCUUUUCCAUGGAUUAAAACGAGAUGGAAUAGCAUUAUGACACAAUUUCUAUAAGAAAAUUUUAACUUUGCUCGUUACCUGUAAGCUCCAAAUAGCUUUCCAAGUGCUCUUAUCAAUUAAGUGAGAGCUGGAAGGUCGUAAAGAAGACUCAUUUCCAUAGUGCUUUCUCAACUCCUUGUACCCUGACUUCAUCGGAUAUUGACCAACAGCUGUAAACGGCCACACCAAUUUAUCUUGCUCAUCUGUUUCGUGAAGGGGAACUUUUAAUUUCGCAAUUUCAAUAUCUUCUAACCACAUUGAGAUACUGGGUAAGUCCCAAUUUAGUUCUUCUAAACAAAUGAUCUCAUCAACUCUUGUUGGUGAGGAUCCGUCAAUAUUUCCAGGAUGCUUUAAUUUCCUAUCUUUAACUCCCAGCAGCUGUUUAUCUUCCCAAAUCCGGAUGAUUUCGCCAUUUAGAACUUGCCAAAUCAAAGUCUGCUUUUAAAAACUCUUUCCCUUCAAGAAUGCUACUCCACACCCAUGAUGACCUAGCUCCCUUUUUAGCUUCAAGGAAAUUAGAUUUCGGGAAAUAAAGUCCUUUUAAAAUCCUAGCCCAGAGAGCAUCAGCAUCCUGGACUAACUGUCAAGAUUGUUUUGCAAGUAGAGCAAGUCCUCCAAGCUUUUCAAUGAAUACGUCUCUCAUUUUCCUUCUGCUGAAUUCAUUUCCACGCAUAAUUUUUUAGGAAAUUCGAAAAGAUAUCGUAUACAUUGAAGCGCAUGCUACUGCUUUAAUAAGAACCUCCCUUCCCCUUCAAGAUCACGUUUGCUGCUUCCAGCCCUUAAGUUUGGUAAGGACCAUUUUUUUUUUUGAUAUGCCUCAAAGUUAAUGUUUUCGAAAGCUCCCACAAAGAAGGGACACCCAAGUAGACGCCCGAAUUGUUAGCCCCCUCUAUAUUAGUCUCGUCUUGAAUCAACCUUUCGUUGAGGAGUAUUCACACUAAAAAGGUUGCUUGAUUUAUCAUACUUGACCCUUCGUCCAGAAGCUGCACAGUAUUCUUGAAAGUUAAUCAUUCUCCUACAAUUUAACGAAUUAGCUUUCAAAAAGAACAGAGAUCGUUCUCGAAUAACAAAUGUGACACUAUUGGAUAAUGACUACCAAGGCUAAUCCUAGAAAUAAAACUAGACUCGAGUCUAAGGCUAAUCGUACGAGGGAGAACAUUCACAACAAAAAGGAAGAGGGUAAGGUGAUAGAGGGUCACCUUACCUUAGACCUCUAGAUGGAUAGAUUUUUCUACUAGACUUACCAUUAAUAAGCAAAGUGUAAGAAACACUCCUCACACACUCCAUUAUCCAAUCAAUCCAUGUUAAAGCAAAUCUCAUUUUUCUUAAAAUAGUUUCUAGAAAUCUCCACUCUACUCUGUCAUAUACUUUAUUCAUGUCGAGCUUCCAAGCAACCUCAUAUUUCUUACCCCUCUUCUUCAAUUUCAAUGAUGAAAACCUCUUGAGCAAUUAAGAAGUUAUCAUGUAUUUGUCUACCUACCACAAAAGCACUUUGAUUAUUCAUAAUCACUACCCUAGAACUCCUUUCAAUAUAUUCACCAUGAUCUUCGAUAUGAUUUUUUAGGCAAAAUUAUAAAGAUUAAUUAGUCUAAAUUAUGUAAUUAAUUCAAAAUAUUUAGUCUUCAGAAUUAAAAUUAUCUCAAUCUCAUUUAAACCCAUCCGAAAUUUCCCUUCCCUAAAAAACAAAAAAACUCUUAAUAGCUUCCAAAACAUCCUUUUUAAUAAUUUUCCAAUAAUUAUGAUAGAAAAUUCCGCUAAAAUCAUUUGCAAAAAAAGAGAUUAAUUUAAUUGUUUUGUAUGCUUAACUUCUACAAUAUAAGUAAAAUCUUAUAAUUUUAUCUCUGAAUUCUCUCAACACAAAUUUCUGACCCUUAUUUAUAAUCUCAUUUGUUUCUAAGAGGAUAUCCAAUUUAAAAUUAAAUAGUCUUUUUUAUAUAAUGAAUUAUAUAUUUAUUUGAAUCUCCUCUUAAAUUAAUUAGAGUGAAGUUUCUUAUUUAGUAUUGACUGUUCCAUAAAGUAUUCAAAGUUUUCAAAUAGAUUUAUUUUUUAAGUGUAGUUAAUAACCGUAAUAAAAACUAAAUUUUAUAAGUGAUGAAUUUAUAUUAAGAAUUAUUUAAUAAAUUAAUAAAAUAUAAGUUUGAGUUCAUCUAUUUUUACAUUUCUUUCACCUACUUAAAUUAAUUCCUAAUUUUCCUAAUUUUUUUAAAUUUUAUUCCUAAUUUUUUUAUACAGGAAAUAUAAUCGAUGAGAAAAUAAUCGAGUUAGGAAAGAACAUGGUUAAACAUUGUGCAGGGCUGCCAUUAGCCAUUGUUGUAUUGGGAGGAAUUUUGGCUACAAAGAAUUAUUCAUUAAACGAAUGGCAAAAGAUAUCUGACAAUGUAAAAUCAUACUUGAAGAGAGGCAAAAAUCAGGGACCAGAGGAUGUGUUAGCAUUAAGUUAUGAUGAUUUGCCUCCUUAUCUAAGACCAUGUUUCCUCUAUCUAAGCCAUUUUCCGGAGGAUUACACGAUAGAUGUGGAUAGAUUGAUUCAAUUCUGGCUUGCUGAAGGUAUUGUGUCAUCAAAGCAAGAAAAAAGAGACGGUGGGGAAAUUGCGGAAGAUGUGGCGGAGUCUUAUUUAAUGGAGCUUGUGGAAAGGUGCAUGAUUCAAGUACGAGAAAGAGAUGUGGCAACCUUAAAGGUCAAAAAGAUUCAAAUGCAUGAUCUGAUGAGAGAUCUUUGCUUAUCAAAGGCAAAACAAGAAAAUUUUGUCUUCAUUGUUGAUCGAUCGAAUGCAUCUUCAUUAUCUAUGAUUCGGAAGGUUCGUAGGGUUUCUGUGCAUGAGUCUUUUUUCAUACAAUGCAUUAAAAGUCCAAAUAUUCGAUCACUUUUGUUCUUCAAUCAGUGCUAUCCGGAGGAGGCAUUAGAAAAAUGUUUGCCCUUGGAAGUGUUGAAUUACGUUAAAAACCAUUAUGACGAUUGUUGUAAUCCACUAUUUUGGAUUCUUCAGAUUUCGGCAGGUUCUACAGUACGUCUUAAAUUUCGGGUAUUUUGGAGAUACAUGUUCAACAACUUCAAAUUGCUAAGAGUCCUAAACUAUGACAAAGCAAGAACGUCAUAUGGUUUUUGGCCCGGGUGGGAGUUACCCAGUGAUAUAGGGAAUCUCAUCCAUUUAAGAUUCUUGAGUCUAAAGGAUGUUCUGUUCUUCCGGACAAUGUUGCCAUCAUCUCUAGGCAACUUAAGGUGCUUGCAAACCUUGGAUUUAAGAGUUAGGAAUCACAAAAUUCAUGUACCUAAUGUGAUAUGGAGGAUGGAGCAACUAAGACAUUUAUAUCUCCCUCUCUAUUGUAAAAGCAGUAUUAAGUUGGAGUUGGGUACUUUGAGAAAACUCCUAACACUUGUGAACUUCAACACCAAGUAUUGUUAUCUGAAGGAUCUUAUCAACAUGACAAAUCUUAGAGAGUUGGAGAUUUAUGGGCCUUUUUAUAUUGAAAAUUUCAAUGAGAAGGAGUUGGGCGAGAAUCCUCCCAUAAUCGGAAGUAAAUAUAUUCAUUCCUUGUCUAUUGGUCGCAUUGGGGGAUCCAGCUCAAAAAUAGAUCCAAGACAUUUGGGCCACCUCCUUUCAAAUUGUACAAGUAUUUGCAACCUGAGUAUAUCAGCAGAGAUAAGUGAGUUACCAGAGUAUCACUACUUCCCUUCACAUCUCGCUUACAUACGGUUGAGUUCGUGCGAGUUUAAGGUAGAUCCAAUGCCAACACUAGAGAAGCUGCCUAAUUAAGGAUUGUUGAAUUCGAAUGUUCUUUGAAAGGAAAGGAAAUGUUUUGCUCCGCUCAGGGUUUUCCUAAACUAGAGUCUCUAAUCCUUGCGAAGCUCAACAAUUUGGAGGAGUGGAAGGUGGAUGAGGGAGCCAUGCCUUCUCUUCAGCGGUUGGAGAUCACGCGUUGCCCAGAAUUGAAGAUGCUUCCAGAGGGAUUGAAGUUCAUUACAACCCUCAAAGAACUGAAGAUUGAAUCAAUGCCAAAGGCAUUCAAAGAUAGAUUGGAGGAGGAAGGAGGAGAAGAUUUCUACAAAGUCAAACAUGUUCCUUCUAUCAUAUUCUAAAAAUGAGGCUAAUAGAUUGAAUGAUAAUUGAGAGGUAAUUUCAUAACCUCUAGUUUAGGACAUGAUUCCUACUUUCUUUACUGCUUAUAUAUCUUUCGUUUUUGACAAUGUCUCACCUUCUCACUCCAUUUGUCAACACACCAAUGAAUAAUUACAUUUAUUAAAAGUCAAAGGAAGUCAGACAUUGAUCUUUUUAGUUUUGCUUUUCAGAUAAAGAAGCCAUUUUUUCACCUGCUAGUGCUAUUCACGGGAUCAAAUCCACAUUUAGUUUGUUGUUUUCUUCAAAUUACAAUAAAAAGGUUGCAAGAUAAGGUAUUGGAAGAAUGGGAGGUGUCUGGAUUAGCAAGGUACCAAACCCCUCCUCCAUUUCUAUUUCCUUCAAUCCAAUUUAAUUACACAUUCAUUUUGGUCUUUUAAAACAUAAAAUUGCAGAUAAGGAUACGUCACUGACCUUUGUUCCCACGUAGCUUUGGUUUGCGGUGACCAUUCUUAUAUUUAUUUGUUAGCUUUGCUUUACCAUUCCUAUAUUUAUUUGUUAGCUUUGCUUUCUCUUUCUUUUUUUUCCCUACUUAAGUCUGCUUGAGUCUUUUUCUUUUUUUAUAUGUACUUAAUGUAAUAGUAUAAGCCAACCAUGCUUUUCUAUUGUAAAAUUCAUCACUUCAUUAUUUUAUAUUUGUAUGUUGGACACAUUCCCGUUUCAACAUAUUUCCUUAUUUUAUGCAAGUCGAUUGGUAUUCAUCAUAAAAAUUACGAUAUCAUAUCAAGUUUAAUGGUUACACUUCCAAAACAAAAAAUAGGAAAAAUUAAAUCUUACAAACUAAUAACACUUCCAAAUUACAUUGUCUAACAGAAAAAAAGAAGAUACAAUUUGAAUUUUUUUAUCAAAUGGUUUGGCAAGCUAUGCUUUAUAAAAAACGCAAAGGAAUCCAAGGGGAUCAAAGAUUCCAAAAUCGAUAUUUAGAUUCAAGAUUUUGUAUCCCCAUGCUUUGCUUCUUAUAUCUAUCAACAAUAUCUUGAUGAUAACAAACUAAAAAAAAAUAUUCAAGGGAAUCGAAGAUUUCAAAUCCAACUUAAUCGAUUGAUUAAAUGCUAAAGUUACAUAUUUUAUGUAAUUAAGUUGGUUAAUUUAUGAGAAUGCACCACUAAUUUUUCCAUAUUUGUUGAAUUUUGUGCAGGAAUGCAAUUUGGGGCUAAAUAGAAGAAAAAUGAAACAAUUGGGCCAAAUUAAAGAAAAAAGCAAAGAAUGAGGGCCAAAGUAGAAUUUUUCCAAUAUUAAUUAGCUGAAAAUUUUGUUGACUUAGUGGGGGAGAUUAUUUUGGGAUUUUUUUGUCAUGGAAUAUUUUUUUUCCUUAAUUUUCUAUGACUAGUUGGCUCAUAAUUUAGUAAAUCCUCUAGUAUAAAUAGAGCAUGUAUUGUUCAUCAAUUCAUUAAUCAAAAAAUAUUUAGCUUUUAUCUUUCAAUUCUCUCCUUUCUCACGUAGCCUUUGUUAUUUCUUAGUUUGUCUUCCUUCAAUUUAUUAGUUCCAGUAGCCAACCAUCCAUUUCACCUUUAUUUUCAACUUUUCAUAAAUUUAUUUAUUGUCUUUAGUUUCUUUAACUUUCAAUUCCUAAAACUUCCAGCUAGUUACUACUUACCAUUUACAACUCCUUUUUUAAAUUCCCUUUUUCAACCACCCCACUUUAAUAUAUAUUUUUCCACCCCUCAUACUCAAUCACGUCACCCAUCUUUUCACCCUUUCUACCUUAUUUAAUUUAUCAAAUACCAACAUGUCCCAAACCUUAGCCAACUAAACCCAUUUUCAGCUUUAAGCCGAAUUUAGCCUCUUCAAAACCCGUGAGUUACGAACCCGAGCCAUUUAACUCCUAAAAUUCCAGUACUUAUUACUUCUCCAGAUUAAGAGUAUGAUUUUGUCAGCUCACAGAGUCAGAUCAACAUUAAGUCAAAAAAGACGUCGUUUGAUUUAGUGUGGUUAGACGUACAGUUGGAAUUCCGAAAGGAACGUUUCUAAUCGGUUUUCUGUGAACACAUGGGCGUGCCAAGUGGAGAUAGCUGUUUGGUUCCGUCAAGGGAGGUAGUAACCGGAUUUAAAUAUCCCACACGGUUGAGGGUAUUGGUUCGAGUUAGGCUCUUCUAGAACGCAAAGCUGUCGGAGUUCUAAAUCACGAACGUUUCGUGGUUGUUCGAUCGGUAAGGGUUAGUUAUUGGACGUUCCAUAACUAAUUUACACAAGGAAGAGUUGGUGUACGGGCGUCCUUGGUAGCUAUAACUAGCUUAUUGGAAAAGAGGAGUUUAUCCAGUUUCGAGGAUCGGUUCAAAGACGAGGAAAAUUCGCGCCUAAAGCUGAGCUCAUUCUAAUUAAUUUUUCUUAAUAUUUAUUUCACAACUUUUAUUAUUCUGUUUUCAACUUUUACUUUUGACGUUAUUUUUCUGUUAAUUUCAGGUUUUCAAAUUUUUAUCCCCCCGAACGUCUUGGGCACGACAGCUGCCCUGACAUAAAUCUAGUCAAGCGAGCAACAAUUUACAGUAAACCAGUCUUUGAGGGAUCGACCCUACUCCCUAUACUGCAUAAUUUGCAAACUAAGGUGUAGGUUUCUAUUGGUGGAUUCGACACCCAUCAAUUUUGGCGUCGUUGCCGGGGACUGGCAACACUUACAAAUUGUUUAAAUCAUCUUCAUGACCAGAUCUUCAUCCGGAGAUCUCGAAUACGACCCAGAGAUCGAAAAAUUAGCACGAGCGCGACGUAAAGAGAUGAAAAUUCUUAAACGUGUAGAAGCAAUUGAAUGUGGAAAACAAGUCGAAGUGGUUGAACCUGAGACCGAACCACUUCCUGAAGCGAAAGAACCAGAAGACGGUUUUGGUGAACCAGAAAGGAUGGAGAACCGAACCAUUCGUCAGCUAGCCGCUGCACCCAAUGAGCAAACACCGUUAUGCAUCAAUUAUCUAGCCGGAGAAACCCCGUUCGAGUUGAAGUCUGGCCUAAUUCACCUUUUGCCCACUUUUCGAGGCUUGAAGAAUGAAAAUCCACACACUCACUUGAGAGAAUUCCACAUGGUCUGCUCAAGCAUGAAACCACAGGGAGUAACCGAAGAUGAAAUUAAACUUCGGGCCUUUUCAUUUUCUUUAGUUGAUACAGCAAGAGAAUGGUUAUUUUACUUACCCCCCGAUUCUAUUACAACAUGGGAUGACUUAUCUUGUGUUUUUCUUGACAGAUUUUUCCCAGCAUCGCGAGCAGCUGAACUGAGAAGAGACAUAGUGGGAAUUCGCCAAAUGGAGAGUGAAUCGCUCUACGACUAUUGGGAGCGAUACAAAAAACUGUGUGCAAGUUGUCCUCAACACGGUUUGACCGAGCAAUCACUUCUUCAGUAUUUCUACGAGGGUUUGCUCCCUAUGGAAAUGAAAAUGAUUGACGUUGCUAGUGGAGGGGCGCUUGUCAAUAUGACUCAUCAAAGGGCAAGAGAACUUAUAUCCACCAUGGCGGCAAAUUCUCAACAAUAUCGGCCAAAUUCAGAAUCCACAAGACGGGUUAAUGGGGUAAACGUUUCAUCAUUAGAAGAUAAAUUGGAUAAACUUACCAAUGUUGUUCAAUCUAUGCUUACAGAAAAGAAGAAUCUGACCCAACUGUGUGGAAUUUGUACUACAUCUGAACAUCCGACGGAUUUGUGCCCAGUCCUUAGCGAAAAUUCAACGGCACAUGUUGACGCUGUCAGAGGCUUUCCAGGACCACCACAAAGACGCUAUGAUCCUUUCUCCAACACCUAUAAUCCCGGGUAGAAGGAUCAUCCCAACUUGAAUUAUGGAGCCAAUCCUUGAUAUAAUCCGCCAUACUAACCGAAACCUUUGCAACCACCGCAACUGCCACCCAAGCCGAGUAUGUCUUUAGAAGCUGUUAUGGAGAGACUUGCAGCCGACGUUGCAAAAUACCAACAAAGUACAGACGCAUCAAUACAAGAGUUAACUAAUCAAGUUAGUAAACUUUCGAUGGCAGUUAGUCGUUUGGAAUCUCAAGGUAAAUUACCUUCCCAAACAGAGCCGAAUCCUAGGCAGAAUGCAAGUGCAAUAACCCUUCGUAGCAGAAAAGUUUUGGAAAUAGUUCCUGAUAAAAGUCAUGGGCAAGAAAAUGAGCGGGAAAAACAUAUCUCUGAUCCAAAAGCCAGCCCAGAAUCAGAAAUUCAAAAACCGAUUGUGAUGCCACCUCCUUUUCCAGGGAGGCUCGCAAAGGAUAAGAAAGAGAAGGAAGAGAAAGAAAUCCUCGAAACGUUCAGGAAGGUGAAGGUAAAUAUCCCUUUGCUCGACGUUAUCAAACAAAACCCUCGCUAUGCAAAAUUUCUCAAAGAAUUGUGUACUAGCAAGAAGAGGUUACUAGGUAACGAAAGAGUAAACGUAGGAGAAAAUGUCUCCGCGGUACUGCAAAAGAAAGUUCCGCCCAAAUACAAUGACCAAGGUAUGUUUGCUAUUUCCUGUGAGAUAGGUAAUGUAGGCAUUAAGAAAGCCAUGUGUGAUUUAGGGGCUUCCAUUAAUGUUAUGCCUUAUCCUAUUUAUAAAUUAAUUAACGCGGGUCCUUUGAAAAAGACAGGAGUAAUAAUCCAAUUGGCGGACAGGUCAGUCAUCUAUCCCGAAGGGUUGCUUGAAGACGUCCUUGUUAAAGUUAACGAAUUAGUUUUCCCUGCAGAUUUUUACAUUAUUAAUAUGGAGGACGAUAACUCAACUAAUUCGUCUGACAUUUUACUUGGAAUGCCGUUUCUAAGUACCGCAAGCGCAAAAAUUGAUGUUCAGAGUGGAACGUUAACAAUGGAGUUUGAUGGCGAGAUCGUGAAAUUCAAUGUCUACGAAGCCAUGAGUCAUCCUCACUCAUUAUCGAAUAUUUUCAGUAUUGAUAGUAUAGAUUGUUUAACUCAAAACUAUUCUGAAUAUUAUGACUUUGAUGAGUUGGAAACUAUCUUUUACAAAAGCAUUGACGUGGAUGCUUUAAGUCGUCUCGAAGAAUUAGCAGUUAUAGAAGAUCUGUUACGAGAAAUUGUCAAACACUUGGAGACGCAACCAUCAUUGACGAAUCGAGGUAAUCAAUAUGAACUAUUACCUUCCAAAAUUAAAAUGUUACCUUCGGUCUUGCAGCCACCAACCUUGGAGCUCAAAGCAUUACCAGACCACCUCAAGUACGUCUUUUUGGGAGAGAAAGACACCUUACCGGUGAUAGUGUCAAACAAACUAACCAAAGACGAGGAGGAAAGUCUAGUUCGAGUUCUGAAGGAUUAUAAGGAAGCUAUUGGUUGGACAAUAGCCGACAUAAAAGGGCUAAGUCCAUCUACCUGUAUGCACAGAAUUUCCAUCGAAGAUAACACAAAACCGAAGAGAGAUGCUCAGAGGCGCCUUAAUCCACCGAUGAUGGAGGUAGUAAAGAAGGAGAUCCAGAAACUGUUGGAUGCUAGAAUGAUAUACCCGAUCUCCGACAGUGAUUGGGUUAGCCCAGUUCAUGUCGUGCCCAAGAAAACUGGCAUGACAGUGGUGAAAAACUCAUCAGGAGAGUUAGUUCCUACCCGAGUCCAGAAUGGAUGGAAGGUUUGCAUCGAUUAUAGGAAGUUGAACGCAGCUACCCGAAAAGACCAUUUUCCACUUCCCUUCAUCGAUCAAAUGCUCGAGCGAUUAGCUGGUAAGACUCAUUAUUGUUGUCUCGAUGGAUAUUCAGGAUUUUUCCAAAUUCCGGUGGCCCCAGAGGAUCAAGAUAAAACAACUUUCACGUGCCCCUUUGGAAUGUUUGCAUAUAGACGAAUGCCGUUUGGACUCUGUAAUGCUCCGGGCACUUUCUAGAUAUGCAUGGUGAGCAUAUUCUCCAAUUAUGUCGAGCAAAUCAUCGAAGUCUUCAUGGACGACUUCACGGUGUACGGUAACUCUUUCAACGAAUGUCUCGAUAAUCUUGCUAAGGUAUUACAAAGAUGCCUAAAAUUUAAUCUUGUUUUAAAUUAUGAGAAAUGCCACUUCAUGGUUGACAAAGGAUUUAUUUUAGGUCAUAUAGUUUCCUCGGAAGGAAUUGAAGUCGAUAAGGCAAAAACGGAUGUUAUUAACUCAUUACCUUACCCUACAUCUGUGAGGGAUGUUCGUUCGUUUCUUGGCCAUGCAGGAUUUUACAGACGAUUCAUAAAAGACUUCUCGAAGAUUGCGUAACCACUUUGCAGUAUAUUACAGAAGGAUAAAGAAUUUAAAUUUGACCAGACCUAUAAAGAUGCAUUUGACGUAUUGAAGCAGAAAUUGGUCUCUGCCCCUAUAGUGCAACCACCAAAUUGGAACUUCCUGUUCGAAAUCAUGUGUGAUGCAAGUGAUCGAAGUGUGGGAGCUGUUCUUGGCCAAAGAAUAGAGAAAUAGCCUUAUGUUAUCUACUACGCUUCGAAAACCUUGGAUGCUGCCCAAAGCAAUUACACAACCACUGAGAAAGAAUUAUUAGCUGUUGUGUUUGCUUUAGAUAAAUUUAGAUCUUACCUAUUGGGAACUAAAGUGAUUAUUUCUUCUGAUCAUGCAGCUUUGAAAUAUUUGAUAGGGAAGAAUGAGGCAAAAUCUCGACUGAUUAGGUGGAUUCUGCUCCUACAAGAAUUUGAUUUUGAAAUCCGGGAUAAGAAGGGAUGAGAAAACUUAGUAGCUGACCAUCUGAGUCGAUUACCGAUUCCAGUAGAUGACACACCAUUAAAAGACAACUUCCCAGAUGAAAACCUGUUUUCAGCAAAUACGGUUCAUCCUUGGUACGCAGAUAUAGUAAACUAUCUCGUCACAGGUACUAUACCUUUAGAAUUACCAAGGUCUAAAAAAGAUAAGAUUAAAAAGGACGCUCGAUAUUACAUUUGGGAUGAUCCUUACCUAUGGAAGUAUUGCUCCGAUUAGGUAAUCCGGCGGUGUGUAGCAGAAAUAGAGGUACAGUCUAUCCUAACUUUUUGUCAUUCUUAUGCAUGUGGAGGACACUUUGGACCUAAACGCACCGCACAUAAAAUUCUCAAGUGUGGACUAUUUUGACCAAACAUAUUUCGUGAUGCCUUCUUAUUCUGUAAAACCUGUGAAAGAUGCCAAAAAGUCGGCAACCUUAGUCGUCGAAAUGAGAUGCCCCUUACUCCUAUUCAUAUUUGCGAAAUUUUUGAUGUGUGGGGCAUCGAUUUUAUGGGUCCUUUUAUUUAUUCUUUCGGUAAUUUCUAUAUACUCUUAGCUGUUGAUUACGUUUCUAAGUGGAUAGAAGCAAAGGCUACUCGCAAUGAUAAUGCUAAGACUGUGGUUGACUUUCUUAAAAGUUCUAUCUUUUCCAAGUAUGGCACCUCACGAGCACUAACCAGCGACAGAGGAACUCAUUUCUGCAAUAAACUCGUAAGUGCACUUAUGGAAAAAUAUGGAGUGACUCAACGAAUUGCCACUGCCUACCAUCCACAAACAAACGGACAAGCUGAAGUGUCAAAUCGAAAAAUCAAGUCCAUAUUGGAGAAGACUGUUAAACCUAACAGAAAGGAUUGGAGCUUGAGACUAAAUGACGCACUUUGGGCUUAUAGGACAGCUUACAAUGGACCAAUAGGCAUGUCACCUUAUCGACUUGUUUUUGGUAAACCGUGCCAUCUCCCGGUCGAAUUAGGGCACAAAGCAUUUUGGGCAGUUAAACAAUGUAAUAUGGAGAUGGAGACUGCAGGAAGGGCUCGAAGGUUGGACAUUCAGGAACUCGAGGAAAUUAGAAAUGAUGCAUAUGAAAAUGCUCAAGUUUAUAAAGAAAAGACGAAGGCGUUCCACGAUAAGAUGAUCACUAGGAAGCAGUUUUCAAUAGGACAGAAAGUUCUCCUAUACGAUUCCACCUUAAAAUUUUUCGCUGGUAAGCUUCGAUCCAAAUGGAUAGGUCCAUUCAUUAUAACUAAUUUAUUCUCGAAUGGUGCAGUGGAAAUACAAAGCGAAGAAACCCGGAAGUGCUUUAAGGUGAAUGGUCAACAACUGAAACCCUUCUACGAGAAUUUUCAAAUGCACACAGUUGAGGAGAUUGUUCUCGAAGAGCCCAAAAAAUUUAAAUAACAGGAUGUCGAGCUAACGACGUUAAACAAAGCGCUGUUGGGAGGCAACCCAAAUUUUCUUUUCCUUUAUGCAAAUAAAAUUUUUGGUAAAAUGGAAAAUGAAAAAUGCAUGUCGAGGAUUAGUUCUGUCUAAGGAAAGACUUGGUACUUAAGUAUGUCCAUUGUGAAUCACCUCUCUUUCCUGGGAACUUACUUGGCGCAUUUAUCACGACUAUUUUACCAAAUCUCGUAAUCUUGGUNNNNNNNNNNNNNNNNNNNNNNNNNNNNNNNNNNNNNNNNNNNNNNNNNNNNNNNNNNNNNNNNNNNNNNNNNNNNNNNNNNNNNNNNNNNNNNNNNNNNNNNNNNNNNNNNNNNNNNNNNNNNNNNNNNNNNNNNNNNNNNNNNNNNNNNNNNNNNNNNNNNNNNNNNNNNNNNNNNNNNNNNNNNNNNNNNNNNNNNNNNNNNNNNNNNNNNNNNNNNNNNNNNNNNNNNNNNNNNNNNNNNNNNNNNNNNNNNNNNNNNNNNNNNNNNNNNNNNNNNNNNNNNNNNNNNNNNNNNNNNNNNNNNNNNNNNNNNNNNNNNNNNNNNNNNNNNNNNNNNNNNNNNNNNNNNNNNNNNNNNNNNNNNNNNNNNNNNNNNNNNNNNNNNNNNNNNNNNNNNNNNNNNNNNNNNNNNNNNNNNNNNNNNNNNNNNNNNNNNNNNNNNNNNNNNNNNNNNNNNNNNNNNNNNNNNNNNNNNNNNNNNNNNNNNNNNNNNNNNNNNNNNNNNNNNNNNNNNNNNNNNNNNNNNNNNNNNNNNNNNNNNNNNNNNNNNNNNNNNNNNNNNNNNNNNNNNNNNNNNNNNNNNNNNNNNNNNNNNNNNNNNNNNNNNNNNNNNNNNNNNNNNNNNNNNNNNNNNNNNNNNNNNNNNNNNNNNNNNNNNNNNNNNNNNNNNNNNNNNNNNNNNNNNNNNNNNNNNNNNNNNNNNNNNNNNNNNNNNNNNNNNNNNNNNNNNNNNNNNNNNNNNNNNNNNNNNNNNNNNNNNNNNNNNNNNNNNNNNNNNNNNNNNNNNNNNNNNNNNNNNNNNNNNNNNNNNNNNNNNNNNNNNNNNNNNNNNNNNNNNNNNNNNNNNNNNNNNNNNNNNNNNNNNNNNNNNNNNNNNNNNNNNNNNNNNNNNNNNNNNNNNNNNNNNNNNNNNNNNNNNNNNNNNNNNNNNNNNNNNNNNNNNNNNNNNNNNNNNNNNNNNNNNNNNNNNNNNNNNNNNNNNNNNNNNNNNNNNNNNNNNNNNNNNNNNNNNNNNNNNNNNNNNNNNNNNNNNNNNNNNNNNNNNNNNNNNNNNNNNNNNNNNNNNNNNNNNNNNNNNNNNNNNNNNNNNNNNNNNNNNNNNNNNNNNNNNNNNNNNNNNNNNNNNNNNNNNNNNNNNNNNNNNNNNNNNNNNNNNNNNNNNNNNNNNNNNNNNNNNNNNNNNNNNNNNNNNNNNNNNNNNNNNNNNNNNNNNNNNNNNNNNNNNNNNNNNNNNNNNNNNNNNNNNNNNNNNNNNNNNNNNNNNNNNNNNNNNNNNNNNNNNNNNNNNNNNNNNNNNNNNNNNNNNNNNNNNNNNNNNNNNNNNNNNNNNNNNNNNNNNNNNNNNNNNNNNNNNNNNNNNNNNNNNNNNNNNNNNNNNNNNNNNNNNNNNNNNNNNNNNNNNNNNNNNNNNNNNNNNNNNNNNNNNNNNNNNNNNNNNNNNNNNNNNNNNNNNNNNNNNNNNNNNNNNNNNNNNNNNNNNNNNNNNNNNNNNNNNNNNNNNNNNNNNNNNNNNNNNNNNNNNNNNNNNNNNNNNNNNNNNNNNNNNNNNNNNNNNNNNNNNNNNNNNNNNNNNNNNNNNNNNNNNNNNNNNNNNNNNNNNNNNNNNNNNNNNNNNNNNNNNNNNNNNNNNNNNNNNNNNNNNNNNNNNNNNNNNNNNNNNNNNNNNNNNNNNNNNNNNNNNNNNNNNNNNNNNNNNNNNNNNNNNNNNNNNNNNNNNNNNNNNNNNNNNNNNNNNNNNNNNNNNNNNNNNNNNNNNNNNNNNNNNNNNNNNNNNNNNNNNNNNNNNNNNNNNNNNNNNNNNNNNNNNNNNNNNNNNNNNNNNNNNNNNNNNNNNNNNNNNNNNNNNNNNNNNNNNNNNNNNNNNNNNNNNNNNNNNNNNNNNNNNNNNNNNNNNNNNNNNNNNNNNNNNNNNNNNNNNNNNNNNNNNNNNNNNNNNNNNNNNNNNNNNNNNNNNNNNNNNNNNNNNNNNNNNNNNNNNNNNNNNNNNNNNNNNNNNNNNNNNNNNNNNNNNNNNNNNNNNNNNNNNNNNNNNNNNNNNNNNNNNNNNNNNNNNNNNNNNNNNNNNNNNNNNNNNNNNNNNNNNNNNNNNNNNNNNNNNNNNNNNNNNNNNNNNNNNNNNNNNNNNNNNNNNNNNNNNNNNNNNNNNNNNNNNNNNNNNNNNNNNNNNNNNNNNNNNNNNNNNNNNNNNNNNNNNNNNNNNNNNNNNNNNNNNNNNNNNNNNNNNNNNNNNNNNNNNNNNNNNNNNNNNNNNNNNNNNNNNNNNNNNNNNNNNNNNNNNNNNNNNNNNNNNNNNNNNNNNNNNNNNNNNNNNNNNNNNNNNNNNNNNNNNNNNNNNNNNNNNNNNNNNNNNNNNNNNNNNNNNNNNNNNNNNNNNNNNNNNNNNNNNNNNNNNNNNNNNNNNNNNNNNNNNNNNNNNNNNNNNNNNNNNNNNNNNNNNNNNNNNNNNNNNNNNNNNNNNNNNNNNNNNNNNNNNNNNNNNNNNNNNNNNNNNNNNNNNNNNNNNNNNNNNNNNNNNNNNNNNNNNNNNNNNNNNNNNNNNNNNNNNNNNNNNNNNNNNNNNNNNNNNNNNNNNNNNNNNNNNNNNNNNNNNNNNNNNNNNNNNNNNNNNNNNNNNNNNNNNNNNNNNNNNNNNNNNNNNNNNNNNNNNNNNNNNNNNNNNNNNNNNNNNNNNNNNNNNNNAAGAGACGAAAGUUCUUAAACGUGUAGAAGCAAUUGAACGUGGAAAACAAGUCGAAGUGGUUGAACUUGAGACCGAACCACUUCGUGAAACAAAAGAAGCGAAAGACAACCUCGGUGAACCAGAAAGGAUGGCGAACCGAACCAUUCAGCUAGCCGCUGCUCCUAAUGAGCAAACACCGUUGUGCAUCAACUAUCCAGCCGGAGAAACCCCAUUCGAGUUGAAGUCAGGCUUAAUUCACCUUUUGCCCACUUUUCGAGGCUUGAAGAAUGAGAAUCCACAUACCCACUUGAGAGAAUUCCACAUGGUCUGCUCCAGCAUGAAACCACAGGGAGUAACCGAAGAUGAAAUUAAACUUCGGGCCUUUCCAUUUUCUUUAGUUGAUACAGCAAGAGAAUGGUUAUUUUACUUACCCCCGGUUCAAUUACAACAUGGGAUGACUUAUCUCGUGUUUUUCUUGACAGGUUCUUCCCAGCAUCACGAGCAGCUGAACUAAGGAGAGACAUAGUGGGAAUCCGCCAAAUAGAGAGUGAAUCGCUCUACGACUAUUGGGAGCGAUACAAGAAACUGUGUGCAAGUUGUCCUCAACACGGUUUGACCGAGCAAUCACUUCUUCAAUAUUUCUACGAGGGUUUGCUCCCUAUGGAGAUGAAAAUGAUUGACGCUGCUAGUGGAGGGGCGUUUGAGAACUGAUAUCCACCAUGACAGUAAAUUCUCAACAGUAUCGGCCGAAUUCAGAACCCACAAGACGGGUUAAUGGGGUAAACGUUUCGUCCUUAGAAGAUAAAUUGGAUAAGCUUACUAAUAUUGUUCAAUCUAUGCUUUCAGAAAAGAAGAAUCGGACCCAACUGUGUGGAAUUUGUACUACAUCUGAACAUCCGACGGAUUUGUACCCAAUCCUUAACGAAAAUUCAAAGGCACAUGUUGAUGCUGUUGGAGGAUUUUCAGAACCUCCACAAAGACGCUAUGAUCCUUUCUCCAACACCUACAAUCCCGGGUGGAAGGAUCAUCCCAACUUGAAUUACGGAGCUAAUCCCCGAUAUAAUCCAUCAUACCAACUGAGACCUUUGCAACCACCACAACAACAACCCAAGUCAAGCACAUCUCUAGAAGCUCUUGUGGAAAGACUUGCCGUCGAUGCUGCAAAAUAUCAACAGAGGACAGACGCAUCAAUACAAGAGUUAACUAAUCAAGUUAGUAAACUCUCGAUGGCAGUUAAUCGUUUGGAAUCUCAAGGUAAAUUACCUUCCCAGACAGAGUUGAAUCCUAGGCAGAAUGUAAGUGCAAUAACUCUUUGUAGCGCAAAGAUUCUAGAAACAGUUCCAGAAAAAAGUCAUGGGCAAGACAAGGAACGGGAAAAGCAGAUCUCUGAUCUAAAAGUCAGACCAGAAUAAAAAAUUCAGAAACCAUUUGUGAUGCCACCUCCUUUUCCAGAGAGGCUCGUAAAGGAUAAGAAAGCAAAGGAGGAAAAAGAAAUCCUCGAAACAUUGAGAGAGGCAGAGGAUCAAGACAAAACAACUUUCACGUGCCCUUCCGGAAUGUUUGCGUAUAGACGAAUGCCGUUUGGACUUUAUAAUAUGGAUAGGUCCAUUCAUUAUAACUAAUUUAUUCUCGAAUGGUGCAGUGGAAAUACAAAGCGAAGAAACCCGGAAGUGCUUUAAGGUGAAUGGUCAACAACUGAAACCCUUCUACGAGAAUUUUCAAAUGCACACAGUUGAGGAGAUUGUUCUCGAAGAGCCCAAAAAAUUUGAAUAACACAGGUCGUCGAGCUUAACGACGUUAAACAAAGCGCUGUUGGGAGGCAACCCAAAUUUUCUUUUCCUUUAUGCAAAUAAAACUUUUGGUAAAAUGGAAAAUGAAAAAUGCAUGUCGAGGAUUAGUUCUGUCUAAGGAAAGACUUGGUACUUAAGUAUGUCCAUUGUGAAUCACCUCUCUUUCCUGGGAACUUACUUGGCGCAUUUAUCACGACUAUUUUACCAAAUCUCGUAAUCUUGGUUUUUAAUAAUUUAUUUCUCGAGUUUAUAGCUUAGCUAAUAAAUUUGAAAAGAAAAAUUUAAUUUUCCUAUUGUUAUUAUUAUUUUUACUAUUUUAUUUUAUUUUCAUUUUUUUGCAGGAAAAUAUUCCAAAACAAAAUUAAAUUCCACAUGUCAACCCACAAAAUUCUUUUUAUUUCAGCCAAGGCCCACUCUAUCUACGAGACCACCCUCCACGACGUUGAAAUACAUGGGGAGUUUCUUUGUCUUUCUUUCUCCUACUUAUCUUUACUUUUAUUCUUUAAAUUACAUUGGGACAAUGUAAAAUAAGUAGGGGGGAGGGAAAUAUAAAUUGGUUCUAAUUUUCUUAUCUAUAAUCGCUAUUUUUGCAUGUUUUCGGUAAAAGGUAAAAUUUUUCUUUUGAUGGUACACUUAUGGCUUGACCUAUUUAGCUAUUUAAUUCUUUACACAUGAAACUUUUCAAUAACCUAGACUUAGUGGGUAAGAAUUUUUUUGGGAAUUAUGAGUUUGCUUGACUGCCUACUUUUUAUCAUAUGCAAAUUUUUGAAUGCAAAAAAAAAAAAAAUCUCCUCUGAUACGAAUGUUAAGAGUGAAAAAUUGGGGUUGUACAUCGGGCAGAGUAACCGGAACGUGGUGCUUGGGUUGUCAUUCCAUCUCGCGUAAAAAGGUUCGUGCGGCUGUCCAAUUUCUUUGCACUCACUCCGCUAACAAGUUAUCAUGAGUAGGGCGAAAUACUCACUUAGAGACAUCCGAAUUGAGUAACCGGAACAUGGUGCUUGGGUUGUCAUCAUGUCUCGCGUCAAAAAAUUCGAAAAUGUCCUAAGUACAAAAAUAAAUAAAUAAAAUAAUAAAAUGAAAGGUAAGUCUAUCAAGCUCUAAUAAAUUCUGAAAUAUAUUUACUUACUUCUUAGGCUAGGUUAUUUGAGAUGUUAAUGUGCUAGGAUUAAAUUGUGAAUUCUGCAAACCAUGAGGGUCAAGUCCUAUUUUGGAGAAAAUUUUUCCUUUUGCAGAUACAUACAAAAUGCUCGAGGACUAGCAUAAGCUAAGUAGGGGGGAUUUGAUUAAAUGCUAAAGUUACAUAUUUUAUGUAAUUAAGUUGGUUAAUUUAUGAGAAUGCACGACUAAUUUUUCCAUAUUUGUUGAAUUUUGUGCAGGAAUGCAAUUUGGGGCUAAAUAGAAGAAAAAGGAAACAAUUGGGCCAAAUCAAAGAAAGAAGCAAAGAAGGAGGGCCAAAGUAGAAUUUUUCCAAUAUUAAUUAGCUGAAAAUUUUGUUGACUUAGUGGGGGAGAUUAUUUUGGGAUUUUUUUGUCAUGGAAUAUUUUUUUUCCUUAAUUUUCUAUGACUAGUUGGCUCAUAAUUUAGUAAAUCCUCUAGUAUAAAUAGAGCAUGUAUUGUUCAUCAAUUCAUCAAUCAAAAAAUAUUUAGCUUUUAUCUUUCAAUUCUCUCCUUUCUCACGUAGCCUUUGUUAUUUCUUAGUUUGUCUUCCUUCAAUUUAUUAGUUCCAGUAGCCAACCAUCCAUUUCACCUUUAUUUUCAACUUUUCACAAAUUUAUUUAUUGUCUUUAGUUUCUUUAACUUUUAAUUCCUAAAACUUCCAGCUAGUUACUACUUACCAUUUACAACUCCUUUUUCAAAUUCCCUUUUUCAACCACCCCACUUUAAUAUAUAUUUUUCCACCCCCCAUACUCAAUCACGUCACCCAUCUUUUCACCCUUUCUACCUUAUUUAAUUUAUCAAAUACCAACAUGUCCCAAACCUUAGCCAACUAAACCCAUUUUCAGCUUUAGGCCGAAAUUAGCCUCGUCAAAACCCGUGAGUUACGAACCCGAGCCAUUCAACUCCUAAAAUUCCAGUACUUAUUACUUCUCCGGAUUAAGAGUAUGAUUUUGUCAGCUCACAGAGUCAUAUCAACAUUAAGUCAAAAAAGACGUCGUUUGAUUUAGUGUGGUUAGACGUACAGUUGGAAUUCCGAAAUGAACGUUUCUAAUCGGUUUUCUGUGAACACAUGGGCGUGCCAAGUGGAGAUAGUUGUUUGGUUCCGUCAAGGGAGGUAGUAACCGGAUUUAAAUAUCCCACGCGGUUGAGGGUAUUGGUUCGAGCUAGGCUCUUCUAGAACGCAAAGCUGCCGGAGUUCUAAAUCACGAACGUUUCGUGGUUGUUCGAUCGGUAAGGGUUAGUUAUUGGACGUUCCAUAACUAAUUUACACAAGGAAGAGUUGGUGUCCGAGGCGUCCUUGGUAGCUAUAACUAGCUUAUUGGAAAAGAGGAGUUCAUCCAGUUUCGAGGAUCGGUUCAAAGACGAGGAAAAUUCGCGCCUAAAGCUGAGCUCAUUCUAAUUAAUUUUUCUUAAUAUUUAUUUCACAGUUUUUAUUAUUCUGUUUUCAACUUUUACUUUUGACGUUAUUUUUCUGUUAAUUUCAGGUUUUCAAAUUUUUAUCCCCCCUGAACGUCUUGGGCAGGACAGCUGCCCCGACAUAAAUCUGGUCAAGCGAGCAACAAUUUACAGUAAACCAGUCUCUGAGGGAUCGACCCUACUCCCUAUACUGCAUAAUUUGCAAACUAAGGCGUAGGUUUAUAUUGGUGGAUUCGACACCCAUCAUCGAUUGAAAAUUUCACAUCCACUUAAUUAAUUCAAAUGAUAUUUAUUCAAUAAGUUUAAAUUAAAAACUGCAAGAAUCUUCAUUUAUCUUUUAUUCAAAAUGUAAUUCGGAUUCAAUGAAAAUAUUGAACAUAUAAUGUGUGCACAUGGAAAUGUCCAAAUCUUUAAAUAUAGGGUCGACAUGGGAGAAAUCUUUAAAAUUCAAUAUGAUCCUGUUGCUUUCGUUAUAAAACUCAAUAUCUUAUUCGGAUUAGGAUACGAGCGAAUAACAGCUAACUAUUUGUAGUUCAAGGUGUGAUAAAAUCUCAGUAGCUAAGAUAUGAAUGUUGCAAAAUACCAUACAAAAUCACAGCCACAUUUGUUGGUAUGACUAUUUUGGGUAAUCAAAGGAAAAAAAAUGUUAGCUGUUGAGCAAACAAGGUGAACAGAUUAGAUAUUCCAAUUCCGUUCAAGCACUUGACAAAUCCUUUCCGCAAUGGCUUCAGCACGCAUCCUAGGACCUUCAUCAUCUGCAAAAACGGACCAUUUCUAACAACUAAGCUAACAUCACACAUGAUAAUAUAUGUAUAUUACAUAUAUAGAAGAUGAUCAUGUGGAUUAAAAGCUAUUUUAGUUUGACUCAAUACAUGACCAUGGGACAUGCACAAUUCUUCAAUAACGAUAUGAAAAUACUUGGAAGAAAAAUUAAAUACAUCAAUAUCUAACAUUUACAUCUGAGUUCGAGUAAAGUAAAACAUGUCAUUCUAUCUAAACAUGCAAAAUAUCCAAAACUCUUGACGAAUGUUAGAUACAAAUAUGUAGAAUGUACCCAAAAUACCCAUCUCGAACUCAGUAGAGAAAUAUCUAGCACUCAAAAGACACUAGCUUCAACCAAGAACAAGGAAGUUUCUUCAAAGGCUUGAUAUACUUUCUUCACAGCCAUAUAUAUGUGUGCAUAUACCCAUAUUAAGGAUGAUUGUUUUGGCAAAGAGGAUGAGAAGAUAGAAAGAAAACCUUUAAUCCAAUGACAAUAUUUGAUUAUAACAACAUGACACAUAUAAUUGUGAUUAAAAUUGCGGUCACAAACAUGUUUGCAAUCACAUCAUGUUAACGAAUACUAUCACAAUCAAUUGCAAUAAAUAUCCACAACAAGAAGAGCCAGAAUCCUAAAAUAACAAAGAUAAUACAUUACAGCUAUUAAGGAAUUUUCAAUAACGUAUAUACCUGCAAGAUUUUCAGUGAUGACACAACAAAGUUCACCACCAGACAACUUCCCGAUCUAAUGAAAUUUUCAAACAUAUCAUGUCAUAAGUUUCAAGAUCAACUGAAACAUGAGGAUACCAAGUAUGAUAAGAAAUUAAAUUAAGGAUUUUCUACUGCAAACCUACCACGAAAACAUAAUUUUUAUUAGGAUCAAAGGCAUAGCCCAUCAUGGCAACAUUAUUGAGUCCAUUUUCAGAGGAAAAUCCUGAAACAUGUUACAGGCAAAUAUUAAGAAAAACAAUGCACAAGCGUAAGUACAAAAACAUAGCAUGCAAGAAAUCAAUACUUGAAAGGAUUAAAAUCACUGCUAACCUAAGACAUUGAAUCUAGCACCACUAGGAAAGAUCCAAAAUGAUACUUGUCUUUCAAUGUUGAGAUACAUAGGUCCAAGUCUGCCAUGUUGUGCCAAACGGGAAUUCAUCAACCUCUUGAGAACCUAAAGGAUGAAAAGUUCCAGUCCAAGUUAUAUAUAGACACACACACAGAUAGACAUGAAGAAAGUGGGUUAAUGGUGUAUUAUUUAAGUAAAGAAAAAGUUGAAAUCUUGAACCUAUAAAUAUUGGGUAACAGCUAGUGCUAAAAGUGCAUAAAGUUCUGCUAUUAUCUACAAGAAACAAUGGAGGAAUCACAUACAUUGUUUAUAUUCACUUUUCUUGCUACACAAGCAAGCUGAGGCCAUAAACAAAGGCAUACCUUUUUCUCCGUUUUUAAAUGGUUUUCUUCUUUUUUUGGCUGCUUUUUAUAUUAAGAGAGAGAGGUUGUGAGACCUCGUCAUCCUCAAGGAGUAAGUGGUCAAGCAUGAAGAUGAUGGGAAGACCACAAGUCGAUGGUGGUCGAUCCAUGAUUUGAUUAUGAGUAGUUUCAUGUUAUGAAAUAAAAAUGUUACCUAAAGUUAGUUGAACGCUGUGUUUUAGGGCUGAGGGUUUAAUGAAACUAUAAGUUUUGAUGUUGAAUGAAAAUGGUGCGUAUUGACAGUUGUUACAACUGCUCGAGGAACAGCCCUAUAACAGACUUUGUAACUGCCAAUUCUCAGCCAUAAUAGAAACCGGCAUGGGAAAUGAGCAGAUAUGCCAUUUUGUGAAGGAAAUCAAUUCUUUCUUCUUCCUCGAUUCUCUUUCUCUUCUCUCUUUUUCUUUCUUCCUCUAUUCUGUUGAAAUUAUGCAUCACUUCACCAGCAUUCAUCAUUGUGGACGUAUCUGAUCUUCAGUCUCUGGUUUACUGCCCAUGGAAAGUUAUGGAAAGAAAUGCAAAUUUAAAAGGUUUUCUUGCUAUUGUCUAUGCAAUUUCAUGUGUGCGUGAAAGGAGAUGAAGAUUAAUAGAGUAAUACUGAUAUACCAACAAUUCAUUAAUUGAAGUACUGUCAAUAUUAUCAACAAGUAACAGAAUUAAGUGAGUAUACUAAUAUAGUCUAGAAAAACAAUUUAAUUAAUAAUACCAUAGGGAUGGCAACAGGGUGAAGUUGCUAUUGCUAUUUAUAUCUCUGCUGUUAGCUUUUGACGACUUCAAGUAAACCUCAAUCACAAGUGUUGUUCUUAUUACCUGCAAAAACACAGCCAACAAUCUGAAUCCAUAUCCCCAUUUUAGGAACAAAUGCAUGGUGUACCAUUUGUUUCGAAGCCAAAUCAAUUUUCUUAAUUUUUCUUUAAGUAAAACCGUAUCUGACACUUAUAUUCAACACAUAUUCAUGUAUUGGUAUGAAGAUAUGACAUUCUUAUCCUAUACUCAUAUCCGUGCUCAAGUAACAUAAACUGAACCCGCAAGAUAACUGAUUUAACAUUGCAUUGCUGCUAGCUAUUGAUGAUUUCACCAAGUAAACUGCAAUCACAAGUGUUGUUCUUAUUCCUUGAAAAAACACAGUCAACAAUCUGAAUCCACAUUCCCAUUUUCGGAACAAAACCAUGGCGUACCAUUUGUUUCAAAGCCCAAUCAACUUCCUUUACCAUCUUCCCCUUAUAAAAACCAUGAAUCAACUUCUUGUAUGAAUCAAAACUAGGAUUAACCCUCUCGAAAACCAUUCUCCCCAUAAUCUCCUUUGCUUCCAUAAACCUCGCAGCAUCAAGCAAACCAUACAACACCUCUUGAUAAGACCCUGCAUUGGGAUAACACCCUUUCUUUUUCAUAAUUUCCAACAGCUUCACACCUUCAUCAAUCCUACCUUGUUUCCUAAGACCUGAAAUCAAGAUAUUAAAGCUAACAGCAUCAGCAUCGAUUCCUUCCGUUUCCAUCCUCCCCAUCAACUCAAAAGCUUCAUCAACCUUCCCCUUAUCGCACAACCCGUGCAUUAAAGUAGAAUAAGUUCUAACAUUAGGCUUACACCUUUGUUUAGGAAAUUCAUCGAGCAGUUGGAAUGCAAACUCUAAUUUCCCAUUUUCACACAACCCUUUAAUGAGAAUAUUCAGAGUACAAGCUUCGAUUUCAACACCCAAAUUGGGAGCUUUCCCAUAAACCUCGUGAACAACAUCAAAUAGUUUGUUCGAUACGAGUAAGCUCAAUACGAUAUUGAAGGUUUUAACACUAGGCCAAGUNNNNNNNNNNNNNNNNNNNNNNNNNNNNNNNNNNNNNNNNNNNNNNNNNNNNNNNNNNNNNNNNNNNNNNNNNNNNNNNNNNNNNNNNNNNNNNNNNNNNCGGAUAAACGACAGGCUUUUUCACGUUUGAGCUUUUCCAUUAUAUUUUCAAUGGAAUCAAAAUCCUGGGCAUAUGCGAGCUUGUUGAUGAGCAAAGUGAAGAGAGGUUCAGUUGGUUUAUAAUCCUUGCGAGCUGAGUAUUGGGCUAGGACUGAAAUGAGAGAGUUUGGAUCUUUAAGAUUGUCAAAGAUUUUGAGGAUUUCGGUCGGGGAGAGCCAGUCUUUGUGGGUUAGUUUGAAAAGGGGAGGGGAAGUGGUGUAGGUUGGUUGAUGGUAGCUGGAAAAUGACGAGAAAAACGAAAGGGGUUUAAGAGAUGAGAUUUUAGUGGCGAUUGGAUGGUGAAAAAGCGAGGGAAAAUUUUGGGGGUAAGAGCUUUUGACAGAAGAAAGAAGGGAACGUGAAAUCAUGCGUUUGGCCAUUGGAAAAAGUAGAAACUGGAGAGCUAAAAGCUUUCUGCUAUUCCCACUAUAAACGUAUAUAGGGUAAGGGAAAGGCUUAAUACUUGUUUUGUCCCCUGUAAUAUAGUGAAAAUCUCAUUUUAAUCCCUGUAAAUUGCCUGCUUACUUUCAUUUCGUCCAUCAUGUUAGUCUAUUGAUCAUUUCCGUAAAUCCCAUGUGUUAGGGUUCCUAUAUUAUGGUAUUCAUCCAUAUACUUUAACCCUCCACGUAGUCUAAAUCAAUUGGCUUAAAUGAUUACACACGAGGAUCACUAUAGUAUAAGGACCAAAGUGAGAAUUUUAUUAUUAAUUAAGUGAUGACCACGUAAACAUGCACUAAUUUUUUUAUAUGGAAAUGGUCAAUGGAUUAAAGUGAUAGAUGAAAUAAAAGUAAAGGGCGCAAAGUGAUUGGAAAAGUAGUAAAAGGUUGGAAAAUAUGAAGAGAUUGUAUGAUGCAAAACUUAAAUAAUUUAUCUACUGAAAUUGAGGUGUAUUAUUUCGAAGUAAUGAAUCAUUGUUAUUGACAACUAUAUAUUAUAUCUCUUUGAAAUGUACAAAUAAAUUAAUGGGCAGAAUGUUUAUGAAUGUCAAAACUUUAUUUUUGCUUCUUCUUCCCUUCAAGAAUUGGUUGGAUUUGGAGAUGCCUAUUGAAAGCCUGGUUGAAAAGGAAUCGAGUUUGGAAUGCCGAAAUGAUCAGAAGCCAUGCCAAUAUAGCAAUCGGAGAGAAAAGGAUCGAUCCCAUUCCGUAAUCAUAUGCCUUAGCUAGUACCUCAGUGAACUGCCAGAGUCCGGUGUUCUCAAUAAUUGGCCUCAUAGCUUGAGCAACCUGAAGGGAACUAAAAUGUCAGAGGGAAUAAGGCAAAAGAUGCAAACUAUAGACAAAAACUAUAUGCCGAUCCUCUAAAUAUAUGAACAAAUUUAAAAAAAAAAAACUUGGGCAUGCCCGUAUUUGAUACUUAUUCUUGAAUUCGAGUAACAUAGUCAACUAGACAUACCAAAAUCAGACCCCAUCCAGUCGGCAGAAAUGCAAGACAGCAGACAAGUAAAUCCUUGGACGACAGUUCACAGGUGACUGAGAGAGUGAUAACAAUGGCCGAAAUCCUUUACAAUUGCUUGAUUCCUCAGUCAUAUUGCCCUGGAAUCUUCGGAAGUCAAGACAAGUCUAGCUCAUCAGCUUUGCCAUUCAUCUUGAAACUCCAAGCCAAUAUGUCGUGCGUGAACCGAGGCUAUAUAAACAAUGCAAAUAAAAUAUAUGAAAUUACGGUGUACAAUAAGUAUAGAGAUUAAAUUGUAAUAUAGUUUUAGAUUUAUAAUGAAAUACGAAAAUAUUUCAAAAAUCGUACUCAAAGAAAGUAUGAACUAAAAUUGAAUUAAACAUUAACAAAGAAUAUGUAAAACUAAGUCUAAAUAGCUACUUCCUUGAUUAUGAUAGUAUGAUUAAACAUAAACUGAAAGUAUAAAAUUGGUAGACAAAUCAAUUAGAAAUGACAAACAAUAGUUCAUUAAUAUCCAUGAUUGUAAUUAAUCUAGACUUAUUCUACCAAUUAAUCAAUUUAGUCCACUUAUCUUUCGACCUAAUGGAUCUAAAUGGGACAACUGAAUCAGUUCUGGAUAAAAUCUCCUUUCAAUCUCAUCUACCUAAAUUUCCAUCUAGAGUCAUCAAUUUGAUCCAUUUAAUCAAUUCAAAACCUUAAAUUAAAUUAACUAUUCCCACAUCAAUUAAGCAACUUUCUUAAAAAUUUAGUUAAGACCCAUUCUAAUGAUAUCAGACCCACUUAAUCCGUAAACCAUCAAUAAAGUUAAUGAUAAGAACGAAUAGAGUUGAGGGAUGCUCAAUAAUUUGUGGAGAUCCUCAUAAUGAAAGCGUGAAAUAAAAAAUAAAUAUAUUUUUANNNNNNNNNNNNNNNNNNNNNNNNNNNNNNNNNNNNNNNNNNNNNNNNNNNNNNNNNNNNNNNNNNNNNNNNNNNNNNNNNNNNNNNNNNNNNNNNNNNNCACUUUAAUUUCCUUCUGCUUAAAUUAGAUGUUUUAAGUUAAUUUUUAGUUUUGAACAUGUUAAAUUGCAGGAUAAUGAGACGCCACUGACCUUUAUUCGGAUGUAGCAUUGCAUUUACAUGUUUGGUUUGCAGUGACCAUUCAUAAAUUUUGCUGUGACUACCCUGUUGCUAGUUCUUUUUUCCUACUUCGAUCUGCUCAAGUCUUUUAUGAUAUAAUUAAAUGUAAAAAUAUAUGUAAUAGUAGAAGCCAAGACAGGAUAUUGUAAAAUUGAUCAUUUUGUUUUUAAUGACCAUUUGUUCUCAUCUUUUUUCAUUUUUCAUAAAUGUGUCCAAUAUAUAUUUAUUGAAUAUAUUUAUGCUGGACACAUAUCCCAAUGUGGUACACUAAAUCUGAGUCAUAUUGUGCAAUAUUAGUGAAUUAGUAGUUGGUGCAGAAUCAUAUACAUCGAUGUUCUGUCAUUUGUUGAAGAUAAAAGAUCCAAAGCCUCCAUUAUUAAGAAGAAAAAAAGAAAGAAAAUUGGAUAUUCGAUUCUUUCUAGAUUUAAAAUAUAGAUAUUUGUAAUAUUGAGAUGAUAAACGAUUAAUAAAUGGAUUAAAUAGGAUCUAAUGUCGGGGAAAUCACUAAUAAAAGCCCUUUUUUUUAAAAAUUUAUCGAAAUGGGCCGACUUUUUGAUUAUUUACCGGAAUAGGUCAUUUUCCGCGAAAUCGCGUCCACGUCAGCGCGAUGUCAAGGUACGUGUCAGACAUCGCGUCCACGCUAGCUCGAUUUGCUGACGUGGAAGGAAAUCGCGCCCCCUAGGGCGCGAUUUGCUGACGUGGCAUGAACAGUGUGUUUUUAGCUUGGAAAACUUUGAAAGGCCAUAACUUUUGGCUCGGUUGUCCGAUUGAGACGAAUUUUUUUUGAUUUCGAAUAAAUUUUCGAGAUCUACGCACUUGGCAAACAGCCGAAGGUGGUUUGCUGAAGUUUUCAUCAAAAAAGAUCCUUUUUUGCCCCUAAAUUUUGAUUUUUUCGGUUUAAAAUUGAAUUUUGAAACAUUCAAAUAGUUAUUUUCCUCAUUUAUUUGAAGUAAACACCGGAUUUUUUUUGCAAAAUUGUCUGAUAUCAUCCUAUUAUAGGUAUAAGUCAGCUCAUUCCACUUUUGAGAAGUUCCCUAAAAUUUUUUAUUUUAUUCAAUUUAGUCCCUAAAACCUAAAUAGUCAUAUUUUCAAAUCUAAGCUUCAUUUUUCAAUUCAAAUUCAAUUUCAUCCUUCCAUAACAUUCAAAUAUUCUUAAAUACAAAAAUUUUAUGCUAAUUUUGAAAUAAUUACACUUUAGUCCCUAUACUCGUAACUAACAAAUUAUACUUUACAAAUUAGUCCCUAUUCAUCUCUAAGCAGUUUUCCAGUGCGUAGAUCUCAAAAAGUUAUUUGUAAUCAAAUAAAAAUUCGUCUCAAUCGGACAACCGAGUCAAAAGUUAUGGCCUUUCAAAGUUUUCCAAGCUAAAAACACACUGUUCAUGCCACGUCAACAAAUCGCAUCCUAGGGGGCGCGAUUUACUUCCACGUCAGCAAAUCGCGCUGAUUUGGACGCGAUGUCUGACACGUACCCUAACAUCGCGCUGACGUGGACGCGAUUUCGCGGAAAAUGGCCUAUUCCGGUAAAUAAUCAAAAAGUCGGCCCAUUUCGGUAAAUUUUUUAAAAAAAGGGCUUUUUUUGGUAAAAUAGCCUCUAAUGUCUAAUUACAAUCCAAGAGGAACAGGCUCCUGCCGCCAUAAAAAAUUCCAUAAUUACUUAUUUUAUUGUAUUUUUUGAUAACACAUUGAUUAUUGCAUGGAACAUUGGUUAAGAACAAAAAAGGAACCAAUAACAAACAAUAUCCUCAAACAUAUUAAAAUGACAGCUCCAAAUCCUUACUUCAAUUAUUGUUGUGUUGGGUUUAUUUUGGAUUAGCUAAUGGAAAUAAUUGAAGCUCAGCGUGACAGCAAAUCAGGUUCUUUUUCUUCUUCCUCUGUCCUUUCUCUCUUUUUAGAUUCAUGUUCAUUUCGUGUUUAUUGCAGAUGUUGUCUGAAUGAUUUCUAUGAAUAUUAACGGCAGCAAAGCUGAAACCGUAAAAUAAUGAUCCAGUAAAGUUGGUGUCGCAGUUUCUAUUUAAAUCGCAAACAACUUCCCUAUUAAUCAAACAAAUGCUGUAAACUUGAAUGUCAUGAACAUGUCAAAAAUCAUACCUUGUAGUCAUGUAUGAAUGUGAGGAAAAAUGAAGAACAGAGAAACACAGGUGAUACCUGUCAUCAAUAAAAUUAAGGCCUAGAUUUCACUCUUGCAGCAAUGUGUUAUAGCUAGGACUAUUAAGAUUUAAGACAUUAGUACGAAGGUAUGACCUGCCAAGGUCAUGGAAAGAAAUGAAGAUAUUGCAGGCAUACUUGUCUACGACACUCAUACCCUCUUUCAAGUAACUUAGCUACCAUAUGCUGCAGCAGCACCCUUUCUUUUUGUCUUAAAAACAAUUCAGGAACCAUCUCUGAUAAUGUCCUUCCAUGCCAUUGCAGAACCUCAAACACUUCAUCCAGAGGAAUCAACCACCACCACCACCGAUCAACCUCCAUAUUCAGCCCUGACAACCACUGGAAACCGUGGCUUCUAAUAGAACUCAACAUCUUAUUCCUCCUCGCCGGUCAAUCUGCAGCCGUUCUGUUAACCAAAUUCUACUUCAACAAUGGAGGAAAAAGUAAAUGGAUGGCAUCUCUCAUGCAAACAGCUGGUUUCCCUCUCCUUUACCUCCCACUUCUCUUCUUCCCUUCCUUUAACAAGCAGUCCCCAAGCUCCUCUAACAACAUAACCCAUUAUGUGGUCUACUUUUCCCUCGGUUGUCUGCUAGCCAUUGAUAACUUCAUGUAUACAGUUGGCGUUAAACCACUUUCCAUUUCAACAUAUUCCCUCCUUUGUGCAAGCCAAUUGGUAUUCAACGCCAUCUUUUCGGUGGUUAUCAACUGUGAAAAGCUCGGUAUCCUAACGCUUAACUCGAUCAUCUUCAUUACCGUAUCAGCUUCAAUGGUUGCAAUUCAUCCCGACAGUUCUGAGACCAAAAGAGAUGAGAAAAAUCCAGUAAGAAAGAAUGAACAUACCAUUGGGUUUAUAUCAACAAUUGGUGCUUCUGCAGGCUAUGCUUUAUUGCUGUCUCUAACACAAUUCUCAUUUGACAAAAUACUGAAAAAGGACACAUUUAGUGUUGUGUUUGAAAUGCAGAUUUACACUUCAUUGGUUUCGAGUUUCGUUUGCUUGUUGGGGUUGUUUCUGAGUUUGGAAUUCAUGGAUUUAAAGUCCGAAAUGGAGAAAUUUGAUGAAGGGAAGGUGAUUUAUGUAGUGAGUUUGAUUGGAAUAGCUUUGGCAUGGCAGAUUUGUACAGUGGGAGUAGUGGGAUUGAUCUAUUUGGUGUCAUCUUUGUUCUCAAAUGUUGUGAGUAUGCUUAGUUUGCCAUUUGUUCCAGUUGUUGGUGUUCUGCUUUAUAAGGAGAAAAUGGAUGCAAUUAAGGUGUUGGCAAUGUUAUUCACUCUUUGGGGAUUUGCUUCUUAUAUCUACCAACAAUAUCUUGAUGAUAAAAAGUCAAAGAAAAAGGAAUCCCAAGAAAUCGAAGAUUCCAAAUCUGAAGUUUAACUUAAUUGAUUGAAGAUUCCAAAUCAAAGUAGUGGCUAUGCUUUUCACUCUUUAGGGCUUUUCUUCCUACCUGGGAAUCCAAGGGGUCAAAGAUGCAUAUGUACAUGUCUACCAUACACGUUGUAUGAAUAAACAGUAAUUGUUUUUUUAUUAUAAGAAAAUCAAAAGGUUACUCUCUUCUCAUUUUCUAUUUUGUCCAAAUUAUAGAUAAAUACAAAAUAAUGAGUAUGGUUGUUUAGAUAUAUUUUUAUAAAUUUUUUGAGGCUCAAAAUAUAUUUUUCCAAUUUUAAGUAUAAAAAUAUUACAAAUUUUAAAUAUGGAGAAUAAUUUAGAGGCGAAAGAUAUUGAGACUCAACAUACUUUUUUUAUUAUAUAAUUAAUGUUGUGGCUAAAUCUAUUGUUAAAGUAAGUUGGUGUGCUGAUAAAAACAAACUUAUGAGAAAUUAAUGAAAGUUUUAAGAUGUGUAUCAAUGCUACUUUCUUUAAGAUUCUAUUCCUCCCCACCUAUAUUGUGAUGUGCAAAAGAGUUAUUUACAAAUGAACCUUGAGAAUAUAAUAAAAUCCAUUGAUUGUUUACAUUUUGCAUUGACGGAAACAAUCCUCUAAACACUAAGCGGAACUUAGCAAUGAUACCAAUUUUUAUAAAAAAAAUUUUGUUGUAGUUUUUAGGAGAGAGAACGUGAAAGUAUGCCCAGCAGAACGCACUUUCCCUAAGUUGCAAAUUUUUUUAUUUUUUUAAUACAAUCAAUUUCAUUGGUAGAAUUAUUAUAUGUUGGUAGUUUUAUCUUGAGUAUCAGGUUCAAUUCCUCUCCUAUUUACAUUUAUAUUUUAUAUUUCAUGUUGUUUGAAGCUUCUUUUAUUUUUUAAUGAAUAUUUUUAAUAUAUUAACUUCUUUAAUUAAAUGUAUGUUAAAUAAUAAUGACUUCAAUUUUGAGACCUAGGUUUAAUUCCUCUUUUCUAAACACAUUCAUAAUUUUUAUUUCAUACUGUUUCACGUUUUUUAAUUAAUAAAUAUAUUAUUUUUAAUUUUUUAAUUUUAAUUUAUCUUUUUAAUUAAUAAAUUUUGAUUCAUAAAAUCAAAUAAUAAAUAUAUUUACUAAAAAUAAUUAUAUUUAUAAUAAUUAUUUUAUUUUAUAAAUACGAAUAUUUAAAUAUAUAUUUGUUGGUCACGGACCCAAAUUGAAAAGAAAACUUAAAUAAAUUUAAAAGAAUAAAAUAUAAAAGAAGCAAAAUUAAGAGUGAAUUUUAUUUAAAAAAACUCUCCAAAGAAAAUUGAUAAAUAAAACUCUUCAAAUUGAAUCACUCAACUAAAUUAUUGAAAAAAACUAAAUUUUAUUCAUGAAUCGCAUGUUUACGAUCGGCAGUAUGCGUGGUUAUUUAUAUAACUGUUCAUGGGCAAAAUCCGCUUUAAAAAUAGGAAGUUUAGUAAAAAUAUAUAUUCGAAAAAUAGAUUUAUAUAAAAAAAUGAGACUCGUUUAAAAAAUAAGCUAGGCCACAGGCAAAGCUUUUUCGGCCUGAGCCUGGCCCAAAUAUGUAAAAAAAAAAUUACAGUUUUUUAUUGCAGUUUUUUUAUUGUUAUUUUUUUUCACUAUUUUGCUACUAUUUCACUAUUAUGUUGUUAUUGUAUAACUCUUGUUUUAUUGUUAAAUUUGUUACUAUUUUAGAGACAUUUACUUGUUAAGUUGCACUUAUCUUAGUAUUAUUUGAGUAUACAUAUUUUUUAAAAUUUAUUUUUCAAUUUUUUGGGAAACAUAUAUUUUAAUGUUUUUAGUAUUUUUGAUGUAUUUUUUUAAAGAAAAUUAUAUGAACCGGACCACGUUUUAACAUUUUUAUCUGAACCGAACUCGGAAAAAAUUUUAGAUCCAUUUUUUAUGCCAAACCCAAGUCUAACAAAUAGACCUAAAAUUUUAGUUAGGCAUGACUAUGAACACCUCUAAUUAUUUAUAGCUAAAAUUCCCUGUAAGUUAAAUAUAAUUUACUAAAAAUUUCAGUUGAUUUACUUGUUAUAUUCAUCACCUAAAUAAAUCAACAAAUAAAUCACGAAUUAUCCCUCUAAGCUGCAAUAUGAACCUUCCAUCAAUUGUGUCUAGGUUCAGUCAUUUUAUUUCAUAAAUAUUCUUAAUUAAAAAAAUAAGGAAAAAAUGUAAUUUAUUCUAAUUAAUUGUUGAGAAAAAAAUAAAAGAAAUUGUUAGAACCUCAGUUUAUUCUUUCUUCAAUUUGAUGUUCGGACAAAUAUUUGAAUAUAGGUAAAUAAACACAUUAAUGCAGGAAGUAAAGAAAGAAGAGAAAUAAACACAAAUUCAAAACGUGAGAAAAAGAGAUAAGUAAAGAGAGAUUCAAUACAUGAUAUUUGUUAAUGUAGUUUGGAUUCAUCAAUUUUACAUCUGUGGAGUCUCGCUCAAAACUUAAUUUUAUUCAAUAGUUUAUCAAGUACAACUAUGGGCUAAAACACAUUUCCCCCUCUCCCGAUGGAUAAUUGCAACUCUAAAGACGCAUAUCCAAGUAAAACAUCCAACUUGAUUUUCAAGUAAAGUGAUAAGGAUAAAUAUAAGAAUAUUAAGUAAUCUCAAACUCUUUACUCUUUUUCUCUAAGCCAAUCGAAAAGACAAGAAUGUUCAUUCCAUAGUGUAGCACGAAUUUCCAUUUUAUUUGCUGCUUAGAAAUAGAUAAACAUUAAUUAUAUGUUAAAAAAUGCGAGCACUUAAAUUGAUCUUGAGCUGUUUUGAAAGUAUGUCCAAAUUGCAAUCCAAGCAUGGCAAAAACAUGAUGUCCGAUAAAUAAACUUUAGAAGUAGGAUAGCUAAGGUCCUAACAGUUGGGAAAAUCAUUUUAGAAAAUAAUAUUUUUAAUCACAAUGAAAGUUUAAAAAUUUUCUUUAAAACCAAGUCAUUGUGAUAUUUAUAACAAUAAACUUUAACUAAAAUUAUACUAUUUUCUAAACUUUACAUUUAAAUGAAAGUUUUUGUGGCCAAGAAACAUUGUGACCGAUUAAAUCUGUUCGAGGAAAUGCAAUCUUUUGAAACAAUUUCCAACUUUAUUCAUUGUUUAGGUAUUACAACUUACAUAGGCAAUCUCUUUUGUCCGUUAUUUCGAAAGGUGAGCAAUAUCUUGCUAUGGCUGUCCCUUGUAACUGGAAAGGCAAGUUUUAGAUUAGUCCAAGCUUCAAUAGUCCAAAUAUCAUCAAGUAUCAUCAGACAUUUUUUAUCUUUCAAAACGUUAAAUAGCUUCUUUGCUAAUUCAUCAUCUCUUUUUUUUUCUGUUGUUUUCAAUUAAAGUUUUCAAAUCAAAUAGAAUAUUUUUCUAAACUUUUCUAGCAUUAUUGAGAAACAUAUGUGAAAGCUAGGUGAUCGAAAUUAUCAAUAACUUCACAAUAAUGAUACAUUUUUUUAGCAAGAGUGGUCGAAAAUAUUAUCAUCCAUAAUAUGAGGAUAAGGCCACCUUCAUUCUCACUUUUCAGUUGACGAACUUGAUCCUUUUUCUCCAUGCUUUAAUUCCUUUAUAUGAGAGGUCUUUAACCAGUUUUUUGGAGCCAUCACCCUUCGUUCAAAAUGCACAUUGAUCUUUUAAUACAACUUGGAAGACUAUCUUUGUUUUUGGACCCAAUCUUGAGAGCAAAAUUCUCAACAACAUCCUCAACAUCAUAAGCAAGCUCUUUAAUAACAAUGAAAAUUAACCAUAAAACAAAAUUGAAGGGAACUUUAAAAUGUUUUUUAAUAUUAACUUGGGAAGUACUUUAAAUGUGAAAAUUGGGUGUUUACCCAAAUGAUGAAUGGAUGUCUCCUAGGUAAAACUCCCUCAAUCUAAUGGUUACAAAUUAUAUAAGUGUACAAUCGGAUUGUGAUUUCUAGAAUAUUUUAUAAACUAAUAAAUUAAAAAUUAUUUGGUGAAUUAAUAAAAUAUAAGUGUUCAAUAUAAUUGUAUAAUUAAUAUUUUUGGGUUCAUCUAUUUUUACUAUGUGCUUUUUAAAAAAAAAUUAUUUUUGGGUUCAACUAUUUUUACAUUUCUUUUAUUUACUGAAAUUCAUUUUUAAUUUUCACUAUUUUUUAAAAAUUUAUUUUUAAUUUUUUAUACAGAUAAUAGAAACGAUAUGGAAAUGAAAGAGUUAAAGGAAAAAACAUAGUUAAACAUUGUGCAAGGCUUCCAAUAGCCAUUAUUGUAUUGGGAGGAAUUUUGUUGUGUUAACUUUAAGUUAUGGUGAUUUAUCUCUUUAUUUAAGACCAUGUUUCCUCUAUUUAAAGAGUACCUAAAUACAGUCUCAAAACAAUUGGUGAGAAAGUUGAUCAAUAACCUAUUUAUAAAUUAAUAUAAAAAUUUCUUCAGCAGUAUUUUGAUGAAUUUUAAAUUUUUAUUUAAAAAUUAAAAAUAUCUCUUUAAUUAUCUCAUAAAAAAAAUAAAAAUCAAUGACAAUAUGGAAAACAAGGUGAAUUGAUGGAAACUUUCACAUUUUUUUUAAAUUUAAGAGCUUAAAAAAAAUCCAAAGGACUAAAAAUUGAUAUUUUAGAAGACGAGAAAGAAAUAAAAUGGAGAAUUAUUUAAAAAUCAAAAUUCAAAAGUUCAAUAAGAGAUUGGGAUAAUAAUUUUUUUAAAAUAAAUUAAAAAAAUUAAAACAUGAGAAAUCUGUUGACACCAUUUUUUUGAUAAAAACGAGGUCGACUUGGGUUUUGAAAAAUGAAAACGAAAAUGAGAGUCGCCACCGAUCCUUUUUGAUGAGGUGUGAUCGGGUCAUCUUGAAAAGUGAUUGAUUUUAAUAAACGAUUUGAUUUUAUUAAAACAACAAGUUUGGUCCACGAAAUUCAAAAAAACGGAUUCGGGAGUCAAUUACGCACAAGAAAGGAUUAACACCCUCGAUACGCCCAAAAUUAGUACCUAGUUGAUUACUUAAUGUCUUAGUGUCAAAAAACUGAAAAAUUUAGAGAGAUUUAAAAUACGAUCCUUAAAAAAACUAGGAUGAUAUGGAUUGAAAUUCAAAAGGAUAUUUGGCAAUUUGGUUAAACGAGAAAUCGAAACCCAACACGUUAGGGCACGUUCCUCGAAUUUCCAAACGCAAAACAUUGCCUUACUUUGAAAUUUUUAAAAAGGUAUUUAGUCAUUUGAUUGAAUGAGAAAAAUCGACACCCAACACCUUAGGGCACGUUUUCUCGAAUUUCCAAACGCAAAAUAUUGCCUUAUUUUAAAAAUUUUAAAAGGAUAUUUAGCCAUUUGAUUGAACGAGAAAAAUCGACACCUAGCACCUUAGGGCAUGUUUUCUCGAAUUUCCCAAACGCAAAAUAUUACCUUAUUUUAAAAAUUUUCCUUUUUUGAAAUAUGAUAUUUAUAUGCAUAAUAGAAUAAUAAACAUGAUAAUGUGAAUAAAAAAUAAACAAAAAACGAAUAAUAAAAUAAAUUGAUCCUGCAUAUACCAUAGCAAAUAAAUAAAUAAACUAAAACAUGAAAAUGAACAUAUAAAUAAAUACAUAAAUGAACAUAAAAAAACAAUGAAGGAGAAUAGAUGAAAAUUAUAAAAUAUGGACAUGUGUAUGUACAUCUAAGGGAAAUACAUAUAUGUAUAUACAUAAAAUUACGAAAAUAUGAAAAUAUUUAUAAGAUAUAAAAAAUAUAAGUAUUUACAUGUAUAUGUGCAUAAAUUAUAAAAUACAAAAUAUAUAAAAUAUAAGUAUGUGUGUUAUAAAAAAACGUGUAUAUGUACAUAAAUUUAUAAAAACAUGAAAUAUAUAUAUAUAUAUGUAUUCUAAAAUUAUUAUAUCAAAUAUAUGUAUAAGUAAACAUGUAUAUAUAUACACGUAUAUAUCUAUCAUGAAAUAUAAAAAAUAUAUAUAGAUAUAUAUGGAUAUGUAAACAAAUUAUAAUAUAUACAUAAAAUAUAUAAGUAUGUAUAUGUACAUAUACAUGUAUAUGAAUUAAAACAUGGAUGUAUACAUAUGUAUAUAAAAAUAUGAAAUAUAAAAAAAUAUAUAUUUAUAAUAAAUAAAAAGUAUGUACGUAAGUAUAUAUAAAAAAAUAUGUAUACAUAUAUAUAAAAUAUAUAUAAGAGCAACUAUAAUAAUAAUAAUAAUAAUAAUAAUAAUAAUAAUAAUAAAAUAAUGAAGAAAAAAUAAUAAUAAUAAUAAUAAUGCUAAAAAGGAUUAAAUCGAAGUAAAAAUAAAAAUACUGGGCGAAUUUAAACAUCAAAAAUACAAAAGGGACUGAUAUAUAACGCGCGCGAAACUCAGGGGAUCGAUUUGGAAAAUAUCCCAAGCCCUACACGCAGCGUUUUGACACGGGCUGAAAUGAAACAUAUGAGAAAUUAUGCAACCGAAUUAAAAAACAAAACAGGACUAAAUUGCACCAUGGCUCGAAGGAGGAGGGACCUCACGCGAAAUAUCCCCUCCAGCGAAAACACGCGGACCCUCCGGGUCGGAUCAGGUCGACGGGCGGAUCUGGGGGCAAAACGGCAUCGUUUUAACGCUGCUAUGGCACAAAACGGCGCCGUUUUAAGUGUUGAUAAAUUCAAAAAUUUUUUUUAAAACUUCAUUUUCUGCUCUUUCAAAGAAAAAAAAUAAUUUCUCUUCAAAAAAAUCCUCUCUCCCUCCAGCACUGCCCAGAAUCCGGCGAGGGAAACCGCCGUCGACACCACUAACGGUGGCCGGAAAAUCCCAAAGGUAAAAUUUUUUUUUUAAAAAUUUCUAUAUGUUAUUUAUAGUUUUUUAAAAGUAAAAGAAAAAUAAAAUGGAAAUAAAGGAUACAAACAGUUCGAAAGGAAGAAAAAAUCAAGAGAAAAAAUAAAAAUAAAAAGAAAAAUAAGGCUUAUACCAAAAAUUUCUUCAAUCUGUUUUUCUUUUCCUUUUUAUUUCUUGAAAUCUGAUACAAUCGGUUUUAGAAUCGGUUUUUUUUACCGAAAAUAAAAAAACACAAAGCCCCCCCUUUUUACAAUGGUUUUAGAUGGCUCUUAUAGCCAUUUACAACUCUAUUUUUUUAAUUUAUUAUGCUGUCAUUUCUUCUGCAGGUGCAAGUAGACGAGGGUGGUUGGUGUCAGAGAGCAGGUGGCGUCGGUGGCUGCGAGCAGAGCUAGGAGCGGCAAUGGCAGAAGACCAAGGCUUAGGGUUUCCUGUUUCUUUUUUUGUGUUGGGCCAUUUGGGCUGUUUAGGUUUUGUUUAGGAUUGGGUUUAGGUUGAGUUUAAUUUCGGGUCUGUAAUUGGGUUUGGGUAGGUUUAAUUGGUUUGGGUUUGUUUAAGUGUACUGGGCUGAUUUUGGGUUAAGUCUAGGUGGGUAUAGGGCUGGUUUUACUUGAACCAUAUUGGGCCCCGGGUAAAUUUGGGCUUGUACAAAAUUAAUAUACCUUUUUUAUACUCACUAGUUUUGUUGUCAAGAACUGAAAGCACUUCAAUUGCCUGUAUCCGAAUACAUAUCCUUUUAAAAUUUAUCAGAAAAUAUUUAUUUUAAUGUAACUUAAAAGAUAACAGCCUGGAUCCCAUUAUCAAAUUAAAAUUCAAAUAAGUUUACGAUAUUAUCAAUUUUUUUAAUUUUAAUAUAUAUAUAUUUCCAAAUAAUAAAUUUAAAUUUAUUAUGAUAAUUACGCCUUUUAUUUUAAUGUAACUAUCAUGAUAUAUAUAUAUAUAUAUUCCAAUUUUUUUAAAAAUUAAUUAUAAUUAUUUUUAAAUAUUAAUUUAAUAAUAUGACAAAAAAACAAAAGAUAUUUUUGUAGACAAUUUUUUUUAAAAUUCGUAGUUUUUUAUAUAUAAUAUGGAUAGAUUAUAAAUAUACAUUGUGGUGGCACAAAAAAAAAAGUUUAUACUGUAUAUGUAAAGGCCAUAUACUAUCAGGGUGUGCAUUUUUCGGGUAAAACCGAAAAAUUCAAUUAACCGAUCGAAUUUGGUUAAUCGGUCGAUUAAUUGAAUUUUUUCGGUCUGGGGUGGGUUAAUUAUUUAUUGAUUUUUUGGUUAACGGUUAAAUCGGUUCGAAACCGGUCGGUUAACCGAAUUUUUUCGGUUUAACCGAAAAAAUUGAUAAACAAAAUUAUAAUAUAUAAACAACGUCGUUUAUUUGGCUCCAAAUUUCCUUAGUUUUCCCCAAGUCAGAAUCAGAUUUCCUCGAUUUCAUUUUCCCUAAGUCAAAAUCAGAUUUUCCCGAUUUCAUUUCCCCAAUUUCCCAAUUUCUUUCCGCCGUUUUCUUCACAUCUGAUUCCAGCUCCUCCAAGUCCUCUUCGGACUCAGGCUCCGAUUCAACUCGUCGACUGUCGAUGCGGGUCUCAAAGGCGACGGUUUGAAAUUGCUUGUUUUGUUUUUCUUCUGGAAGGAUGUUAGGGUUUUGAAAUUUGAGAACUCGACUCGAGCUUAAACGGAAGUCUUGUAAGUCUUAGAGGUAUUCUUUUUCCCUUUAUGUAAAUCCUCUUGAAUCAUCGAGAUGUCUUCGAUCAUGGUUAAAAAGAAGUAUAAAUAUGAUUGAGCCUUCUUGCUUUGUUAUGGUUGAUGUUACAUAAUGUAUGAAAAUACAUAUUUGGGUGACUUUAUGAUUGCAAUUGCAGAUAUAAAAGACCAAAAUAAUUUAUGUGAAUCAAUAUUGAGUGCGAUGUGUAGAUUCUAAUUUAAAUGUCUUAAUCACAUGUUAACACCUUUAAUAUAAUAUUGUCACCAAAAUUGGAGCUAAUCUAAAGGUUUCCAAUAAAAUAGCCAUUUUUAUUCCCUCUUUGUCACUCUCUCAUCUACCACAUUUGGAUGGUUGCUAAUGCCAUAGUUGGAUUAGAUCUAAAACGAGUGUCGGAUUUAGCUGGACCAAGUCAAUUUUUAUUAAAAAAACUCAUUUUUUUAAUAAAAAUAGUUUAAUCAAAGGGUUAAGGGCUCUUUCCAUGUAGUUGGGUUUUCAACCCCGUGGGUCUAACAGACAAUUCACCGAGGGCUUCCUUCCCCUCCCUCUUUAUUUUUUUUUUAAAUAAUAUUAAAAUAUGAGAUAAAUUAAUAUAGAACACAAAAAAAAUAUUGAAUAGUUAUUAAAAUCUUAAAACACAAAAUUAAUGAAAAUAAAAAAAAUAAAUGACAUGAAAGAAAAUAAAAUUAGCUGCAAAAAUACGUAUAAAUAAUUUUUCUGAACAGUUUCCAAAGUUUGUUGUUCCAAAAACUAAACAACGCUUUGAUUAAAUUUCUUUUUCUUCAGCAUCAUAGCAUUUACUAAUUCUAGUACCGUAGUAUAAAUUUCUUUUUCAAAUAACCAAUAGCAACAUCAUUUAAACUUGUAUUAUCAACAAUAACAGUAAACAAUUUAAAAAAUAAUUAUUCAAUUCCAACACUAUUGUAUUUUUAUUUACUUUUUUAAAAAUAACUUUAAAAGACUUCAUAGAAAUUGCUUUUCAAUUUGAUUUGAUUAUUAAAAAAUGACUUUUUUUUUAAUAAAAAAUUGACUUGGUCCAGCUAUGGUAUUAGAAUUAGUAAAUGCUAUAAUGCUGAAGAAAAAGAAAUUUAAAAUUAAAAAGUAAUCUUGUUGAACAUAAAGUUAGACUUAUAUCUAAAUCCGACACUCGUUUUAGAUCUAAUCCAACUAUGGCAUUAGCAACCAUCCAAAUGUGGUAGAUGAGAGAGUGACAAAGAGGGAAUAAAAAUGGCUAUUUUAUUGGAAAUCUUUAGAUUAGCUCCAAUUUUGGUGACAAUAUUAUAUUAAAGGUGUUAACAUGUGAUUAAGACAUUGUUAGGGAUCGACCCGAUUAAGCAACAAGUAACAAAAAUAGCGGAAUAAAUUGAGAAAUUGAACACACAAAUUUAAUUAACGUGGAAAAACCCCUCCAAAGAGGAUAAAAAAUCACGGGCAAAGAUAAUUUUACUAUAAUGGCAAAAGAACGAAGAGUACAAAAGAUGGAGAUAAAACUAAACCCCAAACCCCGAAAACAAAGAACCCUCAAAACGUAAACACAAAAUUCUCUAAAUGUGUUAUGAGUUCUAAUCUCUAAAUUGGGUGUUUUUACUAAGAUUGUAAAAGAGCCUAUUUAUAGGCUAAAUUCAUAUGUCAAAUAAUAAUAAAAUAAUCUAAACUAAUCAGUGUUUGACUGAAACAAAUAAACAGAGUUUAACUAAAAGAUUAAUUUUCAAAUUUGACUGAAAAUAGGAGUCAUACUUAACAGGAAUCUAAACUAAUAUCCACACAUCGCACUCAAUAUUGAUUCACAUAAAUUAUUUGAGUCUUUUAGAUCUUCAAUUGCAAUCAUAAAGCCACCCAAAUAUGUAUUUACAUACAUUAUGUAACAUCUACCAUAACAAAGCAAGAAGGCUCAAUCAUAUUUAUACUACUUUUUAACCACGAUCGAAGACAUCUCGAUGAUUCAAAAGGAUUUACAGAAAGGGAAAAAGAAUACCUCUAAAACUGAUAAGACUUCCGUCUAAGCUCGAUUAGAGUUCUCAAAUUUCAAAACCGUAACGUCCUUCCAGAAGAAAAAUAAAACAAGCAAUUUCAAACCGUCACCUUUGAGACCUGCAUCGACAGUUGACGAGCUAAAUCGGAGCCUAACUCCGAAGAGGACUUGGAGGAGCUGGAAUCAGAUGUGAAGAAAACUGCAGAAAGAAAUUGGGAAAUUGGGGAAAUGAAUUCGAGGAAAUCUGAUUUUGACUUGGGGAAAACUAAGAUUCUGACUUGGGGAAAACUAAGGAAAUUUGGGGCCAAAUAAACUACGUCGUUUAUACAUUAUAAUUUUGUUUAUUAAUUUUUCCGGUUAAACCUAAAAAAUUCGGUUAACCUACCGGUUUCGAACCGAUUUAACCGUUAAUCGAAAAAUCAACAAAUAAUUAACCGAUCCUCGACCGAAAAAUUCGGUUAACCAACCGAUUAAUUCGGUUGAUUAACUGAAUUUUUUUAUUUUACCCGAAAAAUGCACACCCCUAGUAUUGUCUAUGUGAAGGCAUUAUACAAGGGAUCAUCAAAGUAUAAAGAUUAGUAUAGGUAAAGUGAAAGUGAGUUGAUCAAGUCGUCCACUCAGUUUACUUUUAAAUAAAAAAAUUUUAAACAAAAAAACAUUACUUUUGUUCUACCUACCUUUCUGUUUGUAUUCUCAUUCUAUUAAUUAAGAACUGCUUCUUGCAAUUGUUUUCCUAGCAAGAUUUCUGCACUUACAUCUUGAAAUCCAAAUUCUAGAUUUUAAAGAAAUUUCUGAGUUCACUCACUAUUAUGGCUUGGUCUGCUGUGACAUCUGCAGUGAUAAAUAUUGGCAAGCUGCUAACUGAGGAAGCCCUAUACCUAUGUAUUAGCAACAAUCUUUGACUUUUUAAAGAUGGAUGGUGUCAGAAAUUUGGCACCGAAAAUCUAAGCAUUUAAGGCAUAGAUUUUUGGGUUGAAAUUUGGUUUGGGAUAAUUGCAAUUUUGGUCCCUAAUUGAAUAGGGACUUUGCAAGUUGAUCCUUGAGCUUCAACUAUAAAUAGGCCUAACUAUUUCUCAUUUUCUACAUCCCACAUAUGCCAUUCUCUACUUAAGGCAUUAUUCUCUCUCCUUAUUUGUAAAUUUUCACUUGUAUUUUGGAGUGAAAUAUAUUUGGUAGUGCCCGAGGACGUAGGCAAAAUUUGCUGAACCUCGUUAAAAUUUUAGUGUUCUUUAUUGUUUAUUCUGCAUAUUUUGCGAGUGUGAUUAUAGUGAUUUAUUGUGCUAUUAAAUUACGAUAGAGGGAUAUUCUGGCUAGGAAAGACCUGGUACUUAAGCGAUCCUCGUGAUCCACCUCUCUUUCCUGGGAAUUGAACUUAGUGUGAUUUUUUAGUACAAUAAUUUUACUCUUUUACACGCUUCCGCGCAAUAAUUGGUAUCAGAGUUAGAUUCGUACUUGGGGAAUACGACCGUUUACGAUACUAUUUACGUAUACGAUAUUGUUCAUCCACGACACUAUUUACAUAGACGAUACUAUUCACAUAUACAGUAGUUGUGAUCGAAGAGAAAAAUAGCAGAGGCAUCGUCAUCAACAAAGACUACCGUGACCAAUGCAAAAUUUGAAGUAGAGAAAUUUGAUGGUACCAAUAAUUUUGGUAUGUGGCAGUGUGAGAUCCUGGAUGUCUUAUGUCAGCAAGAGUUGGAUAUAGCCCUUGAAGAAAAGACUGACAAGAUGGAUGACAAGGAGUGGGCCAAGAUCAAUAGACAGGCGUGUGGUACAAUCUGCCUAUGUAAAUGUUUAGAUAGAAUGACAUGUUUUACUUUACUGAUGUAAAUGUUAGAUAUUGAUGUUUUAAUUUUUCUUCCAAGUAUUUUCAUAUCGUUAUUGAAGAAUCGUGCAUGUCCCAUGGUCAUGUAUUGAGUCAAACUAACAUAGCUUUUAAUCCAUAUAAUCAUCUUCUAUACAUGCUAUAUACAUAUAUUAUCAUGUGUGAUGUUAGCUUAGUUGUUAGAAAUGGUCGGUUUUUGCAGAUGAUGAAGGUCCUAGGAUGCGUGCUGAAGCCAUUGCAGAAAGGAUUUGUCAAGUGCUUGAACGUAAUUGGAAUAUCUAAUCUGUUCACCUUGUUUGCUCAACAGCUAACAUUUUUUCCCUUUGAUUACCCAAAAUAGUCAUACUAACAAAUGUGGCUGUGAUUUUGUAUGGUAUUUUGCAACAUUCAUAUCUUAGCUACUGAGAUUUUAUCACACCUUGAACUACAAAUAGUUAUCUGUAAUUCACUCGUAUCCUAGUCUGAAUAAGAUAUUGAGUUUUAUAACGAAAAUAAUAGGAUCAUAUUGAAUCUUAUAAGUCUUUAACGUUGGGUAUUAGGAGAUUUCUCCCAUGUCGACCCUAUAUUUAAAGAUUUGGACAUUUCCAUGUGCACACAUUAUAUGUUCAAUAUUUUCAUUGAAUCCAAAUUGCAUUUCGAAUAAAAGAUAAAUGUAGAUUCUUGCAGUUUUUAAUUUAAACUUAUUGAAUAUAUAUCAUUUGAAUUAAUUAAGUGGAUGUGAAAUUUUCAAUCGUUUAAGUUGGAUUUGGAAUCUUCAAUUCCCUUGAAUUUUUUUUAGUUUAUUAUCUUCAAGAUAUUGUUGGUAGAUAUAAGAAGCAAAGCAUGGGGAUACAAAAUCUUGAAUCUAAAUAUCGAUUUUGGAAUCUUUGAUUCCCUUGGAUUCCUUUGGCUUUUAUAAAGCAUAGAUUGCUAAACCAUCAAAUGUUGAUAAAAACAUUCAAAUUGUAUCUUUCUUUUUUUUGUAAGACAAUGUAAUUUGGAAGUGUUAUUAGUUGGUAAGAUUUAACUUUUCCUAUUUUUUUUGCUUUGGAAGUGUGGGGAUGAAGUGCAACCAUUAAACCUGAUAUGAUAUCGUAACAAAGAUUAUUGAGUUAAGGAUGACAGAAAAGAUUAUGUUGAAUACCAAUCAACUUACAUAAAAUAAAGAAACAUGUUGAAACGGGAAAUGUGUCCAACAAACAUAUAUUCAAUUUCUUCUAAAAUAUGUAUAUAUUAAAACGAUUAUAUUCUCUAUAUUCAAAUAUAUAUAUCAAACAAUUAUGUUUAAGUAAACUGAAGAGUAGAAAUGAACAUAGACAACGAAGUGAUGAAUUUUACAAUAGAAAAAGAAAAGACUCAAGCAGACUUAAAUAGGAAAAAAAAAGAAAGAGAAAGCAAAGCUAACAAAUAAAUAUAGGAACGGUCACAGCAAACCAAAGUUAUGUGGGAACAAAGGUCAGUGACGUCUCCUUAUCUGCAAUUUUAUGUUUUAAAAGACAAAAAUGAAUGUGUAAUUAAAUUAGAUUGAAGGAAAUUGAAAUGGAGGAGGGGUUUGGUACCUUGCUAAUCCAGACACCUCCUAUUCUUCCAAUACCUUAUCUUGCAACCGUUUUAUUGUAAUUUGAAGAAAACAACAAACAGUCAACCAGUCUGAUGUCAACAACCAUAGAUAUAAACAAGAGAGAAGAUGAUUCCAAAUCUCACCAUAUAACACACUUUCACACUCCACUUAUUAUAAGAGUUUUAAAUCUAGAUUUGAUCCCAUGAAUAGCAGUAGCAGGUGAAAAAAUGGCGUCUUUACCUAAAAAGCAAAACGAAAAAGAUCAAUGUCUAACUUCCUUUGACUUUUAAUAAAUGUAAUUUUUCAUUGGUGUGUUGACAAAUGGAGUGAGAAGGUGAGACAUUGUCAAAAAUGAAAGAUAUAUAAGAAGCAAAGAAAGUAGGAAUCAUUUCCUAAACUAGAGGUUAUGAAAUUACCUCUCAAUUAUCAUUCAAUCUAUAGCCACAAUUUUGGAAUAUGAUAGAAGGAACAUGUUUGACUUUGUAGAAAUCUUCUCCUCCUAUUGGCAGUCAUCUAUCUUUGAAAAGUCAAAGAUAUUUGUGUCAGCAUAUUGGCACCGAAAAUCUAAACAUUUAAGGCACCAAAUUUUGGUUAGAAAUUUGGCUUGGGAUAAUUGUAAUUUUGGUCCCUAAUUGUAUAGGGACUUUGCAAGUUGAUCCUUGAGCUUCAACUAUAAAUAGGCCUAGCUAUUUGUCAUUUUCUACAUCCCACAUAUGCCAUUCUUUACUUAAGGCAUUAUUCUCUCUCAUUAUUUGUAAAUUUUCACUUGUAUUUUGGAGUGAAAUAUAUUUGGUAGUGCCUGAGGACGUAGGCAAAAUUUGCUGAACCUCGUUAAAAUUCUAGUGUUCUUUAUUGUUUAUUCUGCAUAUUUUACGAGUGUGAUUGUAGUGAUUUAUUGUGCUAUUAAAUUACGAUAGAGGGAUAUUCUAGCUAGAAAAGACCUGGUACUUAAGCGAUCCUCGUGAUCCACCUCUCUUUCCUGGGAAUUGAACUUAGUGUGAUUUUUUAGUACAAUAAUUUUACUCUUUUACACGCUUCCGCGUAACAAUUGGUAUCAGAACUAGAUUCGUACUUGGGGAAUACGACCGUUUACGAUACUAUUUACGUAUACAGUAUUGUUCAUCCACGGCACUAUUUACAGUAGUUGUGAUCGAGGAAAAAAAUGGCAGAGGCAUCGUCAUCAACAAAGACUACCGUGACCAAUGCAAAAUUUGAAGUAGAGAAAUUUGAUGGUACCAAUAAUUUUGGUAUGCGGCAGUGUGAGAUCCUGGAUGUCUUAUGUCAGCAAGAGUUGGAUAUAGCCCUUGAAGAAAAGCCUGACAAGAUGGAUGACAAGGAGUGGGCCAAGAUCAAUAGACAGGCGUGUGGUACAAUCUGCCUAUGUUUGGCCAAAGAGCAGAAGUACUCUGUCAUGAGGGAGACAUCAGCGAAGCAGUUGUGGGACACACUAGAAGAAAAGUUUCUAACGAAAAGUCUUGAAAAUAGGCUUUAUAUGAAAAAAACUUUUUCGAUUCACGUAUGCACCCGGUAUGUCGAUGAAUGACCAUGUGAACUCAUUCAAUAAAAUUUUAGCAGACUUGCUAAAUUUAGAUGAGAAAUUUAAAGAUAAAGACAAGACAUUAUUGUUGUUGAAUUCUCUUCCUGAUGAAUAUGAUCAUCUUACCACCACAUUGCUUCAUGGGAAGGAUACGAUCACAUUUGAUGCAGUCUGCAGUGCAUUGCAUGGAUCUAAGAUUCGAAAGAAAGAUAAAAGAGAUCACAGAGAUACAACUGCAGAAGUCUUAACAGUAAGAGGUCGUUCAUACAGCAACAAACCUGGUAGAAGGGGUAAGUCCAAAGGGAGACCCGCCAAAGAUGAAUUUACUUUUUGUCGUGAGAAAGGGCAUUGGAAAAAGAAUUGUCCUAAGUUACAAAAGGGCAAGGCUAUUUCUGAUGCAUGUGUAGUGGAGCAUGAUGAUGAGUCAGACUUUAGCUUGGUUGGCAUGGCAAUAACAUAUCAUACGGAUGAAUGGAUUUUGGAUUCGGGAUGUACUUACCAUAUGUGUCCUAAUAAGGACUGGUUUUCUAGUCUUGAAGAACUAGAAGGUGGAGUUGCUUUUAUGGGCAAUGACAGUGCUUGUAAGACAAUGGGAGUAGGUACAAUCAAAUUGAAGAAUCACGACGGCUCAAUCCAAGUCUAAACAGAUGUUCGCUAUGUACCUAGCUUGAAGAAAAAUCUUAUCUCAUUAGGGGCUCUAGAAUCUAAAGGGCUCACAAUCACUUUGAGAGAUGGAUUACUAAAUGUAGUAGUUGGGGUAUUGACGGUGAUAAAAGGCACUAGAAGAAAUAACUUGUACUAUUUAAAUGGAAGUACAAUUAUUAGAUCAACAUCAACAGUUUCUACAAAAGAUGCAAAUUCAGAGGCUACCAGGUUAUGGCAUAUGCGAUUAGGACAUGCUGGUAAAAAAACUUUGCAGACUUUGGCGAAGCAAGGCUUGUUGAAAGGUGUAAAUUCUUGCAAAUUGAAAUUCUGUGAACAUUGUGUUCUGGGCAAGCAGAUGAGGGUAAAAUUUGGUUCAGCAAUUCACAAUACGAAAGGAAUUCUAGACUAUGUUCACAGUGAUGUGUGGGGACCUACCAAAGUGGCUUCUUUGGGAUGUAGACACUAUUUUGUUACUUUUUUUGAUAAUUAUUCAAGAAAAGUAUGAGUGUAUCUAAUGAAAAGAAAAAGUGAAGUUUUGUAUGCAUUUCUAAAAUGGAAGAAGUUGGUGGAGAUUCAGACUGGUCGAAAGGUUAAACGACUUCGGUCAGAUAACGGUACUGAGUACAAAAAUGAUCAAUUUCUACAAGUAUGUCAAGAUUAGGGCAUUGUGCGACACUUCACUGUUUGAGAUACACCACAGCAGAAUGGGGUGGCAGAACGUAUGAAUCGGACUAUACUGGAGAAAGUUUGAUGUAUGUUGUCCAAUGCUGGAUUGGGCAAGGAAUUUUGGGCUGAGGCAGUUACAUAUGCGUGCCAUCUAAUUAACCGAUUGCCAUCAGCUGCAAUAAAUGGAAAAACUCCUAUGGAGAUGUGGACUGGUAAACCUCCUACUGAUUGUGAUUCUUUAUAUGUUUUUGGUUUCACUGCAUAUUAUCAUGUAAAAGAAUCUAAGUUAGACCUAAGAGCAAAGAAAGCAUUAUCAUGGGUAUAACUGGUAGAGUAAAAGGAUACCGUCUCUGGUGUCCUGAUACAAGGACGAUUGUUUUCAGUAGAGAUGUAACUUUUGAUGAAUCAACCAUGAUGAAGAACAAGGAUUCACAAAAGGAUGACAAAACCAAUGGUACUUUGCACCAGGUGGAGCUUGAAAAGGUUAAUGAUGAUCCAACUAAUAUUGAAGGAACAAAUGAUGAUGAAGUUUUGACCCAAGAACUUCUACAGCAACAAGAUUCAAUUGCAUAUAGGAGGCUAAGAAGAGAGAUUCGUAAGCCUACUCCCUUUGAUGAUAUAGUGGCCUAUGCACUUCCAAUUGCAGAUGAUGAUGUUCCUUCUACUUACACAGAAGCAAUAAGUAACCCUGAUGGUGUAAAGUGGAAGCAAGCUAUGAAUGAAGAAAUGCAGUCUCUUCAUAAAAAUAGGACUUGGGAGUUGUGGCACUGCCCAAGGGAAAGAAGGCAAUUGGAUGCAAAUGGGUAUAUGCAAAGAAGGAAGGAUUUCUUGGUAAAAAUGAAAUUCGAUACAAGGCUAGAUUGGUAACAAAGGGUUACGCUCAGAAAGAAGGAAUAGACUACAAUGAAGUGUUUUCUCCAAUUGUGAAGCAUUCGUCUAUUCAGAUUUUGCUAGCCUUGGUUGCGCAAUAUGACCUUGAACUAGUUCAGCUUGAUGUGAAGAUAGCUUUUUUACACGGUGAUUUGGAAGUGGAAAUCUAUAUGACUCAGCCUGAUGGAUUCAAGGUUGCUGAUAACGAAAAUUGGGUUUGCAAACUGACGAAGUCGCUUUAUAGAUUGAAACAAUCUCCGAGGCAAUGGUACAAGUGAUUUGAUCAGUUCAUGAAAGGACAAAGGUACACAAGAAGUAAAUUUGAUCAUUACGUGUAUUUUUAGAAGCUACAAGUAGGAACUUUCAUAUACUUGCUCUUAUAUGUUGAUGAUAUGCUGAUAGCAUCUAAGAGCAAAGUUGAGAUUGAGAAAUUGAAGACUCAACUCAAUCUUGAGUUUGAGAUGAAAGAUCUGGGUGAAGCUAAGAAAAUUCUUGGCAUGGAAAUAUGUAGAGAUAGAGCUCAUGGCAGAGUUAGUUUGUCUCAGAAGCAGUAUUUGAAGAAAGUACUAUAGCAGUUUGGUAAGAACGAGCAGACAAAACCUGUAAGUACCCCAUUGGCUUCUCAUUUUAAGCAUUUUGCACAACUAUCUCCUUCGACGAAUACGGAACAAGAAUACAUGUUACAAGUUCCGUAUUCUAAUGCAGUGGGUAGCUUGAUGUAUGUAAUGGUGUGUACAAGACCUGACAUUUCACAGGCAGUUAGUAUAGUGAGCAGGUAUAUGCAUAAUCCUGGAAAAGGACAUUGGCAAGCUGUGAAAUGGAUUCUACGAUAUAUUCUGAAUACCAUGGAUGUUGGAUUACUGUUCAAGCAGGAUACUACACUUAGUAAAGGUGUUAUUGGGUACGUUGAUUCUGACUAUGCCGAUGAUUUGGACAAACGAAGAUCAACCACCGGUUAUGUGUUUACACUUGCUGGAGGACCAAUAAGUUGAAAGUCUACACUAUAGUCUACAGUUACGUUGUCAACCACAGAAGCUGAAUACAUGGCUGUAACAGAGGCUGUAAAGGAAGCUAUUUGGUUACAAGGUAUGGUUAAAACCUUGGGAUUGGUUCAGGAGCAUAUUAACGUGUUUUGUGAUAGUCAAACUGCUAUUCAUCUAGCAAAGAAUCAAGUCUAUCAUGCACGUACAAAGCAUAUCGACGUACGAUUCCAUUUUGUGCGGGAAAUUAUUGAUGAGGGGAAAUUCGUCUUUAGAAGAUUGAGACUACAGAUAAUCCCGCAGAUAUGAUGACCAAGGUGGUAACAACAAUCAAGUUCGAACAUUGUUUGAACUUGAUCAAUAUCCUGCAAGUUUAACAGUUGAAGAAGGCACUAUCAAGUAUUGUUGUCAAAGGCAGAAAUAAAUGUGUGAAGAUAAGAUUAUCCUAAUCAAAUCUUCAAGGUGGAGAUUAUUGACAACCAUCUUUCACUUUUCAAAGAUGGAUGGUGUCAGAAAUUUGGCACCGAAAAUCUAGCAUUUAAGGCAUAGAAUUUUGGGUUGAAUUUUGGUUUGGGAUAAUUGCAAUUUUGGUCCCUAAUUGUAUAAGGACUUUGCAAGUUGAUCCUUGAGCUUCAACUAUAAAUAGGCCUAACUAUUUCUCAUUUUCUACAUCCCACAUAUGCCAUUCUCUACUUAAGGUAUUAUUCUCUCUCAUUAUUUGUAAAUUUUCACUUGUAUUUUGGAGUGAAAUAUAUUUGGUAGUGCCCGAGGACGUAGGCAAAAUUUGCUGAACCUCGUUAAAAUUCUAGUGUUCUUUAUUGUUUAUUCUGCAUAUUUUGCGAGUGUGAUUGUAGUGAUUUAUUGUGCUAUUAAAUUACGAUAGAGGGAUAUUCUGGCUAGGAAAGACCUGGUACUUAAGCGAUCCUCGUGAUCCACCUCUCUUUCCUGGGAAUUGAACUUAGUGUGAUUUUUUAGUACAAUAAUUUUACUCUUUUACACGCUUCCACGCAACAUUAUGGGGCGUGGAGGAGCAACUUGAUCGUCUGCAAACAGAGCUCAAAUGGAUGCAAAGAUACUUAAUGGAUGCAGAGACAAAACAAUCAAAGGAUGAGAUGAUUCGUCUUUGGGUUGCUGAAAUCAGAGAGCUUGCUUAUGAUGCUGAGGAUGUUGUCGAGGAAUUUGCUCUCAAGAUUGGAUCCAAAAACAAAGGAGGUCUUCCGAGUUGUAUUAAAAGAUCAGCCUGCUGUUUGGAAGAGGGAUGGGCACUCCACAAAACCAGGUCAAAAAUCGAGAAAAUCAUAGAAAGAAUUAACGACUUGGUUCGACAACUAGAGGCCUACGGAGUAAAGGAAUUAAAGGACAGAGGAGAAGAAUCAAGUUCUUCAACUAAAAGACGAGAAUCAAGGCGGCCUUAUCCACAUAUUAUGGAUGUUAAUACUGUUGGACUAGCUGAUGAUACCGAAGGAUUGGUCAAAGUUCUUACGAACGAAAGUGGACGCAAGGUUGUUACAAUAUGGGGCAUGGUUGGUCUGGGAAAGACCACUCUCGCCAAGAAAAUAUAUCGCUAUCGUCAGGUUAUUGAUUACUGAAAUUCAUUUUUCAUUUUCACUAAUUUUUUUAAAUUUAUUUUAAUUUUUUAUACAAAUAAUAGAACCGAUAUGGAAAUGAAAGAAUUAAAGGAAAAAACAUAGUUAAACAUUGUGCAAGGCUUCCAUUAGCCAUUAUUGUACUGAGAGGAAAUUUGGUGUGUUAACUUUAAGUUAUGGUGAUUUAUCUUCCUCUAUUUAAAGAGUGUCUAAAUACACUCCCAGACAAUUAGUGAGGAAGUCGAUCAAUAACCUAUUUAUAAGUUAAUAUAAAAAUUCCUUUAACAAUAUUUUGAUAAAUUUUAAAUUUUUAUUUAAAAAUUAAAAAUAUCUCUUUAAUUAUCUCAUAAAAAAAAUAAAAAUCAAUGACAGUAUGAAAAACAAAGUGAAUUGAUGGAAACUUUCACAUUUUUUUUAAAAAUUUAAGAGCUUAAAAAAAUCCAAAGGACUAAAAAUUGAUAUUUUAAAAGACGAGAAAGAAAUAAAAUGGGGAAUUAUUUAAAAAUCAAAAUUUAAAAGUUCAAGAAGAGAUUAGGAUAAUAAUUUUUUUAAAAAAUAAAUAAAAAAUUAAAACAUGAGAAAAUCAAUAUACCUUUUUUAUACUCACUAGUUUUGUUGUCAAGAACUUAAAGCACUUCAAUUCCCUGUAUUCGAAUACAUAUUCUUUUAAAAUUUAUCAGAAAAUAUUUAUUUUAAUCUAACUUAAAAAGAUAACAGCCUGGAUCAGAUUAUCAAAUUAAAAAUUCAAAUAAGUUUACAAUAUUAUCAAAAUUUUUAAUUUUAAUAUAUAUAUAUCCAAAUAAUAAAUUUAAAUUUAUUAUGAUAAUUACUCCUUUUAUUUUAAUAUAACUAUCAUGAUAUAUUUUUUUUUCCAAAAUUUUUAAAAAAUUAAUUAUAAUUAUUUUAAAAUAUCAAUUUAAUAAUAUGAUGAAAAAUAAAAGAUAUUUUUGUAGAUAUAUUUUUUUAAAUUCGUACUUUUUUAAAUAUAAUAUAGAUAGAUUAUAAAUAUACAUUAUGGUGGCAAAAAAAAUGUUUAUAGGGUAUAUGUAAAGGCCAUAUACUAUGGAUCAUCAAAGUAUAAAGAUUAGUAUUAGAUAAAGUGGAAGUGAGUUGAUUAAGUCCUCCAUUCAUUUACCUACUCUUCCUUUUUUCUAAUUAAAUAAGACUGACUAUAUACUUUUAAAUAAAAUACUUUCCUAGGUCUUCCUUUUUUUUUCCCACUUUUAUUUAGUGUUAGAUAAAGUGGAAGUGAGUUGAUUAAGUCCUCCACUCAUUUUCCUACUCUUCCUUUUUUUUCUAAUUAAGUAAGACUGACUAUAUACUUUUAAAUAGAAUACUUUCGUAGUCUUCCUUUUUUCCAAUUUUAUAAUCAGCAGAUCAAGAAAGAAGUAUUGAUUUUGGGAAAUCUGUUUUAAAAGUAUUUUUAGAAAGUAAUUAAAUAAUUUUAUUCAACAAUUUAUCAAGUACAACUACGGGCGCUAAAACACAUUUUCCCCUCUCUCAAUAGAUUAUUGCAACUCCAAAGACGCAUAUCCAAAUAAAACAUCCAACUUAAUUUUCAAGUAAAGUGAUAAGGAUAAGAUAUGUAUAUAUAAGAAUAUUCAGUAAUCUCAAACUCUUUACUCUUUUUCUCUAAGCCAAUUGAAAAGAUGAGAAUGUUCAUUCCAUAGUGUAGCGUGAAUUUUCCUUUUAUUUGCUGUUUAGAAAUAGAUAAACAUUAAAUACAUACUAAAAAAUGCGAGUACUUAAAUUGAUCUUGAGCUAUUUUGAAAGUAUGUUCAAAUGCUAUCCAAGCAUGACAAAAACAUGAUGUCCAACAAGUAGUUUAAGGGGAUGUAUGAACAUGAGCUGAAACUUUAGAAGUAGGAUAGCUAAGGUCCUAACAUUAGAAGUAGGUGAGCAAUAUCUUGCUAUGGCUGUCCCUUGUAACUGGAAAGGCAAGUUUUAGAUUAUUCCAAGCUUCAAUAGUCCAAAUAUUAUCAAGUAUCAUCAGACAUUUUUUAUCUUUCAAAACCUUAAAUAACUUCUUUGCUAAUUCAUCAUCUCUUUUCUUCCUGUUGUUUCCAAUUAAAGUUUUGAAACCAAAUAGGAUAUUUUUCUAAACUUUUUUAACAUUGUUGAGAAACAUAUAUGAAAGCUGAGUGAUCGAAAUUAUCAAUAACCUGAUGAUGAUGAUACAUUUUUUUAGCAAGAGUGGUCGAGAAUAUUAUCAUCCAUAACAUGAGGAUAAGGGCACCUUAAUUCUCUCUUUUCAGUUGAAGAUCUUGAUCCUUUUUCUCCAUCCUUUAAUUCGUUUAUAUGAGAGGUCUGUAAUCAUCGGACCAAGUCGUUAAUUCUUUCUAUGAUUUUCUCUAUCUUUAACCUAAUUUUUUGGAGCGACCACCACUUGUUUAAAAUGCACGUUGAUCUUUUAAUACAACUUGGAAGAUCAUCUUUGUUUUUGGACCCAAUCUUGAGAGCAAAAUUCUCGACAACAUCCUUAACAUCAUAAGCAAGCUCUUUAAUAACAACGAAAAUUAACCAUAAAACAAAAUUGAAGGGAACUUUAAAAUAUUUUUUAAUAAUAACUUGGGAAGUACUUUAAAUGUGAAAAUUGGGUGUUUACCCAAAUGAUGAAUGGAUGUCUCCUAGGUAAAACUCCCUCAAUCUAAUGGUUACAAAUUAUAUAAGUGUACAAUCGGAUUGUGGUUUCUAGAAUGUUUUAUAAACUAAUAAAUUAAAAAUUAUUUGGUGAAUUAAUAAAAUAUAAGUGUUCAAUAUAAUUGUAUAAUUAAUAUUUUUGGGUUCAUCUAUUUUUACUAUGUGCUUUUUUUUAAAAAAAAAUUUGGUUUAACUAUUUUUACAUUUCUUUUAUUUACUGAAAUUCAUUUUUAAUUUUCACUAUUCUUUUAAAUUUAUUUUUAAUUUUUUAUACAAAUAAUAGAAUCGAUAUGAAAAUGAAAGAGUUAAGGAAAAACAUAGUUAAACAUUGUGCAAGCUGGCUUCCAUUAGCCAUUAUUGUAUUGGGAGGAAUUUUAAUGUGUUAACUUUAAGUUACGAUAAUUUUUCUCUCUAUCUAAGACCAUGUUUCCUCUAUUUAAAGAGUGUCUAAAUACACUCCCAAACAAUUAGUGAGGAAGUCGAUCAAUAACCUAUUUAUAAGUUAAUAUAAAAAUUCCUUUAACAGUAUUUUGAUAAAUUUUAAAUUUUUAUUUAAAAAUUAAAAAUAUCUCUUUAAUUAUCUCAUAAAAAAUAAAAAUCAAUGACAGUAUGGAAAACAAAGUGAAUUGAUGGAAACUUUCACAUUUUUUUUAAAAAAUUUAAGAGCUUAAAAAAAUCCAAAGGACUAAAAAUUGAUAUUUUAAAAGACGAGAAAGAAAUAAAAUGGGGAAUUAUUUAAAAAUCAAAAUUUAAAAGUUCAAGAAGAGAUUAGGAUAAUAUUUUUUUAAAAUAAAUAAAAAAUUAAAACAUGAGAAAAUCAAUAUACCUUUUUUAUACUCACUAGUUCUGUUGUCAAGAACUGAAAGCACUUCAAUUCCCUGUAUUCGAAUACAUAUUCUUUUAAAAUUUAUCAGAAAAUAUUUAUUUUAAUGUAACUUAAAAAGAUAACAGCCUGGAUCGGAUUAUCAAAUUAAAAAUUCAAAUAAGUUUACAAUAUUAUCAAAAUUUUUAAUUUUAAUAUAUAUAUAUUUCCAAAUAAUAAAUUUAAAUUUAUUAUGAUAAUUACUCCUUUUAUUUUAAUAUAAUUAUCAUGAUAUAUUUUUUUUUCCCAAAAUUUUUAAAAAUUAAUUAUAAUUAUUUUAAAAUAUCAAUUUAAUAAUAUGAUGAAAAAUAAAAGAUAUUUUUGUAGAUAUAUUUUUUUAAAUUCGUACUUUUUUAAAUAUAAUAUAGAUAGAUUAUAAAUAUACAUUAUGGUGGCAAAAAAAAAAGUUUAUAGGGUAUAUGUAAAGGCCAUAUACUAUGGAUCAUCAAAGUAUAAAGAUUAGUAUUGGAUAAAGUGGAAGUGAGUUGAUUAAGUCCUCCAUUCAUUUACCUACUCUUCCUUUUUUCUAAUUAAAUAAGACUCACUAUAUACUUUUAAAUAGAAUACUUUCGUAGUCUUCCUUUUUUCCAAUUUUAUAAUCAGCAGAUCAAGAAAGAAGUAUUGAUUUUGGGAAAUUUGUCUUAAAAGUAUUUUUAGAAAGUAUUGUAAAAAUAGUAAUUUUGAGAAGUACUUUUAGAAAGUUUAGUUUAAGAUUUAAGUGUUUAGUAUUACUGUAAAAAAGUAUUUUUGAUAAAUAAAAUAUCUAUUUUAGAUAUUAUGUUAUAAAGUAAAAAAUAUGUAUUUAAAUAAUGUUUAAAUUAGUUAAUAUUAUGAUAUCUUAGCAAGAAUAUAAAAAUAAUUUAUUGUUAAUAUUUUAAUAUAUAUAUAUAUAAUUUAAUUUUUUUAAGUAACUAAUAUUAAUUAUUCAUAAAAUCUAAUUCGAAUAUAUAAACUAUAUUUUAAAUAAUAAAAUAUGAUCAAUAAAAAUUUAAAUAUAUAUCACAACUUUUUUAUUUUAUAUAUAUUUCUUUUUUCAAAUAAUAAAUUUAAAUUUAUUAUGAUUAUCACAACUUUUGUUUCAAUAUAAUUACAAUCAUAUAUUUUCACUUUUUAAAUUGAUUAUAAUUGUUUUUUAAAUGUUAAUUUAAUAAUAUGGUAAAAAAUAAAUGAUAUUUUUAUCAGUUUAAUAUUUUUUUUUAAAAUUAUGUACUGUCUAUGUGAAGGCAUUAUACAAGGGGUCAUCAAAGUAUAAAGAUUAGUAUUAGGUAAAGUGAAAGUGAGUUGAUAAAGUCGUCCACUCAUUCUACUUUUAAAUUAAAAAAAAUUUUAAACUAAUAAACUCUACUUUUGUUCUACGUACCUACCUUUCUGUUUGUAUUCUUAUUCUAUUAAAUAAGAACUGCUUCGUUCACUUGUUUUCCCAGCAAGAUUUCUGCACUCACAUCUUGAAAUCCAAAUUCAAGAUUUUAAAGAAAUUUCUGAGCUCACUCACUAUUAUGGCUUGGGCUACUGUGACAUCUGCAGUGACAACAAUUGGCAACCUGCUAACUCAGGAAGCCAUAUACCUAUGGGGUGUGGAGGAGGAAUUUGUUGGGGAUGAGAAGGAGCAAAGGAAGAAAACAGAGAGCACAGAACAAUGAAGCAAGAUGCAAAAAAUAUUUUUACUUGCUCACAAAUGUGCAGCAAGGGAGCUUAUGGCUGAUAGCUCAUUCAGCUCAUUCAUUCAACUAGAAAAACAACAUAUUUAUAGUCAAAUACAUCACAAAAUACUACCUACUACCACUAAGUAGCCUAGUAAUUUGAUAAACAUUGCUUGUAUACAUAAACAAGCCACCUAAACUAGUCAUUCAACACCUAAUGCAUCAAGUUGUCAUCAACUUGUUCAUUUUCAACUAGUUUAAUCAACAAAGAAACUAAAGAGAAAACCUUGCUGUUACAGCAAGUAUACGUGCUGCAGCAUGUCAUCAAGCUGCAUGCACUUCAACCAAAACAUAUAACAGCAGCAUGGUUGGCCAAUUUCCAACAGAAGUUGAUCAUCUGCAAACAGAGCUCAAAUGGAUGCAAAGCUCCUUAAUGGUGGCAGAGACAAAACAAUCAACGGAUGAGAGGAUUCGUCUUUGGGUUGGUGAAAUCAGAGAGCUUGCUUAUGAUGCUGAGGAUGUUGUCGAGGAAUUUGCUCUCAAGAUUGGAUCCAAAAACAAAGGUCUUCCGCGUUGUAUUAAAAGAUCAGCCUGCUGUUUGAAAGAGGGAUGGGCACUCCACAAAACCAGGUCAAAAAUCGAGAAAAUCAUAGAAAGAAUUAACGACUUGGUCCGACGACUACAGGCCUACGGAGUAAAGGAAUUAAAUCCCAGAGAAGAAGAAUCAAGUUCUUCAACUGAAAGACGAGAAUCAAGGCGGCCUUAUCCACAUAUUAUGGAUGAUAAUAUUGUUGGACUAGAUGAUUAUACCGAGGGAUUGGUCAAAGUUCUUACGAACGAAAGUGGACGCAAGGUUGUUACAAUAUGGGGCAUGGGUGGUCUGGGAAAGACCACUCUCGCCAAGAAAGUAUAUCACCAUCCUCAGGUUAUUGAUUAUUUCGAUCACUUGGCUUUUGUAUAUGUUUCUCAACCAUGCCAGAAAAGAAAAGUUUGGGAAGACAUUCUAUCUGGUUUCAAAACUUUAGAUGACAGGAAGAUAACAGAUGAAGCAUUAGCAGAGAAGUUGUGUAAAACUUUGGAGGAUAAAAAGUGUCUGGUGAUACUUGAUGAUGUUUGGACCAGUGAAGCUUGGGAUAGUCUAAAACCUGCCUUUCCACUUGCAACUGGCCAUGAUAGCAAUAGCAAUAGCAAGAUAUUGCUCACCUCUAGAAACAGGGGGAUAGUUUCAGAUGCUGAGAUAAGAGGUAAAAUUUUCUUAAUUAGGUAAAAUUUAAUACUCUUAUUCCUUUUAUAUAGAAAAUAACUGUGUAUAUUAUUUCAGAGUUGAAGUGCCUAAAGGAACAAGAAAGUUGGGAAUUGUUUCAAAAGAUUGUAUUUCCUCAAACAGGUAAAUAUACGUAUAGCAAAAUUCUUGUUAUAUGCUAAAUUUAUUUUUCUUUUUAAAUUUUUUUGACAAUAAUUGAAAUUAAAAAUAUAUAAAAUCUAUUUUAUUUCAAGAUUUCAAAACCUUAAUAUCAAAUAAAUAAAAGAAAUCAAGCCUUUGUAGUUUAUCAAUUAAUGGUACACGCACCUAAAUAUAAUUAAUAGGUAAAUUCAUUAUCUUUUUUAUUAUAAUUUUGUAAUAAUUUCGCUAUUAUUUACUCGGAAUAAAUUAUAUUAGGAGAUCUUAAAAGAUAUAGUUUUUAGGCACCAACAAAAUAAUGUCACAUCGUUAAAUUUUUAAGAUAACAAAGAAUUAUUAUACACUCAUUUAUAUUUAAUAUUUUCUCCAAUUUAAUUUUAACUUUAAUAAAAUUAUUUAAAAUAAUUAAUUUUUAAAUUAUAAACAAACAUCUUUUCUUCUUUUACAAAUUUUAAUCAUUUUGUUUUUUUCAUAAGUUAAUAUUUUUAUUUUUCUGCAACCAAUUUUUAAAAAAUAGUAAUUUUUGUGCAGCAUUUUUCAUGUCAUUAACACAUAAUUUUGAUAAUUAUUUUAUCCUGAACCCAAAAUUCUCAAUCUUGAACUCGAAUCCUGAACCUAAACCUUGAACCCUGAAUCUCGCAGUUCAAGGUUUGGUUUCGAGAUUUAAAGUUCAGAAUUCGAGGUUCAAGUUUAAAGUUCAAGGGUUCAGGGUUAUGGGUUACGAGUUUAGGAUUCAUGGUUCAAGGGUUUAGGGUUUUAUAUUUUGAAUCAAUGGUUUAGGAUUCUGGAUUCAGGGUGAAAAAAAUACCAAAAUUAUAUGUCAAUUACAUGAAAAAAAUUGUUGAAAUGUUAUUAAAUAAUUGGAAAGUGACUAUGAAUAAUGUGGCCAGAAGGGUCCAUAAAAUAAUUUCUCUAUGGAUGAGUGUAUAAUAAUAAUUCAUGUCUUUAAAAUUUGAUGAUUUGACAAAAAAAUUUAAUUUUUAAGAUCAUACUAAGUUAUUACCUUACCUUAAUUAUUGGACUAUAUGUUUGUUUAGUUUCUUAAGCACUUUCAUGCUAUUCUUUUAUAUGUUUUUCUUUUUCUUAAGAAAUACAAAUUGAUUUUAUAAUUUAAAUACAGUACUCAAACAUCACUUAAUUAGAAUAAUAAUUAAUCAAUUCUCGUUUUUUUUUUUGCCACAAAAACAUUCAUUCCAGAAAGAAUAAACAAACAUAGGAAGUCUAAAACACUAAAGCAGAUAAACUAACAUGAAAAAAACACAGUAUUCUCUAAGCUUAUCCUGGAUCCUUGCAUCAGAAAGAUGGAGGUGCAGGUAAACCAUUCUUAUCAAGAGUAAAGCCAAGAAAGACGGUAGUUGAUUCGAACAACCAACAUAUCUCUUUACGACCCUAUUUAGCAAACCAAUCCGCUAACCUAUUGGCUUCUCGUCUAAUAACAUUGACUUUAAAAGAAGAAAGUUGCAUGACCAGCUUAUCAAAAACCUGAAGGACUAGCCUAAACCUCCAUCUUCGAUCUUGACUCUUUUUCUUAAUAUUCGAAACAAUAGUCUGGGAGUCAGUCUUGAUUGUCACAUUGGUCCAUUUGUUCUUCAUAGCUAAUUCAAUCCAUCCAACCAUAGCUUUAGCCUCGACAACCUCACAUGAAUCCACUUAAUCCUUUUACCAAUCCCAUCCAGCAUCUUCCCACUUAAAUUUCUGCCUAGUACUCUAAUACCAGCACAAGCUAUUAAGGUGUCAAAUGUCCCAUCACAAUUUAACUUUAACCCAACCUUCUGGUGGUUUCUCCCAAAUAUCAGCACAAGUUUGACUUCCUAGUUCGAUCAGAGUUAUUGUUUGAACAGAGGAUCCAUUGAGCAGAUAAGAAUUCAUUCAUGGAGCAAUUAAUCCUUCGAAUAAUUCUCUCCAAACCAAGUUUCACACCUCCAAUCGUAACCUCACACCUAGCUUUCCAGAUGUGCUAGCAAGUGAAAACAAUUCUAACUUUGAAAUCCUCCCUCAUACAAGGCAUUUGUAACAACUUUGAGAACCAUCUGUCAAAUGAUUGAGUUUGAUCAUUUAGCCCUUGAAGACCAAAAUAAGCCUCAUACUAUAUUCCCCUAACCCAAUUACAACUAAGAAUAAUAUGUUCAAAGUCUCAUCUUCAAUACCACAUAAACAACAAAUUGGGUUCGAAACACACUUUCUUUUCCACGGAUUAAAACGAGAUGGAAUAGCAUUAUGACACAAUUUCCAUAAGAAAAUUUUAACUUUCUUCGGUACCUGUAAGCUCCAAAUAGUUUUGCAAAUGCUCCUAUCAAUUAAGUGAAAGCUGGAAGGUUGUAAAGAAGACUCAUUUCCAUAGUUCUUUCUCAACUCCUUAUACCCAGAUUUCAUCGGAUAUUGACCAACAGCUGUAGACGGCCACAUCAAUUUAUCUUGCUCAUCUGUUUCAUGAAGGGGAACUUUUAAUUUCGCAAUUUCAAUAUCUUCUAGCCACAUUGAGAUACUGGAUAAGUACCAAAUUAGUUCUUCUAAACAAAUUAUCUUAGCAACUCUUUUUGGUGAGGAUCCGUCGAUAUUUCCAGGAUGCUUUAAUUUCCUAUCUUUAACUCCCAGCAACCAAAUAUCUUCCCAAAUGCGGAUGCAUUUGCCAUUUAGCACUUGCCAAAUCAAAGUCUCCUUUUAAAAACUCUUUCCCUUCAGGAAUGCUACUCCAUACCCAUGAUGACCUAGCUCCCUUUUUAGCUUCAAGGAAAUUAGAGGACGGGAAAUAAAGUCCUUUUAAAAUCCUAGCCCAAAAAGCAUCAGGAUCCUGGACUAACUGUCAAGAUUGUUUUGCAAGUAGAGCAAGUCCUCCAAGCUUUUCAAUGAACACGUCUCUCAUUUUCCUUCUGCUGAAUUCAUUUCCACGCAUAAGUUUUUAGGAAAUUCGAAAAGAUAUCGUAUACAUUGAAGCGCAUGCUACUGCUUUAAUAAGAACCUCCCUUCCCCUUCCAGAUAACGUUUGCUGCUUCCAGCCCUCAAGUUUGGUAAGGACCCCAUUUUUUUUUUUUUUGUGAAAGUGAGGACCUUAUCUUUGAUAUGCCUCAAAGUUAAUGUUUUCGAAAGCUCCCACAAAGAAGGGACACCCAAGUAGACGCCCGAAUUAUUUGCCACCUCUAUAUUAGUCUCUUCUUGAAUCAACUUUUCGUUGACCCUUCGGGAGUAUUCACACUAAAAACGUUGCUUGAUUUAUCGUACUUGACCCUUCGUCCAGAAGCUGCACAGUAUUCUUGAAAGUUCAUCAUUCUCCUACAAUUUAACAAAUUAGCUUCCAAAAAGAAUAGAGAUCGUUCGCGAAUAACAAAUGUGACACUAUUGGAUAAUGACUAUCAAGGCUAAUCCCAGAAAUAAAACUAGACUCGACUCUAAGGCUAAUCAUACGAGAGAAGAUUUUUCUACUAUAUUUACCAUUAAUAAGCAAAGUGUAAGAAACACUCCUCACACACUCCAUUAUCCAAUCAAUCCAUGUUAAAGCAAAUCUCAUUUUUCUUAAAAUAGUUUCCAGAAAUCUCCACUCUACUCUUUCAUGUCGAGCUUCCAAUCAACCUCAUAUUUCUUACCCCUCUUCUUCAAUUUCAAAUGAUGAAAACCUCUUGAGCAAUUAAGAUGUUAUCAUGUAUUUGUCUACCUACCACAAAAGCACUUUGAUUAUUCAUAAUCACUACCCCUAGAACUCCUUUCAAUAUAUUCACCAUGAUCUUCGAUAUGAUUUUAUAGGCAAAAUUAUAAAGAUUAAUAAGUCUAAAUUAUGUAAUUAAUUCAAAACAUUUAGUCUUCAGAAUUAAAAUUAUCUCAAUCUCAUUUAAACCCAUCGAAAAUUUCCCUUCCCUAAAAAAAAAAAAUAGAAAAAACUCUUAAUAGCUUCCAAAACAUUAUUUUUAAUAAUUUCCCAAAUAAUUAUGAUAGAAAAUUCCGCUAAAAUCAUUCGCAAAAUAAGAGAUUAGUUUAAUUUUUUUAUAUUCUUAACUUGUACAAUAUAAGUAAAAUCUUAUAAUUUUAUCUCCAAAUUCUCUCAACACAAUUUUCUGACCCUUAUUUAUAAUCUCAUUUGUAUCUAACAGGAUAUCCAAUUUAAUGUUAAAUAGUCUUUUUUAUAUAAUGAAUUAUAUUUUUAUUUGAAUCUCCUCUUAAAUUAAUUAGAGUGAAGUUUCUUAUUUAGUAUUGACUGUUCCAUAAAGUAUUCAAAGUUUUCAAAUAGAUUUAUUUUUUAAGUGUAGUUAAUAACCGUAAUAAAAACUAAAUUUUAUAAGUGAUGAAUUUAUAUCAAAUAUUAUUUAAUAAAUUAAUAAAAUAUAAGUUUGAGUUAAUCUAUUUUUACAUUUCUUUCACCUACUUAAAUUAAUUCCUAAUUUUCCUUUUUUUUUAAAAUUUAUUCCUAAUUUUUUAUACAGGAAAUAUAAUCGAUGAGGAAAUAAAAAAGUUGGGAGAGAACAUGGUUAAACAUUGUGCAGGGCUGCCAUUAGCCAUUGUUGUAUUGGGAGGAAUUUUGGCUACAAAGAACAAUUUAGUAAGUGAAUGGAAAAAGAUAUCUGACAAUGUACAAUCAUACUUGAAGAGAGGCAAAAAUCAAGGACCAGAGGAUGUGUUAGCAUUAAGUUAUGAUGAUUUGCCUCCCUAUCUAAGACCAUGUUUCCUCUAUCUAAGCCAUUUUCCAGAGGAUUAUAUGAUAGAUGUGGAUAGAUUGAUUCAAUUAUGGGUUGCUGAUGGUAUUGUGUCAUCAAAGGAAGAAGAAAGAGACGAUGGGGAAAUUGCAGAAGAUAUGGCGGAAUCUUAUUUAAUGGAGCUUGUGAAAAGGUGUAUGAUUCAACUACGAGAAAGAAAUGUGGCAGUCUCAGAGAUCAGAGCGACCUCAAAGGUCAAGACGAUUCAGAUGCAUGAUCUGAUGAGAGAUCUUUGCUUAUCAAAGGCAAAACAAGAAAAUUUUGUCUUCAUUGUUGAUGGAUCGAAUGUAUCUUCAUUAUCUAUGAUUCGGAAGGUCCGUAGGGUUUCUGUGCAUGAGUCUUUUUUCAUACAAUGCAUUAAAAGUCCAAGUAUUCGGUCACUUUUGUUCUUCAAUCAGUUCUUUCCGGAGGAGGCAUUAGAAAAAUCUUUGCCCUUGGAAGUGUUGAACUACGUUAAAAAACAUUAUGACGAUUAUUGUAAUCCACUAUUUUGGAUUCUUCUGAUUUUGGCAGGUUCUACAAGACGUCUUAAAAUUCGGGGAUUUUGGAGAUACAUGUUCAACAACUUCAAAUUGCUAAGAGUCCUAAACUAUGACAAAGGAAGAACGUCAUAUGGUUUUUGGCUCGGGUGGGAGUUACCUAGUGAUAUAGGGAAUCUCAUCCAUUUAAGAUUCUUGAGUCUAAAGGAUCUUGAGUUCUUGUGGCAAAAGUUGCCAUCAUCUCUAGGCAACUUAAGGUGCUUGUAUACCUUGGAUUUAAGAGUUAAUAUUCUCAAAAUUCAUGUACCUAAUGUGAUAUGGAGGAUGGAGAAACUAAGACAUUUAUAUCUCCCUUUCGACUUUGAAAGCAGUUCUAAGUUGAAGUUGGGUACUUUGAGAAAACUCCUAACACUUGUGAACUUCAACACCAAGAAUUGUUAUCUGAAGGAUCUUAUCAACAUGACAAAUCUUAGAGAGUUGGAGAUAAAUUUGCCCUUCAAUAUUGAAAAUUCCAAUGAGUUGGGAGAGAAUCCAUCCAUAAUCGGUAGUAAAUAUCUUCAUUCAUUGUUUAUUAUUGCCAUUGGGGAAUCCGGCUCAGAAAUAGAUCCAAGGCAUUUGGCCCAUCUCCUUUCAAAUUGUACAAGUAUUUGUAAGUUGAGUAUAGUAGCAGAUAUAAGUAAGUUCCCAGAGUAUCACUACUCUUCACAUCUCGCUUACAUACGAUUGAGUUGGUGCAAGUUUGAGGAAGAUCCAAUGCCAACACUAGAGAAGCUGCCUAACUUAAGGAUUCUUGAAUUUUCUUUCAAAGGAAAGAAAAUGUUUUGCUCUGCUCAGGGUUUUCCUAAACUUGACUCUCUAAUCCUUAAACAACUUGACAAAUUGGAGGAGUGGAAGGUGGAUGAAGGAGCCAUGCCUUCUCUUCAGCGAUUGGAGAUUGGGGAAUGCAGAAACUUGAAGAUGCUUCCAGAGGGAUUGAGGUUCAUUACAACCCUCAAAGAACUGAAGAUUGAAUCAAUGCCAAAGGCAUUCAAAGAUAGAUUGAAGGAAGGAGGAGAAGAUUUCUACAAAGUCAAACAUGUUCCUCUUAUCAUAUUCCAAAACAUCUUGCGCUAAGAAAUUGAAUGAUAAUUGAGAGGUAAUUUCACAGCUUCUAAUUUAGGAAAUGAUUCCUACUUUCUUUGCUUCUUAUAUAUCUUUCAUUUUUUACAAUGUCUCACCUUCUCACUCCAUUUGUCAACACACCAAUGAAUAAUUACAUUUAUUAAAAGUCAAAGGAAGUCAGACAUUGAUAUUUUUAGUUUUUGUUGAAGUUGGUCAGCAUGCAGCAAACACUCAACACCAAGCAGGCCAUGAAGACCAAGUCAUGCAGGAGCUGCUGGAGCAAGCUAUUUUUUGUUUAUUUUGUAACCAUUAGUUGAUGAAAUGAGUUCUAGUUCAUUUCAAACUAAGUUAGGCCCAUGAUUGAUGUAAUUAGCUGGUGUGUGAGCUGUAAACACAGCUUUGUAUAGGCUUACAAGUUUAGAUUUCAAGUUUCUAUGUAAUUAGUGGUAGUAGGUAAUGUUUAGGUGAUUGCUUACUAUUUUUGACAAGCUUAGUGCUUGGUUUAUGUAUUGGCAUUAUGCCAUUGUUCAAUUUUAUGAAUGAAAUCAAAUUUGUUCAUCAAAAAUACUCUCUAUUUUUCUUUGCUAUUCUUUCUUUGUUUGUCUCGAAUCUGGUUGUUUGCUCAGCAAGUAUCGAGGCUUGCUACACAAGACACAAGCUGAGCUUGUGUAUUUCUGUUACCAACACCAACAAUUGGUAUCUAGAGCUAUAAUCUUAAGGGAUCUGUUGUUUAAAAGAUGGCUUUAUCAAGUUUUUCACCAGCUGCACCACAAGUCUUUAAUGGAGUAGGCUAUCACAUAUGGGUGGUCAAAAUAAAGACCUACCUUCAAGCUUUUGAUCUGUGGGAGGUGGUCAACUUUGAUGUUAAACCAGAGCCACUCAGAGCCAAUCCAACAGUGGCUCAGAUUAGGCAGCAUGCUGAUGAGGACCAAGAGGCAUAAGGCCAUGUCUUGCAUCCAAAAUUCAGUGUCUGAUGUGAUUUUACAAGGAUUAUGGCCUGUGAAACACCAAAGCAGGCCUGGGACAAGUUGCAAGAGGAGUUUCAAGGGACAGAGAGGACAAGGCAACAACAGUUGUUGAACUUGUGGAGAGACUUCGAGAAUUUGAAGAUGAAGGAAAAAGAAACUGUCAAACAAUACUCAGACACGAUUAUGGCUGUGGUAAACAGCAUAAGGCUCCUUGGUGAGCAGUUCAAUGAAGCAAGGAUAGUGGAGAAGGUGAUUUCAACCUUACUUGAGAGGUAUGAGGCAAAAAUCUCAUCCCUCGAGACUCAAGGGACUUGACCAGCAUCUCCCUGACAGAGCUGAUCAAUGCUCUAUAUGCACAAGAGUAGAGAAGAGCUAACAGACUGGAGGAGCACCAGGAAGGUGCCUUUCAGGCAAAGACUAACACUGCCUACAAAGGCAAGAAAACCUGGAAAAAUAGGCCUAAGCCUGAUGCUACAAGAAGCAGUGACCAACCUUGCAGGCAUUGCAAAAGGUCUGGUCAUCCAGAAGAAAAAUGCUAGUUUAGACCAGAUGCUUUAUGUCAACAUUGCAAGAAGAAGGGACAUAUUGAAAGGGUCUGCAAAAACAAAGGCAAACUAAGGCAAAAUCAACCUCAUCAGAUGAAGGCUGAGGCUCGAGUUUCCAAGGAAGAUAGUGACCAUGAGGAGCAAGUUUUUACUGUGUUAUGCUCAGUUUCUCAAGAGAGGUGUUCAUUUGGUUGGCUCCUAGACAGUGGAUGCACCAACCACAUAACACCUGAUACUGCUAUCUUCAAGUCAUUAGACAGAAGCUGCAGUACCAUAGUCAAGAUUGGUAAUGGCUACUUUAUAAAAGUAGAAGGUAAGGGUGAUGUGCUGAUAUGCACUCCUACAGGUGCCAAGGUUAUCUCAAAUGUACUGUUGGUGCCUGAGAUUGACAGAAAUUUGCUCAGCAUAGCUCAACUGCUAGAGAAAGGAUAUUCUGUAGUGUUCAAGGACAGGCAGUGCCAAAUCAGUGAUCCAAGUGGAUCCAAGCUUAUGGUAGUCACCAUGGCUGACAAGAGUUUUGUGGUUGAUUGGACAAAGGAAUUAAAUACUGCCUAUACAGCUACAGUAGAUGAAUCCAAGCUUUGGCACUAAAGACUUGGACAUGCCGAUUAUAAAUCGAUGGACCAAUUGUGCAAAAAUGGUUUGGCUGAAAACUUCAUAAGCUCAGUCCAAAACCAAGAAAUUUGUGAAGUGUGUCAGCUAGGCAAGCAGGCCAGACUUCUAUUUCCCUAGAGUCAAGCCUAAAGAGCUUCUGAAAGACUACAGCUUGUGCACACUGAUGUGUGUAGCCCCAUAAAGACUGAAUCAUUGAAUAGAAAUAGGUAUUUCUUACUGUUUAUUGAUGAUUUCUCAAGAUUUUGUUGCCUUAACUUCCUAAAACAAAAAUUAGAGGUGGCCUCUAUGUUUUGGAAGUUCAACACUACUGCUGAGACUGAAACAGGCUACAAGAUAAAGACUCUAAGAUCAGACAAUGGAACUGAGUAUACCUCAGCUCAAUUUCAAGCCAUUUGCAAUGAUGCUGGCAUCAAACACCAGCUAACAAAUGUGUAUACACCUCAGCAGAAUGGGGUCAGUGAAAGGAAAAAUAGAAGCCUGAUGGAUAUGGCCAAGUGUCUAUUGUUUGAGAAGAAACUGCCCAAAACCAUGUGGGCUGAAGCAGUAAACACUACUGUUUACCUUCAGAAUAGACUUCCAACCAAGGCCUUGGCUCAGAUGACACCAUUUGAGGCUUGGUUUGGAUUCAAGGCAUCAUUGGCUCACCUGAAGGUCUUUGGAUGCAUUUUCUAUGCACAUGUGCCUGCUGUUAAAAGGGAUAAGCUGUCUGAAAGAGCUCGACCUAGUAUUUUGGUGGGCUACAGCACUGUCAAGAAGGGCUAUAGGAUCUUAGAUCCUUCAACAAACAAAGUGUCAGUUAGCAGGGAUGUUGUGUUUGAUGAAAAGUCAUGUUGGAACUGAGGAAGGAGUGAGCCUGAAGCAGUUUCUGAAGAACUUGCAACUGAUCAAGCUGAAAUAAACCAAAAUGGUCCUGAAAUGGACAUUGAUGAUGAACCAGUCAGGGGCACUAGACCAUUGGUCGAGAUUUAUGAAAGGGCUCAUGUGGCUAUAACUGAACCAAGCAGCUUUGAAGAGGCUGAAGUUCAGCAAGGAUGGAAGCAAGUAAUGGCUGAGGAGAUCAGCAUGAUUAAGAAGAACCAGACUUGGGAAUUGGUUGAAAGACCAGUUAAAAGGAAGGUCAUUAGAGUGAAAUGGGUGUACAAAGCCAAGCACAAUGCUGAUGGAAGUUUGAACAAGUUGAAAGCAAGGCUGGUUGUCAAGGGGUUUAGUCAGAAAUAUGGGUUGAACUACCUGGAGACCUUCGCACCAGUGGCCAGGCUGGACACCAUCAGGCUACUGAUUGCCUUAGCAGCACAAAUACAGUGGAAAAUCCACCAGCUCGAUGUGAAGUCAGCCUUUCUUAAUGGUUUUCUUGAGGAAGACAUCUUUGUUGAACAACCAAAGGGGUUUGAGAGAGCUGGUAAGGAACACAUGGUCUACAAGCUAAAGAAAGACUUAUAUGGCUUAAAACAGGCUCCAAGGGCCUGGUACAGCAGGACCGAUGGUUACUUGAUUGGUUUGGGAUUUGAUAGAAGCAAGAGCGAGCAAACAUUGUAUGUUAAGAAGGAAGGGACACAAAUACAACUGAAAAAAUAACAAGAAUUGUGGGAAUUUUCUCUGUCUUUCAUUCCUCCCAAAAUCAAGAACAUAUAUACAUGGUAAAAUACAAAGAUAGAAACCAAAAUAUUAUCUCCUAAACUUUAGCAUCUAAUCUCCUAAUUAAACCAAAAUAUUAUCUCCUAAACUUUAGCAUCUAAUCUCCUAAUUAAAAGAAAAUAGAUAUACACAAAAACUACCAUACAUAUUUACAGAAUUAAUUCCAAUAAUAGCUCAUUAUGUCUCUGUAUGUUGAUGACCUGCUGGUGACAGGAGGAGAUCAGACAAUGCUGGUCGAUUUCAAGACAAAGAUGCAAGAGAUAUUUGAAAUGUCUGAUUUAGGGAAGAUGUCCUAUUUUCUUGGAAUAGAGGUGACACAAACACAGAAUAGGAUAUUUCUAAGUUAGAAAAGCUUUUCCUUGAAGAUUUUAAUCAAGUUCUACAUGCAAAAUAGCAAAGCAACAAGGACUCCUGUUGCUGUUGGAGAAAAACUAUCGAGUAAUAGUAACUUUGAGAAGGUUUGUGAAACAACCUAUAGAAGUCUAGUUGGUUGCUUGUUAUACUUAACUGCCACUAGGCCAGACAUAAUGUAUGCUGUUAGUUUGCUCUCGAGAUUCUUGCAUUGUAGCAAUGAGAAGCACUUUCAAGCAGCAAAGAGAGUGUUCAGGUACGUCAAAGGUACUUUGAGUUAUGGCUUGAUGUACAGAAGAGAAGAAAACUUGAGGCUGGUUGGCUAUACUGAUAAUGACUGGGUUGGCUCGAUAGAUGAUAUGAAAAGCACCUCAGGGUAUGCUUUCAAUCUUGGUUUAGCCAUGUUCUGUUGGAGAUCGAAGAAGCAAACCUUGGUGGCUCAGUCAACUGCUGAAGCAGAAUAUGUUGCAACGUUUUAUAUAUUUCUAGGACACAUUUCCCGUUUCAGCAUAUAUAUUUCCUUAUUUUAUGCAAGUAGAUUGGUAUUUAACCAAAUAAAUUUAAUUUCUAUAAUUUAGGUUAAAACUAAAAUUAAAAAAUUAAAAAAAUACAGAAAUUGAAGUUGACAAAUUCAAAAAAUAUACAUAUUAAAAUUGAUCAAAUUAAAAGUGCACUGACUAACCUUAAUUUUUUUGUUAAUCUUUCUUUUCCCGUAAUUAAAUGUCCAUGACGUAUAUUAUAUAUCUUAAUAUAUAAAUAUUUUUAAAAAAAUUAAAUAUAUGUAUGUUGGACACAUAUUCAAGUUUGAUAUUCGUCUUAAAUUCAUGCAAUACGGUUAAAUAUUGGUGAACUAGUAGUUGAUGAAGUAUUAUAUACAUUCUUGGAAUGCUCCAUUCAACGAAUUUAUUUCAGCUCCAUAUGUUUAAAACACCUCCCAUUUCUAACAUAUUUCCUCAUUUUGGGUAACCUGAUUGGUAUACAACGUAAUCUUUUUCAUUGUUUAAUAUCCUAAUUCUUAACUCAAUAAUCUUUGUUACGGGGAAAUUACCAAUAAAAGCCGUUUUUUUUUCAAAAUUUACCGAAAUGGGCCAAUUUUUUGAUUAUUUACCGGAAUGGUCCAUUUUUCGGAAAAUCGCGUCCACGUCAGCGCGAUGUCAGGGUACGUGUCAGGACAUCGCGUCCACGUCAGCGCAACCUGCUNNNNNNNNNNNNNNNNNNNNNNNNNNNNNNNNNNNNNNNNNNNNNNNNNNNNNNNNNNNNNNNNNNNNNNNNNNNNNNNNNNNNNNNNNNNNNNNNNNNNCCCGAUCCGAAUGCAAAUUCAACCGAAAUUGAAAGAAUCUGAUAUGCUCGAUCAUACAUUCUUCAAAUAAUUAGAGGUUAUCUGAUGCCCGACACGUCACGGAGCCGUGUACAUCUAAGGUGGCUGCUAAAACUUGUUGAUUUUAGAGGAGCCGGUGAAUUUAGUUGGGGUCUGCCGUCUUGGCAACAUUAUAUCGAGAGAUGUGCGGGGCAACGCGACCAAUGAGAGAAAACAUCGGAGGUUGCCUAUCACUACUGCAAUCAUGGGCACGGUUUCGCUUUCCAUUUCUACGUCCUUGAGUGAAUCACCCAUAUACAUUCCCACUCGUAACGAGGUAAAUUUUAUAUUACAUUUUGGUAUUAUUAUGUAGAUUUUGUAAGAAUAAAAGUAUGCUAAAAAUUUAUUUAAUUAGGUGGAACCAUCCGGCAAGUUAUCGUGGAUUACCGUUUGAACUUGAAGAUAUACGGCUUCUAUUGGAGCAACGGUCAGAAGCAGAAGUAAGUAUUAUUGCAAAUAGAUAUUUCCAUACAUUCGCUAGUCGAUUGAUAUUUAGUAUUUAGUAUUUAGUAUUAUGUAUAUAACUAAUAUUUCUAUCAUGUUCAUAUAGUUUCAAUGGACACCAUACGAGGAUCCGACAAUUUGGGCAAUAAUCCAGAAGAGUUUUUACAAAAUCCAAACACUUGGCACGCGAAAAUGGUGUUGAUCAACUAUGCAACCGUGGAGCCCCACCAGACAGACAAAGUGCUACGACAGUUUGGAUGUAGACAACCGAUUCCUGCGGACACUGAGGUGUUUGACGAUCACCACAAAAUUGACCUUCGGAUAUUAGGUACGGAUUGGCCUAGAUACUGGGCCGAGUACAAGGAAAUGUGGAAAAAUCGGCUUGAAUAUCUACCUACUCGAGAACAAAUCAUCGUUCCGGAGUUAGCUUGCGUUCCAGAAUACAUGCCAUGGUUUAGGAUCCAUGGCAAGCCGUAUUUACUUACGCCAGAGGAGAGGCAGCGGCAAAUACGUGUCGGAAGGGAAAGGCGCGGGCCUCUAAAUCCAAGACGAGAAGACUACGAAGGCAGCCCCUCAACGAGGCCCAGACAGUCAUCGGCUCAUCAUCAGCGGCCAUGCAAUCACCGUCCCCAACGAGAGCACCGACGCAGUCACCUGACGUAGCAAUUCAACAGAUGAUACCCACGCAACCGCCUUUCCCUAUGAUGCCAGGUGUGUUUCCUAGCCCUUAUAUGUACCGUAACCCUUACAUAUAUCCUUUUCCGAAUCCUAUGGCAGGUUGGAGCCAAAUGUCCUGUUCAGAUCCAUUUCCUAUUAUGCCGAGCGGACCGCCGAUAUCUAGGCCAGCGGUGCAGGAGGGAUCGCAAGGGGGGCUGUCGGGGAGCUCUUCUUUUUACCAAUCGCCACCAACGUAUGGCUUUCAAACACCGUCACCGUUCAUGAUGCAAACACCUCCACAUACACUAUUCUUUGAAGGUGGAUCAUCGUCCCAAGUCCGAAAACCAGAUGUCGAAUCGGAAGAACCACAAUCACCACUAGAGGAAGAACAACCGCCGCCGGAAGCUAGAGGAAGGAGGAAUCCAGCGCGUAAUCAUCGACGGCCGCCAUAUGGAACCGAAUCCCCCGGGCAUAGACAUUGAUUACCGUAUUUAAAUUUAUUAUUUGAUGUAAUAAAAUAGAAGUUUAUUUGAUGUAAUACGCAUAGAAAUUUUUUCGAGUUAUUUUGAUAUUAUUUGAUGUAAUAAAAUAGAAGUUUAUUUGAUAUAAUAGGCAUAGAAAUUUUUUCUAGCUAUUUUGAUAUUAUUUGAUAUAAUAAAAUAGAAGUUCUAUUUGAUGUAAUAAAAACCCUAAUUUAAUUAAAAACCCUAACCUAAUUUAAUUAAAAACCCUAACCCUAACCUAAUUCAAAUAAAAACCCUAACCCUAACCUACUUCAAAUAAAAACCCUAACCAUAACCUAAUUUAAUUAAAAACCCUAACCCUAACCUAACUUAAUUAAAACCCCUAACCCUAACCUAAUUCAAAUAAAAACCCUAACCUAACCUAACUUAAUUAAAAACCCUAACCCUAACCUAAUUCAAAUAAAAACCCUAACUCUAACCUAAUUUAAUUAAAAACCCUAACCCUAACCUAAUUUUACAUAAUUUGAUAAUUUUACUAGCCAUUAACACAAUUUUUGGACUUAAUAAUUUUACAUAAUUUGAUAAUUUUACUAACCAUUAACACAAUUUUUGGACUUAAUAAUUUUACAUAAUUUGAUAAUUUUACUAACCAUUAACAAAAUUUUUUAUACCAUAAUAAUUUUACAUAAUUUGAUAAUUUUACUAACCAUUAACACAAUUUUUUUGGCUUAAUAAUUUUACAUAAUUUUACAUAAUUUGAUAAUUUUAUUAACCAUUAACAAUAUUUUUUUGGCUUAAUAGUUUUACAUAAUUUUACAUAAUGUUAGAUUUGGUAAAAUGUUUUGACUGGUACUAACAAUUAAGAAAUUAAACUAAUUUGAUAAUUUUACUAACAAUUAAUACAAUUAUCAAUUAAUAAUUGAAUAAAAUAUAAUUUUUUCUAAAAUUACAUUCAACUAUUGUGAUUAAGGCAUGAUCGACUUGUAUGACCUGGGUUCCGACACAUCCGCACAACUUCUGUUGACUGGCUGUUUCUCGGAUAUCCAUAUUGUUCCGUAUUCUAGUGGAGCAAGUUCGACCCUUUGGUUUGCGAUGCAAUUCUCUAUCUGGUAACAGCUUAAAAGGAGCAAGAGAUACGAGCGGCUAAUUACGUUCAUCUGGGACCGGUGGGAAAACGUGUCUCCAUACGUUGUACAUGUUUUCUAAUUUGUACACUUCGUCCACAUAACUCAUCGGAUCCAGACGGAGUUUCUGACAAGCUGCAAUAACAUGAGGACAUGGAUAACGAAGUGCAUCAAACUUCCCAUAGUCACAAGUCCUGUUUCGCAAGUGUACACGAUAUUGCCCGCCAACAACACCUUGGUGAGGUCUGUCAAACUCCAUCACACGAAACCAUAAAUUGUCUCGAUCGUGACACACUGUGUGCAUGAUGUUUGCCCUCGCCUUCACCUUGUUAGUUUCUUAAACUACCUUACUGCACCAUAAAUGGCCACCCUGCAUCUGGCCUGCAUAAGUUGCUGCUCGCUUUGGAAAUAGCGCCGCCAAGCAGAAAUAUGUCUCUCGCACAACCGAUGUUAUCGGUAGAUGGCACGUUCCUUUAAGAACAGAAUUUAUGCAUUCUUCCAGGUUCGACGUCAUAUGGCCAUAUCGUAGGCUUCCGUCGUAUGCUUGUGCCCACAGUUUGAAACGUAUGUUACAAAGGUAGUCUGCCCCUUCUCCAUUUUGGGAUCGUAAAAUUGCCAACAUCUCGUGAAAACGAUCUUUAUUUAUUUCAUACCCUACCAAUAUAAGAUCAUAUCGAAUAUUUUAUACCACUUCUACCAAUAAAACUAAUUCAAAUUGACAAACAAAAUAAUACAAUUAUAGACUAAAUACCCAUGUUGGUCACUUGUCGUCGUUCACUCUUAGAUGGAUAUUGCAUGUAGUAGUUCGAAGCAACGUGUCUUAGGCAAUAUCUAUAGUGUGUGCGCUGCCACAAGCUUCCCUCUUGAUCAAAUGCAGCUAGUAUACUGGCGCCCCGAUCUGAAAUAACACAGAUAUCAGGUUGGGGGCACACAUGCCUCCUUAACCUAGAGAGAAAGAAAUUCCAGUCAUCAGAUGACUCCCCCGGUGUUAUUGCAAAUGCAAUUGGAAGAGUUCUCCCACCACCAUCUUGUGCCACUGCAACCAAUAGCCGAUGAGUAUACCUACCGAACAUGAAGGUACCGUCAAUUUGUACCAACGACUUGCAGUAUGGAAAUGCGUCUCGAUAUUGCUUAAAGGUCCAAAAUAGGCAUUUGAACACUUGGCAUCCACGUAGCAAUCGACCGUUGUAGUACGCAUGUUCCGUUUCAAGGUCUGUGAUGGCACCUGGGACGUAUCUCUCUAGCACCUGACACCACUGCCAUAUUUCAUUAUAUGAGGUGUCCCACCCACUAUGCAUCUUCUCAAACGCCUUUUUCUUAGCUAUCCAAGCCUUGCGGUAAGAGGGCGUGUACCCCAUUUGGCUACGGAUAUUGGCAAUUAUCACCGGCACUGAAGUCCUAGGAUCUACUUUUAUCGUAGGCAGUAUCAAGCUAGCUAACAUAGCUGAAUCCAUUUUGGGAUGAUCUUGUGAAACACCUACAGAGGGAGUACAUUAAAUAAUGCAACAUUGCAAAAUAAAAUUAUUAUUCAGAUACAUUCAAUCCUGUACCUGCAGUACAUGUGUGUGGACCUUUGUACUUUUUUAUCUUCCACAACCCUGUCCUUUUCCUUAACGAUGCGACGAUUUUCCAUGAACAUGUGCCGUCUUUGCAUCGCACACUUCGCCUCAAACUUAUCAGAUUUUGAUUUAACGACGUGGUACUUAAUGUCGUUUUUAAUGCUAUGCUGUUUUAAAGCACCAAUAAAACUAUCCUUGUUGGUAAACUGAUUACCAACUUCAAGUUCACCGAAAUCUACCCCCGAACUUGUACAAUCGCGCAACCGGUAUGGUAGAUCUAGAAACUCUAACGCAUCAUCUGCUGACAGAUCGACAUUAUGCAUGUGGGCUAGAGGUGAGUAUGCUCUGAAUCGUGGAUUUUCUUCAUCAUUUGAACUCCUUUCAGCAUCUUCACCUUCUGUUGGAAUAGGCUUCGGUUCAGAAAAUAAUCCCACUUCUGCACCAUCCAGCCCGGGCUCUCGAGGUGGAUCCACAUCGGAGUCAUCUUCUAACCCACAAUCAUCUGUAGCGUACGACAUCCCCUCACCGGUUGACGUCGUAGGUAGUACGUCAUCCUUUCUUCUGGGCAUUUGAUAACGUCCCCAAUUGGAUGUAGAUUGCCAUCUACUAGAACUUGAUGCAGUUCCCCAGUACGUAUUUUCAGCAUCAAACGUCGAGCCACCGACGUACAUGUCCCAUCCACUGACAGAGUGUAUUGCGGGGGAUGUGCAUUCGACACCACUAUCGAACAUGGGCUGUUUCGUAUUUUGUAACCCGCUAACCGAGUGUCGGCCAGGGGUUGUGUAUAAAUCUCGAACACCAGACGAAAGUACAUCAGUUAGCGACGUAAAUUGUACAUAUAACUCAAUAUAAUUUGCUCCACUAGCAAGAUGAGUCUGCACCAUUGCCUCCAAGCUACGAGUACCUUUUAUGUCGAACGAGUCAUAUGUCACCGGAUCAACACAAGAACAAAAUCGAUACGUGAUUGACAGAACUUUCAUUGGGGUCGUUUCGAAGAUUUUACGCCUAAUUCUUUUACGAAGUUCUGUCAAAUCUAUGUUCUGGUUAAAUGACAGUCGCAUCGUAUUCUCCGACAAAAAAACAACACCAUUCUCUGUGUGGCAAACCUCACCAUCAUAGUAAAUACCAGCACUAAUACGUUCACUCAUUUUGAAACUCUAACUUUCUUAGCCUCUCUAAAUUGUUUCUGCUAUGACUUAUGCAUUCUAAGAACAUUUUCUGCCUAAUUUAUAGCCUCAACCCAAACUUGUUACUGUAGCAAAAUCGCGUCCACGAGGGUGCGAUUUCACAAUUUCUUCUCAAAUAGCAUCCUGGUAGAAGCGAUUUUAUACUAUUUGCUCAGAAACGUCAAAAAAAAUUAUUUCUUACAUGACCUAUUGUAGCAAAAUCCCGUCCACGAGGGCCCGAUUUCAUAAUUUCUUCUUAAAUAGCAUCUUGGUACAAGCGAUUUUAUACUAUUUGCUCAGAAACGUCAAAAAAAAUUAUUUCUUACAUAACCUACUGUAGCAGAAUCGCGUCCACGAGGGCGCGAUUUCACAAUUUCUUUUCAAAUAGCAUCCUGGUAGAAGCGAUUUUAUACUAUUUGACCAGAAAGUCAACUCGAAAUAAUUUAUUCCGGGACUUAAAAACCCUAAAAAGCCUAAACCCUAAACCCUAAAAGCCAAAAAACCAAACGUGAAAAAAACGUCAAAAUCGCGUCCCCCGGAACGCGCUACGUGGCAUGACAUCGCGUCCACGUCAGCGCGACCUGCUGACGUGGAAGGAAAUUGCUCCCUCAAGGACGCGAUUUCCUUCCACGUAAGUAGGUCGCGCUGACAUGGACGCGAUGUCCUGACACGCCCCUUUGUUACGAUAGGGUCCAAUGACUGCAAUUCAUCUCGACACUUUUGAAGCAGAAAAUNNNNNNNNNNNNNNNNNNNNNNNNNNNNNNNNNNNNNNNNNNNNNNNNNNNNNNNNNNNNNNNNNNNNNNNNNNNNNNNNNNNNNNNNNNNNNNNNNNNNNNNNNNNNNNNNNNNNNNNNNNNNNNNNNNNNNNNNNNNNNNNNNNNNNNNNNNNNNNNNNNNNNNNNNNNNNNNNNNNNNNNNNNNNNNNNNNNNNNNNNNNNNNNNNNNNNNNNNNNNNNNNNNNNNNNNNNNNNNNNNNNNNNNNNNNNNNNNNNNNNNNNNNNNNNNNNNNNNNNNNNNNNNNNNNNNNNNNNNNNNNNNAUGGAUAUAUAUUUAGGUACGUAUAAUUAAUUAUUUUGGAUAUAUAGGACCAAAUUAUAAGAAAUGAAAUAAAAAUACAAACAAACCUAAAAUUUAUAAUUUUAUAUAAUUCUUAUAAAUAUUGCUUAAAAAUUUUAGAAUUAUAUAUAUAUUAUGAGAGAUCACCUCAUCAUCCUCAAGGAUUAGGGCUUCAUUUGGAUACAAAUGAUCUCCCGUUUCAGUGCAUUUAGAUCAUUUUUUGAAAUCAAUAGCACUAAUAUUGGUGUUUGGAUUUUACCCAUUGCCGCACUGGAGUCUUCUCAUCAUGUUGUAGUAUCAGUGGCGCCAAUGGAGGUUCUACAUGCAGUGAGAAUUUGCAACUCCAUUUGAAAGAUGGAAAGUACCUUUUCAUCCAUGCUUUUUACUUUUUCUUUUAUCCUUUUACAUCUAAUUUUUUAUUUAAGAAUUUCAAAUAAUAUUAUUAAUUUAAUAUAUACAUUCUUCAUAUUAAAUUUAAUAUGUAUUUUUUUAUAAUUAAAAAUCUUCAUAUCAAAUAAUAUUAUUAAUUUAAUAUAUACAAUCUUCAUAUUAAAUAUAUAAUUAAAAACCUAAUUUCUAGUAAUAAUGAAACUUGUUAUGUCUUAUGUUAUUAUAUUUUUUAAUUAAAAAUCAUCGGUUUAGAUACUUCAAAAUUUGAUCCAAGUAUAAUGUUACUAUUUGUGAAAAUAAUAUUUAUCAUUGUUAUAAAAAAUAUUGAACUAUAAAAAAUUAAAAAUAAUUAUCAUUUUAUCUAAUAAAUAAUUUAAAUUAAUUAUAUAAGUCAUUAAAAUAUUGGAAGAUACAUUUUAAUAUUUUAUUAAAUUAAUUUAUAAAUUCACAUAUUUUAAUAAUUUUAAAAAAGUAAAAUAAUUUAAAAACUUUUAUUAUAUAUCAAUUCUAAUCUGAUGUCCUUAAUAGUCAUUUUUUAUUCUUACCUCACCGCUAUAGCUGCGUUUGAAUCCAAACACACACUCCACCAUUGUUUCUAAUCUCACCGCUACAGUAACUAAUCUCACCGCCACCGCUGUUUUUAACCUCACCGGAGGAAAAACACCGCCCAUCCAAACUAAGCCUCAGUGGUUAAGCAUGAACUUGAUGGGAAGGUCACAAGUCGGUGGUGGUCAAAUCAUGAGUUGAUUAUGAGUAGUUUCAUGUUAUGGAAAAAGGAUGUUAGUUAAAAUUAGUUAGUUGAGCGCUGCAUUUUGAGGUUGAGAGUUUAAUAAAACGAAACGUUUUGAUGUUUAAUGAAAACGGUGCGUAUUGAAAGUUUGAUACAACUAGUCGAGUAACAAGCCUGUAACAAACUUUGUAACUACCAAUUCUGAAGCCUUAUAGGAACUGCCAACUUUUAAUUUUAUUUGUAAUCCUCGCUUUAAAAAAAUAUUCCAAAUAUGCUUCCUCACCUUAUCAUUUUUGUUUUUUUUCAAGUGCCCUUACCGUUUUAUAUUUUCAAUGGGAAAAUUUAAAAAUGGUCACCUAAUUAUUGCUUUCGUUCUAUUUUAAUCACUAAUUAUUAAUUUUUUUAUUUAGUUACUAAAUUUUUCGAAAUUAAAUAUUUUGAUCACUCUCGCAUUAGUUACCAUUAGAUGAGUGAUAGGAUGUUAAUGUGGGCUGUUUUUAUUGGUCUAAUAACAAAUUUAAUAAUCUAAUGUUUAUAUAUUCUAUUAAUUUGAUUUUAAAUAUAAAAUGUUUACAAAAUCUAUUGUUAUAGUUCGAAUCCUAAAAAUUUCAAUAUGUUAUCAAAAUUUGUAAAUUUAAUUUUAAUUCCAAAAAUUUUAGAAAAGGAAAGAUAUAUUUUAUGGUAUAUAAAAGAAAAUCUAGCUCCAUCCAACAUUUUAAAUUCUUUUCUUUUCUCUUCACAUUUUCAUGGCAACGAAAAAACCAACUCAUGGAUGAAUUAAGCAAAUUAAAUCAAAUCAAAUAAAUCGAACAAGGAAUUUAAUUAAAAAGAAAUUCUUCACAUGCAUCAAGGAGGGACUUCCUCGGGUGGAAUCAAGGGGAUUGAUAGAAACAGCUCAGGCUCGAACAAGAACUUCAAUAGGCUUAAGAUCAGGAACAGACACAUCGGAUCAAAGCUGCAACACCUCAGGUCCACCGAACCGAGGCAGCAACACCGCCCUGCAACUGUUCACAUAGCACAAUGAUAUGAUAACUCCAUAAAGGGUUUGGGUUUUAAGCUUUGAAGUUCCCUUUUUUUCUACUCAAAUUUCCUGAAUUUCAGCUCCUUCCUUUUGUUAAAUGAAGGAAAAGCAAAGGAGAGACACGGAAGUGUGUUAAUCCACAUAGAAAAAAGUGAUUAUGUGACUUGUGAGUGGGGGCCUAGGAGGCGUGGAGGAAGAAGAAGAUGAACAUUGCAUAAUCAAUUUUUAAUUGCUUAUUACAUUCAUAAUUAAAUAAAUAAAAAUUUCUAACCUUAUCUAUUAAAUCAAGUUAGAAUGUUCAACUUGAUUUUUGUUCGUCAUAAGUAUCAUAUAUUAUAAAACUUAAUUAUAUUUUAAUAAUUAUAUAAUAUUGAUUGAGUUAUUAUUUUUAAUUAUAACAUUUGAUACCAGAUUGAGGGCUAAAUUUAGAACUAGAACUAAAUUGACAAAUUUCGGAAAUUUUGAGCUUAAAUUUAUUUUUAUUUUUAAGAAUUUGAACUAAAUUGAGAAAUUUUGUAAAUAUGGAGGAUUAAAUUCUUUAGAAAUUUUAUAUUUAGAAUCAAAUUGACAGAAUGUCUAAACAUAAGGGUCUAAAUUUGUUAUUAGACCAAUAAAAACAAGUUCAUAUCAUUUUCUUGUCACUCAUCUAAUUGCAACUAAUGUGGAAAUAAUCAAAAUAUUUAAUUUCUAAAAAUUUAAUGACUAAAUAAAAAAAUUAAUAUUUAAGUGAUCAAAAUAGAAUGAAAUCAAUAAUUUGAUGACCGUUUUUGUGCUGUACCCUAUCUUAAUCCAUCUCACAACCAAAUUUCUCCAUCUUUGCCUAAUUUCUCUGUUUUUCAAAUUUUAAUAGAAUUAACAUAUUUAUUUAAAAAAUAUAUUUAAUCGUUUAAUAUAUUUUUAAUAAGUAAAUGUUAGUUCCAUUAAGGGUCAAUUUAUUUACAUGUAAAAAGUUAAAAAUAAAAAUAUUGAGUUAUAUAUAAAUAACAAAUGAAAUAUUAUAUAUAAUUUAUAUAUACAAAAUUCUUUUAAUUAAAUAUGAAAUUAUAUAUAUAAAUAACAAAUGAAAUUAUAUACAAAUUUAUAAGUGAAAAAUAUACAUAAUUAUAUUCAUAAAAAAAUACAAACAAGGUUAUAAAGUAGUUCAUAGGAAUAUAGCUUUCUUGUUUGUAUUCUCAUUCGAUUAUGAAUAUACCUUUCUUGUUAGUUUUCUCAUUCUAUUUUGAACAUACCUUUCUUGCUUGUUUUCUCAUUCUAUUGAUGAUUAAUGCUGCUUUCUAAUUUUUUAUAAAUUUAAUAGAACUAUUACUACUAAAAGUAUAAAAGGGCAAUGAUUUGCAAUUGUUUUUAUAAUUAAGUACUGCUUCUUGCGGCACUCACAUCUUGAAAUCCAAAUUCAAGAUUUUAAAGAAAUUUCUGAGCUCGAUCACUAUCAUGGCUUUGUCUGCUGUGACAUCUGCAGUGACAACAAUUGGCAACCUGCUAACUGAGGAAGCCAUAUACCUAUGGGGCGUGGAGGAGCAAGUUGAUCGUCUGCAAACAGAGCUCAAAUGGAUGCAAAGAUACUUAAUGGACGCAGAGACAAAACAAUCAAUGGAUGAGAUGAUUCGUCUUUGGGUUGCUGAAAUCAGAGAGCUUGCUUAUGAUGCCGAGGAUGUUGUCGAGGAAUUUGCUCUCAAGAUUGGAUCCAAAAACAAAGGAGGUCCUGCGAGUUGUAUUAAAAGAUCAGCCUGCUGUUUGAAAGAGGGAUGGGCACUCCACAAAACCAGGUCAAAAAUCGAGAAAAUCAAAGAAAGAAUCAACGACUUGGUCCGAAAACUACAGGCCUACGGAGUAAAGGACAGAGGAGAAGAAUCAAGUUCUUCAACUGAAAGACGAGAAUCAAGGCGGCCUUAUCCACAUAUUAUGGAUGAUAAUAUUGUUGGACUAGUUGAUGAUACCGAGGGAUUGGUCAAAGUUCUUACGGAGGAAAGUGGAUGCAAGGUUGUUACAAUAUGGGGCAUGGGUGGUCUGGGAAAGACCACUCUCGCCAAGAAAAUAUAUCACCAUCGUCAGGUUAUUGAUUAUUUCGAUCACUUGGCUUUUGUAUAUGUUUCUCAACCAUGCCAGAAAAGAAAUGUUUGGGAAGACAUUCUAUCUGGUUUCAAAACUUUAGAUAAAGUGGACAGGAAGAUAAGAGAUGAAGCAUUAGCAGAGAAGUUGUAUAACAUUUUGGGGGUUAAAAAGUGUCUGGUGAUACUUGAUGAUAUUUGGACCACUGAAGCUUGGGAUAGUCUAAAACCUGCCUUUCCAGUUGCAACGGGCCGUCAUAGCAAUAGCAAGAUAUUGCUCACCUCUAGAAACAGGGGGAUAGUUUCAGAUGCUGACAUAAGAGGUAAAAUUUUCUUAAUUAGGUAGAAUUGAAUACUCUUAUUCCUUUUAUGGAAAAUAGCUACAUAUAUUAUUUCAGAGUUGAAGUGCCUAAACGAUGAAGAAAUUUGGGAAUUGUUUCAAAAGAUUGUAUUUCCUCAAACAGGUAAAUAUACAUAUAGCAAAAUUCUUGUUAUACGCUAAAUUUAUUUUUCAUUUUUAAAUUUUUUUGACAAUAAUCUUAAAAAAUAUGUUAGGAUCAUCUUAAAAAAUAUAGUUUUUAGGCAUCAACAAAAUAGUGUCACGUCGUUAAAUUUUUAAGAUAACAAAGAAUUAUUAUACACUCAUUUAUAUUUAAUAUUUUCUCCAACUUAUUUUAACUUUAAUUAAAUUAUUUAAAAUAAUUAAUUUUUUAAAUUAUAAACAAACAUCUUUUCUUCUUUUCCAAAUUUUAAUCAUGUUUUUUUUCAUAAGUUAAUAUUUUUAUUUUUGUGCAACCAAUUUUUAAAAAAUAGUAAUUUUUGUGCAAUAUUUUUCAUGCCAUUGACACAUAAUUUUGAUAAUUGUUUUAUCCUGAACCCAAAACCCCGAACCCCGAACCUUGAACUCGAACCCUGAACUUAAACUUUGAACCCCGAAUCUCGCAGUUUAAGGUUUGGAUUCGAGAUUUCAAGUUCAAAAUUUGAGGUUCAAGUUUAAAGUUUAAGUGUUCAGGGUUAUGGGUUACGAGUUUAGGAUUCAUGAUUCAAGGGUUUGAGGUUACGAUUUUAGGGUUUUAUGUUUUGGAUCUAGGGUCUAGGAUUCUAGAUUCAGGGUUCAGGGUAAAAAAAUUAUGUGUCAAUGACAUGGAAAAAAUUGUUGAAAUGUCAUUAAAUAAACGGAAAGGGACCAUGAAUAAUGUGGUCAGAAGAGUCCAUAAAACAAUUUCUCUAUGGAUGAGUGUAUAAUAAUUCAUGUCUUUAAAAUUUGAUGAUUUGACAAAAAAAAUUAAUUUUUAGGAUCAUCCUAAUGUAAGUUAUUACCUUAUCUUAAUUAUUGGACUAUAUGCUUGUUUAGUUUCUUAAGCACUUUCAUGGUAUUCUUUUAUAUGUUUAUCCUGGAUCCUUGCAUCAGAAAGAUGGAGGCGCAGGUAAACCAUUCUUAUCAAGAGUAAAGCCCAAGAAAGAUGUAGUUGAUUCGAACAACCAGCACAUCUCUUUACCACCCUAUUUAGCAAACCAAUCCGCUAACCUAUUGGCUUCUUGUCUGAUAACAUUGACUUUCAAAGAAGAAAGUUGCAUGACCAGCUUAUCAAAAACCUGAAGGACUAUCCUUAAUCUCCAUCUUCGAUCUUGACUCUUCUUCUUAAUAUUCGAAGCAAUAGUCUGGGAGGCAGUCUUGAUUGUCACAUUGGUCCAUUUGUUCUUCAUAGCUAAUUCAAUCCAUCCAACCAUAGCUUUAGCCUCGACAACCUCACAUGAAUCACAUGAAUUAUAUAUUUAUUUGAAUCUCCUCUAAAAUUAAUUAGAGUGAAGUUUCUUAUUUAGUAUUGACUGUUCAAUAAAGUAUUCAAAGUUUUGGAAGUUUUCAAAUAGAUUUAUUUUUUUUAAGUGUUGUUAAUAACAGUAAUAAAAACUAAAUUUUAUAAGUGAUGAAUUUAUAUUAAAUAUUACUUAAUAAAUUAAUAAAAUUUAAGUUUGAGUUCAUCUAUUUUUACAUUUCUUUAACCUACUUAAAUUAAUUCCUAAUUUUUCUUAUUUUUUUAAAAUUUAUUCCUAAUUUUUUAUACAGGAAAUAAAAUCGGUGAGGAAUUAAAAGAGUUGGGAGAGAACAUGGUUAAACAUUGUGCAGGGCUGCCAUUAGCCAUUGUUGUAUUGGGAGGAAUUUUGGCUACAAAGAAUAAUUCAUUAAACGAAUGGCGAAAGAUAUCUGACAAUGUAAAAUCAUACUUGAAGAGAGGCAAAAAUCAAGGACCAGAGGAUGUGUUAGCAUUAAGUUAUGAUGAUUUGCCUCCCUAUCUAAGACCAUGUUUCCUCUAUCUAAGCCAUUUUCCGGAGGAUUAUAUGAUAGAUGUGGAUAGAUUGAUUCAAUUAUGGGUUGCUGAAGGUAUUGUGUCAUCAAAGCAAGAAAAAAGAGAUGGUGGGGAAAUUGCGGAAGAUGUGGCGGAAUCUUAUUUAAUGGAGCUUGUGGAAAGGUGCUUGAUUCAAGUACAAGAAAGAGAUGUGGCAACCUUAAAGGUAAAAACGAUUCAGAUGCAUGAUCUGAUGAGAGAUCUUUGCUUAUCAAAGGCAAAACAAGAAAAUUUUGUCUUCAUUGUUGAUCGAUCGAAUGCAUCUUCAUUAUCUAUGAUUCGGAAGGUUGGUAGGGUUUCUGUGCAUGAGUUUUUUUUCAUAAAAUGCAUUAAAAGUCCAAAUAUUCGAUCACUUUUGUUCUUCAAUGAGUUCUUUCCGGAUGAGGCAGUAGAAAAAUCUUGGCCCUUGGAAGUGUUGAAUUACGUUGAAGAACAUGAAGAUUAUGAUUGUAAUCCACUGUAUUGGAUUCUUUUCAUUUCGGGAAUUAGUACGAUGGCACUUAAAAUUCGAGGAAUUUGGAGAUACAUGUUCAACAACUUCAAAUUGCUAAGAGCCCUAAACUAUGAAAGAACAGGAGGUGAUCCUUCUGUAGGGUUUAAGUUACCCAGUAAUAUAGGUAAUCUCGUCCAUUUAAGAUUCUUGAGUCUAAGGAAUCUUAACUUCCAUUGGUCAAAGUUGCCAUCAUCUCUAGGCAACUUAAGGUGCUUGCAAACCUUGGAUUUAAGAGUUGAUAAUGUCAAAAUUCAUGUACCUAAUGUGAUAUGGAGGAUGGAGCAACUAAGACAUUUAUAUCUCCCUUUGAGAUGUAAAAGCAAUACUAAGUUGAAGUUGGGCACUUUGAGAAAACUCCUAACACUUGUGAACUUCAACACCAAGAAUUGUUAUCUGAAGGAUCUUAUCAACAUGAAAAAUCUUAGAGAGUUGGGGAUAAAUUUUCCCUUCAAUAUUGAAAAUUUCAAUGAGAAGGACUUGGGCGAGAAUCCACCCAUAAUCGGAAGUAAAUAUCUUCAUUCCUUGUUUAUUGUUUCCAUUGGGGAAUCCGGCACAGAAAUAGAUCCAAGACAUUUGGCCCACCUCCUUUCAAAUUGUACUAGUAUUUGCAACUUAAGUAUAGCAGUAAGGAUAAGUGAGUUACCAGAGUAUCACUACUUCUCUUCACAUCUCGCUUACAUACGGUUGAGUUGGUUCAAGUUUAGGAAAGAUCCAAUGCCAACACUAGAGAAGCUGCCUAACUUAAGGAUUCUUGAAUUCGAAAGUUCUUUCAAAGGAAAGGAAAUGUUUUGCUCAGGGUUUUCCUAAACUUGAGUCUCUAAUCCUUGGGGGGCUCGAAAAUUUGGAGGAGUGGAAGAUGGAUGAAGGAGCCAUGCCUUCUCUUCAGCGAUUGGAGAUCACGUAUUGCAGAAGAUUGAAGAUGCUUCCAGAGGGAUUGAGGUUCAUUACAACCCUCAAAGAACUGAAGAUUGAAUUAAUGCCAAAGGCAUUCAAAGAUAGAUUGGAGGAAGGAGGAGAAGAUUUCUACAAAGUCAAACAUGUUCCUUCUAUCAUAUUCCAACAAAUCUACAUUUAAAACUCCUAUUAUAAGUGGCGUGUGAAAGGGUGUUAUAUGGUGAGAUUUGGGAUUAUCUUCUCUCUUGUAUAUAUCUAUGGUUGUUGACAUCAGACUGGUUGAUUGUUUGUUGUUUUCUUCAAAUUACAAUAAAACGGUUGCAAGAUAAGGUAUGGGAAGAAUGGGAGGUGUCUGGAUUAGCAAGGUACCAAACCCCUCCUCCAUUUCUAUUUCCUUCAAUCUAAUUUAAUUACACAUUUAUUUUUGUCUUUUAAAACAUAAAAAUUGCAGAUAAGGAGACGUCACUGACCUUUGUUCCCACAUAGCUUUGGUUUGCGGUCACCAUUCCUAUAUUUAUUUGUUAGCUUUGCUUUCCCCUUUUUAUUUUUUCUUUUUUUAUAUGUACUUAAUGUAAUAUUAGAAGCCAAGGCAGGACCAUGCUUUUCUAGUUCUAUUGUAAAAUUCAUCACUUCGUUAUCAAUGUUCAUUUCUACUAUUCAGUUUACUUAAAUAUAAUUGUUUGAUAUAUAUAUAUAUUUGAAUAUGGAUACACGAGAAUAUAAUCUUUUUAAUAUAUACAUAUUUUAGAAAAAAAUUGAAUAUACGAAUGUUGGACACAUUUCCUGUUUCAACAUAUUUCCUUAUUUUAUGCAAGUCGAUUGGUAUUCAACAUAAUCUUUUCUGUCAACCCUAACUCAAUAAUCUUUGUUAAGAUAUCAUAUCAGGUUCAAUGGUUGCACUUCAUCCCACACUUCCAAAGCAAAAAAUAGGAAAAAUUAAAUCUUACCAACUAAUAACACUUCCAAAUUACAUUGUCUUACAAAAAGAAGAAGAUACAAUUUGAAUUUUUUUAUCAACAUUUGAUGGUUUAGCAAGCUAUAUGCUUUAUAAAAGGCAAAGGAAUCUAAGGGAAUCAAAGAUUCCAAAAUCGAUAUUUAGAUUCAAGAUUUUGUAUCCUCAAGCUUUGCUUCUAAUAUCUACCAACAAUAUCUUGAUGAUAAUAAACUAAAAAUACAAUACAAAAUCACAGCCACAUUUGUUAGUGACUAUUUUGGGUGAUCAAAGGAAAAAAAUGUUAGCUGUUCAGCAAACAAGGUGUACAAAUUAGAUAUUCCAAUUACGUUCAAGCACUUGACAAAUCCUUUCUGCAAUGGCUUCAGAAGGCAUCCUAGGACCUUCAUCAUCUGCAAAAACCGACCAUUUCUAGCAACUAAGCUAACAUCACACAUGAUAUUAUAUGUAUAUAACAUAUAUAGAAGAUGAUUAUGUGGAUUAAAAGCUAUGUCAGUUUGACUAAAUGCAUGACCACAGGACGUGCACGAUUCUUCAAUAACGAUAUGAAAAUACUUGGAAGAAAAACUGAAUACAUCAAUUUAUAACAUUUACAUCUGAGUUCGAGUAAAGUAAAACAUAUCAUUCUAUCUAAACAUGCAAAAUAUCCAAAACUCUUGAUGAAUGUUAGAUACAAAUAUGUAGAAUGUACCCAAAAUACCCAUCUCGAACUCAGUAGAGAAAUAUCUAGCAUUCAAAAGGCACUAGCUUCAACCAAGAACAAGGAAGUUUCUUCAAAGGCUUGAUAUAAUUUCUUCACAACCAUAUAUAUGUGUGCAUAUACCCAUAUUAAGGAUGAUUGUUUUGGCAAAGAGGAUGAGAAGAUAGAAAGAAAACCUUUAAUCCAAUGACAAUAUUUGAUUAUAACAUGACACAUAUAAUUGUGAUUAAAAUUGCGGUCACAAACAUGUUUGCAAUCACAUCAUGUUAACGAAUACUAUCGCAAUCAAUUGCAAUAAAUAUCCACAACAACAAGAGCCAGAAUCCUAAAAAAACAAAGAUAAUACAUUACAGCUUUUAAGGAAUUUUCAAUAACGUAUAUACCUGCAAGAUUUUCAGUGAUGACACAACAAAGUUCACCAUCAGACAACUUCCCGAUCUAAUGAAAUUUUCAAACAUAUCAUGUCAUAAGUUUCAAGAUCAACUGAAACAUGCGGAUACCCAGUAUGAUAAGAAAUUAAAUUAAGAGAAAUUAAAUUAAGGAUUUUCUACAUCAAACCUACCAUGAAAACAUAAUUUUUAUUAGGAUCAAAGGCAUAGCCCAUCAUGGCAGCAUUAUUGAGUCCAUUUUCAGAGGAAAAUCCUGAAACAUGUUACAGGCAAAUAUUAAGAAAAACAAUGCACAAGCAUAAGUACAAAAACAUAGCAUGCAAGAAAUCAAUACUUGAAAGGAUUAAUAUCACUGCUAACCUAAGACAUUAAAUCUACCACCACUAGGAAACAUCCGAAAUGAUCCUUGUCUUUCAAUGUUGAGAUACAUAGGUCCAAGUCUGCCGUAUUGCGCCAAACUGGAAUUCAUCAACCUCUUAAAGAACCUAAAGGAUGAAAAGUUCCAGUCCAAGUUAUAUAUAUACAGACACACACAGACAGACAUGAAGAAAGUGGGUUAAUGGUGUAUUAUUUAAGUAAAGAAGAAGUUGAAAUCUUGAACCUCUAAAUAUUGGGUAACAGCUAGUGUUAAAAGUGCAUAAAGUUCUGCUAGUAUCUACAACAAACAAUGGAGGAAUCACAUACGUUGUUUAUAUUCACUUUUCUUGCUACACAAGCAAGCUGACUCCAUAAACAAAGGCAUACUUUUUUCUCUGUUUUUAAAUGGUUUUCUUGUUUUUUGCCUGCUUUUUAUAUUAAGAGAGAGAGAUUGUGAGAUCUUGUCAUCCUCAAGGAGAAAGUGGUCAAGCAUGAAGGUGAUGGGAAGACCACGAGUCAAUGGUGGUUGAUCCAUGAGUUGAUUAUGAGUAGUUUCAUGUUAUGAAAUAAAAAUGUUAGGUAAAGUUAGUUGAACACUGUGUUUUAGGGCUGAGGGUUUAAUGAAACUAUAGGUUUUGAUGUUGAAUGAAAACGGUGCGUAUUGACGGUUUGUUACAACUGCUUGAGGAACAGCCCUAUAGCAGACUUUGUAACUGCCAAUUCUCAGCCAUAAUAGAAACUGGCAUGGGAAAUGAGCAGAUAUGCCAUUUUGUGAAGGAAAUCAAUUCUUUCUUCUUCCUCGAUUCUCUUUCUCCUCUCUCUUUUUCUUUCUUCCUCUAUUCUGUUGAAAUUAUGCAUCACUUCACCAGCAUUCAUCAUUGUGGACGUAUCUGAUCUUCAGUCUCUGGUUUACUGCCCAUGUAAAGUUAUGGAAAGGAAUGCAAAUUUAAAAGGUUUUCUUGCUAUAGUCUAUGCAAUUUCAUGUGUGCGUGAAAGGAGAUGAAGAUUAAUAGAGUAAUACUGAUAUACCAACAAUUCAUUAAUUGAAGUACUAUAAUAUUAUCAACAAGUAACAGAAUUAAGUGAGUAUACUAAUAUAGUCUAGAAAAACAAUUUAAUUAAUAAUAUCAUAGGGAUGGCAACAGGGUGAAGUUGCUAUUGCUAUUUAUAUCUCUGCUGCUAGCUUUUGACGACUUCAAGUAAACCGCAAUCACAAGUGUUGUUCUUAUUACCUGCAAAAACAGAGCCAACAAUCUGAAUCCAUAUCCCCAUUUUAGGAACAAAUGCAUGGUGUACCAUUUGUUUCGAAGCCAAAUCAGUUUUCUUAAUUUUUCUUGAAGUAAAACCGUAUCUGACACUUAUAUUCAACACAUAUUCAUGUAUUGGUAUGAAGAUAUGAUAUUCUUAUCCUAUACUCAUACCCGUGCUCAAGUAACAUAAGCUGAACCCGCAAGAUAACUGAUUUAACAUCGCAUUGCUGCUAGCUAUUGAUGAUUUCACCAAGUAAACUGCAAUCACAAGUGUUGUUCUCAUUCCUUGCAAAAACACAGUCAACAAUCUGAAUCCACAUUCCCAUUUUUGGAACAAAACCAUGGCGUACCAUUUGUUUCAAAGCCCAAUCAACUUCCUUUACCAUCUUCCCCUUACAAAAACCAUGAAUCAACUUCUUGUAUGAAUCAAAACUAGGAUUAACCCUCUCAAAAACCAUUCUCCCCAUAAUCUCCUUUGCUUCCAUAAACCUCGCAGCAUCAAGCAAACCAUACAACACCUCUUGAUAAGACCCUGCAUUGGGAUAACACCCUUCCUUUUUCAUAAUUUCUAACAGCUUCACACCUUCAUCAAUCCUACCGUGUUUCCUAAGACCUGAAAUCAAGAUAUUAAAGCUAACAGCAUCAGCAUCGAUUCCUUCCGUUUCCAUCCUCCCCAUCAACUCAAAAGCUUCAUCAACCUUCCCUUUAUCGCACAACCCGUGCAUUAAAGUAGAAUAAGUUCUAACAUUAGGCUUACACCUUUGUUUAGGAAACUCAUCGAGCAGUUGGAAUGCAAACUCUAAUUUCCCAUUUUCACACAACCCUUUAAUGAGAAUAUUCAGAGUACAAGCUUCGAUUUCAACACCCAAAUUGGGAGCUUUCCCAUAAACCUCGUGAACAACAUCAAAUAGUUUGUUCGAUACGAGUAAGCUCAAUACGAUAUUGAAGGUUUUAACACUAGGCCAAGUCCCAUAUUCUGGCAUGCUAAAAAGGAUCUCGAUUGCCCUUUUGAUUCGACAUCCGAUAUGCCCAUACUUUUUAAUCACAUUGUGGAAGAAUUCAUCGGAUAAACGACAGGCUUUUUCACGUUUGAGCUUUUCCAUUAUAUUUUCAAUGGAAUCAAAAUGCUGGGCAUAUGCGAGCUUGUUGAUGAGCAAAGUGAAGAGAGGUUCAGUUGGUUUAUAAUCCUUGCGAGCUGAGUAUUGGGCUAGGACUGAAAUGAGGGAGUUUGGAUCUUUAAGAUUGUCAAAGAUUUUGAGGAUUUCGGUCGGGGAGAGCAAGUCUUUGUGGGUUAGUCUGAAAAGGGCAGGCGAAGUGGGGUGGGUUGGUUGAUGGUAGCUGGAAAAUGAGGAGAAAAACGAAAGGGGUUUAAGAGAUGAGAUUUUAGUGGUGAUUGGAUGGUGAAAAAAUGAGGGAAAAUUUUGGGGGUAAGAGCUUUUGACAGAAGAAAGAAGGGAACGUGAAAUCAUGCGUUUGGCCAUUGGAGAAUGUAGAAACUGGAGAGCUAAAAGCUAUCUGCUAUCUGCUAUUUGCACUAUAAACGUAUAUAGGGUAAGGGAAAGGCUUAAUACUUGUUUUGUCCCCUGUAAUAUAGUAAAAAUCUCAUUUUGACCCUUUUCCUUGACUUUGUCUGUUUACUUUCAAUUCGUCCAUCAUGUUAGUUUAUUGAUCAAUUCCGCAAAUCCCAUGUGUUAGGGUUCCUAUAUUAUAGUAUUCAUCCAUGUACUUUAACCCUCCACGUUGUCGCAAUCAAUUGGCUUAAAUGAUCACACACAAGGAUCACUAUAGUAUAAGGACCAAAGUGAGAAUUUUAUUAUUAAUUAAGUGAUGAACACGUAAACAUGCACUAAUUUUUUAUGUAGAAAUGGUCAAUGGAUUAAAGUGACAGAUGAAAUGAAAGUAAAGGGUGCAAAGCGAUUGUAUGAUGCAAAACUUAAAUAAUUUAUCUACUGAAAUUUUGAGGUGUAUUAUUUUGAAGUAACGAAUCAUUGUUAUUUACAACUAUAUAUUACAUCUCUUUGAAAUGUACAAAUAAACUAAUGGGCAGAAUGUUUAUGAAUGUCAAAACUUUAUUUUUGCUUCUUCUUCCCUUCAAGAAUUGGUUGGAUUUGGAGAUGCCUAUUGAAAGCCUGGUUGAAAAGGAAUCGAGUUUGGAAUGCCGAAAUGAUCGGAAGCCAUGCCAAUAUAGCAAUCGGAGAGAAAAGGAUCGAUCCCAUUCCGUAAUCAUAUGCCUUAGCUAGUACCUCAGUGAACUGCCAGAGUCGGGUGUUCUCAAUAAUUGGCCUCACAGCUUGAGCAACCUGAAGGGAACUAAAAUGUCAGAGGGAAUAAGGCAAAAGAUGUAAACUCUAGACAAAAACUAUAUGCCGAUCCUCUAAAUAUAUGAACAAAUUUAAAAAAAAAAAAUUGGAUAACUUAAGGAUUCUUGAAUUCUAUAGUUCUUUCAAAGGAAAGGAAAUGUUUUGCUCUGCUCAGGGUUUUCCUAAACUUGAGUCUCUAAUCCUUGCGGAGCACUUCGAAUUGGAGGAGUGGAAGGUGGAUAAAGGAGCCAUGCCUUCUCUUCAGCGAUUGGAGAUCAAGGAUUGCCCAGAAUUGAAGAUGCUUCCAGACGGAUUGAGGUUCAUUACAACCCUCAAAGAACUGAAGCUUGAAUUAAUGCCAAAGGCAUUCAAAGAUAGAUUGGAGGAAGGAGGAGAAGAUUUCUACAAAGUCAAACAUGUUCCUUCUAUCAUAUUCCAAAAAUGUGGCUAAUAGAUUGAAUGAUAAUUGAGAGGUAAUUUCAUAACCUCUAGUUUAUGAAAUGAUUCCUACUUUCUUUGCUUCUUAUAUAUCUUUCGUUUUUGACAAUGUCUCACCUUCUCACUGACUUUGUCAACACACCAAUGAAUAAUUACAUUUAUUAAAAGUCAAAGGAAGUCAGACAUUGAUAUUUUUUUAGUUUUUCUUUUCAGGUAAAGACGCCAUUUUUUCAGCUGCUACUGCUAUUCACGGGAUCAAAUCUAGAUUUAAAACUCCAAUUAUAAGUGGCGUGUGAAAGUGUGUUAUAUGGUGAGAUUUGGGAUUAUCUUAUCUAUUGUAUAUAUCUAUGGUUGUUGACAUCAGACUGGUUGACUGUUUGUUGUUUUCUUCAAAUUAUAAUAAAACGGUUGCAAGAUAAGGUAUUGGAAGAAUGGGAGGUGUCUGGAUUAGCAAGGUACCAAACCCCUCCUCCAUUUCUAUUUCCUUCAAUCUAAUUUAAUUACACAUUCAUUAUUGUCUUUUAAAACAUAAAGUUGCAGAUAAGGAGACGUCACUGACCUUUUGUUCCGACAUAGCUUUGGUUUUUGGUGACCAUUCCUAUAUUUAUUUGUUAGCUUUGCUUUCUCUUUCUUUUGUUUUUCCCUACGUAAGUCUGCUUGAUUCUUUUUCAUUUUAUGUACUUAAUGUGAUAUUAGAAGCCAAGGCAGGACCAUGCUUUUCUAUUGUAAAAUUAAUAACUUCGUUAUUUUAUAUAUGUUUGUUGGACACAUUUCCCGUUUCAACAUAUUUCCUUAUUUUAUGCAAGUCAAUUGGUAUUCAACAUAAUCUUUUCUGUCAUCCUUAAAUCAAUAAUUUUUGUUACGAUAUCAUAUCAGGUCAUCCCUACACUUCCAAAUUACAUUGUCUUACAAAAAAAAGAUACAAUUUGAAUUUUUUUUAUCAAAUGGUUUAGCAAGCUAUGCUUUAUAAAAGGCAAAGGAAUCCAAGGGAAUCAAAGAUUCCAAAAUCGAUAUUUAGAUUCAAGAUUUUGUAUCCCCAUGCUUUGCUUCUUAUAUCUACCAACAAUAUCUUGAUGAUAAUAAACUAAAAAAUAUAUAUAUUCAAGGGAAUCACGAUUGAAAAUUUCACAUCCACUUAAAUAAUUCAAAUGAUAUUUAUUCAAUAAGUUUAAAUUAAAAACGGUAAGAAUCCUCAUUUAUCUUUUAUUCGAAAUGUAAUUGGGAUUCAAUGAAAAUAUUGAACACAUAAUGUGUGCACAUGGAAAUGUCCAAAUCUUUAAAUAUAGGGUCGACAUGGGAGAAAUCUCCUAAUACCCAACGUUAAAGAUUUAUAAAAUUCAAUAUGAUCCUAUUAUUUUUGUUAUAAAACUCAAUAUCUUUUUCGGAUUAAGAUACGAGCGAAAAACAACUAACUAUUUGUAGUUCAAGGUGUCACUACACCAAAAGAGGGAUUUAGCGGCAUUUUUUGUGGCGUUUGUAGAUAAAACACCGCUACAAAUCAGGCAUUCGCGGUGCUAACCCUAAAACGCCAGUAAAGAUCCAGCAAUAGCGACGCUUCUAGGAAAAUGACGUAAAUAGUCAGACCCAUAGUGGCGUUUUAUAUAACAACGCCGCAAAAGAGCAUCAUUAGUGGCGUUUUUAAACAAAAACGUUGUAAUAAAUUUGACAAAACACAUCGUUUAAUAUUCAGGAAUAGUGGCAGUAGCGGCGCAUUAUAAAAACGCCAUUAUAGAGCACAAUUAGCGGCGUUUGUUUGUAAGCGCCGCAAAAAAUGUUAAACAAAACACAGCGUACAAUAUUGAGGUAUAGUAGAAUAGGUGGCGCUUCUAUAAAAACGCCGCUGAAGCACAUCAUUAGCGGCGCUAGUACAAAAGCGCCGCAAAAUAUCUGGACCAAAACGCAGCAUUUGGUGAAAUGGCAUAGAGCCAAUAGGGGCGAUUCAGGAAAACGCCGCUAUAGCCCAAUAAUAGCGGCGCGUAACCGAAAAACGCCGGAACUUGUGAAACCGAAACGCAACGUUUCGUCUUGAGCUAUAGCGCCUUUAGUGGCGCUUAGCCGAAAACGCCGCUAUAUAUCAGCUUUUAGUGGCGUAUUCUUGAAUCGCCGCAAAGGUUUUGUACAAAAUGUAUCGUUCGGGUUUGACGUAUAAAGGCAUUAGUGGCGCUUACCUAAAAACGCCGCUAUAUAUGUUAAAUAGCAGCGUUUAACUAAAAAAGCCGAAAAUUUUUAAACCGAAACGCAACGUUUCGUCUUGAGCUAUAGCGCCUUUAGUGGCGCUUACCCAUAAACGCCGCUGGAUAUCAGCUUUUAGUGGCGCUUUUGCUUAAGCGCCGCAAAAAAUUUUGACCAAAACGCAUCGUUUCGACUACACGUAUAGAUUCAUUAGCGGCUCUUAUUUGGAAACGCCGCUAUAGAGUAACUUUUACUGGAGCUUUAGAUUAAAACGCCGCAAGAAAUUUAAUUUAUUUUUCCAUUAUUUUAGGAUUUAUUUUUCCAUUAUUUUUGCUAUAGAGUUUUAGGGUUUAUGGUAUAUAUACUAUUUUUUAUUUUGGGCUAGGGAUUGAAGGUUUGAUGUUCAAGGUUUAAAGAUAUAUAUACUACUAUUUGAAAACUAAUUAAAGAAUAACAUUUUAAUUUUACUGGGAUCCAUGCCACGUUGUAGCACACCUAUAUUAAAUAAUUAAAUAAUAUAAAAUAUAUGUUCUGUACUAAACUAACACAUUGGCCACCCGAAUUUCCAAAGAUAUGGUUUAUGACUUACGGUUUAGACUUUAGGGGUUUGGCCAACUUUAAGGUUUAGAAUUUAUGAUUUGGUGGUUGUUGUUUGUGGUUUACGGGUUUAAUGUUUAUGGUUAAUUUAGGGUUUAAGAUCUACGGUUAAUGUUUACGAUAUAUUGUGGAUUGGAUUUUGUGGUUUGGUGGUUUGGUGUUUUAUGGUUAAUUGACGGGUUUAGGGUUUAAGUUUGAUGUUUUGAGAUUUAGGGUUUAAGGUUAAGGGUUUAUAGUUUAGGGUUUAGGAUUUAUGAUUAAUUAAGGCUUACAGUAUAGUGGUUUAUAGUUUAGGGUUUGAUGGUUACGGAUAAAUAAUAUGGUUGACAAUUUUAAGGUUUCAACUUUAAUUUAGGGAUUGGGGCUUUUGUGUUUAAUCUUGGAUAUUCUAGAUUAAUAUAAAUGAAAAUAAUAUAAAUAUAAAUUAAUAUUUUAAAAAAUAUAUCAAAAUGGGUUAAAUCCCAAAAGCAGACACGAACAAUGUUUUAUUGUUCAACUAUUUUAUACAUUAACUUUUAUCGUGUGUGAUCCAGAUAAUCUUGUAAAAUAGUAACAUAAUUAUUGAUAUAAUUAAAAUAAAUUUUUAUUUAUAUUGCAUACAUAAAUAUUUAUAUUUAUUCAAUAUAAAAAUAUACUGAUGUAUUUUCUUUUUAAAAUGUGUAAUUAUUAGUUAAAAAUUUCUCUCUAAUUUAAAAGAAAUUAUUAAAAUAUCGGUUAAUUUUAUUGAAAUGUUAGCAAAACAUCACCGUUUUGUGCUUUGCAUUUAGUGGCGCUUUUUGUAAACGCCGCAAUAGUGUAUUAUGAGUUAAGAAACUGCGUCGUUUGGCAUUGUCUUUAGUGGCGCUUUCCCUAAAACGCGGCAAAUAGUUUAAGUUUUAUAUAUAAACAGUGCCAUUUUACUUAUUUUAGUUGUGGUGUUUAGGGUUGAAAACGCCAAGAGUUUGAUUUAACUGAUGUCGAAACGACAGCGUUUGACUGUAUAUUUUGUGGCACUUAAGUAUAAACGCCGCAACUGGGUUAAAUAGGAAAAAAACGGUGUUGUUUGUUUUCCAUCCUUUUGACCGAAACAAAACCAAAAACCCCGAUUAAUCUCCCUCCCCCCAAACUGUCAUCUCCCCCAAAUCCCUAAAUUCCCCUAAUCCCUAACAGUUCCCCAAACCCGACGUAUCCCUGUAAGGCGCCGUCUGCUUUGCCACAUCACAGUCUCCCUGCGUCUCUGGUGCCCCAACAAUCGGUAAGCUCGGCAUCUUCCUUUUUCUUUUUCAUGCGUGGAUGUUAUCUGGAAUACCGAUUUUGAACAAAAAAAUCCAUAAACAUUAAACAAUGUCUGUUUUGGUAAAGAAAACAAUGAACUCCCUUUUUUUUCAUAAACAUUAAACUUCUCCUUUUUGGUAAAUCCAUAAACAUUAAACUUCUCCUUUUUUUCCUCUUGUUGGUAAAGAAAACAAUGAGCUCCCUCACAUUCUCAGUUUCAGGCACAAAACAGACAUUGAAGAUCUCAUCUUUUUCCCUUGUUUGAAAACAAAUGCGUUACUCAAAUAAAUCAAAUUCCGCUUAAACCCUUUUGUUCUUUUUUUGGUCUCCCAAGCUGUUUCUCUUUUGGUUCCUUUAAUAAGUUCAAGAACAGACAGGAAAACAUAAUUUCUUGUAUAUAUUCAUUAAACAAAAGCAUGUUGCUUUAUCUGUUAACUGGUUAGGGUUUCUUGUUAUUGGAGGUCAAGUUCUUUGUGUUUCAGAGUUUGUCAUGUUUCUUUUUUCCUGCUAAGGAAGAAGUUUCUGAAUUAUAAAGUUAUGUUGUUUUUAUUUUCCUCAUUGAAUUCCUUGGUCAAUCAUGCAGACUGAGCUGAAAAGAUUGGAAUUUAAUGAGAUUUCAUGGAAGCAAAAACAACUUGCUAAUUUGUUACAUAUCUUAUUCUGGUCAGUUCUCAUUUUCUUUAGCUCUAUUAUUACUUUUUGGUGUUGUGUUCAUAUACAAUUUACUUGUUAAUUAUUAGUUGAACUUUCAGAUUUCCCCCCUUUUUUCUGUUUGUUAAAAAUUCUAUUUUGGGGGCUUUGGUUUUUCUUUUAGAAGGACUUUUUUUUUCUCUACUUACUCCAAAUGCUGUUAAACUACUUCUUUUCUGUAAAAUCCUAAACAAUUUCUUUUUUUCCCCUUAUUUUUCUUCAUAAUGCUAGAUGGGAUAGUUUACUUUUCCCAGAAAAAAAAAAAGAGAACAAGAUAUGAGUUGAUAUCAAGAUGGAUUUACCAAAACAUUAAACUGAGAAUCUGGAAUACUGAUUUUCAAUGUCUGUUUUGUUUUUGAUAUGCUUGAGCUUAGGUUGAUUUAUUUGUUAACUUGUUAGUUCAGUGCAACUAUUUACUCUAUCUUUUUUUUUGUUUAGUAGCUAUUUAUUUAUUCGUUAUUACUUUUUCAAAGUUUUAAUAUUUUCUAAGUAUUUAAAUUUUUCAGUAACUAUAUAUGCAGUAAAGGUUUAGUGUUUUAAUAUUUUCUAAGUAUUUGAAAUUUUUUAAAAUUGUUUGUGCAUAGAUGGCAUUCUUUAUUUUAACAUAUUUGAGAUUACUCAGUUCUGUAACAUGCAACUUGAUUUUGUAUUUACAUCAUUGUAUUGUCUUCAUUAAUGGACGGUAAACAGCUGACUGCUUUUAGUUGAUCUUAUGUUUACAUGCAACUUGAUCUUAUGUUUCACUUGACUUUAUCAAUUGAUACUUUGUUUAGUUACUUUUCUAUAGUUUCGUAAACACCUGGCUGCUUAUGUUUUCUGUUUUCUAUAUAUUUGGUUUACGGUCAUUGGUAUUCAUUAAGUUUUUAUAUUUGGUUCUCAUAUUGGUAAAGUUUUAAGGUGCCAUUUAAUGUUUCCAAGUAAUAUUUGUUUGUGAUAUCGAUAAAGUUUUACAUAUUUGAUGGCUAAACUAAAAAAAUAUUUGGUGCUAGUCUGAUCAUGGUUCAUCUAUUGUAGGCAGAAAUAAUAUUUGNNNNNNNNNNNNNNNNNNNNNNNNNNNNNNNNNNNNNNNNNNNNNNNNNNNNNNNNNNNNNNNNNNNNNNNNNNNNNNNNNNNNNNNNNNNNNNNNNNNNAAUUUGGGGUUUGUUGCGUGUGUUUUGCGGAACUAUUGUUUGGGCAGGUACAUGUUAAAAUUUGAACGUUUUUCCCCUUAUUUAUAUGCAUUUUCCCAAAUUGCUUAACAAAAUUCCUAUUCCUAACCGCAGUCUCUGUUUGCUGGUAAGAGUGAAGUAGACAAAGUUGAGUUAAAUAUUAAGGUAUGUUUUAGUUCAUAACUUAAAUCAGUAAUAGUUUUAUCAUGAUGAUUUUUGAAAAAAAAUUCUUUUGGGGCUCUGAUUUUGUAUACAUGUAAUUGGUUUUGGUUGUUUCCCUUUACCUUAUGUUUCAUUUUACUUAUUUUACAAUUGCCAUGUACUUUUCUGACUUAUGUUUUCUGUUAUCAUCCAUCAACGAUUGUUAUAUAUGUUGAGCAAAAUAGGAGCAAUUUACUAAAUUGUACUGGGAUUUGGAUAAAAAUUUUUUUAUUUUAAAAUUAUUCGAUAUUUCUUAACUACACGUUUCAUUUAAGAACAAAUUAAUCCACUUUAUUUUCACAGUUCAGUUUCAUUGAUAUGAAAUAUGCUUAAUUGAUGUGUACAUAUUAUUCCAUAUCGCAAGUAAAUAUUUUAUUUAAAUCAAAUUUAUUUUUAUUUGUUUUAAAGUUAAAAUUAACAAAACAUACAUAACUUAAAGCUAAAAUUUCUUAACUUUUGUAAAUGGUAUUAACUUGCUUAAUAUAAAUUAAACUUAUAUAAUAUUAAGAUCAAAUUUCAAGACUUGCAAAAUCUUUGGAUCAGAUUUCAUAAUUUAUGUAUUUUAUGUAACUUACAUAAUAUAUAACAUGCAUAUAACUUUUGUAAAUGGUAUUAACUUGCUUAAUAUAAAUUAAACUUAUAUAAUAUUAAGAUCAAAUUUCAAGACUUGCAAAAUCUUUGGAUCAGAUUUCAUAAUUUAUGUAUUUUAUGUAACUUACAUAAUAUAUAACAUGCAUAUAGCUUAAGUAACAGUAAUUUCAGAUCUACUUUCACUACUUACAUAGCUUUUAGCAGGACACUUCAUAACUUAUAUAAUAUUAAGAUAAAAUUUCUAAUCACACAUCAAUUGGAAAUAAAAUAAAAUUAAUAUAACUUAUAUAAUAUUAAGAUUACUUAUAUAGUAUUAAGACAAAAUUUCUAAUUACAUAACUUACAUAAAUUAAAUAACUUACAUAACUUACAUAAAUUAAAUAACUUACAUAACUUACAUAAAUUAAAUAACUUUCAUAACUUACAUUAUACAUAACCUUCUUAACUUACAUUAUACACGACUCACAUAAUUAAUAUUAUACACAACUUUCAUAAUACAUUACUUACAUAACGUACAUUACUUACAGUACUUACAUAAUACAUAAUACAUAACUUACAUAACUUACAUAAUAAAUAAAAAUAUAUCAUACCAGAAAUUUCUGUAAUUCAUUUAUGGUUAGAACUGGCGUUUUAACUUACCAGUGCAAAUUAUUGUCAACGUCAGACUUCAAGAAUUAAGAAAUGGACCGGUCUUGGAUGAAUUUGUCAAGGGUUAGUAACAGUUAUCGAAAUGGAGUACAGUAUUUUCUAAAUUUUGCAUUUCAAUAUGCAAGCCAAGAGAACAUGAUUCUUCGCCCGUGUAAGAAGUGUGUCAACAUAAACUGGCAUUAUCGUAAGGUUGUAUACGAGCAUCUAAUUGUUGAUGGGUUUGUUCGGGGUUAUAAACAAUGGUUAUUUCAUAGAGAAUGCUCGCCUAGUACUUCCUCUUCUACGAUGGAUGUAUCUUAUCCUGAUACUGCUUACCAUCAGUUUGAUAGAGGGGAUGACAUGGAAGGUAUGUUGCGGGAUGCAUUUAAUAUGCACAAUCAUGGUGUGCAAUCAUUCCCAGCAGAUUUUGUGGCAUCUGAUGAUUGUAAUAUUGGUGGAACUACUUUUACCGAACUGGGAAGUAGUGUACCUCAUGAAGAGCCGAAUGUAGAAGCGGCAAAGUUCUACGUUCUACUUAAUGACAUGAACGAAGAACUGUAUGAGGGAUUAAAUUUUCAAAAAUGUCUUUUUGUGUUCGUCUUUUUCAGUUAAAAUGUUUGGGAGGGUGGACCGGAAACUCGUUGACAAUGCUGUAAGAGUUUUUGAGAGAAAUGUUUCCGUUUGCAAAAAUCCCUCAGUCAUGCAAAGAUAUGAAGAAAAUGAUAAAAGAUUUAGGCCUUGGGUACAACAAAAUCCAUAGUUGCCCAAAUGACUGCAUGUUGUAUUGGGGCGAUCGGAAAAACCAACAGUGCUGUCAUGUAUGCGGCCAAUCCCGUUGGAUAAAUAGAAACACAGAAGACGGGAACGACGAUGAAAAUGAUGCACAAUUGAGGAAGAAGCCAGUCAAGAUUUUGCGGUAUUUUCCCCUCAUACCAAGGCUUCAAAGGCUUUUCAUGUCGUCGAAAACAGUGGAGUCUAUGGGAAGAAGUUCUCUUACAUGGGGCAUCGUCGGUGGUUACCGAAAAAUCAUAGAUUUAGAUUUUAGAGUUCUGCAUUUGACGGCACUGAAGAGUUCAGAGAAGCUCAUUCGCAGACCAGUGGCUUUGAAAUCUCGUUCGUGUUGGAGGAUAUGAAUUUCAUUUAUGGGAAGAUGAACCAACCGCCAAACACGCAAAGAAAUAGAAGAUCAAAUGAUGAAGCUGAUGAUGACUCAGAUGAAGAGGAUGAUCCUAAUGAGACGGACUUGUGGAAAAAAAAAAGCAUUUUUUUGAGUUGCCUUAUUGGGAGCACCACCUAUUACGACACAAUCUUGACGUUAUGCAUAUUGAGAAAAAUGUCUGCGAGAACAUUGUCGGUACAAUUUUGAAUGUAGACGAAAAAUCAAAAGACAAUCUUCAGAGUCAACUUGAUUUAGUUCAGAUGGGAAUUCGACCUGAUCUUCAUCCGAAUCCACUUCCGAAUGGGAAAUAUCGGUUGCCGCCUUCAAUUUUCUCAAUGUCCAAGACGGAGAAAGAACUAUUUUGCAUGGUGUUGAAGGAUAUAAAGGUUCCAGAUGCGUAUGCAUCAAACAUAUCUCAAUGUGUUAGUGUUAAAUAUCGAAGAUUAUAUUCGCUAAAAUCACAUGACUAUCACAUCUUGAUGCAAGAUUUACUGCCAGUUGCUCUACGAUGUUGUAUGUCAAGAAGGUGACGUCUUGUAUAAUUGAACUAUCCAAUAUAAUGAAAGCCAUUUGUGGCAAAGUGUUGGAUGUUCAAGAACUUUAGAAGGUACAGGAUCGAGCCGCUUUGACUUUAUGCAACAUGGAGAAAAUCUUCCCACCUUCCUUCUUCACCAUUACGGUUCACUUGAUAAUCCAUCUCCCGCAUGAAGCAAUUCUUGGCGGACCCAUUUUCUAUCGAUGGAUGUAUCCCAUAGAAAGGUGUUAAUUAAAAAUUUUAAAAUUUUCCAAUAUUCACCUCUAUGCCUUUAGUUACAACUUUUGAUAAUGUUGUAUAUUGUGUUUAGGUUCCUAUCCAAAUUAAAGUCUUACUGCAGCAACAAGCGAUAUCCAGAAGGAUCGAUUGCUGAAGGCUACUUGGCAGAGGAAUGUAUGACCUUCUGCUCAAGAUAUUUGGAAGAUGUUGAAACAAGGUUGAACAGACCAAAUAGGAAUGCUGGACUCACAGACCAUAACUUAGCCGAUACUUAUUUGUUCCAAAGUUUUGGAGAACCAAUCGGUAAAGUUGAAAUUGCAGAAUUAGAUCAUUUAUCGUGGGUAUAAGCACAUUGAUAUGUUCUGUUUCACCACGAAUCAAUAGAACCUUUACGGAAGAAAGUUUUACAAAUUUGAUAAAUAUUUAUCAAGUUAAAAAUUGUUUAUCUUCUAACAAAGUGAACAUUUUUUUAACAUAGUGAGUACAAACAAAUAUUGAGAUCUCGUUCGCGCUCCCGAAGAACACAACAUCGAGAUAUCAAUAAGUUGUUUACAGAAUCUUUUUAUGAAUGGUUAAGCCAAACGGUAUGCAGUUGGAGCUUCCGCUUACAAAUAAUAAUGUUUUCUCAUAACAUUUUUAAUUACUCAGUUUACUUUCCAUUCAAUAGGUUUGGAGUGGGAAGAAUGUAAACGACAAAGUUAAAUGGCUCUCCCAAGGUCCAAAUCGAGUGGUUAAAAGAUAUAGUGCGUUCCUCAUCAACGGAUUCAGAUUUCAUACUAAAUAUCGCGAGAGGUUGAGGACAACGCAAAAUUGUGGAAUAGUUGUUAAUUCUGCAAUUACAAGUUAUGCUAGUGCUAGGGACAAUAAUCCCGUCGAGGGAAAUGUAGAAUAUUUCAGACAUCUUACUGACAUAAUUGAGUUGGAUUACUAUGGCAAAUGGAAAGUUGUCUUAUUUCGAGGUGAUUGGGCCGAUGUUNNNNNNNNNNNNNNNNNNNNNNNNNNNNNNNNNNNNNNNNNNNNNNNNNNNNNNNNNNNNNNNNNNNNNNNNNNNNNNNNNNNNNNNNNNNNNNNNNNNNNNNNNNNNNNNNNNNNNNNNNNNNNNNNNNNNNNNNNNNNNNNNNNNNNNNNNGGUUGGUACGUUGUACUCCGUAACAUCCCCAGAGACUUGUUUGACAUGGGCAGUGGAAGUAGAGAUAACAUCGACGACAGAUCAGAAACUUUGCCCUUUUCAGAACAAAACUUAAACAAUAAUAUCCCUAGUACUAGUGCACAAUUUCAAUGGGUUCGUCAGGAUACGGAUGAAGAUAUUUAUGAAUAAUGAUGUAGUAAGAUUUUAUGAUUGUUUAAUUAUAUGUAAUAUCAUAAUUUAAAUCUUGGUCUUAUUAUAUAUUUUAACUAUUUUAUAUGUGCAGUUAUUGUUGUAAUUAGUUAUUAAGUUUACUUACAUUUUAUGUGUAUUGCAGAUAAAAUGCCUAGAAGAAAAAUUCUAAGGGGAAGCAUUGCUCAAAAUGAUCCAAACUCGACAGAAACAAAUAGUACUGAACAACAGACAGCAAUUGAAUCUUCGAAUGUUUCGAUUACACCUGAGGAUCCUACAGAAGUUCAAAGUAAUUUUACAUUUAAUUUACAUGUGUGUUUACUUAUAAUUGAUUUGUUUUUCAAAUUCUUAUAUUAUAAUAUACCAUUUGUAGCUGAAAAUGGUGGGACGCGCAGAGGUCGAGGACGUACGCUACUUAGAGAGUUAUACGAGUUAGAUCCAGUCGAGCGUGUCAAAGUUGGACGAAACAGUUUUGGUCAGCCUGUUGGAUCAGAAGCUCGACUUUUACCAGGAUACAUGGCAUUUUAGCACGAAAUGUGAAUAUGUUACCUAUCAACUAUGAGUCAUGGCGUCAAAUGUCCGAUAGCAACAAAAACCAAGCCCUCGAUAAUAUUAAGGUAACAAAAUGUUAAUGUCAUCUGUAAUGCUUGGGAAAUAGUUUCAUUUAUAUUUACUUUAUUAACUUGUGUUUUUUGUAGGCGAGGUUUGCUUUAGAGGUCUCGGAUGCUUACGUAAAAAGGCAUUGGGAAAAAGAUAGAGAGACAAUAAAAGUACUUUGAAGAAAAAUUAUUAUAAGACAAAAACAACCCUCGAUGAGAAAUUGCAAAAUGUCCCGCCGGGUAUGUUGAGGUACCAAUGGGAAGAUGCGGUUAGAUUUUGGCAUUCGAAGAAAGGCGAGGUAUGACGUGCUUCCAAACUAUUGUAAUUAUUUUGGUUUAUAGUAUUUACUAUUUACGUACUAAAAAUUUCAUAACGUAGGAUCGUGAACAAGUUGAAAAAAGCAGCAGGCAGAAACAAAAAUUCACUCACGCAGCUGGGUCGAGAAGUUUUGCAUGUGUAGCUGAGGCGGAGGUAUUUUAAUUUUUUAAUAUUUUCAAAUAUGUAUAACUUUCCAUUAAAUAAUAUUUUUACUACUAUAUUGUAGGAACUGUCGUCCGGUCAAAAAGUUGGAUGCCUUCAACUUUUUGAAAUUACACAUAGGAAGAAAGAUGAAUCUCCCAUGACUCCUGAAGCUGGUGAAAUAAUGGUUCGUUUACUUAAUACGAUUUGACUUGUUUUAGUUAUUUAUAGUGUUUAUUUUCUAAUGGUUUAAUUCAUUCCUUGUAAUGCGACUAUUGUUAUGUUGCAUAUGUUUUUUAAUAUAUAUUGCGUUCCUAACUAUGUGAUUUAUUUAUUAGGAAAAACUAAAGGACAAAAAGGCGGAGUACGAAGCGAUUGCUUCUAGUGAUAGUUCUGUUCAUCUUGAAGACAUUGAUAACCGGAUUAUUACUGAAGUUUUGGGUCCUGAAAGGUAUGGUCGGGUUCGAUUUCAAGGAUCUUUUAUUAGCCCAACCCAAUAUUUUGGAUCCAGCUUGCAGCAAUACAUGGCUUCGGGGAGUCAGGCUCAAGCUGAAGUUCAGAGGUUAAAAGACCAGAUGGCUCAGAUGCAAGUGACCACAAUUGAGGUUCAAAGGAAAUAUGAAGAACUCCAGCUACAACUUAAAGCAGAGGCGGCAGCGAGGGAAGUAGCGGCUGCAGCGAGGGAAGCAGAGGCUGCAGCGAGAGAAGCAGAGCAGAGCAAAAAGUACGACGAACUCCAGCAGCAGCUUCAGACUAUGAUGAAGAUGUUUCAGUCGCAACUUCUGCCGUCAUAGUGUAUUGCAUAAAUAUUUUUAUCAUUUUAACAUUUAACAUUUUUGCAAAAAUAAUAUGAAUUCACUUUUAUUUAUUGAUAUUAAUAUUAUUUUAUUCGUUUAAUUUGAAAUAUUAUAUAAAUUUAUUGCUUUUGGCUGGUUUAGAUCUGGUUGCUUUUGAUUUGUUACUACAAGAGGGCUGAAAAAAUUAAAAAUUUAAUAUAAAAAAUCCCAAAAAUAGUGGCGUUUUUGUAUAAAAGUGCCGCUAAAGAUAAUGUUCUUUUACGGCGCUUACAAAAAAACACCGUUAAAGACCAUGUUCUUCAGCGGCGCUUAGAAAGAAACGCCGCUAAAGACAAUGUUCUUUAGAGGCACUUAGAAAGAAACGCCGCUAAAGACCAUGUUCUUUAGCGGCGCUUAGAAAAAAACGCCGCUAAAGACCAUGUUCUUUAGCAGCGCUUAGAAAAUAAACGCCGCUAAAGAGCAUGUUCUUUAGCGGCGCUUAGAAAGGAAUGCCGCCAAAGACCAUGUUCUUUAGAGGCGUUUUUUUUAAGCGCCGCUAAAAAACAUGGUCUUUAGCGGCGUUUCUGUUUGUAAACGUUGCAAACGUUUGCGACGUUUUCGUUAGCAGCCUUUUUUGCGGCGCUUGUAGAAGCGCCGCAAAUACCUUUAGUGGCGUUAAAAAGCGCCGCUAAAGGCCUAAAAAAACGCCGCUAAAGACCUGUUUUGGUGUAGUGUGUGAUAAAAUCUCAGUAGCGAAGAUAUGAAUGUUGCAAAAUACCAUACAAAAUCACAACCACAUUUGUUAGUAUGACUAUUUUGGGUAAUCAAAGGAAAAAAAUGUUAGUUGUUGAGCAAACAAGGUGAACAAAUUAGAUAUUCCAAUUACGUUCAAGCACUUGACAAAUCCUUUCUGCAAUGGCUUCAGCACGCAUCCUAGGACCUUCAUCAUCUGCAAAAAUCGACCAUUUCUAACAACUAAGCUAACAUCACACAUGAUAAUAUAUGUAUAUAACAUGUAUAGAAGAUGAUUAUGUGAAUUAAAAGCUAUGUUAGUUUGACUCAAUACAUGACCAUGGGACAUGCACGAUUCUUCAAUAACGAUAUGAAAAUACUUGGAAGAAAAAUUAAAUACAUCAAUAUCUAACAUUUACAUCUAAGCAUGUUUAAUGGUCCUCUUUCCUUAGCCAAAAUUUGGCUUAUUUUAGUAGCUAUUCUGACCCAUUUUUCUUGACCAAAAUGCCCUUGAACGUGUCUUUUUAUUCUUUUUAUUGGUGUUUUAGUUGGACAAGGACUACCCUUGAUGUCAUUUUUGGUCUCCUCAUGACAAUAUUGCAAUAUCCAACAUAAGGUAUCGCGAUAUCGUGGACUGUCUCAAAUGGGGGUCUUCCUUGGUAGUUGGGUAUCACAAUACCUAAGGGGGAUAUCAUGAUACCACUAUAGGUGGUCUUCACUUCAAUCCUGUGGGAGGUAUCGCUAUGUCCAUGUUGUGAUGUCGUGAUACCCCUUUCCUUUGUUAUGUUUUUGCAUAAUUUAGGGUCACCGUCAAGUUCCUACAACACUAAAUUGAUCAUUAGGGUCCAAAUGGCACAUUUACCAAUUUGAGUCUUAAAAUGAGCACAAAACACAUUAAACACUUAUUAAAUAAAAAAUCUAAAAUCUACAGUAAACUACGGAAAAAAACACUAAUUUGCUUGAAAACAACCUCCUUAAGUAUAAUGAGGAACCCUAAAUUGACAUAUCAAAUUACGGUUGCUCAGUUGUCCUUUUGAUUCGAACCCACAACCUGAGUUGUUGAGGUGAUCACCCAAUGUCACUUGGCCAAGAGUUUGGGUACUAUGUACUAACUUGAAGUUGAGGCAUAUUGUUAAGAAGAUUUCAAUUUGAAAUGUUUAAUUUUUUGAAUUUAACUCGAAUAAAUUUAUUUAACUCAACUUAAAUUUUAUUUCACUCAACUUGAUUAAAAAAAUUUCAAAUCAAGUUAAGAUGAUAAAAUAGGAUUCAUUAACUCGAUGUACUUGAAAUUGUUUUCACAAGAUUCGAUCAAACGCUCAACCCGUUACAUGAGAUGAUGUUUAGGGAUUUGUUCUGUAAAAUCAUUUUUUUCUCAAUCAUUCCUCAUAAUAUGGAAAAUAAUAAGUUAAGUUAUGCCAUUAGUCCUUGUAUUUCACAAAAGUUGUGGAUAUAAUCUCUAUACUUUAGUUGGUCAUUUUUAAUAAAUGUACUUUUCAAAUUUGAAAAUUUUAAUCCUCGCCAAAUGAUAAUUGUUAAAUUCAUUAAAUUAAGCUUUGUUGUUUUCAAAAUAUUACAUGACAAACAAAUUAUUAUAUGUGUAAUGCCAUGUCAACUUGUUAUUUUCACAUAUACUCACCAAAAUUCUACUUAAUGGAUUAAAGACUUUCUUUCGUGUGGAUAUUGAAAUUUCAAAAUUCAAAAAGUAGAGGGACUCAAAAUGAUCUAAGUGGAGAAUAUAGACUAAAUCUAUAACUAUACUCAUAGUAUAGGACUAGUAAUUGACCAAAUAAAUUUAAUUGCUACAUUUUAGGUUAAAACUAAAAUUUCAAAAUUAAAAAAAUACAGAAAUUGAAGUUGACAAAUUCAAAAAAUAUACAUAUUAAAAUUGAUCAAAUUAAAAGUGCACUGACUAACCUUAAUUUUUUGUUAAUAUUUCUUUUCCCUUAAUUAAAUGUAUAUUGUAUAUCUUAAUAUAUAAAUAUAUAUUUUUUAAAAAUUAAAUAUAUGUAUUAUAUACAUUCUUGGAAUGCUCCAUUCAACGAAUUUAUUUCAGCUCCAUAUGCUUAAAACACUUCCCAUUUCUAACAUAUUUCCUCAUUUUGGGUAACCCGAUUGGUAUACAACGUAAUCUUUUUCAUUGUUUAGUAUCUUAAUCCUUAACUCAAUAAUAUUUGUUACGAUAGAGUCUAAUGGUUGCAAUUUAUCUUGACACUUUCGAAGGAAAAAAAUUUAAAUUUCACCGAUUAAUUACAUGUCAACACAUAUAAUUCACAAUAUGUAUAUCUCAAAGAUUAAAUAAGAUAAACUAAAUCACAAAGAAAACAAACGAGUAAACAUAAUCUAGAAAUUCCAAAUUACAUUAUCUAAGAAAAAUUCAAUGAGAAAUAAAUUGUUGCAUUUCAUUCUUUAGGGAUGUGUGAGUCAAGAUGUCCGAAUCUUAAAAUGUAAGGUCGAAACAGGAGAAAUAUCCUAAAACUCGAUGCUAAAAGAUUUAUAAAAUUCAGUAUAAUCAUGUUGUUUUCAUUAUAAAACUCAAUGUUAAAAUGUCUAUGAUUCGAAAUUAUGAUACAAGAGAAAAAUAGCUAACUAUUUUAAAUUCAAGGUGUGAGAAAAUCCCAAUCGCUAAGAUAUGAAUGUUGUAAAAUACCACUCAAUCACAGCCACAUUUGUAAGUAUGACUACUUUGGAUGAAAAGUUCUAUUCCAAGUUAUAUAUACACAUAGAAAUACAGAUGAACUGGAUUAAUGGUGUAUUAUUUAAGUAAAGAAAAAGGGUUCUAACUAAAAGAAAGAGUUGAAAUCUUGAACCUCUAAAUAUUGGGUAACCGCUGGUGUUAAAAAGUGCAUAAAGGUCCAUGCUUAUGUACAAGAAACAAUGUAUGAAUCACGUACGUUGUUUAUAUUCACGUUGUUUAUAAAUAAAGGAAUAGUUUUUUUGCCUUUUUUAAAUGGUUUUCUUGUUUCUUUUCCGCUUUUUAAAUUCUUCAUUUCAAUUUAACUUCAAAAAACCAUACUAAAUAUAUAUAUAUAUAUAUAUAUAUAUAUAUAUAUGUUUAUAUUUACUUUUCUUGCUACACAAGCAAGCCAAAACCAUAAACAAAGGCAUGCUUUUUUUUUUCCUUUUUCUAAUGAUUUUCUUUAUUCUUUGUUGUUUUUAAAGUUCUUCAUUCAAUUCAGGUUCAAGAAACCAUACUAAAUAUGUAUAUUUAUAUUCGCUUUCUUUGCUACACAAGCAAGCUGAAACCAUAAACAAAGGCAUACAUUUUUAUCCUUUUUUAAAUAGCUUUCUUGUUUCUUUGUUAUUUUUUAGAUUCUUCGUUCAAUUAAGUUCAAAAAACUAUAUGUGUUUAUAUUCAAAAAACCAUAAACAAAGGCAUACCCUUUUUUUUUCCUUUUUUACCGUUGCUACUUUUUAGAUUCUUCAUUCAAUUCAAGUUCAAAAAACCAUACUAUAUAUAUAUAUAUGUUUAUAUUCACUUUUCUUGUUACACAAGUCAACCAAAACCAUAAACAAAGGCUUAACUUUUUCGCUUUUUUUAAAAUGAUUUUUUCGUUGCUGCUUUUUUAAAUUUGUAUUCAAUUUAAGUUCAAAAACCCUUAUAUAUAUAUAUAUAUAUAUAUAUAUAUAUAUAUAUAUAUAAUAGAGNNNNNNNNNNNNNNNNNNNNNNNNNNNNNNNNNNNNNNNNNNNNNNNNNNNNNNNNNNNNNNNNNNNNNNNNNNNNNNNNNNNNNNNNNNNNNNNNNNNNNNNNNNNNNNNNNNNNNNNNNNNNNNNNNNNNNNNNNNNNNNNNNNNNNNNNNNNNNNNNNNNNNNNNNNNNNNNNNNNNNNNNNNNNNNNNNNNNNNNNNNNNNNNNNNNNNNNNNNNNNNNNNNNNNNNNNNNNNNNNNNNNNNNNNNNNNNNNNNNNNNNNNNNNNNNNNNNNNNNNNNNNNNNNNNNNNNNNNNNNNNNNNNNNNNNNNNNNNNNNNNNNNNNNNNNNNNNNNNNNNNNNNNNNNNNNNNNNNNNNNNNNNNNNNNNNNNNNNNNNNNNNNNNNNNNNNNNNNNNNNNNNNNNNNNNNNNNNNNNNNNNNNNNNNNNNNNNNNNNNNNNNNNNNNNNNNNNNNNNNNNNNNNNNNNNNNNNNNNNNNNNNNNNNNNNNNNNNNNNNNNNNNNNNNNNNNNNNNNNNNNNNNNNNNNNNNNNNNNNNNNNNNNNNNNNNNNNNNNNNNNNNNNNNNNNNNNNNNNNNNNNNNNNNNNNNNNNNNNNNNNNNNNNNNNNNNNNNNNNNNNNNNNNNNNNNNNNNNNNNNNNNNNNNNNNNNNNNNNNNNNNNNNNNNNNNNNNNNNNNNNNNNNNNNNNNNNNNNNNNNNNNNNNNNNNNNNNNNNNNNNNNNNNNNNNNNNNNNNNNNNNNNNNNNNNNNNNNNNNNNNNNNNNNNNNNNNNNNNNNNNNNNNNNNNNNNNNNNNNNNNNNNNNNNNNNNNNNNNNNNNNNNNNNNNNNNNNNNNNNNNNNNNNNNNNNNNNNNNNNNNNNNNNNNNNNNNNNNNNNNNNNNNNNNNNNNNNNNNNNNNNNNNNNNNNNNNNNNNNNNNNNNNNNNNNNNNNNNNNNNNNNNNNNNNNNNNNNNNNNNNNNNNNNNNNNNNNNNNNNNNNNNNNNNNNNNNNNNNNNNNNNNNNNNNNNNNNNNNNNNNNNNNNNNNNNNNNNNNNNNNNNNNNNNNNNNNNNNNNNNNNNNNNNNNNNNNNNNNCAUGAGUUGAUUAUGAGUAGUUUCAUGUUAUGGAAAAAAGAUGUUAGUUAAAAUUAGUUAGUUGAGAGUUCAAUGAAACGAUACGUUUUGAUGUUUAAUGAAAACGGUGCGUAUUGAAAGUUUGAUACAACUAGUCGAGUAACAAGCCUUUAACAAACUUUGUAACUACCAAUUCUGAAGCCUUACAGGAAGUGCCAACUUUUGAUUUUGUUUGUAAUCCUCGCUUUAAAAAAAUAUUCCAAAUAUGCUUCCUCACCUUAUCAUUUUUGUUAUUUUUCAAGUGCCCUUACCAUUCUAUAUUUUCAAUGGUUAAAUUGUAAAAAUGGUUACCUAAUUAUUGCUUUCGUUCUAUUUUAAUCACUAAAUUAUUAAUUUUUUAUUUAGUUACUAAAUUUUUUGAAAUUAAAUAUUUUGACCACUCUCGCAUUAGUUAUCGUUAGAUGAGUGAUAGGAAGUUAAUGUGGGUUGUUUUUAUUGGUCUAAUAACAAAUUUAAUAAUCUAAUGUUUAUACAUUCUAUUAGUUUGAUUUUAAAUAUAAAAUGUUCAACAAAUUUAACCCUAAAUGUUUACAAAAUCUAUUGUUAUAGUUCGAAUCUGGAGGUGAUCAUGGGCCAGGCCGGGCUGGGUUCGGGCCCAAAAAAAGUUUCAUCCCGCUUGCUAGGCCCGUGCCUGACCCGGGAAAAAAUAUGAAGUCCGAGCCCGGCCCGGCCCUUUUUUAAUUUUUAAUUUAAAACUUAAAACUUAAUUUAAAACAAAAGUUAAAUUUUUAAUUUUUAAUUUUUUAAUAUAAUGUUAGUAAAAAAAAAGUUAAAACUUAAAUUAAAACUUAAAACUAAAUGUUAGUAAGAACCAUUUAAAAAUAAUUUUUAAUUUUUAAUUUUUAAUAUAAUUUAAUAUUUAAUUUAAGCCUAUAUACGUAUGGGCCUUUCCCUGUUACGUGGGUACUGCACAAAUGGGCUUACAACGAAUUUUGAUGCUUAUUUUACCCAAUACACCUAACACUAUAACCAUUAAUAAAAUGUAGUAUAUUAAAAAUAUAUAUAUUUAAUAUGUAUUCGAGUCGGGCGGGCAGGGCCAGACAAAAAAAUUUUACCUAAGGCCUGGCUCGUUUUUUAAACGGGCAUCGUUUGUUGCCCAAACCCAUAUUUCGGGCCUAUAGUUUUACCCAAACGGGCGGGCCGUUGGGCCGGCCAGACCCAUGAUCACCUCUAUUCGAAUCCUAAAAAUUUCAAUAAGUUUAUUCCUCAAAAUUUGUAAAUUUAAUUUUAAUUCCAAAAAUUUUAGAAAAGGAAAGAUAUAUUUUAUGGUAUAUAAAAGAAAAUCUAGCUCCAUCCAACAUUUUAAAUUCUUUUCUUUUCUCUUCACAUUUUCAUGGCAACGAAAAAACCAACUCAUGGAUGAAUUAAGCAAAUUAAAUCAAAUCAAAUAAAUCGAACAAGGAAUUUAAUUAAAAAGAAAUUCUUCACAUGCAUCAAGGAGGGACUUCCUCGGGUGGAAUCAAGGGGAUUGAUAGAAACAGCUCAGGCUCGAACAAGAACUUCAAUAGGCUUAAGAUCAGGAACAGACACAUCGGAUCAAAGCUGCAACACCUCAGGUCCACCGAACCGAGGCAGCAACACCGCCCUGCAACUGUUCACAUAGCACAAUGAUAUGAUAACUCCAUAAAGGGUUUGGGUUUUAAGCUUUGAAGUUCCCUUUUUUUCUACUCAAAUUUCCUGAAUUUCAGCUCCUUCCUUUUGUUAAAUGAAGGAAAAGCAAAGGAGAGACACGGAAGUGUGUUAAUCCACAUAGAAAAAAGUGAUUAUGUGACUUGUGAGUGGGGGCCUAGGAGGCGUGGAGGAAGAAGAAGAUGAACAUUGCAUAAUCAAUUUUUAAUUGCUUAUUACAUUCAUAAUUAAAUAAAUAAAAAUUUCUAACCUUAUCUAUUAAAUCAAGUUAGAAUGUCCAACUUGAUUUUUGUUUGUCAUAAGUAUCAUAUAUUAUAAAACUUAAUUAUAUUUUAACGCCACUAAAGGCAUUUGCAGCGCUUAAGGAAGCGCCACAAAAAAUGCCGCUAACGAUAACGUCGCUAACUUUUGCAGCGUUUACAGAAAAAAACGCCGCUAAAGGUCAUGUCCUUUAGCGGCGCUUAGGAAAAAAACACCGCUAAUGAUCAUGUUCUUUAGCGGCGCUUGGGAAAAAACGUCGCUGAUGAUCAUGUUCUUUAGCGGCGCUUGGGAAAAAACGCCGCUAAAGGACAUGAUCUUUAGCGGCACUUAGGAAAAAAACGCCGCUAAAGAUCAUGUUCUUUAGCGGCGUUUACAAAAAAACGCCGCUAAAACUAAUGUUCUAUAGCAGCGUUUGGUAAAAAACACCGCUAAAGAUCAUGUUCUUUAGCGGCGCUUCAUCUACAAACACCGCUAAAAGUAGUGUUCUUUAGCAGCACUUUCUUCACAAAUGCCACUAUAUGACAUGACUUUUAGCGGCGCUUUUUUAAUAAACGCCACUAAUUUUGGGAUUUUUUAAAAAUAAAAUUUCUAUUUUUUUCAGCCCUCCUGCAACAACAAAUAAAAAGCAACCAGAUCUAAACCAGCCAAAAACAAUAAAUUUAUAUAAUAUUUCAAAUUAAAUGAAUAAAAUAAUAUUAAUAUCAAUAAAUAAAAGUGAAUUCAUAAUUUUCAUUACAAAAACAUUAAAAGUUAAAAUGAUAAAAAUAUUUAUGCAAUAUACACUAUGACGGCGGAAGUUGCGACUACUGAAACAUCUUCAUCAUAAUCUGAAGCUGCUGCUGAAACAUCUUCAUCAUAACAGACAGUAUUAAAUUAAAAAAUAGUGAUAACUUGUAAGUGAGAAAAACAUAUGAAAAGAGACAAACUCCAGUUAAGUAGUAAAAUCAUACAAGAAAUCAAAGACAGUAGGAAACAAACAAAGAGUAUAUAUACGACCUUAAAAAUCAUACUAAAAAGCAACAUGGCUUAAUAAAAUUCAACUUAAAAAUGUAAACUCUUUACCUGGAAAUGUAAUCGGCUGCACCACAUUUAACAGAACAGUUUUAUAAACUAAUAAAUUAAACCCUAAACUAGACAUCAAAGUUCCAUACUUUGAAAAUAGUACCAAAUGAGUUCAACACAUAAACAGUAACAAAGCAUGUGUUCUGUACCUUCAGAACGAUGACGGAAACUGAAAUGAAAGCAAUGAAAUGGAUUGACCAAAAACUGGAGAAGAAAAACAAAAGUUAAAAUCAGUUCCUAACAAAUUAAACCAUUCACAAAAACAGUAAUGAACAAUAGAAGCAGUAAUUUACCUUCACAAGGAUGACCAAAACAGUCGAACACCCCGAAAACCCUAAACACAGACAAUAAAAAGUUUUUUUUAAUUCCAGUAUCACCAACCAAUAAGAAAGCAAAAUCAAAAUUAUGUUUAUUACACAUAUUUAAUAUUUUCUUUAACUUAAUUUAACUUUAUUUAAAUUGUUUUAAUUAAUUUUUUAAAUUAUAAACAAACAUCUUUCUUCUUUUACAAAUUUUAAUCAUUUUGUUUUUUUUCAUAAGUUAAUAUUUUUUACUUUUCUGCAACCAAUUUUAAAAAAAUAGUAAUUUUUGUGCAAUAUUUUUCAUGUCAUUGACACAUGAUUUUGAUAAUUGUUCUAUCCUGAACCCAAAACCCCGAACCUUGAACUCGAACCCUGAACCUAAACCUUGAACCCCGAAUCUCACAGUUUAAGGUUUGGAUUCGAGAUUUCAAGUUCAGAAAUUGAGGUUCAAGUUUAAAGUUCAAGGGUUCAGGGUUAUGGGUUACGAGUUUAGGAUUCAUGAUUCAAGGAUUUGAGGUUACGAGUUUAGGGUUUUAUGUUUUGGAUCUAGGGUUUAGGAUUCUAGAUUCAGGGUAAAAAAAUAACCAAAAUUAUGUGUUAAUGACAUGGAAAAAAUUGUUGAAAUGUCAUUAAAUAAACGGAAAGGGACCAUGAAUAAUGUGGUCAGAAGAGUCUAUAAAAUAAUUUCUCUAUGGAUGAGUGUAUAAUAAUUCAUGCCUUUAAAAUUUGAUGAUGUGACAACAAAUUUUAAUUUUUAGGAUCAUCUUAAUGUAAGUUAUUACCUUAUCUUAAUUAUUGGACUAUAUGCUUGUUUAGUUUCUUAAGCACUUUCAUGGUAUUCUUUUAUAUGUUUAUCCUGGAUCCUUGCAUCAGAAAGAUGGAGGCGCAGGUAAACCAUUGUUAUCAAGAGUAAAGCCAAAGAAAGAUGUAGUUGAUUCGAACGACCAGCACAUCUCUUUACGACCCUAUUUAGCAAACCAAUCCGCUAACCUAUUGGCUCCUCGUCUGAUAACAUUGACUUUCAAAGAAGAAAGUUGCAUGACCAGCUUAUCAAAAACCUGAAGGACUAUCCUUAAUCUCCAUCUUCAAUCUUGACUCUUCUUCUUAAUAUUCGAAGCAAUAGUCUGGGAGUCAGUCUUGAUUGUCACAUUGGUCCAUUUGUUCUUCAUAGCUAAUUCAAUCCAUCCAACCAUAGCUUUAGCCUCGACAACCUCACAUUAAUCCACUUUAGCCUUUUACCAAUCCCAUCCAGCAUCUUCCCACUUAAAUUUCUGCCUAUUACUCUAAUACCAGCACAAGCUAUUAAGGUGUCAAAUGCCCCAUCACAACUAACUUUAACCCAACCUUCUGGUGGUUUCUCCCAAAUAUCAGCACAAGUUUUGACUUCCUAGUUCGAUCAGAGUUAUUGUUUGAACAGAGGAUCCAUUGAGCAGAUAAGAAUUCAUCCAUGGAGCAAUUAAUCCUUCGAAUAAUUCUCUCCAAACCAAGUUUCACACCUCCAAUUGUAACCUCACACCUAGCUUUCCAGAUGUGCUAGCAAGUGAAAACAAUUCCAACUUUGAAAUCCUCCCUCAUACAAGGCAUUUGUAACAACUUUGAGAACCAUCUGUCAAAGAUCAUUUAGCCCUUUGAAGACCAAAACAAGCCUCAUACCGUAUUCCCCUAACCAAUUACAACUAAGAAUAAUAUGUUCAAAGUCUCAUCUUCAAUACCACGUAAACAACAAAAUUGGGUUGGAAACACACUUUAUCUUUGUAAAGAAGACUCAUUUCCAUAGUGCUCUCUCAACUCCUUGUACCCUGACUUCAUCGGAUAUAGACCAACAGCUGUAAACGGCCACACCAAUUUAUCUUGUUCAUCAAUUUCAUUAAGGGGAGCUUUUAAUUUCGCAAUUUCAAUAUCUUCUAACCACAUUGAGAUACUGGGUAAGUCCCAAUUUAGUUCUUCUAAACAAAUGAUCUCAGCAACUCUUGUUGGCGAGGAUCCGUCAAUAUUUCCAGGAUGCUUUAAUUUCCUAUCUUUUAACUCCCAGCAACCAUCUAUCUUCCCAAAUACGGAUGCUUUCGCCAUUUAGCACUUGCCAAAUCAAAGUCUCCUUUCAAAAACUCUUUCCCUUCAAGAAUGCUACUCCACACCCAUGAUGACCUAGCUCCCUUUUUAGCUUCAAGGAAAUUAGAAGUCGGGAAAUAAAGUCCUUUUAAAAUCCUAGCCCAAAGAGCAUCAGCAUCCUGGACUAACUGUCAAGAUUGUUUUGCAAGUAGAGCAAGUCCUCCAAGCUUUUCAAUGAAUAAGUCUCUCAUUUUCCUUCUGCUGAAUUCAUUUCCACGCAUAAUUUUUUAGGAAAUUCGAAAAGAUAUGGUAUACAUUCACAACAAAAGGAAGAGGUAAGGUGAUAGAGGGUCACCUUACCUUAAGACCUCUAGAUGGAUAGUUUUUUUCUACUGGAUUUACCAUUAAUAAGCAAAGUGUAAGAAACACUCCUCACACACUCCAUUAUCCAAUCAAUCCAUGUUAAAGCAAAUCUCAUUUUUCUUAAAAUAGAUUCCAGAAAUCUCUACUCUACUCUGUCAUAUACUUUAUUCAUAUCGAGCUUCCAAGCAACCUCAUAUUUCUUAUCCCUCUUCUUCAAUUGCAAAUGAUGAAAACCUCUUGAGCAAUUAAGCUGUUUGUAUUUGUCUACCUACAGAAGCACUAUGAUUAUUCAUAAUCACUAACCUUAGAACUCCUUUCAAUAUAUUCACCAUGAUCUUCGAUAUGAUUUUAUAGGCAAAAUUAUAAAGAUUAAUUAGUCUAAAUUAUAUAAUUAAUUCAAAACAUUUAGUCUUUAGAAUUAAAAUUAUCUCAAUCUCAUUUAAACCCAUCGAAAAUUUCCCUUCCCUAAAAAAAAAAAAGAACUCUUAAUAGCUUCCAAAACAUCCUUUUUAAUAAUUUUCCAAUAAUUAUGAUAGAAAAUUCCGCUAAAAUCAUUUGUAAAAAAAGAGAUUAAUUUAAUUUUUUUGUAUGCUUAGUACAAUAGAAGUAAAAUCUUAUAAUUUUAUCUCUGAAUUCUCUCAACACAAUUUUCUGACCCUUAUUUAUAAUCUCAUUAAUUUGUAUCUAACAUGAUAUCCAAUUUAAAAUUAAAUAGUCUUUUUUAUAUAAUGAAUUAUAUAUUUAUUUGAAUCUCCUCUAAAAUUAAUUAGAGUGAAGUUUCUUAUUUAGUAUUGACUGUUCCAUAAAGUAUUCAAAGUUUUCAAAUAGAUUUAUUUUUUAGGUGUAGUUAAUAACCGUAAUAAAAACUAAAUUUUAUAAGUGAUGAAUUUAUAUUAAAUAUUACUUAAUAAAUUAAUAAAAUUUAAGUUUGAGUUCAUCUAUUUUUACAUUUCUUUUACCUACUUAAAUUAAUUCCUAAUUUUUCUUAUUUUUUUAAAAUUUAUUCCUAAUGUUUUAUACAGGAAAUAAAAUCGGUGAGGAAAUAAAAGAGUUGGGAGAGAACAUGGUUAAACAUUGUGCAGGGCUGCCAUUAGCCAUUGUUGUAUUGGGAGGAAUUUUGGCUACAAAGAAUAAUUCAUUAAAGGAAUGGCGAAAGAUAUCUGACAAUGUAAAAUCUUACUUGAAGAGGGGCAAAAAUCAAGGACCAGAGGAUGUGUUAGCAUUAAGUUAUGAUGAUUUGCCUCCCUAUCUAAGACCAUGUUUCCUCUAUCUAAGCCAUUUUCCGGAGGAUUAUAUGAUAGAUGUGGAUGGAUUGAUUCAAUUAUGGGUUGCUGAAGGUAUUGUGUCAUCAAAGCAAGAAGAAAGAGACGGUGGGGAAAUUGCGGAAGAUGUGGCGGAAUCUUAUUUAAUGGAGCUUGUGGAAAGGUGCUUGAUUCAAGUACGAGAAAGAGAUGUGGCAACCUUAAAGGUCAAAACGAUUCAGAUGCAUGAUCUGACGAGAGAUCUUUCAUUAUCAAAGGCAAAACAAGAAAAUUUUGUCUUCAUUAUUGAUCGAUCAAAUGCAUCUUCAUUAUCUAUGAUUCGGAAGGCUCGUAGGGUUUCUGUGCAUGAGUUUGUUUUCAUACAAUGCAUUAAAAGUCCAAAUAUUCGGUCACUUUUGUUCUUCAAUGAGUUCUUUCUGAUGGAGGCAGUUGAAAAAUCUUUGCCCUUGAAAGUGUUGAAUUACGUUGAAGAACAUGAAGAUGAUGAUUGUAAUCCACUUGUUUGGAUUCUUAUGAUUUCGGGAAUUAGUACGAUAGGUCUUAAAAUUCAGGGAAUUUGAAGAUACUUGUUCAACAACUUCCAAUUGCUAAGAGCCCUAAACUAUGAGAGAACAACACGUGAUAGUUUUGUAGGGUUUAAGUUACCCAGUGAUAUAGGUAAUCUCAUCCAUUUAAGAUUCUUGAGUCUAAAGGAUCUUGAGUUCUUAUGGCCAAAGUUGCCAUCAUCUCUAGGCAACUUAAGGUGUUGCAAACCUUGGAUUUAAGAGGUACGAAUUACAAAAUUCAUGUACCUAAUGUGAUAUGGAGGAUGGAGCAACUAAGACAUUUAUAUCUCCCUUCGAGAUGUGAAAGCAGUACUAAGUUGAAUUUGGGUACUUUGAGAAAACUCCUAACACUUGUGAACUUCAACACUAAGAAUUGUUAUCUGAAGGAUCUUAUCAACAUGACAAAUCUUAGAGAGUUGGGGAUAAAUUGGCCCUUCAAUAUUGAAAAUUUCAAUGAGAAGGAGUUGGGCGAGAAUCAACCUAUAAUCGGAAGUAAAUAUCUUCAUUCCUUGUCUAUUAUUACCUCUGGGUACGAAUCAAUAGAUCC
rnacentral:lncRNA from 1 species